rnacentral:lncRNA from 1 species
UACAGUGUGCAUCACAAUGAUACAAAAGUCGGAAACCCUUUUGAAAACAAAUGCGGUUUUUCACCCGGUCAUCAAUGAUGAGUAGCUAAAUUAAGCAAAAACAAAUUAAACGACAAUAACUUCAACAACAAAGAGUACAUGAAUUACUAGAGGACAAUCCCACGUUAGAUAAGCAAUACAUGAAUUACUAGAGGACAAGCCCACAUUAGGUAAGCAGUACGCACACACAAACCAUGGCGGGAUCGACACGGCAAAUUAUUACAGCACACAGGAUGCAGAAGCUAAGGCACGCCACCCACGCGGCUAGCCAGAUUGGACGGGCUUGUCCUGCGAUUCUUCUGCUGCUGGCUCUGGCUCUGGCUCCUCCGUGCCCUCCCCCGGCGCCGGCACAUCGUUGGACAAGCUCUCCUCGUCGCCAAUGGCGGCUCCUCCGUUGCUGCUACCUGCGCCGUACGCUCCUUCCCCAUACCCAUACCCGUAGUAUUGCUGGGUCAUGACACGCUCUCCACCGAACACCUGGUACUACCCGCCCACGUUGGCUCGCACGGGUGCCAUUCCGACGGCGUACCCAUGCACUGGAGCCCGGGGCCCAUAGAUGCCCCGCUGCAUCUAAACCUGUAGCAGAGCCGGGGGAGCGUACACAGGCCGCUGCACCUGAUUCUGAACCUGCACCGGAGCCGGGGGAGCAUACACGGGCCGCUGCAUCUGAUUCUGAACCUGCACCGAAGCUGGGGGCGCGUACAUCGGGCGCUGAGCCUGCAGCGGCACGGCGUGGAUCACGGGCCGGGCCGCGCGCGGAGGCGCACUCGUCAUGGCGCGGCUGUCGCCUGCAGCGGCACGACCUGUCCCCGCCUCGGGGUCGCGCAUGCGGUGCAGGAAGACGCUGAGGGGCACGACGUAGUCAUCGAAGCCGAGGCGGUUUAGGGCCCACAUGAUGUCUUCGGCGUUGACGGUCUUGCGGUGCUGCAUGCGGCACCGUUCAUUGGCCUCGCCGGUGACGAAGCUGAUGAACUCCGACACGCAUUCCUGGAUCGCUUCCUUGGCGUCGUCGGAGAUCUUGGCGUGGGCAGGGAGCGCGCGGCGCAUGAUGCGGAUCACGUUUGCGUUUGGCAUCAGCCGGUCCUGCUCCCGCCCCACCGGCGUCGCCUGGGUAGGCGCCGGCGCCGCUGGUCCGUUGGGGACGCCGUCGUUCUCCAUGGUUAGGGCUAGGCAAGGUCCAAUGCAGGUAGUCGCACUUGGCUUUAGGGCAGUGCUUCUGAUCGAGUUGCUUCAGUGUGUUAAAUAGGAUGAGAUAGGUAUUAGGUGCUGCCUUAGCUGUCCUUUGUAUUGCAGAUCAAACGACAAGUGUCCAUUGAGUGGUUCUGGCGAAGACAUGUACUCAUGCAUGAGGCUAUUAAUCAGAGGAAAACGAUAAAUAAUACAUAUAUGUAUAAAUGUGAUCUCAUCCCCUCCACGUAGGAUUGAAACUGUUGGUGGUUUUGAAACUGAAAUGGCACAUUAAGGGCAUGGGCUACGGAGGCUAUAGCAAAUGCUGGUCUCAUCCCCUCCACGUAGGAUUGCACUGGUGAAGCAAUCGCUGCAUGUGAUUGUCCUUGUUCAUCCACUCAUGCAACAAGCAGGUUUCCCUCCCUUUUUCCUUUCGCUCAUGCUUUCCGCGGCCAAGCAGCAGCGCCUUCUGCAGGCGACUCUGACAUGCUGCGAAGCCACCGUCCCUCACACCCGAGUCUACGUGGCCUGCGGGGCAGCUAGUUGGGGCGACGUAUUGUACGUGCCCUAAACACAAAGCAACAAAGCUGCAACGUAAUGACAACCAAAUCAAUGGCGGCACAGGAUUUUGGAGAAGGAUAUCCAGAACAAGAAAACCAAUGAAACUACAAGCACGAAAGAGAUUGAAUCUGUAAUUUGCAAGUAAAAAGAGAGUGAAUGUAAAGUAAACCUAUAAAAUUACAAAAUUUUAAUAAAAUUAUAAGCAAAUGAAUAUUCUGUAGAGAUGUGUGUAGUAAUGUCAAAAAUAUAUAAUAGAAGUGAAAGAGAAAAAAAAAGAAACAAUACCAAGAGAAAAGUACAUGAAAAAAAGUUACGAAAUAAGCUGAAAUAAAAUGCUAGGAGGAGAUACUGAAUUAAACCAAGACCUCUUACUUCGAUGCAUAAGAAACAACUUACUAAGCUACUGUAAUCCCCCUAUUUUGAAUUUUUCUUCUUAAUUAUAUCAUGCCUACGAGACAAGGUGAUAUUAACAUAUUAAAGUUUGCUUACCAAUAUAUUUUGAUAUUUAGCUGAAUACCUAUGAAUUAUGAUUGGAUUGCUCCUGAGUCAAAUGGAAACGAGUAGUAUCAGCGAUCUCACACACCGCGGAGCUUCAAAAAAAUAUGGGUAGGUGCAAUCCAAUCUCCGCGGUGUGUGAGAUCGCACAUUAUCUUGAGAUUGACGAAGUCUCGACAGACGCCUACGUAGUUGACGGGAACGUCUCCUCUCACUUAAUGCACAUUGCCAGAACUUGUCAGUCUCAUGAGCCACUUUGGUAGCCCCUCUCUUGACUUUGGUUAGAUUGAAAUUCAAUAGUAGUCCAGAGAUUCCGAGCACCUCUAUCUUCAAACGAACCAAAGUGGAUCCGCUCAAAGAGUGAUUAGAAAAAAUACGAUGAGCAAACAUGUAAUCAAUCAUCGAAGUAAUAGGAUGGUCCAAAGUGAGAGCGAUGUAAAGUCCCACCAGGCAUAGACGCAACUCAACCACUUCAUCCUAGGUUGAAACCAAGAUAUUGCCCUCAGAGCCUCUUGCCAUAACUCCCGGGCUAGCCAACUGGACAUUUUUAGCAACAAAAGUAGCAUCCACAUCUAAGUUAGUGCAACAAUCGAUCGGAAGUGGCUCCCACAACAGACUUCUAGAAGUUGGUUUGUCACCAAGUUGCUACGGAACACCAGUGAUUUGUCUUUAAAUUCAAGUACUGAAGAAGGCAUGGUAAAACUCAGAAAAAAGGACCAAUAGUUGUCCAAAAUAUUAACGGAUGCCAUGAUAGACGCAUUUCCUCUCCAAAAAUAACAUCAUUCCUUAAGGUCCAGGCCCUCCAGAAUAUAAAUAAAAUCUUGGAAUGAGUGGAAGUAUCAACUCUGUCCACUAAGACCAACAACCGAUCCACACUUGAAUUCAUGAAAACAUACUCAUAUGGGAAAUUCCAAAUGUUUCAGAGACCCAAGCGUAAAGUGCACACCUUCAUACAAGUUACUAUGACAUGAAAAAGAUACUCUUCGGUAGAAUCACAUAUGAAACACACCCCACAGGUGUUUUUCCAAUGCUUCUUUCUAUUAACAUGUACAAUGAGAUUGUUCGACACUCGCCAAGCAAAGACUCAAAUUUCUAUGGCACAUUAGCCUUCAACACAAGACUCCACAUCUUCCUUUCCCCAUACAUCGCUGCUAUACCAUAACGGAUGAAUACCCAAUAUUUUGGACGUGCUGGAACGUGAAGUUACCUUAGCUUGCUAAGAUAUAAGCUUGUGUAGAUUUUCAAAAAGUGCAUUUUUGUCUUGUGCUUCAAACUUUUUUUUGAGAAAAUGGUGAGUAGGCAACAGAUAUGUCUCAAACGUAUUUAUAUAUUUUUUAUUGUUUCAUGCUAUAUUUAUGUCAUUGUGGUAUAGCUUUGACACAAAUUUCUCAGUGCCAUUUAUUGUUUUUGAAGUUUCCAUGAAAAUCAUUUUUUUGGGACAAAAAAAAUCCAGAAAAAAUCAGCGGAAAUAUGAAGUCUAGACGCUUCAAGGAAGCUCCAACAUAGGGCAGGGUGGCACACAAGGGACCCACGCACCAGGAGGGAGCGCGUGUGGUGGGCUCAUGUGGGCCCGCUUAACCUCCGAUCCACCACCUCUCAGUCCCUGAGCCAUUAUAUACCUUCGAAACCCUUCAUUAUUUCUAAACCCGAAUUUUUUGCCACCGCACACCUCUAUUUUUCAUGAUCCAAUAUAGAGGCCUUUUUCGGUACUCUGACGAAGGGGAAAUUGUUCACGGUGGCCAUCUCCAUCAACAUGAAGGCCGUCAUGAUCACCCGUGAGUAGUUCUGUUUGGACUAUGGUUCCAUAACAGUAGCUAGAUGGUUCCCUCUCUCUUGCUUCUCAAUACAUCUCAUGAGCUCCCCUACAUGAUUGCGAUCCAUCUAAUGUAAUCUGUUGGUGUGUUUGUCGGGAUAUGAUGAAUUGUCGUUUUAUGAUCAAAUUUAUUCAUGAAUCUUUAUUAGAUAUAUUUGGUUUCUUUGCUAAAUAAUUCUUAUUCCUAUAUGCUCUCCGAUCUAUUCUUCUUUGUUUGGCCAAGUUUGGGGUUUGAUCUUGAAGAGGGAGUUGUGUAUGAUAGUUGGCUUCAACUAUGCCAGUAAGCUACCAAAGUGAUAGAAAGUGGAAAAGUCUUGUAUCGUGUUGUUGCCACUAGGGAUAAAAAUAUGCUUGUGUAGUUGCCCAUUGAACACAUAGUGAAGACAAUAUAUCAUCUACUUCAUGUCAUCAUACGCAGUGCAAUAAUCUUGUUUUACUUAAUACUUUAAGAUGCAUGCUGGAUAGCAGUCUUGCAUGGAUUAUUAGUUAUAUAUAGAUAUAGUUGGAUAAAAGUCUAUAGAUCUACGAACGUGAUGGCAUCAGUGUUCACACAUAGUACAUUUCAUUGUUGGAUCUUGGCAUGGCUAUGUGAAUCGAGAGAGGUGGAAGGAAUAUGAAUCAUGGAACCACAUGCAAUAAUUAACAUAGUUGUGAAUUUGAUGAUUGAAUGGGAGUAGACACAUUCAACUCUCAUGAGAGUGCCAACUCCAGCUCAACGUGAGCGGUGGCUCCCGACCGGGAACAGCUAGAUCAAAGCUAAUGAGGAUGGUGCACUAUCCUGUUUUGGGAAGAAGGGGGAGUUGUGUGGUGCUGAGAUACCACAGUGGAGCGUUUUGGGCAGGCGUGUGUCAUUUUUUUCCUGUCAGCAUAUGUGGAACCCCGAGCGGACAAAGGUUUUGUCGUGUCAUACGGAGGAUCUCUUCAUUUAAUGAGAUUUUUAGCACCAACAUGUUGUCAUGCGAUGACACAUAUACCUCUGUGUUGUUGCUUCUAUCCUAUCACGACAAAGUUGCUUGCAUGCAUUUAUUGUGUGUGCUACCUCUUGAGCACUGUGUUGGUUUUCCCUUAAAGAGGAAAGGGUGAUGCAGCAAAGUAGAGUAAGUAUUUCUCUCAAUUUUUGAGAACCAAGGUAUCAAUACAGUAGGAGACUACACGCAAUUCCCUCGUACCUACACAAACAAAUAAGAACCUCGCAACCAACGCGAUAAAGGUGUUGUCAAUCCCUUCACGGUCACUGAUAUCUGAUAGAGAUAAUAAUAAUAGGAUAAAUAUUUUUGGUAUUUUUAUGAUAUAGAUUGAAAGUAAAGAUUGCAAAGUAAAAUAGUUUGGAAACUUAUAUGAUAAAAGAUAGACCCGGGGGCCAUAGGUUUCACUGGUGGCUUCUCUCAAGAUAGCAUAAGUAUUACGGUGGGUGAACAAAUUACUGUCGAGCAAUUGAUAGAAAAGUGCAUAAUUAUGAGAAUAUCUCGGCAUGAUCAUGUAUAUAGGCAUCACGUCCGCGACAAGUAGACCGAAAUAAUUCUGCAUCUACUACUAUUACUCCACACAUCGACCGCUAUCCAGUGUGCAUCUAGAGUAUUAAGUUCAUAAGAACAGAGUAACACAUUAGGCAAGAUGACAUGAUUUAGAGGGAUAAACACAAGCAAUAUGAUAUAAACCCCAUCUUUUUCUCCUCGAUGGCAACAAUACAAUACGCACCUUGAUGCCCCUGCUGUCACUAGGAAAGGACACCGCAAGAUUGAACCCAAAGCUAAGCACUUCUCCCAUUGCAAGAAAGAUCAAUCUAGUAGGCAAAACCAAACUAAUAAUUCGAGGAGACUUGCAAAGAUAACCAAUCAUACAUAAAAGAUUUCAGAGAAGAAUCAAAUAUUGUUCCUAGAUAAACUUGAUCAUAAACCCACAAUUCAUCGGAUCCUGACAAACACACCGCAAAAAGAGUUACAUCAAAUAGAUCUCCAAGAAGAUCGAGGAGAACAUUGUAUUGAGAUCCAAAGAGAGAGAAGAAGUCAUAUGGCUAAUAACUAUGGACCUGAAGGUCUGUAGUAAACUACUCCCACAUCAUCGGAAAGGCUAUGGUGUUGAUGUAGAAGCCCUCGGUGAUCGAUUCCCCCUCAGGCGGAGCUCCGAAAAAGGCCCCAAGAUGGGAUCUCUUGGGUACAGAAGGUUGCGGCGGUGGAAAUAGGGUUUCGUGGUGCUCCUGGAUGUUUUCGGGUUAUAUGGAUAUAUAUAGGAGGAAGAAGUAGGUCGGUGGAGCUGUGAGGGGCCCACGAGGGUGGGGGCGCCCAGGGGGGCAUGCAUGCCUGCCUACCUCGUGGCUCCCUCGUUUCUUUCUUGACGUCCACUCGAAGUCCCCUGAAUCACGUUUGUUCAGAAAAUAUCUCUCCCGAAGGUUUCAUUCCGUUUGGAUUCCGUUUGAUAUUCCUUUUCUGUGGAACACUGAAAUAGGCAAAAAAAAAUAGCAAUUUGCACUGGGCCUUGGGUUAGUAGGUUAGUCCCAAAAAGAAUGUAACAAUGUAUAAAUAAGCCCACUAACAUCCAAAACAGAUAAUAUAAUAGCAUGGAACAAUAAAAAUUAUAGAUACGUUGGAUACGUAUCAAGCAUCCCCAAGCUAAAUUCAUGUUCGUCCUCAAGUAGGUAAAUGAUAAAAACAUAAUUUUUGAUGUGGACUGCUACCUAGAAUAAUUCUUAUUGUAAUUUUGUUUAUUUUGUCAUGAAUGUUAAGAUCCGAAAGAUUCAAGACAAAAGUAUAAUAUUGACAUAAAAAUAGUAAUACUUCAAGCAUACUAACUAAGAAAUCAUGUCUUCUCAAAAUAACAUGGCAAAAGAAAGUUCAUCCCUACAAAAUCAUAUAGUUUAGUCAUGCUCCAUUUUCGUCACACAAGAAUGUUCUCAUCAUGCACAACCCUAAUGACAAGCCAAACAAUUUUUUCAUACUUUUUUCAACUUUCACGCAAUACAUGAGCGUGAGCCAUGGAUAUAUAACUAUGGGUGGAAUAGAAUAUGAUGAUGGAGAUUAUGUGGAGAAGACAAAAAAAGGAGAAAGUCUCACAUCGACGCGGCUAAUCAAUGGGCUAGGGAGAUGCCCAUCAAUUGAUGUCAAUGCAAGGAGUAGGGAUUGCCAUGCAACGGAUGCACUAGAACUAUAAAUGUAUGAAAGCUCAACAAAAAAACUAAGUGGUUGUGCAUCCAACUUGCUUUCUCACGAAGACCUAGGGCAUUUGAGGAAGCCCAUUGUUGGAAUAUACAAGCCAAGUUCUAUAAUGAAGAAUUCCCACUAGUGUAUGAAGGUGAAAAAACAAGAGACUCUCUAUCAUAAAGAUCAUGGUGCUACUUUGAAGCACAAGUGUGGAAAAAGAGGAUACUAGCAUUGUCCCUUUUUAUUUCUUCUUUUUUGGGGCCUUUCUUUUUUUAUUUGGCCUUUCUCCUUUUUUAUUUUUUUUAUUUGGGACAAUUCUCUAUUAAUGAUGAUCAUCACACUUCUAUUUAUUUACAACUCAAUGAUGACAACUCGAUACUAGAACAAAAUAUGACUCUAUAUGAAUGCCUCCGGCGGUGUACCGGGAAGGGCACACUAGUAGAAAAAGGGGCUUUGGUCCAGCCAGAAAAGACCAUUAAUCCCGGUUGCAUUACGAACCGGGACUAAUGUGAGCAUUAGUCCCGGUUCAAGCGGCGAGGGCACCAUACAUGCAUUACUCACGGUUCAAAUGGGACCUUUAGUCCCGGUUCGUGGCACGAAUCGGUACUAAAGGGUGCGAUGCCCAUUAGUACCGGUUCGUGGCACGAACCGGUACUAAAUGUCUCAACCUCAUUAGUACCGGUUUGUGACCUUUAGUACCGGUUCGUGCCACGAACCGGUACUAAUGGGGUUGAGACAUUUAGUACCGGUUCGUGCCACGAAUCGGUACUAAUGGUGCAAUUUUCAAAUCCUACCCCCCCAGUGCAUCGCCUUUUUCAGUUUUGUAAAAAGCAAAAGAAAAUGAUAGAAACUUCAAAAUUUAAAAUCCUUCGAGAGGUAGUUACAUCUACUACUUAGGAAAAUUUAAAAACUUAAAUUUGGACAUGUUUUGCAAAAAAUGUAGGGAAAAUGUAAAAUGGCUAUAACUUUUGCAUACGAUGUCGGGAAAAACGUAUAAUAUAUCAAAAUGUUCGGAAGGAAAAUCCGCAUCCGAUGGAGACCGCCUACGACCUGUUUGCAAAUUUCUAGAAUCCUCAAAUUCUAAAAGGAAAAAAGUUAUGCUCAAAUUUUAGUUUUUUUUGAAUUUUUGUUAAAUCUGGUCAAACUAUGGUCAAACUACUUAUUCAAGAAGUAUUAUUGUUACUAAAUAAUUAUUCAAGAAUAUUAGUGUUGCCAAAUAAUUAUUUUAGUUUUUUUUAAAUUUUGGUCAUCAAACUAUGGUCAAACUGUGGUCAAACUACUUAUUCAAGAAAUAUUAGUGUUACCAAAUAAUUAUUGAUUUUUAAAACAAUAGUUUCAAACUCAAACAGUGAAAUGUGUGACUUCAUGCUCAAGCAAAAUUCCUAAGGGUUAAUAGGAUUGCCAUCUUACUAUUGUCAGGAAAACAACAAGUGCAGACUUGAAAACGAUGGAGAAUAGAACUCGAAAGUUAAGCGUGCUCAGGCUGGAGUAGUGAGAGGAUGGGUGACCGUUCGGGAAGUUAGAUGAUUUGGAAUGAUGAGGGGUGAUUAGAGAUUAAAGGUUAAAUUGAGUAGUGAUGAGGGGUGAUUAGAGAUUACAGGUUAAAAUAAUUCAGAAAUUUGAAAUUCAAAAAAAAAUUCAAAAAAAAUUCAAAAAAAGUUUUCAAAAAAAAUCAUAAAAUAUCCUUGCAACGGCCACGUGGAGGGCCUUUAGUCUCGGUUCUAGUUAGAACCGGGACUAAAGGGGGAGGCUUUAGUACUGACCCUUUAGUCCCGGUUCCAGAACCGGGACUAAAGGCCCUUAUGAACCGGGACUAAAGGCCCUUAUGAACCGGGACUAAAGGACCUUUUUCUACUAGUGGCAAUGAAUCAAGAGUGACAUGUAUGAUAAAUUAUGCAUGGUGUCUUUGCCACAAAUACGAUGUCGACUAAAUGAUCAUGCAAAGGAAUAUGACAAUGAUGAAGCGUGUCAUAAAUGAAACGGUGGAAAGUUGCAUGGCAAUAUAUCUCGGAAUGGCUAUGGAAAUGCCAUAAUAGGUAGGUAUGGUGGCUGUUUUGAGGAAGAUAUAAGGAGGUUUAUGUGUGAUAGAGCGUAUCAUAUCACGGGGUUUGGAUGCACCGGCCAAGUUUGCACCAACUCUCAAGGUGAGAAAGGGCAAUGCAUGGUACCGAAGAGGCAACCAAUGAUGGAAGGGUGAGAGUGCGUAUAAUCCAUGGACUCAACAUUAGUCAUAAAGAACUCACAUACUUAUUGCAAAAAUCUACAAGUCAUCAAAAACCAAGCAUUACGCGCAUGCUCCUAGGGGGAUAGAUUGGUAGGAAAAGACCAUCGCUCGUCCCCGACCGCCACUCUUAAGGAAGACAAUCAAAUAACACCUCAUGUUUCAAAUUUGUUACACAACGGUUACCAUAUGUGCAUGCUACGGGACAUGCAAUCUUCAACACAAGUAUUCUCAUAGUAUUCAAUUCACUUUCUAUGAUAGUUUUUAUUAUACCCAUCUUGGAUGCCUAUCAUAUUACGACUAAUUUCAUAACCAAAGAAAAUUACCAUGUUGUUCUAAAGUACUCUCAAAAUAAUAUGAAUGAAGCAUGAGAGAUCAAUAGUUUCUAUAAAAUAAAACCACCAAUGUGCUCUAAAAGAUAUAAGUGAAGCACUAGACCAAAAUUAUCUAGCUCAAAAGAUAUAAGUGAAGCACAUAGAGUAUUCUAAUAAAUUCCAAUUCAUGUGUGUCUCUCCAAAAAGGUGUGUACAACAAGUAUGAUUGUGGUAAACUAAAAAGCAAAGACUCAAAUCAUGCAAGACGCUCCAAGCAAAACACAUAUCAUGUGGUGAAUAAAAAUAUACCCUCAAGUAAAGUUACCGAUGGAAGAAGACGAAAGAGGGGAUGCCUUCCGGGGCAUCCCCAAGCUUAGGAUUUUGGUUGUCCUUGAAUUUUACCUUGGGGUGCCUUGGGAAUCCCCAAGCUUAGGCUCUUGCUAAUCCUUAUUCCAUAAUCCAUCAAAUCUUUACCCAAAACUUGAAAACUUCACAACACAAAACUCAAUAGAAAAUCUCAUGAGCUCCAUUAGUAUAAGAAAACAAACCGCCACUUAAGGUACUGUAAUGAACUCAUUCUUUAUUUAUAUUGGUGUUAAACCUACUUUAUUCCAAAUUCUCUAUGGUUCAUACCCUCCGAUACUAGCCAUAGAUGCAUCAAAAUAAGCAAACAACACAAGAAAAACAGAAUCUGUCAAAAACAUAACAGUCUAUAGUAAUCUGUAGGUUUCGAAUACUUAUGUAAGCCCAAAAGUUCUAAAAUAAAUUGGUGGACGUGAGGAAUUUGUCUAUUAGUCAUCUUCAGAAAGAAUCAACCUAAUUGCACUCUCCAUUAAAAAAUGGCAGCAACUCUGGUGAGCACUAAAGUUUGUGUUUUUUACAGCAAGAUCGCUAAAACUUCCCCCAAGUCUUCCCAAAGAUUCUACUUGGCACAAACACUAACUAAAAGCAUAAAAAACAUAUAAACAGAGGCUAGAUGAAUUAUUUAUUACUAAACAGAACCAAAAAGUAAGAAACAAAAAUAAAAUUGGGUUGCCUCCGAACAAGCGCUAUCGUUUAAUGCCCCUAGCUAGGCAUUGAUAAUUUCAAUGAUGCUCACAUGAAAGACAAGAACUUAAGAAUAAAGAGAGCAUCAUGAAACACGUGACAAACACAUUGAUACGUCUCCGUCGUAUCUACUUUUCCAAACACUUUUUCCCUUGUUUUGGACUCUAACUUGCAUGAUUUGAAUGGAACUAACCCGGACUAACGCUGUUUUCAGCAGAAUUGCCAUGGUGUUAUUUUUGUGUAGAAAUAAAAGUUCUCAGAAUGACCUGAAAAUCAACGGAGAUUAUUUUUGGAAUAUAUAAAAAAUUAUGGAAGAAAGAUCCACAUCAGGGGGCCCACACCCUGUCCACGAGGGUGUGGGGCGUGCCCUACCCCCUGGGCGCGCCCCCUGCCUCGUGGACAGGGUGUGGGCCCCCUGAUGUGGAUCUUUCUUCCAUAAUUUUUUAUAUAUUCCAAAAAUAAUCUCCGUUGAUUUGACAACUCAGCUGCUAAUACUUGAGUAUAUUCUUUGGCUGCCCUUGUGUCGAAUCAAUAAAUUUGGGUUGAAUACUCUACCCUGGAAAACUGUUGCGAUCCCCUAUACUUGUGGGUUAUCAAGAACAUUUUCUGGCGCCGUUGCCAGGGAGCAUAGCUCUAUUCUUUCAGUCACUUGGGAUUUAUAUCUUCUUAUCAUUAUGAAGAAAUUGAAAGAUCAAAGUGUUGGAAAUAUGCCCUAGAAGCAAUAAUAAAAGUAUUAUUAUUAUAUUUCCUUGUUCAUGAUAAUUGUUCUUUAUUCAUGCUAUAACUGUAUUAUCCGGAAAUCGCAAUACACGUGUGAAUACAUAGACCACAAUACGUCCCUAGUGAGCCUCUAGUUGACUAGCUCGUUGUGAUCAACAGAUAGUCAUGGUUUCCUGGCUAUGGACACUGGAUGUCGUUGAUAACGGGAUCACAUCAUUAGGAGAAUGAUGUGAUGGACAAGACCCAAUCCUAAGACUAGCACAAAAGAUCGUGUAGUUCAUUUGCUAGAGAUUUGCCAAUGUCAAGUAUCUCUUCCUUCGACCAUGAGAGCGUGUAACUCCUGGAUACCGUAGGAGUGCUUUGGGUGUAUCAAACGUCAGAACGUAACUGGGUGACUAUAAAGGUGCACUACAGGUAUCUCUGAAAGUAUCUAUUGUUUUAUGCGGAUCGAGACUGGGAUUUGUCACUCCGUGUAAACGGAGAGGUAUCUCUGGGCCCACUCGGUAGGACAUCAUCAUAUGCGCAAUGUGACCAAGGAGUUGAUCACGGGAUGAUGUGUUACGGAACGAGUAAAGUGACUUGCCGGUAACGAGAUUGAACAAGGUAUUGGAUACCGACGAUCGAAUCUCGGGCAAGUAACAUACCGAUAGACAAAGGGAAUUGAAUACGGGAUUGAUUAAGUCCUUGACAUCGUGGUUCAUCCGAUGAGAUCAUCGUGGAACAUGUGGGAGCCAUCAUGGGUAUCCAGAUCCCGCUGUUGGUUAUUGACCGGAGAACGUCUCGGUCAUGUCUACAUGUCUCCCGAACCCGUAGGGUCUACACACUUAAGGUUCGAUGACGCUAGGGUUAUAAAGGAAGUUUGUAUGUGGUUACCGAAUGUUGUUCGGAGUCCCGGAUGAGAUCCCAGACGUCACGAGGAGUUCCGGAAUGGUCCGGAGGUAAAGAUUUAUAUAUGGGAAGUCCUAUUUUGGCCACCGGAAAAUGUUCAGGAUUUUUCGGUAUUGUACCGGGAAGGUUCUAGAAGGAUCCGGAGUGGGGCCCACCUGCAUGGGGGGACCCACAUGGACGUGGGUAGUGGGGGCAAGGCCCCACACCCCUGGUCAAGGCGCACCAAGAUCCCCCCUUAGAAGGAAUAAGAUCAUAUCCCGAAGGGAUAAGAUCAAGAUCCCUAAAAAGGGGGGAUAACAAUCGGUGGGGAAGGAAAUAAUGAGAUUUCUUUCCUCCCACCUUGGCAAACGCCCCAAUGGACUUGGAGGGCAAGAAACCAGCCCCUCCACCCCUAUAUAUAGUGGGGAGGCGCAUGGGAGCUAUAGACGAAGUUCUGGUGCAGCCCUCCCCCUCUCACAAGUACUCCUCCUCUCCCGCGGUGCUUGGCGAAGCCCUGCAGGAUUGCCACGCUCCUCCACCACCACCACGCCGUUGUGCUGCUGCUGGAUGGAGUCUUCCUCAACCUCUCCCUCUCUCCUUGCUGGAUCAAGGCUUGGGAGACGUCACCGGGCUGUAUGUGUGUUGAACGCGGAGGUGCCGUGCGUUCGGCACUUGAUCAUCGGUGAUUUGAAUCACGGCGAGUACGACUCCAUCAACCCCGUUCACUUGAACGCUUCCUCUUAGCGAGCUACAAGGGUAUGUAGAUGCACUCUCUUUCUACUUGUUGCUGGUCUCUCCAUAGAUAGAUCUUGGUGACACGUAGGAAAAUUUUGAAUUUCUGCUACGUUCCCCAACAGUGGCAUCAUGAGCUAGGUCUAUUGCGUAGAUUCUUUGCACGAGUAGAACACAAAAUAGUUGUGGGCGUUGAUUUUGUUCAAUAUGCUUACCGUUACUAGUCCAAUCUUGUUUCGACGGUAUGGUGGGAUGAAGCGGCCCGGACCGACCUUACACGUACUCUUACGUGAGACAGGUUUCACCGAUUGACAUGCACUUGGUGCAUAAGGUGGCUAGCGGGUGCCAGUCUCUCCCACUUUAGUCGGAACGGAUUCGAUGAAAAGGGUCCUUAUGAAGGGUAAAUAGCAAUUAGCAUAUCACGUUGUGGUUUUGCGUAGGUAAGAAAUGUUCUUGCUAGAAACCCAUAGCAGCCACGUAAAACAUGCAAACAACAAUUAGAGGACGUCUAACUUGUUUUUGCAGGGUAUGCUUUGUGAUGUGAUAUGGCCAACAAGAAUGUGGUGAAUAAUAUGUGAUGUAUGAGUUUGAUCAUGUUCUUGUAAUAGGAUUCACGACUUGCAUGUCGAUGAGUAUGACAACCGGCAGGAGCCAUAGGAGUUGUCUUUAUUCAUUGUAUGACCUGCGUGUCAUUGAACAACGCUGUGUAAUUACUUUACUUUAUUGCUAACCGGUAGCCAUAGUAGUAGAAGUAAUAGUUGGCGAGACAACUUCAUGAAGACACGAUGAUGGAGAUCAUGAUGAUGGAGAUCAUGGUGUCAUGCCGGUGACGAUGAUGAUCACGGAGCCCCGAAGAUGGAGAUCAAAAGGAGCAAAAUGAUAUUGGCCAUAUCAUGUCACUAUUUGAUUGCAUGUGAUGUUUAUCAUGUUUAUGCAUCUUGUUUACUUAGGACGACGGUAGUAAAUAAGAUGAUCCCUUACAAAAUUUCAAGAAGUGUUCUCCCCUAACUGUGCACCGUUGCUACAGUUCGUCGCUUCUAAGCACCACGUGAUGAUCGGGUGUGAUGGAUUCUUACGUUCACAUACAAUGGGUGUAAGACAAUUUUACACAGCGAAAACACUUAUGGUUAACUUGACGAGCCUAGCAUGUGCAGACAUGGCCUCGGAACACGGAGACCGAAAGGUCGAGCAUGAGUCGUAUAGCAGAUACGAUCAACAUGAAGAUGUUCACUGAUGAUGACUAGUCCGUCUCACGUGAUGAUCGGACACGGCCUAGUUGACUCGGAUCAUGUAAUCACUUAGAUGACCAGAGGGAUGUCUAUCUGAGUGGGAGUUCAUAAGAUGAACUUAAUUAUCUUGAACAUAGUCAAAAGACCUUUUGCAAAUUAUGUCAUAGCUCGCGCUUUAGUUCUACUGUUUUAGACAUGUUCCUAGAGAAAAUAUAGUUGAAAGUUGACAGUAGCGAUUAUGAGGACAGUAGAAAGCUUAUGUCCUUAAUGCACCACUCAGUGUGCUGAACCCCAAACCUCGUCUGUGGAUGUUGUGAACAUCGGACAUACACAUUUUUAUAACUACGUGAUAGUUCAGUUAAAUGGUUUAGAGUUGAGGCACCAAAGACGUUUUCGAAAUGUCGCGGAACAUAUGAGAUGUUUCGAGGGCUGAAAUUGGGAUUUCAGGCUCGUGCCCACGUCAAGAGGUAUAAGACCUCCGAUGAUUUUCUUAGCUUGCAAACUAAUGGAUAAAAGCUCAAUCGUUGAGCUUGUGCUCAGAUUGUCUGAGUGCAACAAUCACUUGAAUCGAGUGGGAGUUGAUCUUCCAUAUGAGAUAGUGAUGUUUCUCCAAAGUCAUUGCCACCAAGCUGCUAGAGCUUUGUGAUGAACUAUAACAUAUCAGGGAUAGAUAUGAUGAUCCUUGAGGUAGUCACGAUGUUUGACACCGCGAAAGUAGAAAUCAAGAAGGAGCAUCAAUUGUUGAUGGUUGGUGAAACCACUAGUUUCAAGAAGGGCAAGGGCUAGAAGGGAUACUUCAUGAAACGGCAAAUCAGCUGCUGCUCUAGUGAAGAAACCCAAGGUUGAACCCAAACCCGAGACUAAGUGCUUCAGUAAUAAGGGGAACAACCACUGGAGCAGAAUUACCCUAGAUACUUGGUAGAUGAGAAGGCUGGCAAGGUCGAUAGAAGUAUAUUGGAUAUACAAUAUGUUGAUGUGUACUUUACUAGUACUCCUAGUAGCACCAGGGUAUUAGAUACCGGUUCGGUUGCUAAGUGUUAGUAACUCGAAAUAAAAGUUACGGAAUAAACGGAGACUAGCUAAAGGUGAGCUGAUGAUAUGUGUUGGAAAUGUUUCCAAUGUUGAUAUGAUCAAGCAUCGCACGCUCCCUCUACCAUCGAGAUUGGUGUUAAAACCUGAAUAAUUGUUAUUUGGUGUUUGCGUAGAGCAUAGACAUGAUUGGAUUAUGACUAUUGCAAUACGGUUAUUCAUUUAAGGAGAAUAAUAGUUACUCUAUUUAUGUGAAUAAUACCUUCAAUGGUCUUGCACCUAAAAAUGGUUUAUUGAAUCUCGAUCGUAGUGAUACACAUUUUCAUGCCAAAAGAUAUAAGAUAGUAAUGAUAGUACCACUUACUUGUGGCACUGCCAUGUAAGUCAUAAUGGUAUAAAACGCAUGAAGAAGCUCCAUGUUGAUGGAUCUUUGGACUCACUCGUUUUUGAAAAGUUUGGGACAUGCGAACCAUGUCUAUUGGUGUAUAUGCAUGAAGAAACUCCAUGCAAAUGGAUCGUUCGGACUCACUUGAUUUUGAAUCACUUGAGAUAUGCAAAUCAUACCACAUGGGCAAGAUGACUGAAAAGCCUCAUUUUCAGUAAGAUGGAACAAGAUAGCAACUUGUUGGAAGUAACACAUUUUGAUGUGUGCAGUCGAAUGAGUGCUGAGGCAUGCAGUGAAUAUCAUUAUGUUCUUACUUCACAGAUGAUUCGAGUAAAUGUUGAGUAUAUUUACUUGAUGAAACACAAGUCUGAAUUAUUGAAUGGUUCAAGUAAUUUCAGAGUGAAGUAGCAGAUCAUUGUGACAAGAGGAUAAAAUGUCUAUGAUAUGAUCAUAGAGAUGAAUAUCUGAGUUACGAGUUUUGGCACACAAUUAAGACAUUGUGGAAAUUGUUUCGCAAUUAAUACCGCCUGGAACACCAUAAUGUGAUGGUGUGUCCGAACAUCAUAGUUGCACCCUAUUGGAUAUGGUGCAUACCAUGAUGUCUCUUAUCGAAUUACCACUAUCGUUCAUGGGUUAGGCAUUAGAGACAACCACAUUCACUUUAAAUAGGGCACCACGUAAUUCCGAUGAGAUGACACCGUAUGAAUUAUGGUUUAGAGAAACCUAAGUUGUCAUUUCUUAAAAGUUUGGGGCUGCGACGCUUAUAUGAAAAAGUUUCAGGUUGAUAAGCUCGAACCCAAAGCGGAUAAAAUGCAUCUUCAUAGGAAACCCAAAACAGUUGGGUAUAUCUCCUAAUUCAGAUCCGAAAGCAAUAUGGAUUGUUUCUAGAAUCGGGUCCUUUCUCGAGGAAAAGUUUCUCUCGAAAGAAUUGAGUGGGAGGAUGGUGGAGACUUGAUGAGGUUAUUGAACCGUCUCUUCAACUAGUGUGUGACAGGGCAUAGGGAGUUGUUCCUGUGGCACCUACACCAAUUGAAGUGGAAGCUUAUGAUAUUGAUCAUGAAACUUCGGAUCAAGUCACUCCCAAACCUCGUAGGAUGACAAGGAUGCGUACUACUUCAGAGUGGUACGUAAUCCUGUCUUGAAGGUCAUGUGCUAGACAACAAUGAACCUACGAGCUAUGGAGAAGCGAUGGUGGGCCCGGAUUCGGCUUGAGGCCACAAAAUCCGAGAGAGGAUCCAUGUAUGAAAACAAAGUGUAGACUUUGGCAGAACGGCUCGAUGGUCGUAAGGCUAAUGAGUACAGAUGGAUUUCAAAAGGAAGACGGACAAUGAUGGUAAAUGUCACCAUUAAGAAAGCUCGACUUGUCGUUAAGAUGUUUUCCGACAAGUUCAAGGAGUUGACUACGAUGAGAUUUUCUCACUCGUAGCGAUGCUAAGAGUCUAUUGGAAUUAUAUUAGCGAUUACUGCAUUAUUUAUGAAAUCUUGCAGAUAGGAUGUCAAAACAUUGUUUCCUCGACGAUUUUAAUGAGGAAAGGUUGUAUGUGAUACAACCGGAAGGUUUUGUCAAUCCCGAAAGAUGCUAAUAAGUAUGCAAAGCUCCAGCAAUCCUUCUAAGGACUGGAGUGAGCAUCUCGGAGUUGGAAUGUAUGCUUUGAUGAUGAUCAAAAAAUUUGGGUUUGUACAAAGUUUAUGAGAAACUUGUAUUUCCAAAGAAGUGAGUGGGAGCACUAUAGAAUUUCUAAUGAGUAUAUGUUGUUGACAUAUUGUUGAUCAGAAAUGACGUAGAAUUUCUGGAAAGCAUAUAGGGUUAUUUUGAAAGUGUUUUUCAAUGGAAAGCCUGGAUUAAGCUACUUGAACAUUGAGCAUCAAGAUCUAUAAGGAUAGAUCAAAAUGCUUAAUAAUACUUUCAAAUGAGCACAUACCUUGACAUGAUCUUGAAGGUGUUCAAGAUGGACCAGUCAAAGAAGGAGUUCUUGCCUGAGUUGUAAGGUACGAAGUUAAGACUUAAAGCUCGACCACGGCAGAAUAGAGAGAAAGGACGAAGGUCGUCCCCUAUGCUUAAGACGUAGGCUCUUCAGUAUGCUAUGCUGUGUACCGCACCUGAAGUGUGCCUUGCCAUGAGUCAGUCAAGGGGUACAAGAGUGAUCCAAGAAUGGCUCACAGGACAGCGGUCAAAGUUAUCCUUAGUAACUAGUGGACUAAGGAAUUUUCUCAAUUAUGGAGGUGGUAAAAGAGUUCGUCGUAAAGGUUACAACGAUGCAAGCUUGACACCUAUCCGGAUAGCUCUGAGUAGAGAGACCGGAUACAUAUAAUGGAGCAAUAAUUUAGAAUAGCUCCAAGUAGAACAGUUGUUUGGAAUAGCUCCAAAUAGAGCGUGGUAGCUGCAUCUAGGAGAUGACAUAGAGAUUUGUAAAGCACACACGGAUCUGAAAGGUUCAGACCCAUUGACUAAAACCUCUCUCACAAGCAACAUGAUCAAACAUAAAACUCAUUGAGUAUUAAUCACAUAGUGAUGUGAACUAGACUACUGACUCUAGUAAACUCUUGGGUAUUAGUCACAUGGCGAUGUGACCUGUGAGUGUUAAUCACAUGGCGAUGUGAACUAGAUUAUUGACUCUAGUGCAAGUGGGAGACUGUUGGAAAUAUGCCCUAGAGGCAAUAAUAAAAGUAUUAUUAUUAUAUUUCCUUGUUCAUGAUAAUUGUCUUUUAUUCAUGCUAUAACUGUAUUAUCCGGAAAUCGUAAUACACGUGUGAAUACAUAGACCACAAUAUGUCCCUAGUGAGCCUCUAGUUGACUAGCUCGUUGUGAUCAACAGAUAGUCAUGGUUUCCUGGCUAUGGACAUUGGAUGUCGUUGAUAACGGGAUCACAUCAUUAGGAGAAUGAUGUGAUGGACAAGACCCAAUCCUAAGAGUAGCACAAAAGAUCGUGUAGUUCAUUUGCUAGAGAUUUGCCAAUGUCAAGUAUCUCUUCCUUCGACCAUGAGAGCGUGUAACUCCUGGAUACCGUAGGAGUGCUUUGGGUGUAUCAAACGUCACAACGUAACUGGGUGACUAUAAAGGUGCACUACAGGUAUCUCUGAAAGUAUCUAUUGUUUUAUGCGGAUCGAGACUGGGAUUUGUCACUCCGUGUAAAUGGAGAGGUAUCUCUGGGCCCACUCGGUAGGACAUCAUCAUAUGCGCAAUGUGACCAAGGAGUUGAUCACGGGAUGAUGUGUUACGGAACGAGUAAAGUGACUUGCCAGUAACGAGAUUGAACAAGGUAUUGGAUACCGACGAUCGAAUCUCGGGCAAGUAACAUACCGAUAGACAAAGGGAAUUGAAUACGGGAUUGAUUAAGUCCUUGACAUCGUGGUUCAUCCGAUGAGAUCAUCGUGGAACAUGUGGGAGCCAUCAUGGGUAUCCAGAUCCCGCUGUUGGUUAUUGACCGGAGAACGUCUCGGUCAUGUCUACAUGUCUCCCGAACCCGUAGGGUCUACACACUUAAGGUUCGAUGACGCUAGGGUUAUAAAGGAAGUUUGUAUGUGGUUACCGAAUGUUGUUCGGAGUCCCGGAUGAGAUCCCGGACGUCACGAGGAGUUCCGGAAUGGUCCGGAGGUAAAGAUUUAUAUAUGGGAAGUCCUAUUUUGGCCACCUGAAAAUGUUCGGGAUUUUUCUGUAUUGUACCGGGAAGGUUCUAGAAGGUUCCGGAGUGGGGCCCACCUGCAUGGGGGGACCCACAUGGACGUGGGUAGUGGGGGCAAGGCCCCACACCCCUGGUCAAGGCGCACCAAGAUCCCCCCUUAGAAGGAAUAAGAUCAUAUCCCGAAGGGAUAAGAUCAAGAUCCCUAAAAAGGGGGGAUAACAAUCGGUGGGGAAGGAAAUAAUGAGAUUUCUUUCCUCCCACCUUGGCCAACGCCCCAAUGGACUUGGAGGGCAAGAAACCAGCCCCUUCACCCCUAUAUAUAGUGGGGAGGUGCAUGGGAGCUAUAGACGAAGUUCUGGUGCAGCCCUCCCCCUCUCACAAGUACUCCUCCUCUCCCGCGGUGCUUGGCGAAGCCCUGCAGGAUUGCCACGCUCCUCCACCACCACCACGCCAUUGUGCUGCUGCUGGAUGGAGUCUUCCUCAACCUCUCCCUCUCUCCUUGCUGGAUCAAGGCUUGGGAGACGUCACCGGGCUGUAUGUGUGUUGAACGCGGAGGUGCCGUGCGUUCGGCACUUGAUCAUCGGUGAUUUGAAUCACGACGAGUACGACUCCAUCAAGCCCGUUCACUUGAACGCUUCCGCUUAGCGAUCUACAAGGGUAUGUAGAUGCACUCUCCUUCCCCUCGUUGCUAGUCUCUCCAUAGAUAGAUCUUGGUGACACGUAGGAAAAUUUUGAAUUUCUGCUACGUUCCCCAACACAAAGAACCAAUAUUUUUCCCUCAACAACGAGGGGAGGUAAGGAACUGCCAUCUAGCUCUGCACUUGUUUCACCUUCUGUUUUGAGUAAACUUGCGACACCUACACCUGCUAUUCAUUCUGAUAUGUCGCAUGUUAUUGAUGAUGCCACUUCUGCUUUGCAUGAUACUUAUCAUGAAACUACUUCUAUGCUUGAUACCACUAUGCCACUUGGUGAAUUUCUUGAUGAACAACUUGCUAGGGCUAGAGAGAAUGAAAUUAUUGAAACUAAUAAUAUUGAUGAAAGUGAUGAUGAAGAUUCUCCCCCUAGAUAUGAAUUGCCUGUUGUGCCUGAUGAUUAUGUUAUGGAUGAAAAAACUUCUAGAGACUUUCUUGCCUGCAAUGAUAGAAGUGAUCUUAAGAAACUAUUAGCUAAGCUGAAAGAAAAAUCUCUGAAUGCUAGAAUGAAAUAUGACCCUACUUAUGCUACUUCACCUAUCUUUAUUACUGAUAAGGAUUAUGAUUUCUCUGUUGAUCCUGAGAUAAUUACUUUGGUUGAAUCUGAUCCUUUCUAUUGUUAUGAAUCUGAAACUGUUGUGGCACAUCUUACUAAAUUAAAUGAUAUAGCUACCCCGUUCACUAAUGAUGAGAAAACUCGCUACUAUUAUAUCCUUAAAUUAUUUCCAUUCUCAUUAAAGGAUGAUGCUACGAUAUGGUUUAAUUCUCUUGAUCCUGGUUGUGUGCGUAGUCCCCAGGAUAUGAUUUGCUACUUCUCUCCUAAAUAUUUCCCCACUCAUGAGAAACAAGCUGCUUUAAGGGAAAUAUAUAAUUUUGUGCAAAUUGAAGAAGAGAGUCUCCCACAAGCUUGGGGAGGCUUAUCCAAUUACUUAAUGCUUUGCCUGAUCAUCCUCUCAAGAAAAAUGAAGUACUUGAUAUUUUUUAUAAUGGACUAACCGAUGCUUCCAGAGAUUACCUGGUUAGUUGUUCUGGUUGUGUUUUUAGGGAAAGAAUAGUUGAUCAAGCUGAAUUGCUAUUGAAUAAUAUGUUGACUAAUGAAAAUAAUUGGACACUUCCUGACCCAACUCCUAAGCCAAGUCCGAAGAAAAGGGGAAUUCUAUUUCUUAGUCCCAAAGAUAUGCAAGAGGCAAAGAAAUCUAUGAAAGAAAAAGGUAUAAAAGCUGAAGACGUUAAGAAUUUACCUCCUGUUGAAGAAAUACAUGGUCUUAAUUCAUCACCUAUUGAAGAAACACACGGUCUCGAUAGCCCGACACAGGUAGUAAAGGUAAAUUCUCUCUAUAGAUUUGAUGAAGGUGAUAUUCCCCGUAAUAAGUCUGCUAGCCAAUGCUUAGAUGAGUUUGAUAAUUUUAUUGUUAAAUAAUAAAACUUCAAUGCUUAUGUUGGUAGACAAUUGAAACAUAAUGCUUAUAUGAUUGAACACUUGAGUGAUUAUAUGGCCAGUGUUAAAGGUGAACUUAAACUUAUUAGGAAACAUGCUUCUAUGGUUACCACUCAAGUAGAACAAGUACUUAAAGCUCAGAAUGAUUUGCUUAAUGAAUUGAAUAGUAAGAAUAAUGACUUUGCUGUUAGAGUUGCAACUAGAGGAGGUAAAGUGACUCAGGAACCUAUGUAUCCUGAGGGCCACCCUAAGAGAAUUGAGUAGGAUUCUCAGAGAAAUAACAUUGAUGCACCUAGUCCUUCUAAAAGGAAGAGAAAGAAAAAUGAUAGGACUUUGCAUGCUUCUAGUGAACCUAUUGUAGACACACCUGAGAAUCCCAAUGAUAUUUGUAUCUCCGAUGCUGAAACACAAUCUGGUAAUGGACAUGAACCUAGUGAUAAUAUUAAUGAUGAUGUUGAUGUAGAUGCUCAACCUAGUAAUGAUAAUGAUGUAGAAAUUGAACCUACUGUUGAUCUUGAUAACCCAUAAUCAAAGAAUCAACGUUAUGAUAAGAGAGACUUUGUUGCUAGGAAGCACGGUAAAGAAAGAGAACCAUGGGUUCAGAAACCCAUGCCUUUUCCUCCUAAACCAUGCAAGAAAAAGGACGAUGAGGAUUUUGAGCGCUUUGCUGAAAUGAUUAGACCUAUCUUUUUGCGUAUGCGUUUGACCGAUAUGCUUAAAAUGAAUCCUUAUGCUAAGUAUAUGAAGGAUAUUGUUACCAAUAAGAGAAAGAUACCGGAAGCUGAAAUUUCCACCAUGCCUGCUCAUUAUACUUUUAAGUGUGGAAUACCAAAGAAACUUGGAGAUCCAGGAGUACCAACUAUACCAUGCUCCAUUAAAAGAAACUAUGUUAAAACUGCUUUAUGUGAUCUUGGAGCCAGUCUUAGUGUUAUGCCUCUCUCUUUAUAUCGUAGACUUGAUUUGAAUAAUUUGACACCUACUGAAAUAUCUUUGCAAAUGGCUGAUAAAUCAACAGCAAUACAUGUCGGUAUUUGUGAGGAUGUGCCUAUUGUGGUUGCAAACCUUACUAUUUUAAUGGACUUUGUUAUUCUUGAUAUUCCCGAGGACGAUAGUAUAUCUAUUAUUCUUGGAAGACCCUUUUUGAAUACUGCAGGGGCUGUUAUUGAUUGCACCAAAGGCGAUGUCACUUUUCAUGUUAAUGGUAAUGAGCAUACGGUACACUUUCCGAGGAAACAACCUCAAGUCCAUAGUAUCAAUUCUAUUGGAAGAAUUUCAACAAUCACUAUUGGAGGUUUUGAAUUUCCUCUUCCUACUAUCAAGAAGAAAUAUGAUAUUCUUAUUGUUGGGGACAUGCAUAUCCCCGUUGAGGUAACCUAGUGUUAUUCGAAAUUUCUUCGGUUUCAUGUAAUUUGGAAUGAGUUUGUUAAUAAGACUUGAUCAACCUUGUUAGCGGAUUCCUUUUGAUGAGCAUGAGAUGGAUUAAGUUAGAAAGCACAACCUUCAGUACCUUCUUUUUACUUUCUGUUAUUUAUAUUAAAUAAAGUAAAAAUAGAUUUUUUUGUCUAUUUUCUGAAUUAUCCGUGCAAUAAAAAAUACCCAAAAAAUAAAAGUUCUCCAAAUGCCCUAAAAAUUAAAUAUGAUUUUUUCUAGAAUGUUUGAGAAUAUCUGGCACUCAGAACACACCAGGGGGAGCAAGCACCUGGCCACGAGGGUCCAGGGCGUGCCCACCCCCUGGGCGCGCCCCCUGCCUCAUGGGCCCAUGGUGGCUCCCCUCCACUUAUUCCAGUUACUACACACUCCUUCUUCCUCCCAAAAAAAUCACCAACCAGCUCAAGCACGAGUUCUAGCUCAUCUUGCUACCAUUUUCGAUCUCCUGGAUCAAAGCUCCAUUCACAAAACUGCUUUGGGGGAUUGUUCUUUGGUAUGUGACUCCUCCAAUGGUCCAAUUAGUUUUUUUCUAGUGCUUUAUUCAUUGCAAAUUUUUGCUACUUAGGUGACCCUGUUCUUGGGCUUGCAUGUCAGAUUUAUAUGGUCAAAAGUAGUUUUAAUGCAUGAUAUUGCCUCUAGGCACUUGUAGGAGUAGUUGCUAUCAACAUUGUUGAGUUUGGUUCACUUUUAUUUUGAGUUACUGAAAAUUUCGGAAAUUUUCACAAAAAGAUGAAGAGAUUUUUGAGGGGCUCAUAGAGCCGAAGCUCGAAGGAUAAACAAAGUGAAGAGAACAAGAAGCCCAAGUAUAAUCUCCCUCGCACCGCAGAGGUUUGGCCGUGUGAAUGGCCUUGUGAUGAUUUCUUGAGAGCAGCCGGGAUUUAUGAUGAUUUCUAUGAGUUGGCUGAGAAUGCAGGCCUCACCGCCUUCCUCCACGACCAAUGCGAACAAUAUCUCUUACUCACCAAUAUCUUUGUGCAAAACUUUCAUUUCCAUGCUAGGAGAUGUCACUUCGUGAUUUUUGUCGGGUUUGUUUGAUCCCUUUUGAGGGCGGUGUAGAGGAACCACAUCGUGACGAUGUGGAAGGGUUUAUUUAUACAAUUGCUGUAGGGGAAACGAGGAAGGUUUCCGAUGCAAGAAUUACUAGCAUACAUUUUCCUGUUUUACGUUACUUUGCAAUAUUUGCUAGUAGAUACUUAAUUGGUCGCGGAAACUGUGGCAACCUUAGUGCCCCUGAUAUUUUUAUUUGGUGCCAUGCCUUUUUCCGUGAUGACACAUUUAGUAUGGGCGCUAUUGUUGCAAAGCGGUUAAAUCUUAACCGUACUAAGGGCCCCAUCUUGGGAGGUAUCUUUGCCUCGCGCCUCGCUGCACACUUUAACAUACCUAUUAGGCAUUAUGAGAAGUAAGAGAAGUUGUUGCCUCCUGUUUUUCUAGACUAUAAGAGUAUGGUAUCACAUGAUUUUAUUGUUAAGAAUAAGGAAAAGAUGCUUAAGUACAAGCUGAUUUUUGAUAAAAAUCACCCUCAGACUAUCACUUUACCUGCUCCUUCCUUGUUUGACUUAUCUGCAGGCAAGUACCUUGUUCCGCCGGAGGCCAUUCACGCCUACCGAAACACCACACCAGCUACAGAGCCAGAGCCGGAACCACAAUUUGACCCUCACCGACAGUCUGUUUAUCAGUGGAAUCCAGAAGAGAUCGCCAACCAGUGGCACCAAGGGGAUCCUUCUUAGUAUGACCCCAACUAUAAUUUCGGAUAUCCGCCAGGCCAGCCAUGGCCAUAGACCAACUUAGGCCAAAAGCCUAAGCUUGGGGGAGUACGUAUUUCUCACCGACAUUUCAUUAUAAUAUCCAUACUAGUUUAUUUUCAUUUUCUCACUUUCUUCUUGUGUGUUUAAUAAACCUUAGGAAAAAAACAAAAAAUUAGUUGUAGCUUUUAGUUAGUUUACUUUCCAUGCCUGUAGUAGUAGUAAUUAAAAAGAAAACCCAAAAAGAUUUCUCAUUUUUCUUUUGCUUGUCAGGAGCUUUCGUGUGUAAAUAGUUUUGUUUGUUUUCCUUCCUUUGGGGGUCGAGAGGAGAAGACCAUAAUGAAAAUGUUGAGUGGCUCUCAUAUGCAUUAUUGUUGAUCUAACAAAGAGCCCAUAUUACCUUGUCUUCUCUCUUGAAUUGAAUGCUUGCAGAUUCCAUCUUAGUCUAAUGCAUGUGCACUAUUAUUAUUAUCCACACUAUUCGGUCGUGCAAGUGAAAGGCAAUAAUGAUGAUUAUAUGAUGAAUUGAUUGAGAUGAGAAAAGCUGGUAUGAACUCGACCUGUCUUGUUUUUGUAAAUAUGAUUAUUUCAUCGUUCCUGAUUCGGCCUAUUAUGAAAGAAACAGGUUUGCAAUGACAAUUAGAGAUUGUAGUUGCUUAUGCCAUGCUUAAUUAGCUAGGAGCUUAUAAUGAUUUACCUUGCAUGCCAACAUGCUAUUAAAAUGGUUGUGAUGUGGUAUGAUAGGGUGGUAUCCUCUUUUGAACGAUUCGAGUGGCUUGACUUGGCACAUGUUCACAUAUGUAGUUGAAACAAAAUCAACAUAGCCUCUAUGAUAUUAAUGUUCAUGGUGCAUUAUAUCCUACUCAUGCUUGCAUUCGGUGUUGAUUAAUUUUAAUGCAUGUUCAUGGCUGUUGUCGCUCUCUAGCUGGUCACUUCCCAGUCUUUUUCUAGCCUUCACUUGUACUAAGCGGGAAUACUGCUUGUGCAUCCAAUUCCAUAAACCCCAAAGUUGUUCCAUAUGAGUCCACCAUACCUACCUAUAUACGGUAUCUACCUGCCGUUCCAAGUAAAUUAUUAUGUGCCAAACUCUAAACCUUCAAAUAAACAUUCUAUUUUGUAUGCUCGAAUAGCUCAUGUAUCAACUAUGGUUGUCUAUAUCUUCCAUGCUAGGCGGGUUAUUCUCAAGAGGAGUGGACUCCGCUCCUCACUCCCGAGAAAAUGGCUGGUCACGGGGAUGCCCAGUCCCAUGCUUUAUGCAAAUCAAAUCAAAAUAACUGCAAACAAAACUCCCCCGGGACUCUUGUUAGUUGGAGGCACUCAUUGUUUUGAGCAAGCCAUGAAUUGAUGCUUGUUGGUGGAGGGGGACUAUAAACUUUGCCAUUCUGUUUGGGAACCGCCUAUAAUGUGUGUAGCAUGGAAGAUAUCGAGAUCUCUCGGUUGUUAUGUUGACAAUGAAAGUAUACUGCUCAAAAUAUUAUUCAUAUCUAUUUCAAAAUCGAGCUCUGGCACCUCUACAAAUCCCUGCUUCCCUCUGCGAAGGGCCUAUCUAUUUACUUUUAUGUUGAUUUAUCAUCCUCUUAUUAAAAAGCACCAGUUGGAGAGCACGCCCUACCCCCCUGGGCGCACCCCCUGCCACGUGGGCCCCCUGACGCUCCACCUACCUCAACUCUAACUCCAUAUAUUCACUUUUGGGAAAAAAUCAGGGAGAAGGAUUCAUCGCAUUUUACGAUACGAAGCCUCCGCCAAGCCCUAAACUCUCUCGGGAGGGCUGAUCUGGAGUCCGUUCGGGGCUCCGGAGAGGGGAAUCCAUCGCCAUCGUCAUCAUCAACCUUCCUCCAUCACCAAUUUCAUGAUGCUCACCGCCGUGCGUGAGUAAUUCCACCGUAGGCUUGUUGGACGGUGAUGGGUUGUAUGAGAUUUAUCAUGUAAUCGAGUUAGUUUUGUUAGGGUUUGAUCCCUAGUAUCCACUAUGUUCUGAGAUUGAUGUUGCUAUGACUUUGCUAUUCUUAAUGCUUGUCACUAGGGCCCGAGUGCCAUGAGUUCUUGAUCCUAUCUUGCAAGUCUAUAGUCACCUAUUAUGUGUUAUGAUCCGUUAACCCCGAAGUGACAAUAAUCAUGAUAUUUACCGGUGAUGACCGUAGUUUGAGGAGUUCAUGUAUUCACUAUGUGUUAAUGUUUUGGUCUGGUACUCUAUUAAAAGGAGGCCUUAAUAUCCCUAAGUUUCCAAUAGUACCCCACUACCACGGGAGGGUAGGACAAAAGAUGUCAUGCAAGUUCUUUUCCAUAAGCACGUGUGACUAUACUCGGAAUACAUGCCUACAUUACAUUGAUGAACUGGAGCUAGUUCUGUGUCACCCUAUGUUAUGACUGUUACAUGAUCAAACGUAUCCGACAUAAUUGUCCAUCACCGAUCCAAUGCCUACGAGCUUUUCUUAUAUUCUUCUUCGCUUAUUUACUUUUCCGCUGCUACUGGUACAAUCACUAUAAAACCCAAAAAUAUUACUUUUGCUACCAUUACCUUUUGCCAUCGUUACCACUACUAUCAUAUUACUUGGCUACUAAAUACCUUGCUGUAGAUAUUAAGUUUCCAGGUGUGGUUGAAUUGACAACUCAGCUGCUAAUACUUGAGAAAAUUCUUUGACUUCCCUUGUGUCGAAUCAAUAACUUUGGGUUGAAUACUCUACCCUCGAAAACUGUCGCGAUCCCCUAUACUUGUGGGUUAUCACACAUCUAAGUCUAACAUACGUCCUGUGCAUAGGCAUAUUAUAGGAAAACAAAUUAUCAAGGCAAGCAAAAACUCUCAUAUGCAAGGAAGCGGAACGAAACAAUAGCAAUCUCAACAUAACGAGAGGCAAUUUAGUAACAUGAAAAUUUCUACAACCAUAUUUUCCUCUCUCAUAAUAAGUACAUGUAGGAUCAUAAGCAAAUUCAACAAUUAAUAUAGCUAUCACAAAACAUAUUCUUAACAAAAUCCACAUGUAUGAAAAGUUGACACUUCCAAAAUAGUGGGAUUAAAAAUAACUAAAGUCAUGACCUCUCCAAACACACUUCUAUCAAAAACUUCAUAAGAUUGAACAUUCUCCAAAUAUGUGGGAUCUAAAGUUGACACUCUUCCAAACCCACUUUCAGUAAUAUUGCAAACACCAUUAUCAAUAUCAUAUUCAUCAUGGGGCUUAAAUAAACUUUCAAGAUCAAAAGAAGUAUCACCCCAAUCACGAUCAUUGCAACAAAUAGUAGUCAUAGCAAAACUAGCAUCCCCAAGCUUGAGGUUUUGCAUAUCAUUGACAUAAUUGACAUUAAGAGCUUUUAUGAUAACAUCAUUGCAAUCAUGCUUUUCAUCGAAGGAACUAUCAAGUAUGGGUGCAAUAGCAACGAUCUCAUGUUUAACAUAGGGAACUAUAGAAAACUCAUCUUCAUAAAUAUUGGUAUCAUGGCCACAAGAAUAGCAAGCAUCAUGUUCAUCAAGGGAUAUUUCAAUCAAAUCAUCGGAAUCAUAAUUAUCUAUAGAUUCAUGCAUAUCAUUAUUUUCUUUCGAAGUAAUGGUCAUUUUUUCAAUGAAUUCCUUGACAUAGACAUUAUGAGCAUAGUUUUCAUGGCAAUAUUAUGUCAAAAUUUUCAGAUACAUAGAGAGUGAUAUCAUACUUUUCAAUCAAAGAAGCAACUUCAUAGGCACCCUUAGAAGCAACAAAUUCUUCAACUUGUUCCAUAUCAUAGUAACUAUAAACACCCUUUGCAUAAGAAGAUAAGAUUUCAUUACCAUUAAACUCACAUAGGUAGGGGAGGUGUUUUUUAGCGUUCCUAGAGCAACAAGUAAGAUCACAAAUUUCACAAAGAUUCCAAGCAUAACAUAGCAAUCUCUUUAUUUGAUCCCAUAAGAGUCUCCCUUUUUCAGACAAACGGUGAAAGCACAAAAUGAGCAUGCUCAUCUAAAGAUUUCCUAGCACAAGCGCAUAAGGGUCAAAGAUGAUCCAAGUAGAACACUUUAAGUGGAUCCAUAUCAAUAGAUUUUUAGCAAGCAAAGAUGCAAGCAAAUAGAAGGCACAUGGAAACACAAACAAAGAUACAUAGGGUAAGAAGGCUAAGAAAAGGCAAAGGUGAAGUGGGGAGAGGAAAACGAGAGGCAAAUGGCAAAUAAUGUAAUGCGAGGGAUAAAAGUUUGUGAUGGGUACUUGGUAUGUCUUGACUUGUGAGUAGAUCUCCCCGGCAACGGCGCCAGAAAUCCUUGUCGCUACCUCUUGAGCACUGCGUUGGUUUUCCCUUGAAGAGGAAAGGGUGAUGCAGCAACGUAGCGUAAGUAUUUCCCUCAUUUUUUGAGAACCAAGGUAUCAAUCCAAUAGGAGACUACACGCAAGUCCCUUGUACCUACACAAACAAAUAAGAACCUCACAACCAACAUGAUAAAGGGGUUGUCAAUCCCUUCAUAGUCACUUAUGAGAGUGAGAUCUGAUAGAGAUAAUAAUAAUAAGAUAAAUAUUUUUUGUAUCUUUAUGAUAUAGAUUGAAAGUAAAGAUUGAAAGGUAAAAUAGAUUGGAAAUUUAUAAGAUAAAAGAUAGACCCGGGGGCCAUAGGUUUCACUAGUGGCUUCUCUCAAGAUAGCAUAAGUAUUACAGUGGGUGAACAAAUUACUGUCGAGCAAUUGAUAGAAAAGUGCAUAAUUAUGAGAAUAUCUAGGCAUGAUCAUGUAUAUAGGCAUCACGUCCGUGUAGCGAUCCAACCUCAAACAGUUGAAUCUCUGUGCAUAAGUGUCAUCCCUGGGUCGGUAAUGCUGACACACACAAUACUUCGAAGGAUUUAUAACAGAGUGGAAAUCACACACUUAUUACAUCGAUAGUCUCAAAAGAGAACUUAUUAUAGUAAAUAUGGCUUAAGGCCAUCUAAAUAAGAUAACAUCGGAAGGCUUGGAAGAUAAAGUGAGUCCAUCAACUACAACGACAUAGCUGAGUGCACGACAACGACCUAGCGCACCUUACUCUUCAUCUGAAAAGUCUGCAACAUGAUAUGUUGCAGCCCAAAAUAGGUCAGCACAUGGAAUAUGCUGGCAAGUUAACAUGGUAGAGCAAUGAAACAAGUAAAAGCUAUCACUACAUGAAUAUAUGGCUGGUGGAGGCUCUAUGGAUAUAAUGUUUUUGCGAAAAGCCAAUUUUUUCCUACAACAAAGGAAUAUAUUUUAUUUAACUAUCAUGGUAGUUGAAAAAAACAUUGAGAAUGGUAAAACCCCAUCUCAAUCCCAAUUAAAAGUAAUUAACAUCCCAACAAAUUUAAUUUAGGGUGAUGAGAUCCACAGGAUAAUCCAAGAACCAGAUACUCAAGAUGUCCUUAACCGGGGACACGGCUAACCAUGAUUAGUUUGCACACUCUCUAGAGGUUUGCGCACUUUUCCCCACAAGACUCGAUCUCCUCCAUUGGAUUCCUCACACUAUGAUAUGUCUCCAACAUAUCUAUAAUUUAUGAAGUAUUCAUGCUAUUAUAUUAUCAACCUUGGAUGUUUUAUAUGCAUUUAUAUGAUUUUUGGGACUAACCUAUUCACCUAGUGCCCAGUGCCAGUUUCUAUUUUUUCCUUGUUUUUUAGUUUUACAGAAAAAGGAAUAUCAAACAGAGUCCAAUUGACAUGCCAAUUUUUGAUGAUUUUUUAUGGACCAAAAGAAGACCCUGUAGUAAAAGAGUUGGGCCAGAAGAGUCCCACGGCGUCCACGAGGGUGGGGGGCGUGCCCGCCCCCCAGGCGCGUGGGCCUGCCUCGUGGACACCUAUGGCACCUCCUUGACGUGAAACCGACGGCAAAAAUUCCUAUAGAUACAGAAACCUCGGAAAAUUAACCUAGAUCGGGAGUUCCGCUGGCUGAAGCCUCCGUAGCCACUGAAAACCAAUCUAGGCCCUCUCUGGCACCCUGCCGAAGGGGGCCAUCAUCACCGGAGGGCAUGGAGGAGGAUCCCGGAGGGGACAUUAUCGUCAUGAAGGCCAAGGACCAGAGGAAGAACCUCUCCCCAUCAAGGGGGAGGCCAUGGAGGAAGCACAAGGGGAAGAACAUCUCCUCCUCUCUCUUGGUGGCACCGGAGUGCCAUCCGGACGGGAAUCAUCGCCGCGGUGAUCGUCUUCAUCAACAUCACCAUCCUCAUCUCUUUUACGUGGUCCACUCUCCCGCACCCCGCUGUAAUCCCUGCGUGAACAUGGUGCUUUAUGCCACAUAUUAUGAUCCAAUGAUGUGUUGCCAUCCUAUGCCUCAUAUCUUUUGUCUUUGGGUUGAUUGAUGAUCUAGAUUGGGAUGAGUUGUAUGUUUUACUUUGAUGAUGUCCUAUGGUGCCCUCCGUGUCGCGCAAGUGUCAGGAGUUCCCGCUGUAGGGUGUUGCAAUACGUUCAUGAUUCACUUAUAGUGGGUUGGUGAGUGACUAAAACACAAACCGGAGUAAGGGGGUUGUUGCGUAUGGGAAUAAAGAGGACUUGAUGCUUUGAUGCUAUGGUUGGGUUUUACCUUAAUGAUCUUUAGUAGUUGCGGAUGCUUGCUAGAGUUCCAAUCAUAAGUUCAUAUGAUCCAAGUAGAGAAAGUAUGUUAGCUUAUGCAUCUCCCUCAUAUGAAACUGCAAUAGUGAUUACCGGUCUUGUUAACGACUGCCUAGAACAAUUCCGCACACCGAUCCACCAUUAUUCCACACUCUCUAUUUAUAAUAUUUAGUAAUAUAUUCUAACUUUAUGAUAACAGCACCUACUUUUAUAUUUUAGCUCUCCGAUAUCAUACAAAGUUAUCCUCUUCAUACCCACAACAUAGUUUUAUUUCUCGUUGCUAGUUGGAAGCAAACGUUCGGUGUAUGUAGAGUCGUAUCAGUGGCAGAUAGGACUUGAGAGAAUAUUGAUCUUACCUUUAGCUCCUUGUGGGUUCAACACUCCAUACUUAUCACUUCCACCUUUUGAAAUUUCUAUGAUGAUUCCUUGCACUUGGGGAUUAUCACACUCUUUUCUGGCGCCGUUGCCAGGGAGCAAUAGCGUGGGGUUGAUAUUCUCGUGUGUGCUUGUUUGCUUUCUUCACUAAGUAAUUUUUUUCCUUUUUUUUGUGUUUUAGUUGUGGGUGAAAUAUGCAAAAAAAUUAAAAGAAUGAAAAUACCAAAAAAAUUACUUGCCUCUCAUGCCUAAAAAGUUUUUCAAAAAGAGAAGUGAUUGGAAAGUUAUGCAUUGAAGAAGUGAGGGUCGACCUUGAGCACUUUUGUUCAUGCUCACGGAAACAAUGUAGAAUUUUUCAUGGAAAUUUAUCUGUAAAUAAUUAUCGCCUUAUAUAUAUCCAUUAUAUUAUAAAAAUAAUGUGCCAAGCUUUGGUUUUAGAAUGAUUAGAUUGCUUGUUCACUAUGUGCAGAACAAAAACAGAAACUUUGGCUAUAGCGCGUGAUUUUACAUUAUUUAAUGGAAAGUCAAAUGGGUCUGAAAUUUCUUGCACAUUACUUCUGUAUAAAUUUUUCAAAUUUUAAAAUUUAUUUCAUAAUUUAUUGAGUUACAGAAGUUUGCUAAAGCUCCAUAUUACUAUAGACUGUCCUGUUUUAGACAGAUUAUGUUUUCUAUGUGUUGUUUGCUUAUUUGGAUGAAUCUAUGAGUAGUAUCGGAGGGUAUGCACCAUGUAUGAGUUGGAAUACAGUAGAUAUUACACCAAUAUGAAUUUAUAAUGAGUUCACAACAGUACCUAAAGGUAGUGAUUUGCUUUAUUAUACCAACGGAUCUCACAAAGUUGUUGUUAAAGUUUUGUGUGGAUGAAGUGUUCAAAGAACGAGGAGUUACCGAUGUGAGAAGAAUAAAGAUAGGAAAGAGCUAAAGCUUGGGAAUGCCCAAGGCAACCCAAGUAAAUAUUCUAAGGAUACUCAAGCAUCUAAGCUUGGGGAUGCCCCGGUUGUCAUCCCAUCUUUCUUCUUCAACAAAUUAUCGGUACACCUCGGUUUUUGUUUUGUUCACAUGAUGUGUGCCCUUUGUGUUUUUAUUUUUCUUUUAGAACCAUGCUAGUAUGAGAUGUCCCUUCAUCAAUUUAUAGAAUACUUCAUGUGCUUCACUUAUAUCUUCUAAGUAUGAUCUUACAGAAUUUCUCUCUGAGCUUCACUUAAAUCUUUUGAGUAUGGUUUUAUAGAAUGCUUCGUGCACUUCACUUAUAUAUUUUGAACUUUGAUAUUGGUUAGUCUAUAUUAAUUGUAGAAUUAUCCAUGAACUUCACUUAUAUCUUUUGGAGUAUGAAUAACACUAUCAUCUAAAGCGGGUUUGGAAGAGGGUCAACUUUAGGAAUUAGUGAUCCCGCUAUGCCGAAUGAGGAGAAUUUUGCUUAUAUGGAGAGUAGUAAAAUUUCUAUGCUCAUAGAUCAUGAAAAGAAUGCUUUAUGUGAUGGUUAUAUUGGUGAACUCAUUCAUGAUGCUACUGAAAAUUAUUAUGAGGGAGGAAUACAUGCUUAUAGGAGUUGCAAUAAUAUCAAUUUUCCUCUCUAUGUGGUUAAAAUUUUGAAGUUAUACUUGUUUUGCCUUCCUAUCCUAGUUCAUUCUUGUUCCUAUAAAUUGUGUGCUCACAAAAUCCCUAAGCAUAGGAAGUUGGUUAGGUUUAAAUGUGCUAGUCAUAUUCUUCAUGAUGCUCUUUUUAUGCUUCAAUUAUUAUCUUUUAUGUGAGCAUAAUUGAAAUCAUCAUGCCUAGCUAAAAGGCAUUAAAGAAAAGCGCUUGUUGGGAGACGACCCAAUAUUUCCCCUUACUCUUUUUGUGUGUUUACAUGAUUAAGUUGUUGUUGUAAUCAUGUUUUACAGCUUUUGUUUCAAUAAAGUGCCAAGUAAGCUGCUGUAGUAAUCAUGUUUUACAGCUUUUGUUUCAAUAAAGUUAUUGUGAUCUUGCUGUAAAAAACAGAAACUUUGCACUCACGAGAUUGGCUGCCAUUUUUUACAGAAGAGUGCUUUGGUGCUGAUUAUUUUUUCAGAAUAUUAAUAGACAAAUUACUCACGUCCACCAAUUUAUUUCAUAAUUGUUUGAGUAGAAGAAGUAUGGUUAGUGUUCGGAUCAUUACAGACUAUUCUGUUUCUGACAGAUUCUGUUUUCAUUGCAUAGCUUGCUUGUCUUCUAGUUUAUAUGACUUAUAUUUCUCAAUAUAAAUUGUAGAAAUGAUAUGUUACAGUAGGCAUUGUGUGAGAACAAUUAUGAACCUUGUCUUUGACAGUACCAAAGUGAAUUGUUUACUAUUUAUCAUACUAACCUAUCUCACGAAGUUCCGUUAAGUUUUGUGUGAUUGAAGUUUUCAAGCUUUGGGUGAGAUAUCGAUAUGAGGAGAAUAAGGAGUGGAUAGACCCUAAGCUUGGGGAUUCCAAAGGAACCCCAAGGUAAUAUUCAAGAUAGACCCUAAGCUUGGGGAUGCCCCGGAAGGCAUCCCCUCUUUCGUCUUCAAAACUAUCGGUAUACCUUACUCGGAGCUAUAUUUUUAUUCGUCACAUGAUAUGUGUUUUGCUUGGAGCGUAUUUUAAAUUUUACUUUAUGUUUGAAUAAUAUCAUUGGAUCUGAAUUUUUAAAUGCAAAAUAAUCCUCCCAUGGCUAGUUAUUUGUUUGACUACUCAAUGUCCUUCACUAUUACACUACUAGAAAAAGGCCUACUAGUGGUGGUGCGCCAUUAGUAAAAAAUACUAGUGGCGCACCUGUAGUGCGCCAUUAGUAUGCCUAGAGGUGCGCCAUUACUAUCUGACUUAGUAAUGGCGCACCACAUAGAAGUGCACCAUUAGUAAUAAUUUUUUUAAUUUUUUCUUAAUCUCAGGUCAAAUCGCACUCCGUGGUCAAACUUCCCGAAAGGUCACCCAUCCUCACACUACUCCAGCCCAAGCACGCUUAACUUCAGAGUUCUAUCCAACCCCAGCACCAGCUCACUUCACAGGUACUUGUUGAUAUAUCUAGCAUAUCAAUCCUAUUAAACCUUUUUGAUGUUUAGGACUUUGUUCAUGUUCAUGAGUGUGAUGAAAUUUUGAAAAUAUAUUUCAAACUUCCAUUCAUAUUACGUAUCAUAUCUUGAAAAAAUUUCCCAAAAAAAAAUCAAAACUAUUUUUUUCUGUUACUAGUGGCGCACCUAGCAUACGGUGCUGUAACAUCCCAAAUUUUCAAUUUGGAAUGUUAUACAUUAGAUCAUCAUUGCAUAUCAUAUUUUAUUGCUUUUCUGGUUGAUCCUAGAAAUUCUACGCAACUGAAGGACCCUCGGAGAGAGUUGGGGAUUUCGUUAUUUUCAUAUUUGAGUUUUCUCAAAUUUUGAAAUAGGGAUCAUUUGAUUUUAUUUACUUUAUCUUCAAUUAUUUUUAUAAUCAAAAUAUGAGAGAGGGAAUAAAAUGACUUUCCCAAAAUAAGGAAAUAUUGAGGAUUUAGUAAAAAAAUCAAAUAAGAUUUUAUUUUGGUUUUAUUUGCUAUUUUAUUUGAAUUUAGGAAAAAUUGCACGUUUUCAAAAAUUGCAUUUAGAGCCAAAAAAAUGUUCAUCCUGUUCUAAAUAUUUUAUUUAGACGGAGUUUUUUUUGGCAUUUACAGAUUUUUAUUUAUUUUUCUAGAUUUUUUUGGCAGCGAAAUUGUUAAAAAAAACCCCGUGCCCGACUGGGCCAAGGGCCGAGCAGGCCGGCCAGCCAGCCGCCGCCUCCAGCCGAUCGGGACCGGAGUCUUGAUCACCGCCGCCACCGUGUCCGGGGAGGACACGCCUCCCGAGGCCGACCCCUCCACCAAGUCGACCUCCCCCGCCCCGUUUAUAACCGCCGCCACCCCCCUUGCAACCCCACACCGCCGCCCCACCGCCCGCACUGCCCGGAGUCGCCGCGGCGCCGCUUGCCGCGCCGCCCGGAGCCACCGCCCCUCCGCCGGAGAGCCUCCGCCGCCGAGGUAGCCGCCGGCCGGUUUUUGAAAAAAAAACGAUUCGGUUUUUUUUAAAACCCUAGUUUCCAUUUUUUUUAAUAAAUAGAUCGGUUUUUUCCGGUUUAUUUAUUUAGCGACCGCCCAUUCGUCCGUUCGUUUUAACGAACACGUUUUUCAUUUAGUUUCUGUUAACGAAUGUUUGUUCGUUAAUUGUUCGUCGUUUUUCUUUUUAUCGGAUUAAAUCCACUGUUUUUCUGAUCGCGAUCUCUGAUCCGAUGUUCGUUCUAUUUUAUCUUUUCGCUUGUUUAUCGGAAUCAGGCGAUUCAAGCGCCUGGAGUUUCGUCUCGAAACCCUCUUUUUGUUUAACCAACUCAAACAAGUUUUUGCCACUGAAAAAAAUUUCCUUAGAUCUAGAAUAGUAAAUGAAGCUUGUUUCUUUUGCCGUUUGUCUUUCGUUGCUUCGUUCCUUUUGGUUCUUUUUGAUAACCAGAGUUCUUAAGUUGAACUUUCUGGUUAGAUCUUUUUUUCGAGUUUUACCUGUGCAUUAGUUGAGUAAUUAUUGUGUGCUUGUUUGUUUGCGAUAGAGUACCCGGAGUGCGCCGCUUGCUACUUCGAAUCGCUAGGUUUCCCGAAUCAUCAGCAAGGCAAGUAACACUUUGAUCAUACCUCCUACUAACCAGUUUUAUUGCAUUAGAUCAAUCCUCACACAUUGCAUGAUUAGGAUCUAAUUAAAUCGUGGGUUUGGGGAGUAGUUGAGGUAGAACCUAUUACCUGUUUAUUAUCAAACCUUUGGGAGUUACUAUACGUUUGCUUAUUAUUGCUAUGCUAUGCCAGUGGACGUGGAUUCGGUGAGUGUAUCCAUGAUAGAUGUGAGCUUUGUUAAUUAAUGGUUUAUUUAAGGUGGCAACCUAAACACACAUCUGGGUGGAUUGAGGCACCUGGGUAUUCCAGCGAUUGCCUGUUUUCUUUUGGACCGCCACCCAGGCUCAAAGGAUCAUGAGAUUAUUCAUGCUAGAAACUUCCGUGUGCAGCCACAAGCUACUAUGGGCUCUAGCAUAGUUGACUAUGUUGUGCGAACUCUUAUUGUGGUAGACUAGCAGAUGUAGGGGAUGUAGGUUGGUACGGUCUACCCGUUCGUAAGGUGCUAGCGCUUCUGAAAGACUAUGUCUCGGUCAUCCGUUUGUCAAACACCAUGCAGUGCGAGAAAACCAACAGAGGAGAUCGAGUCUUGUGGGGAAAAGUGCGCAAACCUCUGCAGAGUGUAUAAACUAAUCAUGGUUAGCCGUGUCCCCGGUUAUGGACAUCUUGAGUAUCUAGUACCUGGAUUAUCAUGUGAAUCUCAUCAUGUUACUCUAAAGUUAAUUGUUGGGUUUUUAAUGAUGAUGCUUAAUUGGGAUUGAGAAUGCUGUCAACCAUUCUCAAUGUUUAACAACUACCAUGAUAGUUAAAUAAAAUUUAUUCCUUUGCAGUAGGGGAAAAUUGGCUUUACGCAAAACUGUAACCAUAGAGCUUUCCACCAGCCAUAUAUGCAUAUAGAAUAGCCAUAUUCUUGUAUUACUCUCUAUGUGUUACUUUGCCAGCAUAUUCCAUGUGCUGACCCGUUUCGGGCUGCAACGUUAAUGUUGCAGACUUUUCAGACAAUGAUUAAGGUGCUUUAGGUCGUGGUUCUAUACUCAGUGAUGCCGCUGGAGUUGAUGGACUCACUUAUCUUUCAAGCCUUCCGUUGUUAUCAUUAUUAGAUGGCCCUAAGACGUAUUUAUUGUAAUAAGUUCUCUUUUAAGACACUCGAUGUAAUAAGUGUGUGAUUGCUACUCUGUUAUAAAUCCUUCAAGUAUUGUGUGGUGUCAGCAUUACUGAUCCAGGGAUGACACCGGAGCAAAGAGAUUGGACCGUUUGAGGUUUGGUUGCUACAAGAUGGUAUCAGAGCACACGCUGACUGUAGGAUGCGACCACUAAGCUAAAGCCCUAGAUCACUACUUACUCUUCUCCUUCUGACCUCUCAUCUUUUCUAGUCUUUUAGGAUGGCGGAUGCAAGGAACAAGUUCAUACAACCGGAUGAAGAUACACCCUUUGGACGUCACUUGAAGGAAGUCACUAGGUACCUGAACAUAGGAGUACCAAGCUUCACCGGAACCUACAACGCCACAUUACCUAAAGAAGGGCACUGGAUGAUUCAAGUUCAAGUUCUAGGAAGGACGUUCAUGCCAAUCACUGAGCCCAUAGAGUUUUCUUUUGAUGCACCAACUUGGAGUCUAGGAAAGAGCAUGGAAGCUCACAUCGCCAUGGGAUGCAUUGGAGAAGUUUACCGCAAUGAUCUCAAGGAUACUAUCUACCAGAUUUGUGGGCGCCGAGAUGAGCACUGGGAGAUGAUCAGCACCAGGAAGGAUAGAUCAAUUGCAGCUUUUAUCCAGGAGUUAAACCAGCACAUUCGACGUCAGGAGAACCAGAUGUGCGCAGACCUGAUAGAUCUAAAGAAGGCGAGGACAAGAAUCAAGGAACUGGAGGAAGAACUCAAUGCUACAUGUGAAGAUUAUGAAGAGAAAUCGAAGUAUUAGUGAAAAAGAAUGACGAUCUGAUCAAGAAGAUUGGAAUAUUCAUGGGAGACCCUACACCAGUAGAAGAAGACGAAGAACCCAAGGAGAUUCACCCAGAAGACUACAUCAUCAUCGACGACACCGACUCGGAUCCAGAUGAUAGCGAUGAUGACUUUGUUGAUGAAGCUGGUGUAGAUAUCAUGGAGUCUGCAACCGAAGAGUAUUUCUAGUAGACCACUCCAACAGUAGUAGUGGUCCACCAUGUAAAUAUAGUAGUCCGAGCACUUUUGCGAUAGUUAGAUCGAUUGUAUGCCCUUGUUUGAUUGAUUGAAUGAAGUGAAUUGUUUGCUUUUGCCUCAUGUGCAUAUGGGUAGUGUUUUCUCUUUAGACCCCCUUUAUUCUUAAAUCUCAUAUUUUCUAAACCCUCAAAUGCCUCCGAGAUGUGACCCCGGAUUUACCUUCCCACCGGAGUUCACUCAGUUGAUCUAGCAGCAGAACACAUUGAUGCAGUUACUAGUCCAGAAUUAGAAUCAGGGGAACAACAACAACAACCCACCACCACCUGUUGAACACUUAGCCCGUUUUCUUAGGCUGAAUCCGCCUGUGUUUUCUAGUAGAACCGAGCCGAUAGUAGCAAAUGAUUGGCUCCGCAAGACAGCAAGAGAGUUGACCACGGCAGGAUGCAUAGAUGCGGAAAAAGUGAAGUUUGUCGCACAUCAGCUGGAAGGACCCGCAGCAUCAUGGUGGGAAAAUUUCACAGCCACUUUCCCUGUCGACACUGUCACGGGGGACCAGUUUCAGCAAGCUUUUCGUACUGCCCAUGUUUCAGCAGGAGCUAUGGCCAUGAAGAAGCGAGAGUUUCACAACUUGCGCCAAGGAGGACGGACAGUUGGCCAGUAUGUGGAGGACUUUAGUAAGCUAGCACGUUAUGCCCCAGAUGACGUUGCUACGGAUGCAGCUAAGAAGGAGAAGUUUCUGGAAGGACUGAAUGAUGAGUUGAGCAUGCAGUUGAUGGUAGCAUCCUUCAAAAACUACCAGGAGUUGGUAGAUCGUGCUCUCAUGAUUGAAGGGAAGCAACAGCAGAUCGAGAACCGCAAGAGGAAGUAUGGACAAGGGAAGUACAAUUCUGGAGCUCAGCAGAAGCCACGUUUUACCCCUAGACCGGGAGGACAUUUCCAGCAUACCCAUGGAGGAGGUAGCUCGCACAAUCACAAUGGACCCAAGACUAGUAAUGGGAAUGGAGGAAGCAACGGCCAGAACUGCACCAACCCAUCAACCCCAGCCAAAAAAGACCUGAGCCAAGUCACUUGUUUUAGGUGCCAGAAGACCGGACAUUAUGCCAACGAAUGUCCUGAAUCACAGAAUGGAAAUGGCAAUGGAAGCUCUGGGAAGAAUACGAACCCUUUCAACAGGGGACAGGUGAACCACGUUAACGUGGAGGAGGUUGAACAGCAGCCGGAUGCAGUAAUCGGUAAGUUUUUGGUUAAGUUAUUUACUACACUCGUUCUUUUUGAUACUGGUGCAUCGCAUUCAUACAUAUCAAGGGGAUUUGUGGAUAAGUAUAAACUGCCAACCCAAGCCCUUAGGUAACUCAUGUUAGUAACCUCGCCUGGAGCAGAGUAUAUGGCUAGUCUAUGGUGUGAUCGGUUACCAUUAAGGAUUGGUAACUAUGUAUUUCGCUCAGACCUAAUAGUGUUGGAAUCUCAAGGAUUGGAUGUGAUAUUAGGCAUGGAUUGGUUGUCAAAGUAUGAAGAUAAUAUUGAAUGUGCCAGUAAGUCAAUUUUGCUUACCACCCCAGAAGGAAGAAGGAUCAAGUAUGUAUCACGGCAUGUGCGAAAAAGGACUCAAGUAAAUUGCCUAACAGGAGUGGUGCAGGAGGAAGUACCAAUAGUGAAGGAUUUCCCUGAUGUAUUUCCAGAGGAAUUGCCAGGCAUGCCACUGGAUAGACAUAUUGAGUUUUCGAUUGAACUUUUGCCAGGCAUAGGGCCAAUAUCAAAGAGACCAUAUAGGAUGCUCACAAAGGAUUUGGUGGAGAUUAAGAAGCAGAUUAAGGAGUUACUGGAUAAGGGUUAUAUUCGCCCAAGUUCUUCACCUUGGGGAUCGCCAGUACUGCUAGUAGAAAAGAAGGAUGGAUCGUUAAGGAUGGUUGUUGAUUAUCGAGGAUUGAAUGAAGUAACCAUCAAGAACAAGUACACACUACCAAUGAUCAAUGAUCUAUUUGAUCGAUUGCAAGGAGCUAAGGUAUUUUCCAAGAUUGAUCUGUGAUCAGGAUACCACCAGUUGAAGAUUCAAGAACAAGAUAUACCUAAGACGGCUUUUACCACCAGGUAUGGGCUGUACGAGUAUACCGUUAUGUCAUUUGGUCUGACUAACGCACUAGCAUAUUUCAUGAACAUGAUGAACAAGGUGUUUAUGCAGUUUCUGGAUAAAUUCAUGGCAGUGUUCACUGAUGAAAUCCUGGUUUACUCAAAGAAUGAAGAGAAGCAUAAGGAGCAUUUGCGUUUGGUGCUUGGUAAACUCAGAGAACAUCAAUUAUAUGCCAAGUUUGGCAAAUGUGAGUUUUGGUUGAAGGAAGUUGGAUUUCUCGGACACGUUAUAUCCGGAGAAGGUAUAGCAGUAGAUCCCACUAAAGUUGAUACCGUGACCAAUUGGGAAGCACCAACAACAGUUGGAGAGAUUCGGAGUUUUCUUGGACUCGCAGGAUACUACCGGAGAUUCAUAGAGAAUUUCUCAAAGAUUGCGGAGCCAAUGAUGGAGUUGUUGAAAAAGGAUACCAAGUUCAUAUGGACUGAGGAAUGUGAGGCUAGUUUCCAGGAAUUGAAGAAACGUUUGGUUACAUCACCUGUGUUGAUUUUGCCAGAUCAGACCAAGGAUUAUGAGGUGCAUUGCGACGCUUCACGUCGAGGACUUGGAGCAGUGCUUAUGCAGGAAGGAAGAGUUGUUUCCUUUGCCUCACGACAGCUUAAGACUCAUGAGUUGAAUUACGCUACGCAUGAUUUGGAGUUAGCAGCCAUAGUGCCUGCAUUGAAAACCUGGAGACUCUUUCUCAUUGGAAAUCAUUGUGAGGUGUACACAGAUCACAAGAGUUUGAAGUGUAUCUUCACGCAGAAAGAGUUGAAUCUCAGGCAAAGAAGAUGGUUGGAGCUCAUCAAGGAUUACGAUAUGAGAUUACAUUAUCACCCCGGAAACGCCAACGUAGUAGUUGACGCGUUGAGCCAUAAAAUCCAUGUAAACAUCUUAAUGACGGGAGAUUUACCAAGGGAGUUAGCUGAAAAUCUUUGUGAGCUAUAUUUGGAGAUAGUUCCGAGAGGCUAUGUAGCAGCAUUGGUGAUUCAGUCUACUUUGAUGGAUAAGAUCAGAGAAUCUCAAAGGACUGACAAGGAGAUUGCCUCUAUAAAGGAGAAAAUAAGGAAAGGAAAAUCUAAGGGAUUUCGUGAAGAUGAGCACGAUACCCUAUGGAUUGAAGACCGUGUUUAUGUACCAAAUUAUUCGGAGAUCAGGAAUUUAAUUCUGCAAGAGGCACAUGAUUCACCAUAUUCGAUUCACCCAGGAAAUACCAAGAUGUAUUUGGAUUUGAAGGAUACUUUCUGGUGGACCGGAAUGAAGAAGGAUAUUGCGGACUGUGUAGCAGUUUGUGAUGUAUGUCAGACAGUAAAGGCAGAGCAUCAGAAGCUAGCAGGAUUGCUACAGCCAUUGUCGAUACCCGAAUGGAAGUGGGAUAAGUUAGGCAUGGAUUUUAUUACGGAUUUACCCAAAACUCAUUCAGGCUAUGACUCAAAUAUGGGUUGUAGUCGAUCGUCUGACAAAGGUAGCCCAUUUCAUUCCAGUGAAGACUAUCUAUACCAGUGCAAAGUUGGCAAAGAUAUACAUGACCAGAAUCGUAAAUAUGCAUGGAGUUCCAAAGAGCAUUGUAUCAGAUAGAGGAACCCAAUUUACCUCAAAGUUCUGGAACCAGUUGCAUGAAACAUUGGGUACCAGACAAGAGUUUAGUACAACUUUCCAUCCGCAGACAGAUGGAUAGACCGAGAGAGUCAAUCAGAUUUUGGAGGAUAUGCUGAGAGCUUGUGCGCUAGAUUACGGAUCUAGUUGGGACGAGAAUUUGCCAUAUGCAGAGUUCUCUUACAACAACAGUUAUCAAUCUAGUUUGAAGAUGGCCCCUUUCGAAGCCUUCUACGGAAGGAGGUGCAGGACCCUAUUGUCUUGGGAUUAAGUUGGAGACCGUCAGUUGUUUGGACCGGAUCUGAUUAAGGAGUCUGAACAGAAAGUGAAAUUGAUUCGCGACAGGCUCAAGGUAGCCCAGUCCAGGCAGAAGAGCUAUGCAGAUUCUAAACGCAAGGAGACAGUUUACAAAGUCGGAGACCGAGUUUAUCUUUGAGUAUCACCACUUCGAGGUGUUAAGCGCUUUGGAGUUAAGGGAAAGUUAGCGCCACGUUUUGUAGGCCCAUACAAAGUUUUGGAACGUAUGGGAGAAGUAGCCUACAAGUUGGAAUUACCUAAAGGAUUAUCAGGAGUUCAUGAUGUGUUCCACAUUUCCCAGUUGAAGACGUGCCACGCAGAGAUGGCUCAUAUACCGCUAAGAGAUACAGUGCCGCUGGAAGCAAUUCAGUUGGACAGUGAUUUGACCUAUGAGGAGAAACCAAUCUAGAUUCUAGAGUAUGCCAGUCGAGUCACCCGCAGCAAGGUUAUCAAGUUUUGCAAAGUUCAGUGGAGCCACCACGCGGAGGAUGAAGCCACCUGGGAGCGAGAGGAAGAAUUGCUGAAGGACCACCCUCACCUAUUUUCUAGCCAACCCGAAUCUCUAGGGCGAGAUUCAUCUUAAGGGGGGUAGAUUUGUAACAUCCAAAAUUUUCAAUUUGGAAUGUUAUACAUUAGAUCAUCAUUGCAUAUCAUAUUUUAUUGCUUUUCUGGUUGAUCGUAGAAAUUCUACGCAACUCAAGGACCCUCGUUAUUUUCAUAUUUGAGUUUUCUCAAAUUUUGAAAUAGGGAUCAUUUGAUUUUAUUUAUUUUAUCUUCAAUUAUUUCCAUUAUCAAAAUAUGAUAGAGGGAAUAAAAUGACUUUCCCAAAAUAAAGAAAUAUUGAGGAUUGAAUAAAAAAUCAAAUAAGAUUUUAUUUUGGUUUUAUUUGCUAUUUUAUUUGAAUUUAGGAAAAAUUGCACGUUUUCAAAAAUUGCAUUUAGAGCCAAAAAAAUGUUCAUCCUAUUCUAAAUAUAUUAUUUAGACGGAGAAAAUUUGUUUUGGCAUUUAUAGAUUUUUAUUUAUUUUUCUAGAUUUUUUAGGCGAAGCGAAAUUGUUAAAAAAAACCCACGCCCUACUGGGCCAAGGGCCCAGCCGAGCAGGCCGGCCCAGCCAGCCGCCGCCGCCUCCAGCCGGAUCGGGACCGGAGUCCCGAUCGCCGUCGCCGCCGUGUCCGGGGAGGACACGCCUCUCGAAGCCGACCCCUCCCCCAAGUCGACCUCCCCCACCCCCUUUAUAACCGCCGCCCCGCCGCCUGCACCGCCCCGCGUCGCUCGGAGCCGCCGCCUUGCGCCACCGCCACCCCGCCGCCGGAGAGCCGCCGCCGGCAGGUUUUUGAAAAAAACCGAUUCAGUUUUUUUUAAAACCCUAGUUUCCAUUUUUUUAAAUAAAUAGAUCGGUUUUUCCCGGUUUAUUUAUUUAGCGAGCGUCCGUUCAUUUUAACGAACGGGUUUUUCGUUUAGUUUUUGUUAAUGAAAGUUCGUUCGUUAACUGUUCGUCGUUUUUCUUUUUCUCGGAUUAAAUCCGCGGUUUUUCUGAUCGCGAUCUCUGAUCCGAUGUUCGUUCUAGUUUAUCUUUUCGCUCGUUUAUCGGAAUCAGGCGAUUCAAGCGCCUAGAGUUUUGUCUCGAAACCCUCUUUCCGUUUAACCAACUCAAACAAGUUUUUGCCAAUGAAAAAAUUGCCUUAGAUCCAGAAUAGUAGACGAAGCUUAUUUCUUUUGCCGUUUGUCUUUCGUUGCUUCGUUCGUUUUGAUUCUUUUUGCCAACCGGAGUUCUUAAGUUGAACUUUCUGGUUAGAUGUUUUUUUCGAGUUUUACCUGUGCAUUAGUUGAGUACUUAUUGUGUGCUUGUUUGUUUGCGAUAGAGUACCCGAAGUGCGCCGCUUGCUACUUCGAAUCGCUAGGUUUCUCGGAUCAUCAGCAAGGCAAGUAACACUUUGAUCAUACCUCCUACUACCCAGUUUUAUUGCAUUAGAUCAAUCCUGACACAUUGCAUCAUUAGGAUCUAAUUAAAUCAUGGGUUUGGGGAGUAUUUGAGGUAGAACCUAUUACAUGUUUAUUAUCAAACCUUUGGGAGUUACUCUACGUUUGCUUAUUAUUGCUAUGCUAUGCUAGUAGACGUGGAUUGGGCGAGUGCAUCCAUGAUAGAUGUGAGCUUUGUUAAUUAUUGGUUUAUUUAAGGUGGCAACCUAAACACACAUCUAGGUGGAUUGAGGCACCUGGGUAUUCCAGCGAUUGCCUGUUUUCUUUUGGAUCGCCACCCAGGCUCAAAGGGAUCAUGAGAUUAUUCAUGCUAGAAACUUCCGUGUGCAGCCACAAGAUAUUAUGGGCUCUAGCAUAGUUGACUAAGUCGUGCGAACUCUUACAGUGGUAGACUAGCAGAUGUAGGGGAUGUAGGUUGGUACGGUCUACCCAUUCGUAAGGUGCUAGCGCUUCUGAAAAACUAUGUCUCGGUCAUCCGUUUCUCAAACACCAUGCAGUGCGAGAAAACCAAUGGAGGAAAUAAGCGCGCAAACCUCUGCGGAGUGUAUAAACUAAUCACAGUUAGCCGUGUCCCCGGUUAUGGACAUCUUGAGUAUCUAGUACCUAGAUUAUCAUGUGAAUCUCAUCAUGUUACUCUAAAGUUAAUUGUUGGGUUUUUAAUGAUGAUGGUUAAUUGGGAUUGAGAAUGCUGUCAAGCAUUCUCAAUGUUUAACAACUACCAUGAUAGUUAAAUAAAAUUUAUUCCUUUGAAGUAGGGAAAAAUUGGCUUUACGCAAAACUGUAACCAUAGAGCUUUCCACCAGCCAUAUAUGCAUAUAGAAUAGCCAUACUCUUAUAUUACUCUCUAUGUGUUACUUUGCCAGCAUAUUCCAUGUGCUGACCCGUUUCGGGCUGCAACAUUAAUGUUGCAGACUUUUCAGACGACGAUUAAGGUGCUUUAGGUCGUGGUUCUAUACUCAGUGAUGCCGCUGGAGUUGAUGGACUCACUUAUCUUCCAAGCCUUCCGCUCUUAUCGUUUUUAGAUGGCCUUAAGCCAUAUUUAUUGUAAUAACUUCUCUUUUGAGACACUCGAUGUAAUAAGUUUGUGAUUGCUACUCUAUUAUAAAUCCUUCAAGUACUGUGUGGUGUCGGCAUUACUAAUCCAGGGAUGACACCAGAGCACAGAGAUUGGACCGUCCGAGGUCUGGUCACUAUAGGUGCGCCACUAGUAAGUUUGAAUUUUUUUGAAUUUUUUUGCCUCCAGAUCUUAAAAGCCCCGUAAAUGUUUAACGGGGUUCAUAUAGAAAACUUUUCGAGUAGAUGAUUUUUCAUAUAGAAAUUUUUUUAAUCUGAGUUCGUAUGCAAAAGUUAUGCCCAUUUUACAAAUUCCAGAGAUAUUUUGCAAAUAAAGUCGAAAUUCAUAUUUGUAAAUUUUCCCAACGACUAGACCACAUAUCACAUGGGAAACUUAUUUUCUUUUAUUUUUUUGACACUUUCUUCAUUUUCUUUUAUUUUUUUUAAAACUGAAAAGGCCGUCCAGGGGGGUUCAUGCGAGGGAAUAUUUGGGCCAAGUCAGUAAUGGUGCACCAUGGGAGUAGUGCGCCAUUACUAGUAAUGGCGCACCAUUCCCAUGGUGUGCCAUUACUAUUUUUUUAAAAAUAUAUAAAAAAACUGGACAAAAAAUUGAAAAAUUAUUACUAGUGGCGCACCGUGGAUGUGGUGCACCAUUACUAGUUUGAAUAGUAAUGGCGCACUAUCCCUUGGUGCGCCAUUACUAGUUUCGAAAAAAAAUGAAAUUUUUUUUGAAUUUUUUUACUAAUGGUGCACCGUGUAUGUGGUGCGCAAUUACUAGUUAAACUAGUAAUGGCGCACCACACCCACGGUGCGCCAUUACUAGUUUUGAAAAAAAAUAAAAAAAAUCUUGUUACUAAUGGCGCACAAUGGAUGUGGUGCGCCAUUAGUAUUUGGACACUAAUGGUGCACCAACACAUGGUGCGCCAUUAGUAUAUAGUAGUGGCGCACCACAUGUCUGAUGCGCCAUUAGUGUCAAUUUCAUCUAUAGCCCUUUUCCUAGUAGUGUUAUCUUUUGGAGUAGUUUGUCAUUUACUCACGUGCUUCACGUAUAUCCUAUGAGUAAAUGGUUGAAUAAUUGAAAUAUCAUUAACCUGAAUUUAUAUAUGUUUCAUAUGCUUACCAUGGGGAGUAAUGACUUCACAUAGAAUAAUUAUAGGCAGUAAACUUAUUGAAAGUUACCAAACGUAGAAUUGGUCACUUGAACAAUUCAUGAAAGAAUAUUGAAGGAAGAGAGAUUUCACAUAUAAAUAUACUAUCAUGGACAUCUUUUGUAAUUGUGAGCACUCAUUAAAAUAUGACAUGCUAAAAGGUUGAUGUUGGACAAGGAAGGCAACGUAAUGGGUUAUGUUUUCUUAUAUCCGAAAACUGACAAAUCCGACGGCGGCGGCGGAUCCGACGGCGGCGGCUUCCGGGGGAGCUCUGGUGAGGCGCGGGGUGGCGUGACGCGGCGGAGCAGCGGUGGUGGCUGGCGGCUUCGGCGGUGGUGGCGUGGGACGAGGAUAGGAGGGCGACGGGGGCUCCGGUAUUUAAAGGGGGGGCGGGGCCGCUCCGACUUGCGCGAGGGGCGACGCGGGCGGCGUGGCGCGGCCAGACUCCGGCGAGUCCAUGUCGCGCCCGACCCGGGGAGGUGUCGGCGCUCGGAUCGGCCGGCUGGGCCUUCAACCCAGGUCGGUCCGAAACUUUUUUUAAAAAUACGGUUCCACCGAGAAAAAAUUCUAAAUAAAAUAAAAUAAUAAUCUGAAAAUACCAAAACAAAUUUUCACCGUCUAAAUAAAAUAUUUAGAACUUAGUGAACAUUUUCUUGGCCUAAAAAUGCAAUUUCAAAAAAAAUGCAUAUUUUUCUAAUUCAAAUAAAAUAGCAAUAAAAUCCAAAUAAAAUACCUUAUUUGAUUUUAAUGUUUUUACUCCAAUAUUUCAUUUAUUUUGAAGAAGUCAUAUAUCUCCUCUCAUAUAUUUUUGAUAUGAAAUAUUUUUAGAGAGAAAAAUAAUAAAACCAAAAUGAUCCACUUUUCAAUAUUUGAGAAAUUUCAAAUAUGAAAAUAAUAAAAUCCCAAACUCUCUCAGUGGGUCCUUGAGUUGCUUAGGAUUUUGGGAUCACAAAGCCAAAAUGCAAAUAAAAUAUGAUAUGCAUAUGAUGACCUAUGUAUAACAUUCCAAAUUGGAAAUUUGGGAUGUUACAAACCUACCCCUUAAGGUGAAUCUCGCCCUCGAGAUUCGGGUUGGCUAGAAAAUAGGUCUGGGUGGUCUUUCCGUAGAUCAUCCUCUCAUUCCCAGGUGGCUUCAUCCUCGAUAUGGUGGCUCCACUGAACUUUGCAAAACUUGAUAACCUUGUUGCGUGUGACUCGGCUGGCAAACUCGAGAAUCUUGACUGGUUUCUCCUCAUAGGCCAGAUCAGUAUCCAACUGAAUUGCUUCCAGGGGCAUUGUAUCUCUCAGAGGAAUAUCGGCCAUCUCAGCAUGACACUUCUUCAACUUGGAAACGUGAAACACAUCAUGAACUCCUGAUAGUCCUUCGGGUAACUCCAACUUGUAGGCUACUUCACCCAUACGUUCCAAAACUCGAUAUGGUCCUACAAAUCUUGGGGCUAACUUUCUCAUAACUCCAAAACGUUUAACUCCUCGUAGUGGUGACACACGAAGAUAUGCUCUAUCUCUGAUUUCAUAUAAUACCUCCUUGUGUUUUGAGUCUGCAUAGUUCUUCUGCCUGGACUGAGCUACGGCCAUCAGUCUGUCUCGAAUCAACUUAACCUUCUCUUCUGACUCUUUGAUCAUAUCUGGCCCAAACAACUGGCGGUCUCCAACUUCAUCCCACAUCAACUGUGUUCUGCACCUUUGUCCAUACAAAGCUUUGAAAGGUGCCAUCUUCAGGCUAGCUUCUUAACUGUUGUUGUAUGAGAACUCUACGUAGGGCAAAUUAUCAUCCCAACUAGAACCAUAAUCGAGUGCAGAAGCUCUCAACAUGUUCUCGAAAAUCUGAUUGACUCUCUCGGUUUAUCCAUCUGUCUGCGGAUGAAAGGUUGUACUGAACUCUAGCCUGGUGCACAAAGUCUGGUGCAGCUAGUGCCAAAACUUUGAAGUAAACCAUGUUCCUCUAUCUGAUACGAUAGUCUGCGGAACUCCAUGCAGAUAGACGAUCCUGGUCAUAUAUAUUUUGGCCAACUUUGCACUUGUAUAGGUGGUUUUCACUAGGAUAAAGUGAGCCACUUUGUUCAAACGGUCCACUACUACCCAAAUAGAAUCGUAUCUCGAUCGGGUCCUGGGUAAUCCGGUGAUGAAAUCCAUGCCAAGCUUGUCCCACUUCCAUUCGGAUAUCGGCAUAGGCUGUAGUAAUCCUGCUGGCUUUUGAUGUUCUGCCUUCACUCUCUGACAUACAUCACAUACGACUACAUACUCGGCAACAUCCUUCUUCAUACCAGUCCACCAGAAAUGCUCCUUCAAAUCCAAAUACAUCUUGCUGUUUCCGGGGUGUAUCAAGUAUGGCGAGUCAUGAGCCUCCUGAAGUAUCAACUUCCUGAUCUCUGCAUUAUUGGGUACAUAAACACGGUCCUCAAACCACAAGGUGUCGUGCUCAUCCUCACGAAAACCCUUGGCUUUUCCUUUGCUCAUUUUCUCCUUUAUCUCUGCAAUUCCCUUAUCAUCCUUUUGAGCUUCUCGAAUUUUUCCCAAUAAUGUCGACUAAAUUUCAAAUGCUGCGACAAAACCUCUAGGGACUAUCUCCAAAUGUAGCUGCCUGAGAUCUUUAGCUAACUCUGUUGGUAAUCCUCCGCUUAUGAGGUUAUUGGCGUAACUCUUUCGGCUCAAAGUGUCUGCUAAGACAAUGUCCUUGCCUGGAUGAUAGUGACACUUCAUAUCAUAAUCCUUUAUAAGCUCCAACCAUCUCCUCUGCCUGAGAUUCAACUCAUUCUAUGUGAAAAUGUACUUCAAACUCUUAUGAUCCGUGUACACAUCACAAUGAUUUCUAAUAACAAAAUGUCUCCAGAUCUUAAGUGCAUGCACUACAGCUGCUAACUCCAAAUCAUGUGUGGCAUAAUUCAACUCAUGCGGUCGAAGCUGAAGUGAGGCAUAUGAGACAACUCUUCCGUAUUGCAUAAGCUUGCCUCCAAGUCCUAAGCGAGAUGCUUCGUAAUACACUUGGAAAUCCUUGCAUAAAUCUGGCAGAAUCAACACUGGUGCUGUAACCAGACGUUUCUUCAACUCUUGGAAACUUGCCUCACAUUCAUCUGUCCACUUGAACUUGGUGUCUUUCUUCAACAAUUCCGUCAUGGGCUUCGCUAUCUUAGAGAAAUUCUCAAUGAAUCUCCGAUAAUAUCCCGCGAGUCCAAGAAAACUGCGGAUCUCUCCAACUGAGGUGGGUGCCAACCACUCAGUGACUGACUGAACCUUAGUAGGGUCUACUGGUAUACCUUGUCCUGAUAUAACAUGUCCAAGGAAUCCAACUUCUUUCAACCAAAACUCACAUUUUUUAAACUUGACGUAUAACUGAUGUUCCUUGAGCUUCUCGAGAACUAAACGCAAAUGCUCCUUGUGUUCCUCUUUAUUCUUUGAGUACACCAAAAUAUCAUCAAUGAACACCACGACAAAUUUAUCCAAGAACUCCAUGAACACCUUAUUCAUCAUACUCAUGAAAUAGGCACGGGCGUCUGUCAGUCCAACUGACAUAACUGUGUACUCAUAUAGCCCAUACCUUGUGGUGAAGGCUGUCUUGGGUAUAUCCUGUUCGCGGAUCUUCAGUUGGUGGUAUCCAGAUCGAAGAUCGAUCUUGGAAAAUACUUUAGCUCCUUGUAGCUGGUCAAACAAAUCAUUGAUCAUAGGCAAUGGGUACUUGUUCUUGAUCGUCACUUCAUUCAAUGCACGAUAAUCAACCACCAUUCUCAGAGAUUUAUCCUUCCACUACUAGGAAAAGGGCUAAAGAUGAAAUUGACACUAAUGGCGCACCAGAGAAGUGGUGCGCCACUACUAUAUACUAAUGGCGCCCCAUGUGGAGAUGCGCCAUUAGUGUGGAAGACACUAAUGGCGCACCAGGCACACGGUGCGCCACUAGUAACAAAAUGUUUUUUUUCAUUUUUUCAAACAUACUAAUGGCGCAUCCGGGCAGAGUGCGCCAUUAGUAGUUAGAACUACUAAUGGCGCACCAGCCAUAGAGUGCGCCACUACUGUAUUUUUUUUACUUUUUUGCAAAAAUACUAAUGGCGCACCGUUGCAUAGUGCACCAUUACUAGUUUAAACUAGUAAUGGCGCAUUGUGCCACGGUGCGCCAUUAGUAUAAAAAUUAUUUUUUUUACUUUUUUGCAAAACUACUAAUGGCGCAUGUCUGUGUGGUGCGCCAUUAGUAUGUUGGGUUACUAAAGGCGCAUGGCUGUGUGGUGCGCCAUUAGUAACCUGGGACCAGCUAGAUAUUUUUGGACAGCCACACCUACACACUCACUUUCCCCACUUCAUUCCCCCCACCUCCUUCUCUAAGCUUGUCGGCUGCCUCCUCCUCCUCACCUCAUUUGCACCAUAGAUUCAUCAAAAUUAAGUGUUGAAAUUACCUUUUUUGAUAGGUAAGUAAGGGGAAAGCUAUCUUCAUGUUGUAGACCAUGGUCCGCACGAUGACCAAAGGCAUCGUGAAUAGGUUAUCUCCUUCAAAAGAACGAGACGGAGAUAAGAUGUCUGUGUCGAAGAUGCAAGAUGAAGAGCCUUAUUGCGGACCCGGAUUCCGGGCAGGUGCGGGACCACCUGCUCUUGCGUGGUUUCAUGGAUGGCUAUCGGUGGCAAGGUGAUGAAGAUGACUAUGAAGUCGUCCAUGGGGACCAGGCAAGAAAUGAGGAAGGGCAGCAAGAUAACCACCGCGGCUCGGGCGGGUGAGAAGACGAAGAAUCUCCAGGACAUGAUCACGACGGUGAUGUUGUACACAGUCAUCAUGUAGAAGAUGCCGGACAUGAUGAUGAGGAAGAUGCCGGAGCAGACGAAGGGCAUGAUCAUGAAGAUCAAGAUGCCGGAGGAGUAGACGACAAUGGACCAUCGAUGGGCUGGGUGCAGGACCCUCAUAUUCAAGAGCUGCUUCUCAAGCAGAUGGAUAACGCAAGAGCUGCCGCCCGAGAGAAAGCCAAGCUGGAUCAACUGGAGAUAGACGCAGUUACUCCAUUGUAUGAAGGAUGUAGACCCGAGGAUACCCGCCUGAAAGUAACGCUCAUGGCUUUGGAGAUGAAGGUAAAACACAAAAUGACCGACGCAUGCUUCGACGAGAACAUGUCAUUCUGGCAGGAACGUCUUCCCAAGGGGAACAAGUGCCCGACCAGUUUCGAGGAGGCAAAGAAAGUCGUGUGUCCUCUAGAUUUACCGCACGUGAAAUACCAUGUGUGCAUGAACAAUUGAAUCAUUUAUCGGGGCGAGCACGCGGAGUCUACCAUAUGUCCGGUGUGCGGCGUCACUCGAUACAAGAAUAGGAAGAAAGCUCCUUGAAAAGUGGUGUGGUACUUUCCGAUAACUCCUCGUCCGCAGCGGUAUUUCAUGGACCCUAAGGUAGCAAAGCUCCUACGUUGGCACGCGGAUAGGGAGGAGAAGAAGCGAUAAGAUGACGCAAAUGAUCUGGAGAUAAAUAAAAAAGACAAGAUGCUGAGUCACCCUAAGGAUGGGAGCCAGUGGCAAGCGUGGAACUUCGAACACCCAGAAUUUGGGAAGGAUCCAAGGAACAUCGUGCUGGGCGCGAGCACCGAUGGAGUCAAUCCGUUUGGCAGCCAGAGAAGCACACAUAGCACCUGGCCUGUGUUUGUGUGGAUGUACAACCUUCCCCCCUGGUUGUGCAUGAAGAGGAAGUAUAUUCACAUGAGUAUGCUAAUUGAAGGGCCGAAACAACCAGGGAACGACAUCAAUCUGUAUCUGGGGCUGCUGAAAGAGGAGCUAGACACGCUGUGGAAAACGCCAGCCAAUACGUGGGACGCCGCAGAGAAAGAAUAUUUCCCUAUGAGAGUCGCACUACUCACGACGGUGCACGACUAUCUCGGUUACGGAUAUCUCGCGGGGCAGGUGGUCCAUGGAUUUUCUGGAUGCGUCAGGUGCAUGGAUGAAACAACUUAUCGCCAGUUAGAUAGAGAUCCCGGGUCUUCCAAAACCGUGUUCAUGGGACAUCAAAGGUGGCUUCACGAUGAUGACCCGUGGAGGAAACGCAAGGAUCUGUUCGAUGGUGAAACCGAACUCCGAAGACGCCCGCGUACGAGGAGCGGCGAGGAAAUAGACGGGCUAUUGAAAAUUUGGAAAGAUUGCCCACUGCCGGGAAAGAAGCAAAAGGCGCCAGAGCUGGGAAGGAAGUGAAAGGCGCCAGAGCCGCUUCUGAAGGUAUGGAAAACAAGGUCUGUUUUCUGGGACUUUUUGUACUGGAAGAUCCACCAUGUGCCUCACAGCCUUGAUGCCAUGCAUAUCACGAAGAAUGUGUGCGAGAGUCUGCUUGGUACCCUGCUCAACAUGCCAGAGAGGACCAAAGAUGGGGCGAAAGCAAGGGCAGACUUGAAAUCAAUGGGCAUCAGUCAGGAGCUUCACGCUAAUGAUGAUGAUGAUGAUGAUGAGGCGAAGCAGGACACAGAAAGUCAUCGCAAAGGCAAAAAGGCCAAGAAGACCGGAAAUGACUACCCUCCCGCGUGCUUCACUCUAAGUCAGGAGGAGAUCGAGCAGUUUUUCACCUGCCUCGUAGGAGUAAAACUUCCUUACGGUUACGCGGAGAAGAUAAGCAGAUACCUAGACCCAGCGAAGCAGAAGUUCAGCGGGAUGAAGUCUCAUGACUGUCACGUGCUGAUGAUGCAGAUACUUCCAGUUGCAAUCCGAGGGAUCAUGGACGCGCACAUCCGUGAAAUGCUAUUUGGCCUAUGCAACUUUUUCAACGUCAUCUCUCGGAAGUCGGUUGGCAUGAGGCAACUCAAAAGGCUACAGGAAGAGAUCGUGGUGAUACUAUGCAAGCUUGAGAUGUACUUCCCGCCCGCAUUCUUCGACGUUAUGGUGCAUCUACUGGUCCAUAUCGUGGAGGAUAUCAUCCAACUCGGGCCGACGUUCCUGCACAGCAUGAUGCCGUUCGAAAGGAUGAAUGGUGUCAUCAAAGGAUAUGUUCGCAACAUGUCACGUCUAGAGGGAAGUAUAGCCAGGGGCUUUCUGACCGAAGAGUGCAUCUCCUACUGCACGAAUUAUCUAGGCAUCGAGAACCCCAUUGGUCUGCCCGUCAACAGGCACCUCAGUAGGCUCGCUGGAUGGGGUCACCGUGAGGGUCGCCGUGAAAUGCAUGUCGACUUCGAGGGUCGACUCGCCGACUUUGAAAGAGCAAACCUAGUCACGCUACAACACAUAGACGUGGUCGAUCCUUGGGUGGUAGAGCACAAAACCUUUAUUGAGAAGACGUACAAUGACCGAGACCAACAGAGACGGACGGAGAUAUAAUCAAAGAGCACAACUCAUGUUUCAUGCGUUGGUUCAAGCAGAAGCUUCUGUCGUACCCUUUACAUGAGGAUUCUUCCGCGGAAGAAAAACUCAUAUUCGCGUUGUCACAGGGCGCCGAGCACAACCUGAUGACCUAUGAGGCGUACGAUAUCAACGGCUACACAUUCUACACUAAGGACAAGGACAUGAAGAGCGAUGGUUAUCAGAACUCCGGGGUAAUGAUGGAAUCCUACACCGCCGGUAACGACAAGGACAAAUACUAUGGAAGGAUCGAGGAGAUCUGGGAGCUGAGCUGCACUGGAGAGAAGGUCCUGAUGUUCCGUGUCAGAUGGGCCAAGAGCGUCCUAAAAGAAGACCGGUAUUUCACCACCAUGGUUAUACCCGAAGCCAAAUCCAAGACCGCGGGCGCAAACGUCACCGCGAAAAAUGAGCCAUGGGUACUGGCUUCACAAGUGGACCAAUGCUUCUUCAUUACCGACCCGUCAAAGCCCAGUCGUGUUGUCGUGAGGAGAGGCAAAAGGAAGAUCAUUGGAAUGGAUGGAGUAGCCAAUGAGCAAGACUUCGAGAAGUACGGCGACCCAAAGAUCAAACAUGACGACGACGAUGAAGUAGCAGCAUACACCACAAGAAGAAGCAGGACCACCCUACCUAAAGGACGUCUGUUCCAUAGAAGAACUCCAUUUGCGAAAAAGAAGGGUAAGAAGAUUGUGAACAGAUAGCUAGCUAAGAUCGAUUGUAUUUAAAUUGUAGCCUUCAUUUCUCGGGCACUUUUUGAUAUCAUGAAUAUUUUUAAAUUUCAUGGGCACUUUUUGAAUUCAUGAAUAUCUUUUCAAAUUUGAUGAUAUUUUUUCAUAUUCAAUAUGAAAAAAUAUUGAAUAUUCAUGAGGACACUCGAUCUCGAUCCCCCUCCCUCUCGAUAGCUAUCCCCCUCGGCAGAUCCCCCUCACCGCCGAGCACCCCCCGCACCCUCCCCCCGCUCCGCCGCCGCCGACGACCCCCGCACCCNNNNNNNNNNNNNNNNNNNNNNNNNNNNNNNNNNNNNNNNNNNNNNNNNNNNNNNNNNNNNNNNNNNNNNNNNNNNNNNNNNNNNNNNNNNNNNNNNNNNNNNNNNNNNNNNNNNNNNNNNNNNNNNNNNNNNNNNNNNNNNNNNNNNNNNNNNNNNNNNNNNNNNNNNNNNNNNNNNNNNNNNNNNNNNNNNNNNNNNNNNNNNNNNNNNNNNNNNNNNNNNNNNNNNNNNNNNNNNNNNNNNNNNNNNNNNNNNNNNNNNNNNNNNNNNNNNNNNNNNNNNNNNNNNNNNNNNNNNNNNNNNNNNNNNNNNNNNNNNNNNNNNNNNNNNNNNNNNNNNNNNNNNNNNNNNNNNNNNNNNNNNNNNNNNNNNNNNNNNNNNNNNNNNNNNNNNNNNNNNNNNNNNNNNNNNNNNNNNNNNNNNNNNNNNNNNNNNNNNNNNNNNNNNNNNNNNNNNNNNNNNNNNNNNNNNNNNNNNNNNNNNNNNNNNNNNNNNNNNNNNNNNNNNNNNNNNNNNNNNNNNNNNNNNNNNNNNNNNNNNNNNNNNNNNNNNNNNNNNNNNNNNNNNNNNNNNNNNNNNNNNNNNNNNNNNNNNNNNNNNNNNNNNNNNNNNNNNNNNNNNNNNNNNNNNNNNNNNNNNNNNNNNNNNNNNNNNNNNNNNNNNNNNNNNNNNNNNNNNNNNNNNNNNNNNNNNNNNNNNNNNNNNNNNNNNNNNNNNNNNNNNNNNNNNNNNNNNNNCCCCGCGCCCGCUCCAGACCCACUCUGGCCCCCCACCUGCCGCCACGACUGCCAGCCCGACGCUGCGAUGCACCCAGCCGUCCGAAGCCUCCGCUGCCCUGCAGCCGGCACAGGAGCCCAGCAGUGCCUCCCUCCGCCGCCCCUAAUGCGUCGCCGCCCGUCCUCCUCUGCCCGUAAGCCCCCCUCCUCCUCCGCCCGUCCUCUCCGCCCGUAAGCCCCCCUCCACUCCGAACCCCUGACCCAUUCUUGUCUCAUCUCUACAGGUAGACCGCACCGGCAAGCGACCAGGACAACGCCCAGAGAGGGGAGGAGGGCCUUCUCCUCACCGUGUAGCCGCCGACCUUGUCCUGCUCAAGGAGGAGGAGCAGGAGGGGCGCACCCAGCCACCAUAGUCGCCGCAAUCAAGGGCUUCUUCCACCUAGACCUCUAAAUCCACGGCGCCGUCGUUCAGCCACCCAAGGUGAAGGUGCCCCCAACUCCCCUCCGUCCCCUCUCCCCUCCUUGUUUCAUUCGAUCUAGCAGCCAUGGAUUUGGGUUCCUCAAGGCUGCCUAAUUACUCUACCAUGUGUUCCUACUACUAGCUCUAGCCAUGGAUUAGGGGCUAGUGUAGAUGAAAAAUAAGGUCAAAUCCCUCUCGAAUUUAGGUCAAAUUAGGGUCAAAUCCCUCUGAAAUUAGUAUGUAAAGCUCACUGUUCUGAAGUUCUGAUCAGUUCAGUACCUUAGCAAGCAAUAACACAAGCUUGCUGCUAGUUCAGUACCUUUUGCUGCUAGUUCCUCAAGGAGUUCCGCUCAAAAUUAGCUCAACAAGUUGCAUCUGGCUUUUAGAAAGUUGUUUUGGCUUAAGAGGAUAAGGUGUUGUAUAUACUGUCAUAAAGUUCAGCAAGAACAGGGCAUCAACAGUGCUACUCUAGUAUCUAGUCGGGGGGGACAAAAUGGACAGGGCAUCACUGUAGCUGUACUGCACAACAAACUAUUAGUCUUAGGAUUAACACUCCUCAUAUGACAUGAGAGGAUUUUUUUAAAUGACUUUUCCCUCUAGCUAGCUUUAAAUGGCAUCACUGUAGCUGUAUCAACAGGGCAUCAACAGUGCUGACUUUUCCAAUGCUGUAUUUGGCCCCUCGGAUUAUUGUAAACUAUAUGUAGUGAAGCAUGCAAAUUGGAUUUGCUACAGUCAACCUAUUAAUAUUUGUCAGUUUUGAAAAUUCAGUUUAUUCGGUUACUGAAAAUUCAGUUAAUUCAGUUAGGCACACAAAUUUCAGAACUUUUGUGUGCCCUAGUACUUGGUGUUUGUAGAAAAUUCAGUUAAUCCAUCGAGGUGAGCAUUGAUGCUACAAAAAGAGAAGACAUGUAUGAGUUUGGAGAAAGUGCCAAUUUGAUUUUCAGUUGCUAGCUACCUGUGAUUUAUUGUUUCAAUUUGGAUUCCAGAAAUGUUACUGUGUGUUACUAUGACCCAACUUUAUCUAUACCAUAGCAUGCUACUAUCAGUUAUUUUUGAACAUCAAAUUCAGUCUGUAUCUUGCAUUCUUUUUUUGUUCAAAAUUUCUCAACUCUGAAUAAAUAAAAUUAUUUGGAAAGAAGCACAUGAGUAUAAACAAUAAUUGUUUCUUUCUGCUUGAAUGAAUGCAGUACAAUACAAGUUCAGGAACAAGGGACAUUUUUUGCAAUUGUGAACUCUCAAUGCUCAAGUCUGGAAGUGUUUACAAAUUCAAAGAGUUCACAUGACUACUGGUCAAAUACUCUAGUGUAUUUAGUGUAAAUCUAGUCUGAAACUAGUAGAGCUCUUGUUGAUUUGCAAAUUCAGUUUAAAUAAAAAUUUGGUACAUGACUACUUAUCAUGUAUGAAAGAUGUUGCUACUGGAUGAGCACAAGAACUAAUUAGUAGAUUUUGAUUUUGAAUGAUUUUGAAUUUUUAUGACUAGUGAUCAGGUUUCAAAUGAUUUUGAAUUUUUAUGAUUUUUAUGCACAUAGGUGAAGCCACUAACUACACUUCAGGUUCUACUCCUGGAACACUUCAGGAAUUUUACUUCAUAACUGGAGUAUUUUGAUGAUAUUGGGGGGUUUUGUCUCCGACCAUCGUGUCGUGAUGAUAUUGUGGGGUGUUGUGGGGUUGCAGCUGGGUGGGGGUGGGGUAAUGAAUUUGCAGGUACCCCGAGAGGCCCUUGAGUUUGCCGGAAUGUCGAUUAACUUCCGUUCCGGCAAAUUCGGGUACUCCAUAUGUCUUAUUUUCAACAAAGGUCAUGCUGAAAUUUUCCGUGAAUUUUAGCAUGACUUUGCUAAAAAUAGGACAUAUGGGGUACUUGCGACUAAUGCAUGGGCCGGGGUAUCUUAGUACUUAGUUAAGUAGGAUCAACUGCCCCGCUUAGAGCCAAGUGAUUAGGCCCAACUUAGAAUUCUCCUUAGCAUCGAUAAACCCUAGAUGAUAAACCCAACAUAGGUGGCAAUAGAGCCAAGUGAUUAGUGCCAAGUGAUUAGGCCCAACCUAGGGUGCCUCGGCAUCGAUAAACCCUAAAUGAUGAAAACUUAACUUGGCUUCUAUAGGGUGCCUCGGUGUCGAUGAGAACCUAAAUGAUGCACGCUUAGGCUUUUAGGGUGCCUCGGCAUCGACAAAUCCUAAAUGAUAAAAGCUUAGCUUUUAGGAUGCCUCGGUGUCGACAAACCCUAAAUGAUGAGACCAUGAUCUUGUUCCUUGACAAUAACCAACUUUUUGACCAAACUUUUUUCCUAUUUAGAUCAAAACAUGGCCCACAACGAUGAGGCCGGCGGUUCGGGCGGCAAGCAAUUCUGGGAGCUGUCCCAGGAGUUGGAGGAAGAACCUCACCGCUAUGAGGACGCCGCGGAAGACACCGAUCCUGACUACACAACCCCUAGUGGCGUCGGGGAUGACACCACUGAUGAUGGCGCCGCGGAUGCCACCACUGAUGAUGGCGGCGCACGCACAAAUGGCAGCCAACCGAAGAGGCAAUGGAAGGACCGGCGCCGGAAUGUGCUUGGCACCGUCAGGGAGGAAUUUACUGAAGUGAACUCCGAUUGGCAUCCGACGGUGCCCAAACACGUAGUCAAGGGGUACUCGGUUCAGCUCGGGUGCAUUCUCCGGAGCACCGCCUUGAUCAACACCGAGAACCUAAGGCAUAAGGACCGAGGGAAUUUGCGCAGCCUCCUCUUCACGAAGCUGCACAAACAAUACAAGUUCCCCGCUAAGUUUGCAAACACACGCCUCUCGGGGAAUAAAGUGAACGGUGCCGCCCUCACGAGGAUGAGCACGGCCCUGUCUACUUGGAAAAGCACGGUGAAGGCAAUGAUUGACAAAGGUGAUAGUUAUGAGAAGAUCAAGGCGAAAUAUCCUUUGAUUAGCGAAGAUGACUACAAGGAGUUCAAGAUCAAGUGCAAGAGCCCCGCAACCUCCAAAUCAAGUCAGUGGGGGAAAGAAAUGCGGCAGUUGAACAUAGGGGUCCACCAACUCGGUCCCGGCGGUUACAGAGUGGCGGAGCCUAUAUGGGACAAGGAGGACGCGGAGCGUGUUGAGCAAGGCCUACCGCCCUGCUUCGAGAAAUACCGUGACAAGCAGACCAGGAACUUUCUCAGGGCCCGGUACAAGGAGGACCCAGUAACAAAGGAGCUUACCACGGAUCCGAAGACUAAGGCGCUUGAUCUUGUUCUGGUAAGGAAUACACCACCGCGUAAUUAGCUCCAUAUGGUUCCAUUCUAAUUAAUCCCCAAUUUUUCUAAAUGGUUCACGUUCCUUCCGCAGGACAAAGAAAGCAGUAGCGCGGGUUCGUCUCGGAGCUCCCCUUUCGACACCCCUUUGAAUAGGGCAUUGAACGUAAUGAAAAACAAGGAUAAGCUCAGUAAGCCAACGUCAGCUGGUUGUGUGGCCGGCAAAGGCUUGUCCACAAAAUGGUCGUCAUACUAUACCGCUGGUGGGAGAAAGGAGAAAAAGACCAGCUCGGAAAGCCAGUCGCAUGAGGUUGAAGCACUCAAGGUGCAAGUGGCGCGGAUUCCGGAGAUGGUCCAAGAGCAAGUGCAACAACAACUAGGAUCGACGCUCACCGGCAUUAUGCGUACCUUGAUUCAUGGGAUAACGACGUGGAUUGCGGGUGGCCAAUAGGGGCCGCCCCCGAUUCCCAGCUUCACGGCCAGCAACUCGCACAACGCCCAGGCGGCGCCAUUGGUGUCUCCGGCGGAGGCGGUAUUGGUGUCUCCGACGCCAGCAUUGGAGAUUAAUGCACCCGGGUGUAUGCCGGCCGGCACCUCGCCAGCAAGCGGCCCCUCCGUCAGUUGCACGCCCGCCGUUGGUGGUGCCUCGACAUUAGCCGAGCUCGACGGCAUCAUGGUAACUAAGCCUCUCGGUCGAGGACUUCAUCUCCUUGCCUUUGACUGGGCAUCCUUGACGCCCUACAUGUUUUCGCAGGGCACCACCGACGUUCCUUGCACUCUCCUUCACUUCGUGGGUGGCGAGUUGGUCGAUGUCGCCAAGGGAAGAAUCGUUCAACCGGGCAACCCCGUGUUCCACGGUAAUCCGAUGGCACCCACAAUGUAUAGGGUUGAAGUGGUUCGGGUGCUGCCAGGCUGCGAUGAGCUGUUACCUCCGAUUCGACCUGCUGGGGCCGACAAAGAAGAUGAGAUGACCCUCAGCGCCUGCGUAAGUUGGCCCCUGCUUUGGCCGAAGAGCCAGAUUCGUUUGGGGGCGGGGGACACCACCCCACAGACAAGACCGCCAGUCAUGCCGGCGCCAAGCCAUGGCAAGAAUGCCGCAACGCUACCGGACAUCCCGGACAUCCCUAUGGCACAGGAUCCGGACAUGCAUAUGGCACAAGAUCCGGACGACGACGACGAUGGUACAUUUACCAACAUCGAUAAGUACUUUGCCGAACAUGGGUAUGAUGACGAGUUCUGCGGGCCUCCUUCUCAAGAACCCAACCAAGACGACCGCGAUCUAGCUGGUACGUCGGAGAAACCCAGUUGCAACAGGCAUCGUCUGGCGUUUAGUUCUCAGGAGAUGCCUCCAGCUGCCGCCUUUACCGAGCCUCAGAUAGCUGAGGAGUGAAAUAUUAUCAGCCCCAACAUGCUCAAGAAGGCGGUCUUUGAGCAGAACUCGGUCCCAUUACAACAGAUCAAGAAGAAGAGCCAGAAACGGCAGACUAAAAAGGGCGCCGGUGCGAGCCAGCCGGCACCGAGUAUGAUCCGUGCUCAGGACGGGCCACCUUCACCUAAGGAUAUCUCGAGUAGGGUGCAUGUGGCGGGUAGGGCGAUGCUACCGACAAAUAUGCUCAAUGCUGCAACCGGUGCUAUGGGGAGUCUGCACGAUAGUGUUCUUUCUUUGGAGAAGCGGCGUCUAAGAGAGAAUGAUGUGGCAUACCAGGUUUUUGUGGCCAAGGUGCCAGAGGGAAGGGCUUUGUGGAUGGCGACAUCAGGGGUAUGAUCGUCCUGCGGUUUGAUGACAUCUUUGCUAUGUUUAACCUUCAUCCGUUGAACUACACCUUCGUUCGGCUGUUUUUGCUGAGUAUGGAGAUGCGAAUCAUUAGAGACAAGACCCCGGACAUCGUGAUCGUCGACCCCUUCUACAUGCGUGCCAAGCUCUAGAGCAGCGCUGGGGACCGCCAAGUCGCGAGUUCACACCUCGAAGACAUCAUUCUGGCAAACCCAGAUAAGGAUAACUUCCUUGUGGCUUACUUUCCCGAGUAAGUCAUCCCUUAACCGCCCCGUAACAUAUGAUUUCUUAGAUUUCGAUCGUUCUUUCUUUUCUAACAUUCAGUGUUCUGUGCAGUGACACACAUUGCACACUCAUCAUCUUGAGCCCGAAAUAUUUCAUGGCCAUGUAUUUCGACCCGAACCGUAACUCCAAGAUAGACUACACAAAUAUCAAGAAAGUUCUUGAUGAUGUUCUCCCCGGCUACGCCAAAUCUGGAGGCACCUUCACCAGGGCAGUUCGUAAGUACGGCAAGCACGUGUUCGCCCACAAUACGAUGUUCUGCUGUGUCAAGCAGCCGUCCGGCGGUCAGAAGGAUGCCUACUACGCCCUCCAUCACAUGCGGGCGAUUGUAAGGGACCAUCAUCACCUUCUGCUACCAAAUAAUCUCAAAGAUUGGGCCGCGAGCUUGUCGGCAAUCCAGGACGCGGACAUCAGACAAGAAUUCUUUCGCAUCCAGUCGGAGUUUGCGGACAUCAUCCAUCAAGAUGUCCUUCAUACCUCAGGGCAGUUCUACCUCAGAUAUCAACCGUCCAACAUGGAAAUAGACGGAAUGCUACAAAUGCAGGUUGACAACGCCCGCGAUUUCAUGACCAUCACGACAGACGGCGGCUUCAUCCACGCUCCGGUCCCAUGAGUCGAGUCGAUAGUAGUGAUGCUAUGUGUAGUUCUAAAACGUUGAUUGGCUCAUGUUGUAAUUAAACUUUAAUGAACUUGUAUGUCUCUUUGGUUUGGACAGUCGUUCAACUUAGAUGUAAUCGAUGCUAUUUAUUAGUAGGACCAUGAAUCGUGCUAUUAAUGUCAUGUCUUGCUUUUCUCUUCAGAUCCUUUUGUUACAUACUUAUAUAUUGCGUAUGUAUGUAUUGUCUGUUGUUUGGCUUGUGCAUAGAGAUGCCGUCGUAUGUCGUGUACAAGGGUAAGGUUCCCGGAGUCUACGACGACUGGGAGGAGUGUUGGAGAUAGAUUCGCCGUUUCAGCGGUAACAGUUACAAAGGGUACACCACUAGGGCGGAGCCGGAAUCUAGAUACGCCCGCUAUCUAGCGGGAGAGAGGAGGGAGCGUUGGAGGAACCGGAUGAAGACCAGUUUCAUCACGAUGAUGCUCAUCGUGAUGACCGCAGCUCUCUUCUAUGUGAUGGUAGUUUAGAUGAUCGAUAUCGACUUGUAAUGUGAAGACAAACUCGAUACUCGCGGUCUCGAGACUUGUAAUGUUUUAUCUUUGUUCAGUCUUUUGAAUUCGGAGACUAAUAUGAUGGAUUGUAUUUGGAGACUAAUCUUCUAUUGUAUUCGAUGAAUCUGCUGUUGCUGUGUGCUACUGUCUAUAUUCUGUCAAAUAAUAUAUUCUGUAACCUAUGCAAAAAUCAGAAAAGUAAAAAAAUAAAACCUAAUAUUCAUACUAAUGGCGCAUCACUACAAAGUGCGCCAUUUGUAUGCCAAAGUAUACUAAUGGCGCAUCACCAAACAGUGCGCCAUUAGUAUGCCAAGUAUACUAAUGGUGCAUCCAUCCGCAGUGUGCCAUUAGUGUGCCAAAGCACAUGGUAAAAUAUGGCCCCUGGGAGGCAUACUAAUGGCGCAUGGUGUUAUAUACUAAUGGAGCACUGGGUGGUGCGCCAUUAGUAUACUAGAUACUAAUGGCGCACCAGUGGUGCGCCAUUAGUAAUAAAUACUAGUGGCGUGAUACUAAUGGCGCACCAGUGAUGCGCCAUUAGUAGGCAAAACCGGUGUGCCAUUAGUAGGCCUUUUCCUAUUAGUGUUCUUCUCAACCAAGAGCAUUGGGCUCCCCAUGGUGACGAGCUUCGUCGAAUGUAACCUUUCUCCAAUAACUCCUUAAUAUGUUUCUUAAUCUCUUCCAAAUCAUUAGCGGGCAUCCGGUAUGGUCUCUUCGAUAUUGGUCCGGUGCCUGGCAACAACUCUAUCGAAAACUCAAUGUCUCGAUCCGGUGGCAUGCCUGGUAGUUCCUCUGGAAAUACAUCCGGGUAAUCCUUCACUACAGGAACUUCCUCCUGAACAACGCUUGUGAGGUAGUUUAGGUGAGUCCUCUUUGGGGUAUGCCUGGAUACAUACUUAAUCCUUUUUCCCUCCGGAGUGGUUAGUAGAAAUGACCUACUAGCACAAUUAAUGUUUCCUCCAUACUUCGAUAGCCAAUCCAUACCCAGUAUCACAUCCAAUCCUUGUGACUCCAAAAUUAUUAGGUCUGAGGGGAAAAUAUGGCUGCCAAUGUUUAAGGGUAUCCGGUCGCACCAUCGGCUGGCCAUAUACUCUGCUCCUGGUGAGCUUACUAACAAGGGGGUCCUAAGGGCUAAGGUUGGUAACUUCAACUUGUCCACAAAUCCCCUUGAAAUGUAUGAAUGCGAUGCACUAGUAUCUAAAAGAACGAGAGCAGUAAAUGACUUAACCAAAAACUUACUGAUAACUGCGUCUAGCUGCUCUUCAACCUCCUCCAUGUUCACGUGGUUCACUUGGCCCUUAUUGAAAAGGUUGGGCUUCUUCCCAAAGCUUCCAUUGCCAUUUCCAUUCUUAAGUUCAGGACACUCAUUGGCAUAGUGUCCAGUCUUCCCGCACUUAAAACAAGCAACAUGACUUUGGUCCUUCUUGGCGGGUGUGCUUGGGUUAGAGCGGUUCUGACUGCUUGCUCCACUCCCAUUUCCAUUCCUAGAUCCAUUGUGGUUAUGCGAACUUCCUCCAUUGUGGUUAUGGCCUCCAUGGUUACGGGUAUAUCCUCCCGAGUUUGGGGUGAACCAAGGUUUCUACUGAGCUCCUGAAUUGUACUUUCCUUGUCCAUUCUUCCUUUUGUGGCUCUCAAUCUGAUGCUACUUUCCUUCAAUCAUAAGAGCCUUAUCUACCAACUCCUGGUAGUUGUUAAAUGUCGCCACCAUUAACUGCAUACUAAUCUCAUCAUUCAACCCUUCCAUAAACUUCUCUUGCUUUGUGGCAUCUGUGGCCACAUCAUCUAGGGCAUAACGAGCUAACUUACUAAGCUCAUCCACGUACUACCCCACAGUACGGUUGCCCUAGCGUAAGUUGCGAAAAUCACGCUUCUUCAUGCUCAUAGCUCCAGUUGAGACAUGAGUAGUGCGGAACGCUUGCUGAAACUGCUCCCAAAUAACAUUGGCUAUAGGGAAUGUGGCUGUGUAAUUCUCCCACCAUGAGGCUACAGGUCCAUCCAAUUGGUGUGCGACAAAAUGCACCUUCUCAACAUCUAUGCAACUUGAAGUGGUUAACUCCCUUCCAAUCCUGCGUAGACAGUCAUCAGCAACUAUGGGCUCAGUGCCACUGGAAAACACCGGUGGUUGUAACCUCAGAAAACGGGCUAAGUUGUCAACUGGAGGGGGUGGCGGUGGGUUGUUAUUAUUGUUUUUGUUGUUGUUACCUUGGUUCUGGACUAGCAAUUGCAUCAUUGUAUUCUGCUGUUGAAUCAACUGAGUCAGCUCGGUGGGAAAGCAAAUUCGUGGUCACGUCUCGGAGGCAUCUGAUGGGUUUAGAGGGGAGAGAUUAGAAUAGAAUGAGGUCUAGUGAGAAAACACUACCCAUGUGCACAUGAGACAAACACAUACAUAUCACACUAAAACAAUUUCAAGCAAGGGCAUACAAUCGAUCUAACUAUCAUUACAAUGCUCAGACUACUGAUAUAUACAUGGGGGAAAUACUACUAAUAGUAUGGUGGUCUACUAGAAAUUUUGAUUAGUAGAUGACUCCAUGAUAUCUGCUCCAGCUUCGUCUUCAUAAUCAUUAUCAAUAGGGUCGGAGUCGGUGUCAUCGAUGAUGAUGUAGUCCUUGGGUUGGUCGUCAUCUCCUCUUGGCAUAGGGUCUCCCAUGAAUACUCCUAGCUUUCUUAUCAUGUCGUUGUUCAUCUCCACUAGUACGGUGAUUUCCUCCUUGUAUCCAUCGUGUGUAGACUUUAGUUCCUCUUCGAGCUCCAUGUUCCUAGUCAUCAACUUCUUCAGAUCUAUCAUUCUUGCGCACAUUUGGUUCUCCUGGCGACGAAUGUGUUGGUUUAACUCCUGGAUGUAAGCUGCAAUGGACCUGUCCUUCCUGGUGUUGAUCAUCUCCCAUUGCUCAUCUCGGCGCCCACAUAUAUGGUAGAUAGUGUCCUGAUACAUCCAUUUUGCAGCAUGCUUUUAUAUCGAUAUUUAUUGCAUUAUGGGCUAUUAUUAUACAUUAUUUCAAAAUAGUUGUGCCUAUUCUCUCUUAUUUUACAAGGUUUACAUAAAGAAGGAGAAUGCCGGCAGCUGGGAUUCUGGGCUAGAAAAGGAGCAAAUAUUAGAGACCUAUUCUGCACAGCUCCAAAAGUCCUGAAACUUCACGGAAGUUAUUUUCAGAAUAUAUAAAAAAUACUAAGUGCAAGAAGUACCAAAGGGGGGCCACUCACCAGCCACGAGGGUGGGGGGCGCGCCCUACCCCCUCGGCGCGCCCCCCUACCUCGUGGGCCCCUGGUGGCCCUCUGAUGCCCAUCUUCUACUAUAUGGAUUCUUUCGUUGAGGAAAAAAUCAUAAGCAAGCUUUCGGGAUGAGACUCCACCACCACAAGGCGGAACCUUGGCGGAACCAAUCUAUGGCUCUGGCAGAGCUAUUCUGUUGGGGAAACUUCCCUCCGGGAGGGGGGAAUCAUCACCAUCGUCAUCACCAACGCUCCUCUCAUCGGGAGGGGCCCAAUCUCCAUCGACAUCUUCACUAGCACCAUCUCCUCUCAAACCCUAGUUCAUCUCUUGUAUCCAAUUCUUGUCUCUAAGUCUGGGAUUGGUACCUGUAGGUUGCUAGUAGUGUUGAUUACUCCUUGUAGUUGAUGCUAGUUGGUUUAUUUGGUGGAAGAUCAUAUGUUCAGAUCCUAUAUGCAUAUUAAUACCCCUCUGAUUAUGAACAUGAAUAUGCUUUGUGAGUAGUUACGUUUGUUCCUGAGGACUUGGGAGAAUUCUUGCUAUUAGUAGUCAUGUGAAUUUGGUAUUCGUUCGAUAUUUUGAUGAGAUGUAUGUUGUCUCUCCUCUAGUGGUGUUAUGUGAACGUCGACUACAUGACACUUCACCAUUAUUUGGGCCUAGAGGAAGGCAUUGGGAAGUAAUAAGUAGAUGAUGGGUUGCUAGAGUGACAGAAGCUUAAAGCCGUAGUUUAUGCAUUGGUUCGUAAGGGGCUGAUUUGGAUCCAUAUGUUUCAUGCUAUGGUUAGGUUUACCUUAAUACUUUUGUUGUAGUUGCGGAUGCUUGCAAUAGAGGUUAAUCAUAAGUGGGAUGCUUGUCCAAGUAAGGACAGUACCCAAGCACCGGUCCACCCACAUACCAAAUUGUCAAAGUACUAAACGCGAAUCAUAUGAACGUGAUGAAAAUUAGCAUGACGAUAAUUCCCAUGUGUCCUCGGGAGCGCUUUUCUCUAUAUAAGAGUUUUUCCAGGAUUGCCCUUUGCUACAAAAAGGAUUGGGCCACCUUGCUGCACUUUAUUUACUUUUGUUACUUGUUCCUCGUUACGAAUUAUCUUAUCACAAAACUAUCUAUUACCUAUAAUUUCAAUGCUUGUAGAGAAUACCUUGCUGAAAACCGCUUAUCAUUUCCUUCUGCUCCUCAUUGGGUUCGACGCUCUUACUUAUCAAAAGGACUAUGAUAGAUCCCCUAUACUUGUGGGUCAUCAUGUAGUUAAGAUCCUUGUGAUAAACUUCACCGAUGCGUCCUAUGGCGAUGUGAGCUGCCAUGCUCUUUCCUAGACUCCAGGUUGGUGCAUCGAAGGAAAAGUCUAUGGGCUCAGUUCCUGGCAUGAACAUCCUUCCUGUAACUUGAACUCGAAUCAUCCAACGCUCCUCUUCUGGUAAGGUGGCGGUGUAGGUCCCGGUGAACCUUGGUAUUCCAAUGUUUAGGUAUCUAGUGACUUCCUUCAGGUGUCGUCCAAAAGGUGUGUCUUCAUCCGGCUGUGCAAACUUAUUCCUCGUGUCCGCCAUCCUAUAGAGUAGAAAAUGGAGAGAAGUCAGAAAUGAGUAGAGAAGAGUGACCUAUGGUUCAUCUUAGUGGUAGUGUCCUACAUUCAGCGUGUGCUCCGAUACCAUCUUAUAGCGUUCCAACCUCAAACAGUUGAAUCCCUGUGCAUAAGUGUCAUCCGUGGAUCGGUAAUGCUGACACACACAGUACUUCGAAGGAUUUAUAACAGAUUGGAAAUCACACACUUAUUACAUCGAUAGUCUCAAAAGAGAAUUUAUUACAGUAAAUAUGGCUUAAGGCCAUCUAAAUAAGAUAAUAGCGGAAGGCUUGGAAGAUAAAGUGAGUCCAUCAACUCCAACGGCAUAGUUGAGUGCAUGAAAACGACCUAGCGCACGUUACUCUUCGUUAGAAAAGUCUACAACAUGAUAUGUUGCAGCCCGGAACGUGUCAGCUCAUGGAUUAUGCUGGCAAGAUAACACAUUAGAGCAAUGAAACAAGUAAAAGCUAUCACUACAUGCAUAUAUGGCUGGUGGAGGCUCUAUGGUUAUAAUGUUUUUGCGAAAAGCUAAUUUUUUCCUACAACAAAGGAAUACAUUUUAUUUAACUAUCAUGGUAGUUAAAAACAUUGAGAAUGGUAAAACCCCAUCUCAAUCCCAAUUAAAAGUAAUUAACAUCCCAACAUAUUUAAUUUAGGGUGAUGAGAUCCACAGGAUAAUCCAAGAACCAGAUACUCAAGAUGUCCAUAACCGGGGACACGGCUAACCAUGAUUAGUUUGUACAAUCUGUAGAGGUUUGCGCACUUUUCCCCACAAGACUCGAUCUCCUCCAUUGGAUUUCUCGCACUACAUGGUGUUUGAGAAACGGAUGACCGAGAUACAAUCCUUCAGAAGCAUUAACUCUAAACCAGGGUAGACAGUACCAACCUACAUCCCCUACAUCUACUAGCCUACCACUGGAAGAGGUCAUGCAACUUACUCCACUAUGUGAGACCCAUAAUAGCUUGUGGCUGCACACGGAAGUUUCUAGCAUGAAUAAUCUUAUGAUCCCUUUGAGCCUGGGUGGCGAACCAAAAAGGAUAGCACUGGUAUAUCCCCAGGUUCCCGCAACCAAUCCACCCAGAUGUGUGUUUAAGUAGCCACCUUAAGUAAACCAUUAAUUAAUAAUAUCACAUCUGUCAUGGAUCCACUCAAACCCAAUCCACGUCAACGAGCAUUGCAUGGCAAUAAAAUAGCAUAACGUAGAAGUAACUCCCAGGGGUUUGAUAAUAAAAGGGCAAUAGGUUCUACCUCAUCAACUACUUCCCAAAACCCACAUGUUAAGAGAUCCUACUCAUGCAAUGCUUUAGGGUUGUAACUAAUGCAUAAAAACUGGGUAAUAAAGGGGUAUGAUCAAUGUGUUACUUACCUUGCUGAUCAUCCGCAAAACCUAAUGACUCGUAGUAGGACGCUGCGCACUCCAGGAAUUCUAUCGCAAAAAACAAUAGCAUACAUAAGAACUUAAGCAAAGAGGCAAGGGUAAAACUUAAAAUAGGAAGAUCCAAACUGAAAGGUCAACUAAAGAGGUUCGAUUUGCAAAAGGAAUAAAUCAAAAUGGAGGUACGAAACUAAAACUACGGUCAAAAGAACUUUGAAAUCAAAUCUGCUUGAAACUUAAUUUUAAAUUUGUCAAAACCUUUUUCAAGUUGUCUAAACAAAAAGAGGGGUUUGAGACGAAGAUUUUCACAUUGGUUUCACUGGAUUUGGACAUAGGGUUAAGAAACAGCGAGGGUUUGAAGAUCAGGGGCUAAUCUGCGAUAAAAAUUAUCACGGAUAGGUCCCUGGCCGAAAAUAAAAUAAAAAGAAAAGACUAAAAAAUGAAUGUUCGCUGUUUGAACCUAACCGGCGAACAACGUUCGUUAAAACAAAUGAACGGACAGACAUCCGCUAAAUAAAUAAAUCGAUGAAAACCGGGAAAAACGCAUCUAGGGUUUUAAAGAAAAAUCGGCGGUUUUACCUAAAACAAGAAAAAACCGUGACCAAAACCGACAAAUCUGGCGGCGGCGGAUCCGGCAGCGGCGGCUUCCGGCGGAGCUCCGGCGAGGCGUGGGGUGGCGUGGGGCGGUGGCGAGUGGCAGGCGGCGGCUGCUGGCGGCUUCGGCGGCAGCGGCGGGGGACGAGAAGAGGAGGGCGGCGGGGGCUCCGGCAUUUAAAGGGGGGCGAAACGGCUCUGACUUGCACGAGGGGCGACGCGGGCGGCGUGGCGCGGCCGGACACCGGCGAGUCCGUGUCGCGCCCGACUAGGGGAGGCGGCGGCGCUCGGAUGGGCCAGCUGGGCCUUCGGCCCAGUUCGGUCCGAAACUUUUUUUAAAUACGGUUCCACCAAGAAAACAUCCUAAAUAAAAUAAAAUAAACAUCUAAAAAUGCCGAAACAAACUUUCGCCGUCCAAAUAAAAUAUUUAGAACUUAGUGAACAUUUUCUUGGCCUAAAAUGCAUAUUUUUCUAAUUCUAAUAAAGUAGCAAUAAAAUCCAAAUAAAAUACUUUAAUUGAUUUUAAUAGUUUUCCUCCAAUAUUUCAUUUAUUUUGAAGAAGUCAUAUUAUCUCCUCUCAUAUAUACUUUUGAUAUGAAUAUUUUCGGAGAGAAAAAUAGUAAAACCAAAAUGAUCCACUUUUCAAUAUUUGAGAAAAUUCAAAUAUGAAAAUAUUAAAAUCCCCAACUCUCUCUAUGGGUCCUUGAGUUUCUUAGGAUUUUCGGAUCACAAAGCCAAAAUGCAAAUAAAAAUAUGAUAUGCAUAUGAUGACCUAUGUAUAACAUUCCAAAUUGGAAAUUUGGGAUGUUACAGUCCGUGACAAGUGGACCGAAAAGAUUCUGCAUCUACUUCUAUUACUCCACACAUCGACCGCUAUCCAGCAUGCAUCUAGAGUACUAAGUUCAUAAGAAUAGAGUAAUGCAUUAGGCAAGAUGACAUGAUGUAGAGGGAUAAACUCAAGCAAUAUGAUAUAAACCCCAUCUUUUUAUCCUCGAUGGCAACAAUACAAUACGUGCCUUGCUGCCCCUGCUGUCACUCGGAAAGGACACCGCAAGAUUGAACCCAAAGCUAAGAUUGAACCCAUUGCAAGAAAGAAUAAUCUAGUAGUCCAAACCAAACUGAUAAUAUGAAGAGACUUGCAAAGAUAACCAAUCAUACAUAAAAGAUUUCAGAGAAGAAUCAAAUAUUGUUAAUAUAUAAACUUGAUCAUAAACCCACAAUUCAUCGGAUCUCGACAAACACACCGCAAAAAGAGUUACAUCAAAUAGAUCUCCAAGAAGAUUGAGGAGAACAUUGUAUUGAGAUCCAAAGAGAGAGAAGAAGCCAUCUAGCUAAUAACUAUGGACCCAAAGGUCUGCGGUAAACUACUCACACAUCAUCGGAGAGGCUAUGGUGUUGAUGUAGAAACCCCCGUGAUCGAUUCCGCCUCCGACAGAGCUCCGGAAAAGGACCCAAGAUGGGAUCUCUUGGGUAUAGAAGGUUGCGGUGGUGGAAAUAGGGUUUUGUGGUUCUCCUGGAUGUUGUCAGGGUAUACGGAUAUAUAUAGGGGGAAGAAGUAGGUCGGUGGAGCUGCGAGGGGCCCACGAGGGUGGGGGGCGCCCCCAGGGGGGCAGGCGCAUCUGGGCCCUCGUUUCUUUCAUGACGUCCACUCCAAGUCGCCAGGAUCACGUUUGUUCCAAAAAUAACUCUCCUGAAGGUUUCAUUCCGUUUGGAUUCUGUUUGAUAUUCCUUUUCUGCGAAACACUCUAAUAGGCAAAAAAACAACAAUUUGCACUAGGCCUUGGGUUAGUAGGUUAGUCCCAAAAAUAGUAUGAAAGUGUAUAAAUAAGCCCAUUAGCAUCCAAAACAUAUAAUAUAAUAGCAUGGAACAAUAAAAAAUUAUAGAUACGUUGGAGACGUAUCAGUGUGGUAGCCAUCUUUUGACGUCAACUCAUGGGCAAACGCUUCCAAAUUUUUAUGUGGGCAUUACUAUGCAAUUUAUGCAUUCAAACUUUAGAGGUCCAGAUGGGAUGUAUGACAACCAUGAACAGUGAUUUAUUUUCAUAUUUCAAAUGGAAAUUUUUGGUUGGGUGUGACUAAUGUGAACCUUCUCUAUUCACAUAACUAAUGGUAUUUUUUCAAACAUAUAUAAUCCCAUGAAUUGAAUGAGGAUAUCAUGAGGCAUGUUUCUAUCUAAGUAUUUGUUAAUUAACUGAAGACAAACUCUAAUGAUUAAUGAGGUGCGUGAUGUACACCCUAUAUGUUGUAUGGAGAAUCUAACGAGCACCAAUAUGCGAGAACAAGUCAUUCCUUCCAUCAUAUCACAAGUUAGUUAAUUGUUAGCAUGGAUUUAUGCAUUUAUGCAUUCAAAUCAUUGUUCAUGUCCAUGCAUAAUCAUUCACUUUCACAUGUUUGAUAUCGAUUUAAACGCAUAGAGCGUAAGUAGGUGAAUCAAAAACUUCCAUUUGUUUUUGUACUUGAUUAGUCUAUGGAUAUUUAUGAUUAUACACUCUAUAUAAGUUGUAUUUUCCUAACAGUGCACCCAUGGUUGAAUUAGAUCAAGACAUCCAACCCAUAGAUAUAUUUCCUUGUAGGUUAACCUGCUCAAAAUUUGGCAAAUUGAUGUUUAAAAGAGGGUAAGACCCCCCGAACUUUGCAUGGAUUUAUGCACACUGCCUUUGGUAUAUUUACGUGCUCACAUCAUCUAUCAUGGGGGUACUUCAUUGAAGAUAAGUGGAAACUUAAACAUAGUACUGCCUAUGUGCACGUUGUAACACCCACGAUGCGGCUAUAUCUCCCACGUGUCGGAGCACGACUUAGAGGCAUAACCACAUAGUAGGCAUGUCGCAAGAGGGGUAAUCUUUACACAUGCCAUGUACUGAAUAAGAAAGGGAUAAAGAGUUGGCUUACAAUCACCACUUCACACAAAACAUACAUAUAUCAUACAUCAUCCAGAAUACAAUCAAGGUCCGACUACGGAACCAAAAUAAAGAAGACAACCCCAAAUGCUAGAUCCCCGAUCGUCCCAACUGGGCACCACUACUGAUCAACUGGAAACGAAACAACACAACAAACACGAUCUUCUUCGAGCUCCCACUUGAGCUCGGUUGGGUCACCUGCACUGGUAUCAUCGACACCUGCAACUGUUUGGAAGUAACUGUGAGUCACGGGGACUCAUCAAUCUCACACCCGCGAGAUCAAGACUAUUUAAGCUUAUGGGUAGGGAAAGGUAGUGAGGUGGAGCUGUAGCAAGCACUAAGCAUAUAUGGUGGCUCAAAUACGCAAAUGAGAGCUAGAAGAGAAGCAAAGCAUGGUCGAUAAGCUAUCAUGAUCAAGAAGUGAUCCUGAAACUACUUACGUUCAAGCAUAACACGAGAUUGUGUUCUCUUGUCGAACUCUACCAAAAAGAGACCAUCACUACUACACACGCAAUUGAUGCAUUUUAAUUAAGUUAAGUGUCAAGUUCUCUACAACCGAAUAUUAACAAAUUCCAAUCUGUCCAUAACCGUGGGCACGGCUUUCGAAAGUUGAAAACCCUGCAGGGGUGUCCCAACAUAGCCCAUCACAAGCUCUCAUGGUCAACGAAGGAUAUUCCUUCUCCCAGGAAGACCCGAUCAGACUCGGAAUCCCCGUUACAAGACAUUUCGACAAUGGUAAAACAAGGCCAGCAAGAACGCCCGAUGUGCCGACAUCCCGAUAGGAGUUGCACAUAUCUCGUUCUCAGGGCAACACCGGAUGAGUGCUCCAUACAACUAAAACCAGCCCUCAAGUUUCCCCGAGGUGGUGCUGCAAAGGACCCUAGUUCGGACCAACACUUAGAGAAGCACUGGCCCGGGGGGUUAAAAUAAAGAUGACCCUCGGGUUGGCCGACCCGAGGGAAGGGUAGGUGGUGGUGAGGCAAAUGGUAAAACCAAGGUUGGGCCUUGCUGGAGGCGUUUUAUUCAAAGCAAACUAUCAAGGGGUCCCCAUAACACCCAACCGCGUAAGGGACGCAAUAUCAAUGAACAUAACACAGGUAUGACGGAAACUAGGGCGGCAAGAGUGGAACAAAACACCAGGCAUAAGGCCGAGCCUUCCACCCUUUACCAAGUAUAUAGAUGCAUUAAUAAAAUUAGAGAUAUUGUGAUAUCCCAACAUAUCCAUGUUCCAACAUGGAAGAAACUUCAGCUUCUAUAACACCCACAGUGUCAUGCUACAGUAAUCCGCUGUUGAUGGUGCCAUGUCAUCACACUACUGUUGCUAAUCUUCACUUGAUCCAAAUCACAAUUCAAAUUCAAAUCCAAUCUGAAGUCAAAAAUCCAUAUUUGUCUGACAUGAAAACUAAAAUGUUCAUCAUGUGGCAAAUAAUCACUUGUUAAUAUUGGUGGUGAACCAACUUUUUGCAAGGUGUUUAAAUGGCCUACACCAAUUAAAGUAGUGGCUAAAACAAUAGAUUAAAUGGCUUUCUUAAUUUAUAAAAAUUUCAAACUAUUUCAAAAGCCUCACAACCUUGUUAUGGCAGUGCUAACUAAUGCAAUGUAAUUAUGUGGCCAAGUCCCACAUUUUACAAAAUCCUUUUGGCACCCCAAAUAUUACCAUGUUUUUUCUGUAAAAAGAAAAGAGCAAAAGUAAAAGACAAAAAAAGAGGAAGCACCCCCCACUAGGCUCCGGCCCAGCUGGCCUACCCAACUGGGCCAAGGCCCACCCCCACUGCAUAACCACCCACUCCUCCCGUACCCCGAACCCCACCCACACCCACUCUCCCCCCUCGAAAUAUCUCCCUCCCCCUCUGUCCCGAUUGGAUCGGGAGGGGGGAAACCGGCCGCCACUCGCCGCCCGGUGGCGGCUCGCUGCGACACCGCCGCNNNNNNNNNNNNNNNNNNNNNNNNNNNNNNNNNNNNNNNNNNNNNNNNNNNNNNNNNNNNNNNNNNNNNNNNNNNNNNNNNNNNNNNNNNNNNNNNNNNNNNNNNNNNNNNNNNNNNNNNNNNNNNNNNNNNNNNNNNNNNNNNNNNNNNNNNNNNNNNNNNNNNNNNNNNNNNNNNNNNNNNNNNNNNNNNNNNNNNNNNNNNNNNNNNNNNNNNNNNNNNCACGCGCGCGCUUCGCGCCAUCCCGCUCGCUGCCUCGCUCGUGCGCCGUCCGACCGCGGCCACCAUGACCCCCAGCCGCGUCACACUGCACCUCGCCCCACUCCUGCCGCUGCCUUCCCAACCUGCCGCGGCUCCACCUCCCGCGCGCCACAUUCCCACCUGCGCCUACGCGCCUCCUCCUUUCUUCCUUGCCGCGCCGCCCGCGCCCUGCUCCUCUGCUGCACGCGGCAUCGCCACUCCUCGCGCCGCAGCCGCUCGUCGGCCGCUCACCCGUGGCUUGCUCCCCCACCACCAGGCCCGCCUUCGCUGACCCCUGCAGGACCGCGCGCCCAUGCGCCUCUGCCAGCACCGCCGAGGCCGCCCCGUGCUUGCACGCCCGCUCGUGGCCUCGCCCGGGUCGCGCCUGCCGCCGGAGCCCCUCGACCGCGUAGGGACCUCGCCGACAUACACAAGCACGCAUGCGCGUGAUUAAACGGCGGUUGACCGCUGACUUAGGGGCCCACCUUGCCUAAUUAGCCUUUAAAAAAAGAAUAUGCCCUAAACAGACACUUCCAAUGGGCCCCUCAUCUUAUUAACCAAAAUUAGAUUAUUUUAAAUGAAUAGUUAAUAUUGGGUGCAUGACACGUGGGACCCAUGCUCCCUGUUUGAGUUGAUAAGGCCGAACCAGUCAGCCUCUACUGACUGGGCUGUUGACCCAGUCAAUAGUGGCUCACCAGUCAGUCCCUGAGUAGCCUGGGUGGGUACACUUCUGUGUACAUAUAGCAUUUUUGCUAUUAAAUUCGGAUUAAUAAUAUUUCAGAAAAUGAUUUAAAACUUUAAAGAUUAAUAUAAAAUAAUUCGUAACUCAUAUGGAAAAACUUUGUACACGAAAGUUGCUCAGAAUGACGAGACGAGUCCGGAUACGCAGCCCGUUCAUCCCCCAUGCAUCCCUAGCAUAGUGAACACGCAACUUUCCCCCUCUGGUUCGUCUCUCUGAAAACGCGAAACACCGAGGAUAAUUUCUCGGAUGUUUCCUCCCUUCACCGGUACCACCUCGUACCGCGUUAGGGAACACCUAGCAUCACGCUUUGUCAUGUCAUACAUCGUCACACAUUUGUUUGAAUUAUAUUUAUUGUUUCUUCCCCCUCUUCUCUCGCUAGACACCGAGACCAACGCCGCUGCUACCCAGUACGACUACGGAGUUGACGACCCCUCUCUCUUGCCAAAGCAACCAGCCAAGCAAACCUCCCUUGAGCAUUCCGAUAUCGCCCAUUUCUUUCCCUCUGAUACUUGCAUUAGAACUGCUACUGCUUUCUGUAUGAUUCUACUCUGAUGCAUAGCCUGUUGUUGUUACCUCCUUUCAUACCUUUCCUGCUUAUCCUAAACUGCUUAGUAUAGGUUGGUUAGAGAUCCAUCAGUGACCCCCACCUUGUCCCAGUUGCCCCACUUUAUGUUCGAUGACGCGAUCAACGUGAUCGACGUCCAGGCCCCGACACCGCACAUCACCCCCCUAGUUGUACGACUCUGCAGAGUUACCAUCGAGUGCCGAGGGUGGAACCUCUUACAUCACUCCUGAUGAGAUCUCUGUAGUGUAGCUAUACGGCCGAGGUCAUCGAGGGUGAUUUCCUCCUUAACCACUUCCGUUACGGCUCUGUUGUGCAACCCCUCAAGUGUGAACCUGUUAGGACCCCGAUUCCAAGUCACAUCGAUCUAGCCGGUAACACCUCAUAUCACUUUGCGGCCUCACGCACGGUAUCCCACGGGUGUCGCCUUACGAUGGCCCGGGACCGUUUGCGCCUUUUGGCUCACGUAUAUGAUAGUGUCGCUAGCAUCCAUAUGAUAGAGAACCGAGGCCGACAUGGCUAGUCGUGAACCCAACGCGGCACAGACCUAUGGAGAUAGGCAUACAUGAAUCACAUCGAGCAUGUCGGUCAUCAGCGAGUGAUUCUGGGCUGUAGCACUGGGCUAACAGGACUCCGAGGAACCCGGGCUAUAGCAGGCUAGGCAGGACUCCGGAUGUCAUCGCGUGACAUUUCCCUGAAGGGACAGACAUAGGAACGACGUGAAACACAUGCCGUCCAGUCAAGUGUCCUGAGAAGUAGUGCUGGGCUAGGAGGUCUCCGGUAAACUGGGCUGUAGCGGACUACUAUGGCUCGAGGAACACUCAAGUCAUACAAUCAUACAAGCACAAGCGGAAGCAACUAGUCUGAGUACAGACACUAGAAAGAAAGAAGGCUUCUCGAAGCCUGAUUAUCUACAUAGGGCCCUCCAUGGCCAGGAUCACCACCUGGGUGGCUAGUCACUCAUCGACGUCAAGGUCUACGUAGAACCCAUCAGAGGGGGCGGUGUUGUUGUCUGAAACGGUAAUUAAGCAAACAUGAGUACAAAGGUACUCAGCAAGUCUUACAACAGAACCUACUAUACAUGCUCAUUCUCAAGAAGGUGGUGGGGUUAUUGCAGCAAGCCAGCUUUGACUCUUGGCUAAGCUAUCCUACGGAACUCCACUAGUAUAAUAGUUUUCGCACACGAGUCCACUACUCACCAACACAAUACUCCACCGGGGAUCCUCCCUCGUCAUCCCAAGAGAGGGCCAUCCUCGGUACUCACACUUAUCUUGAGUCUUUUAGUAGUAUCCAUUAACUUGUCUAUGAACUGUAUAGGCAACCAAGUAGUCCUUUACCACGGACGCAACUAUUCGAAUAGUUUUAUACCCUGCAGGGGUGUACUUCUUCAUACACGCUUUCACCACUUAUCGCCGUUUACACGACAUGUACUCGGCAACCUUCAAGCGGAAGCCUAGCGAGGGUGUCGGCCACGGCCUACCUAAACACUUAAGUCUCUAGUCCAGGUUUAUCGCCUAUCCAGGUUCCAUCCGCAGGGAGUCCGGCCGAGGUUUCCACAUACGGCCCCGAACGAUGUGAACAGGGUCCUGAGACGCCAAACGGGCGCCCGACAUACCCGGAUACGGUGUAUCUACCGCAACAUAGCCCACCCCUAGGGUGAGCGCGACGCACGGCCGCCAACACAUAACCUACAAACACCAGAAACUAUUUGCAACUCCUGGACAGAGUACUAGGGUGAUUAAGAAGCCGAGAGGGUCCAUUGGUUUCGGGCCCAAUGUAUGGUAGUAACUGCAUCUUAAAUCACACAUACAGAUCUCAGUUCUUAUGGACAGCCUCAAUGAAACAACCCACCAUGUACUCCUACAUGGCCUCUCAUCGAUACCUUUACCAAAACAUGUUCAACACAUCCCUCACAUUACCGACAUAAUCAUAUCACUCUAGCCCAUCACCCAGAUGAACCAGACCUGACACAACUCUAAGCAUAGCAGGCAUAGCAAGGUAGGAAUAACAUACAUGGCUCAAUCAACUCCUACACAUGCUAGUGGGUUUCAUCUAGUUACUGUGGCAAUGACAGGUCAUGCAGAGGAUAAGGGUUCAACUACCGUAGCACACAGUAGUUUGAAUCGCGUUGUGUUAAUGCAGUAAACAAGAGCAAAAGCGAGAACAUGGGUUUGUAUCGGAAUGAUCAAUGGGUUGCUUGCUUGUUGUAGAGGUAGUAGGGUACUGCCCUUCAGACGGAUACUUGGGGUUAUUCUCGGAGGCAGAACCUACCACGAAAACCACACCAAACAUGAUCAACACAUGGCAAUAUGCAACAAUAUGAUGCAUGCUAUGACAUGGCAAGAUGAAAGUGUCUUGGCCUAAUGCAAGCUAAAACAGAAGGGGAUGAACUCAUUUGAAUCAAAGAUUCAAAUAUUAGCUCAUUAAACAUGGCCUUAUUAGUGAAUUACCUUAUUCUGCUUAAACAGCAAGGUUAACUUCUUUUGUCAUGCAUGAAACCAUUACAGAUGGAUAGAUUGAAUUUUUUUGAUCAUUUUUCAUAUAUAAAUCUUUGCAUUUGGAGCUAUGGUUGAUUUUCUAUGAUUUUUAGAAGUUUUGGAUAUUUUCUGGAAUUUCCUAUAUAAGAAUAAUUCCAAUUAUUGAAUUAAUGCGUCAGCAUGACAUAGGUGUGACGUGAGCGGUCAACUGGGUCGGCCAGGUCAAACCUGACUGGUGGGCCCUCUCUGUCAGUGUCACAACUAGUUAACGGAAUUAGAUUAACACUAAUUAGCUGUCAGUGGGGCCUGGGCCCACAUGUCAGUGUCUAAACUAAUUAGAAUUAGUUAAAACUAAUCUUAAACUGAUUAGCAGACCAGCCCCACCUGUCAUAGACUCAGGGGGGGUCUACGUGGGCCCGCACAGGGGUCAAACUGAGUCAAAAUCGCCGGCGGCUUGACGCCGGCGACGUCAAACGCAGCGGAGGGGCUCAGGUUUGCGUUUCCGGCGACCAAAACGACGGCGGAGAGCAGCUAUGUGACACGGGGAGUGAGCCGCAUCGUUUGGUGGAGGAAGUGGGGCUCGGGGAGGCCGGGAACGAUGCCGGCGACGACCUUGGUGGUCACCGGAGUUCGGGUGAGGAUGAAACCGAGGCUACGGGGCACGGCAAGGCGAGGGGAGUGGUGCGUUAGGCUCCUGGGAACGCGUGGAAGACGAAGGCGUGCUCGAAUUCGAGCUUACGCGCCUGUGGCCACGGCGGCGACAUGGCCGGCGGAGCCGAGCUCUCGGCCUCGAUGGCAGAGGGGGUUAGAGGACACGGAUGAGCGCGGGGAGAGGGGAAACGAUGGCAGAGCUCACAGCGGUUGUAGGGAGGCGAACGGCGAGCUCGGGGAAGGGCUGGAGCGAGCGGGGCGGCGAGGGGGAUCUCUGGUGGCUGGUGUUGAGAACGAUCUUGGUGCAGCGUCUCUGGGGCGAGCGAGCGCACGGGGCUCGGCCUACUUGAUGCAGUCGACGACGGCGGAGCUUCCUGGCAUGUCGGGGCAGCAAAUGGACGGCGGUGGCUGCGGUGAAGCUUGUCAGCGGCGACGGCUACGCUCGGUAGGAAGAGGGGGAGAGAGCCAGAGAGGGAGAGAGGCCACGGGGAGAGUGGGAAGAAAGAGGGGGAGACGUGGGGGUCGUCGUGGCACUCGUAGACGCCUCCAGGGCGUCGGCAGAAGCAGGAGGUGGCCGGCGUGUGGCCGCGGGCGCCGGCCACGCGCUCCUCGUCCUCCUGGCGAGAGGAGGCGGACGACAUCUUUAAAAAUCCUGAAAAUAAUUAGGGGCUCUGCUUAGAUUAUUCCCAACAGCCCACACUUAUUUCCAGAAUUAUUUGAGCAUUUAAAUUAUUUUAUAGCAUUUAAAUGCCCAAAUUCAAAUACUUAUGAUUUAAUUCAGAGAAUCCAGAAUGUCCUAGAAAAGAGUGCACCAUUUUUGCCAGGGGUUUUAGCCCAAUCUAGAAAUGAUGAACAUUUUGUGAAGGCAUUUUGGGUUCAUUGAAAAUAAUUUUAGUAAACCCUAGUUGUUUCCAGGGGUGUGCUCGGGUUUCUGUCUUCCCCAUUUCAAAUUUAAGGGAAUUUAAACAUGAUGCACACUCUAAUGCUUGAACUAGCUAGGGUGUGACAACUCACCCCCACUCAAAAGAAUCUCGUCCCGAGAUUUAGGAUCCUCCGGAAAGAAGGUGGGGUACUCGAGUCGAAGACGAUCCUCCCUUUCCCAAGUGUCUUCUUUCUCGGAAUGGUGUGACAAUUGAACCUUGAGAAACUUGAUAUUAUGACGUCGAGUGGUACGCUCGGCUUGAUCAAGGAUACAAACGGGAUAUUCCCAAUAUGAGAGGUUAUCUUGUAGAUCGAGCGUUUCGUGGUCCACUCCACGGAUAGGAUCCGCGAAGCAACGCCUGAGUUGAGAAACGUGGAAGACAUCGUGAACUCUGGAAAGAUGCGAAGGUAGUUCCAAUUGGUAGUCAACUUCUCCUCGUUUGGCAAGAAUGCGAAAAGGUCCAAUGUAACAAGGAGCCAAUUUGGCUUUGAUACCGAAAUGAUGGGUUCCCUUUAACGGAGUAACCCGAAGGUAAGCCUUCUCGCCGACUUCAUAAUGACUCUUUUGAUGAGAUUGGGCUGUUUUCAAUUUCUCACGAAUAACGUGAACCUGUUCUUCAGCUUCCUGAAUCAUACCCGGGCCAAAGAGUUGUCUUUCCCUGGUUUCUGACCUGUUAAGAGGCGUUCGACAUUUUCGUCCAUAGAGAACUUCGAAAGGAGCCUUGCCCAAGCUCGCUUGAUAACUAUUGUUGUAAGCAAACUCUGCAAAUGGAAGGCAUUUCUCCCAACCCAUUCCGAACGAGAUGAUAGAGGCUCAAAGCAUGUCUUCCAGAAUUUGAUUGACCCAUUCUACUUGACCACUUGAUUAAGGAUGGAAGGCGGUGCUAAAAGAGAGACGAGUUCCCAUAGCAUUUUGGAAACUUUCCCAAAAUCGAGAGGUGAAGAGACUCCCAAGGUCUGAGUUAAUUUCCAAUGGAACACCAUGAAGAGACACUAUUUGGGAGAUGUAUAAAUCGGCUAGCUGGCUAGCGGUGAUACUCUCACGAAUAGGUAGAAAGUGGGAUACUUUGGAAAGUCGGUCGAUCACGAUGAAGAUGGCAUUAUUCCCUCUCUUGGUCCUAGGAAACCCAGUGAUGAAAUCCAUACUGAUUUUAUCCCAUUUCCACUCGGGAAUAGCCAAAGGUUGAAGGGUGCCAGCAGGCCAUUGAUGCUCUGCUUUAACAUGACGACAAACGUCGCAAUUAGCAAUGUAUUGAGCGAUUUCUCUCUUCAUCCUAGUCCAACAAAACCUCUAGCGUAGGUCUUGAUACAUUUUAGUACUACCGGGAUGAAUGGUUAGAGGGGAUUCAUGAGCUUCCUUAAGGAUCAACCGCCUCAGGUUUCGUGCCUUUGGAACCACUAGGCGAUUUCCAAAGUAUACGACACCUUGAUCAUCAAUGGAGAAACAAUUCGCGACUCCUUUCUUAAUGUUUCUCUUAAUACGGGAGAUUCCCGGAUCUACCUUCUGUGCCUUGAUGAUCUGAUCCGUAAGGGUAGGUUUCGCCACCAGGGUGGAUAGGAAUCCUCGAGGAACAAUGUGAAGAUUAAGCUUACGAAAUUUCUCAUGCAGAAGUGGUUGACUUUGUUGUAACAUCAGGUUGUUACAAUAGGACUUACGGCUUAGCGCAUCAGCCAUGACAUUGGCUUUGCCCGGAGUGUAAGUUAUUCCUAAGUCGUAAUCCGAGAUCAACUCGACCCAACGUCUUUGCCUGAGAUUCAAAUCUGGUUCGGUGAAGAUAUAUUUCAAACUUUGGUGAUCGGUGAAGAUCUCGCAACGAUUACCGAGAAGGUAAUGUCGCCAAGUUUUAAGUGCAUGGACUACAGCUGCAAGCUCAAGAUCAUGUGUGGGAUAAUUUUCCUCAUGUGGGUGUAAUUGCCGUGAAGCAUAGGCAAUUACCUGACGAUCUUGCAUGAGUAUGCAACCUAGUCCUUGUCACGAGGCGUCGCAAUAGAUAAUAAAGUCCUUGGAGAAAUCUGCUGGUACCAGUACGGGAGCAGAUGUGAGGCGUCUUUUCAGUUCCUGAAAGCUGAACUCGCACUGUGGAGUCCACUCGAACUUUUUAUCUUUCUUGAGGAGUUUAGUUAGAGGUUUAGCAACCUUGGAGAAAUUCUCGACAAAGCGGCGGCAAUAGCUCGCUAAGCCAAGGAAGCUCUGAACUUGCUUGACCGUCCCAGGUGGAGUCCAAUCAAGGACGGCUUGAACUCACUCGGGAUUGACAGCAAUACCCUUACCAGAGAUUACAUGGCCUAGAUAGGUCACUUCUGGCAACCAAAAUUCACACUUGGAGAAUUUGGCAUAAAGGCGAUGCUCUCGAAGUUUCGUCAAUACCAGCCUUAGAUGUUUGGCAUGUUCCUCUUCAUUCUUGGAGUAGAUGAGUAUAUCAUCGAGGUAUACUACGACGAAUUUAUCCAAAUACUCCAUGAAGACCGAGUUCAUUAACCAAGAGAAGGUAGCUGGGGCAUUGGUUAAACCGAAGGACAUAACGGUGUACUCGUAUUGGCCAUAACGAGUAACAAAAGCCGUUUUGGGAAUGUCCCCGUUUCUGAUUUUGAUUUGAUGGUAGCCUAACCUCAAAUCCAUCUUGGAAAAGAUUGAGGAUCCAGCGAGCUGAUCAUACAGAUCGUUGAUCCCGGGGAGCAGAUACUUGUUCUUGAUGGUGACCAAGUUGACAGGUUAGUAAUCUAUAACCAUUCGAUCUGUUCCAUCCUUCUUCUUGACGAAGAGGACGGGGCAAGCCCAAGGAGAGGAACUAGGACGGAUGAAACCCUUUUUCAAGGACUCAUCGAGUUGGUUCUUAAGCUCGGCUAGUUAUAAGGGUGCCAUCUUGUAGGGUCUUCUAGAAAUUGGAAUAGUUCCUGGAACAAGGUCUAUCACAAACUCGACAUCCCUGUCAGGUGGAACACCUGGCAGUUCUACUGGAAAGACAUCCAGAAAAUCUCGGACUACCAGAACAUCCACAAGGUCUGGAAGGGGGUUGGCUUUUAGGGAGUAAAGCUAGCGCUUGGCCACUCGAGUUAAGACAUUGACUGUCUUGCCCGAUGGGUGAGUAAGUUGAACGGUUCUAGUGGCACAAUCAAUCUUAGCAUAAUGAGAUGACAUCCAGUCCAUACCCAAGAUGAUGUUUAUGUCCGAGGACUUGAGAGCUAUUAAGGAUGCAAGGAAGACAAGUCUAUCGACAAGAAUUUCGUUCCCAUGGCUUAAUCUAGAAGUUUGCCAUCUAGAGCCAGGGGUUUGAAUUUCCAUGGUAGAGGGCAUGUCACAGAAUGUCGUGUUAUGCAAUCGAGCAUAGUUCUCGGAUAUGAAUGAAUGAGAUGCUCCAGUAUCGAAAAGAACAGAUGCCGGAUGGCAGUUAACAAGGAGCGUACCAAGGACGACAUUAGGAUCCUCAUGAGCCUCCUCGGCUGAAACAUAGUUGACAUGGCCACGGGCAGUGGUGACCGGCUUGGCAUAGAAUGUCUUUCCCGCGGGCUUACCAUGGCCAACGGACUUUCCAGUUUGAUUGGGGUUGUUGUUCUGGGGACACUCUCGGUUAUAGUGACCCGGCUCUCCACACUUGAAGCAUGUCACCACAUUGGGGCGUGGAGCAGCAUUAGCAGCAGGGCACCAUAGGGCUUGGGCGGUGCAAACUGCUAGUUGGGACGAGGUGCCUCAAAGGAUGGCCUCGGAAUAAACCUGGGUGGCAGUGCCAUGCUUGGGAUCCACACCCAGCGCUUCUGAGCUCCAGAGCCGGAUGAAUAGCCAAAGUCACGUGAGUGCUUGCGUGAAGCGUCAUAAUCAGUCUGGCCUGUUUCAGCACUGAUGACUUUAUUGACCAACUUCUGAAAGGAGGUGCACUCGUGCAGACGAAGAUCGCGGUGAAGCUCAGGGCUAAGUCCCUUGCGGAACCUUGCCUGCUUCUUAGCGUCAGUAGAUACCUCUUCAGGGGCAUAACGUGCUAGAUUCCCAAAUUCACGACUAUAUGCAUCCACAGUCAGUCUUCCUUGGGUGAAAUUGCAGAACUCCUCCCUCUUGCGAUCCAUGAGACCUUCUGGAAUGUGAUGCUCACGGAAAGCCUCACUGAAUUCAGCCCAAGUAGUAAUUUGGCCGACCGGGCGCAUAGCUUCGAAGUUUUCCCACCAGAGGCUAGCAGGGCCUUCGAGAUGAUAGGCAGCAUAAGUAACCUUGUCGGGUUCGGCUACAUUGGCAGAACGUAGCUUGUGGGUGAUGCUGCGAAGCCAGUCAUCCGCGUCGAGGGGUUUGACGGAAUGGUUAAACUUUGGUGGGUACAGCUUGAUAAAGUCAUUGAUUGACACCAAGUCAUUUCGCGGGUGGUGUGCAGUGUUCUGCUCAAUCCGCUCUAGCAGGCGGUUAGUCUCACACUUGUUUCUUUCCGCCUCCAACAUUACUUUGGCCAGAGAAGGCGGGUGAGGCAGAUUUUCACCCCUAGCUGCACUGGCUUCCCCCUGCUCCAGGGCAGCAGGGUUGCUGCGGGUCUUGACCAUCCUAGGAGAAAACAAGACAACGGUUUAGAUAAGGAUGGCUCAAACUUAGCAAGGAAGUGCAGAAUGUAAUGGAUAACACGGAAUGCAGAGAUGUCCAUCCGUAAGUCAUGGUAAUAUAAAACUGCCAUAUAUAUACCAACGGUCAUACACAUCAUACAUAGUUCAGUACAAGCCCAGGCUACAGUACAACUAUGAUGAAAGACGUUACAUCUCAUCGGAGGCAUUCCAAGCUCCUAUACAUUAUUUGUCUACACCUCCGGAAUUGAUUACACAAAGUCAUAUUCCACAAGUCACGCAGGACAGUGGAGAUACAACUAUUACAAUACUAGUGAUACUACUACUAACUCAGACAGCUCCGUAGUAGUCCUCAUAGAAGUCACCUCCAUAGCCUGGAAGUUCAACGUGAUCAUCCGGGAACAGACGGUCCUGAGGAGCUUGUGGACCAUAGGGGCUAGGAUGAGGUCUUGGACCAACAAACAGUGGCCUGCGGGGACCACGGGGUGGGGUGAUGCCUCCCACAUCACGCCAAUCCACCAUGUCUGGCAGAGCAGAUAUCACAGGAUACAGAUCCCUUGUAUCCAUACAUCCAGCUUGCACCAUAGGUGCAAACCGAGUCAAUGUGGCCCAAUGAUCAGCACGGGUAUUGAAAAGCUCCAGCCUUAAGGCCCGAUUCUCUCGGUCCUUAUCUUCGAGCAUCUCGGCAGUGGUACGAGUUAAUGAGUCCUCCUGAGUGGAGUCAGCAUAGAUAGCCUGAAGAUACCCUUGCGCUCCCGGAAGUGAAGCUGGCAUGUAACGGAAGUCGGUGUUCCGAAGCAGGCCAGUCCGGACUCGCAUGAUGGUCAUCAUGGAAUAGGCAGCAUCCUGCACAGCCAUCUCAACAGUAACCCCGAGUCCAUAGGAACAGUGAAGGGGCUCGGUAGAUCCAGGAUAAGAAGGAAAUAUCCUGACGGUGCAGAAAUAUUGGCUUUGAUUAAAGUCUCGGAAUUGCUCUUCGACGGUGUAUUCGGGAUACCAAUGGUAACCCGUCUCGAUCAUUACCCGGACUAACAUAGCAUUAUGACCGGGCACGUCGAGGCACCGGGUCAGGCGAACCACUUGGUUUUGAGCACGGUUGGCCAUCUGAAAGCACAACCACAAUGCAAAGACAUUAGAAUUUCUAGGGAAAAUUGGACGGCAUAACAGCUGUAAAUGCUCAAAAAAGAUUUGAGACAUCCACAACAGUCUGCAAUACCACUCAACCACAUCAUAUCAAGGUUCUGAUUCAAUUAGCAACAUACUAAAAGUAGUAGAAACCGAACUGGGGCUUGUAACAACAAUCCUAUAAGCUACUACGGAUUAGUAACACGUGAACCUGAUAGAAGAAGAGAGCCUAGUCCUUAACCCAUGUUGAAUGAGAAGAGAAUGACUCAGAUCAAAGGACAUAAGGUAAAGGAGUAAAAGAGCCUUACGUUCCCUUCCACAAUCAAUUCCCCUACAUUUAACUAACACUACUGGAAUCAGCUACUUUGCCAUCUGCCAGCUCUUUGCCGUCAGCUAGCGGACGGCAAAGAAGCUCUUUUCCAUCAGCUACCCAAAAGCAGACAGCAAAGCACUGGCUGAUGGCAAAGAAAGCCUUUGCCAUCAGCCAGCUCUUUGUCGUCCGCUGGCUGACGGCAAAGAAUCUUUGCCGUCCGCUAGCAGACGGCAAAGAGGGACGGGGGCCCACUGAGGAGCUGGUUAAAAAAUACUUAACGUCCCCCCGCUUUGCCGUCCGCCGCAGAUGGCAAAUAUGAAGAAAAGCGGACGGCAAAGGAGGGCAGACGACAGAGGCUACCCUAACUAACCUAACUAACGGCCGAGCCCCUCCCCCGCCCGUUACUCAUCUCUCUCCCUCAACCUCCUCCGCCCCGCCCCCGCCANNNNNNNNNNNNNNNNNNNNNNNNNNNNNNNNNNNNNNNNNNNNNNNNNNNNNNNNNNNNNNNNNNNNNNNNNNNNNNNNNNNNNNNNNNNNNNNNNNNNNNNNNNNNNNNNNNNNNNNNNNNNNNNNNNNNNNNNNNNNNNNNNNNNNNNNNNNNNNNNNNNNNNNNNNNNNNNNNNNNNNNNNNNNNNNNNNNNNNNNNNNNNNNNNNNNNNNNNNNNNNNNNNNNNNNNNNNNNNNNNNNNNNNNNNNNNNNNNNNNNNNNNNNNNNNNNNNNNNNNNNNNNNNNNNNNNNNNNNNNNNNNNNNNNNNNNNNNNNNNNNNNNNNNNNNNNNNNNNNNNNNNNNNNNNNNNNNNNNNNNNNNNNNNNNNNNNNNNNNNNNNNNNNNNNNNNNNNNNNNNNNNNNNNNNNNNNNNNNNNNNNNNNNNNNNNNNNNNNNNNNNNNNNNNNNNNNNNNNNNNNNNNNNNNNNNNNNNNNNNNNNNNNNNNNNNNNNNNNNNNNNNNNNNNNNNNNNNNNNNNNNNNNNNNNNNNNNNNNNNNNNNNNNNNNNNNNNNNNNNNNNNNNNNNNNNNNNNNNNNNNNNNNNNNNNNNNNNNNNNNNNNNNNNNNNNNNNNNNNNNNNNNNNNNNNNNNNNNNNNNNNNNNNNNNNNNNNNNNNNNNNNNNNNNNNNNNNNNNNNNNNNNNNNNNNNNNNNNNNNNNNNNNNNNNNNNNNNNNNNNNNNNNNNNNNNNNNNNNNNNNNNNNNNNNNNNNNNNNNNNNNNNNNNNNNNNNNNNNNNNNNNNNNNNNNNNNNNNNNNNNNNNNNNNNNNNNNNNNNNNNNNNNNNNNNNNNNNNNNNNNNNNNNNNNNNNNNNNNNNNNNNNNNNNNNNNNNNNNNNNNNNNNNNNNNNNNNNNNNNNNNNNNNNNNNNNNNNNNNNNNNNNNNNNNNNNNNNNNNNNNNNNNNNNNNNNNNNNNNNNNNNNNNNNNNNNNNNNNNNNNNNNNNNNNNNNNNNNNNNNNNNNNNNNNNNNNNNNNNNNNNNNNNNNNNNNNNNNNNNNNNNNNNNNNNNNNNNNNNNNNNNNNNNNNNNNNNNNNNNNNNNNNNNNNNNNNNNNNNNNNNNNNNNNNNNACCCCGACAUGACACCCUAACCCCGAAACAGCACCCCAACACCGACAUGACACCCCGACCCCCUAAACCUCCCGAAAAGGUGCUCUUUGGCCUUCCAGAGGCCGACGGGGUUAUAUAUUUGUGAAUUAUUAGUUAGGUCAUAUAUUUUUCGAUUUUGUUAUGAAAAACAACAUAUACAAUUGUGUUGAUCGGGUAGAUUUAAAUGUGGAGUUGUUUCAUCACUGCGAGGUUUGGUGUUCGAUGACCGCGCCAUGCGUUUGACGAGUUCUGCCCCUUCGUUCGUGGGUGAGCACAAAUGACAUGUCCUUCUCCCCCAUUAAUUAUUUGCACAAAUGACAUGAAACUUGAUAGCUAACUAUAUAUGUGUCUUGAAUCAUCAGUAUGCAUAACCAAUAUGUGUCUCCCGUUCGAAAGCGUCAUAGUUAUAAAUAUGCAUGCAUUUGCAUAUUUAUAACCUUGAUUCUUUCAAAUUGUCCAACGUAUCCAUGGACAGCCCGAGUAUGUGUAGAUUGGGUUCGUUUUCCCAUAUGCUUUGCUCCAGAUCCGACGCAUAAAUUUCGUUAGUGCCUCCCCUGUUGUUCUCCGGGUACACAUCCUCUCUGUUUAUUGCAGAGACGUGUAUCAGGAGAACAGCGAGGAGGUGCUGCCGAAAUUUUGCGUCGGAUUCGGAGCAUAGCAUAUGGGAAAAUGAACCCAAUCUAUACAUACUCGGGUGGGAUUAGGACCUAUCAUUACCUAUUAGAGUGUAGGUUGCAUGGACGUAAUAAAAUUGACAAAGUAGAUCAACUGAUGAAUAUAUACAUGGUGAAUUACAUAUAUAAUUGUUGUGUGUCCAGUAGCUCUGAAAGUCAAGAUGAGUGACCGUGCUUGGAUGUAUACCGGUCACACUGGUAAGAACAAAUGGAGCGCCGAAUGGUUCACAAAAACUAAGGGGUUUGUGCAAGCCACAUUUGCAAAUGGCCAAAAGAAAACCUGGUGCCCCUGUUUCCAGUGCGGCAAUUGGGAAAAGAAGACAGAGGCUGAAAUGGACAAACACCUGCAGAAGAGUGGUUUUACGCCCGAUUAUACAGUGUGGACAUUUCAUGGUGAGUCUGCCCAACAUGACCGAGCUGAGGUGGAUCGUCGUUGCACCGACGAGCAUGGUACCGGGAUGGAAAACAUGGUGCAAGGCUAUGAUGAUGCUCGGGAUUCGGACGAGGAGAUGGAGGAAUCUGCAAAGGCCUUCAAUGAAAUGUUGGAGUCUUCGAAACGUCCGCUCCACGAGCACACUGAGCUUUGUCAGUUGGAUGCCAUCUCACAAGUAAUGGCUCUGAAGGCUCAGUUCAACUUGGGCAGAGAAUGCUAUGACUCAAUUAUGACAGUAUUUGGACGCUUUCUACCCAAAGGCCAUGUAAUGCCUGCAAACCUGUACCAGUCGGACAAAAUCCUCCAUGCACUAAAAAUGCCCUAUGAGAAUAUACAUGCCUGUGAGAAAGGAUGUGCCUUAUUUGGGCUUGACUAUGUGGACUUGAACUAUUGUCCCAUUUGCAAGUCUUCCAGGUAUAUUAUGGUAGACAAUGGUAUGGGUGAGAAGACAUAGACCAAAAUCCCCGUUAGUGUUCUUCGGUAUAUGCCAAUCGUACCAAGACUUCAACGUCUUUUCAUGGUCGAAGAGACGGCUAGACAGAUGACAUGGCACAAAAUAGGCAAAAGAACCGAACUAGAUGCAGAUGGGAAUCUGAUGAUGGUACACACAUCGGAUGGUGUUGCGUGGAAAAAGUUUGAUGAAUUACAUGCUGACAAAGCGGCAGAUCCGAGGCAUCCUCGAGUCGGCAUCAGCACGGAUUGUUCAGUGUGUUUGGUAUGACGGCAGCCCAAUACAGUUGUUGGCCCGUAUUUGUCUUUCCACUCAAUCUCCCCCCCGGACAGAUUAUGCAAAGAAAGAACAUUUUCGUGACGUUGAUAAUUCCAGGGCCCAACUAUCCCGGCAAAAAUAUGAAUGUGUACAUGCCGCCGCUUAAGGACGAAUUGCAAGAAGCCUGGGAUAAUGGGUUCAAGACAUACGACGCCUUUAGCAAACGGAACUUCAUAAUGCGUGUCUGGUACAUGUACUCGACGCAUGACUUGCCGGCGUAUGCGCUAUUCGUUGGCUGGUGUGUGCAUGGAAGGUUCCCGUGCCCCACAUGCAAGGGAGCUCUUGAGUUCCGUUGGCUUCAGGCCGGUCGCAAGUUUUCUUGCUUCGACAUGCAUAGACAGUUCCUGGAUCCUCGCCAUAAGUUCACGAAAGACAAGAAGAACUUCAUCAGGGGUAGAGUUGUCAAAAUCUCUGCACCACCUGCAUUGACAGGCCAACAGACCCUGGACAAGUUAAACGCUCUCGAGCCAGAUCCACAACGUCCAGGGUACUUCAAGGGGUAUAAUACUAAGCACGCGUGGACUCACAACGUCCAGGGUACUUCAACGAGCCAGAUCUACCUUACUUCAAAGACCUCCUUUGCCCACACAACAUCGACGUGAUGCACACUGAGAAGAAUAUCGCCGAGGCACUUUUUGGUACAUUGUUCGGCAUAGAUGGGAAGUCAAAGGAUAAUACUAAGGCUAGAGUCGAUCUGGAGGCGCUAUGUGAUAGGCCAUUACAAAACAUGAAAGAACCGAAAGGAAAGCAGAACUGGACGAAGCCAAAGGCAUGGUUCAAUCUUGGAAGGCCAGCUAUGAGGGAAAUUCUCUUGUGGGUGCAACAGCAGUUGAUGUUCCCCGAUGGGUAUGCAGCGAAUCUAAAGAGGGGAGCGAAUCUUGAUAAACUGAAGAUAUUUGGUCUCAAGAGUCAUGAUUGGCACAUAUGGAUUGAGCGGGUAAUGCCGGUGAUGUUGUGUGGCUUCAUCCCUGAGGAUGAAUGGCUAGUACUGGCAGAACUCAGCUAUUUCCUCCGUGUUCUUUGUGCGAAAGAACUAUCGCCUGGCGUGCUAGAAGAAAUGGAAGAGUUGGCGCCGGAGUUGAUCUGCAAGUUAGAGAAGAUCUUUCCACCGGGCUUCUUUAAUCCAAUGCAGCAUUUGAUUUUGCAUCUCCCGACCGAGGCAAGAUUGGGAGGGCCCGUGCAAAAUCGUUGGUGCUACCCAACUGAGAGGAUGCAGAAGACGCUUCGAGAAAAAUGUAAAAAUAAACGUAGAAUUGAAGCAUCGGUGGCUGAGGCAUUCAUCAUAGAGGAGGCAGCAAACUUCGUAACAGCGCACUAUGAAGCCAAAAAUCGUCAUUUGCAUAAUUCGAAGCCUCGGUACAAUGCUGACGAGCCUAAAAAGGGUGGAUCCAACCUCAGCCUAUUCAAAGGGAAUCUCGCACCAGCUAGUGUUUCACAUCCAGUAUCUUUGGAUAACGAAGAAUGGCGGACCAUUUCGUUGUAUAUCUUCAACAACCUGAUAGAAGUGCGGCCGUACAUCGAGUAAGUUCUUGGUAUAUUGUUUCGCAACUUCUAUUUCCUUUGAACUACUCUUAUUCCUGGAUAUGUCAUACAGUCGAUACGUCGCCAUAUUCUCGUAUGGAGCGGAGAUCCAAAAGGAUUCCGUCGAAGAGUAUGAGCUUCUCGCAAAGCAAGGAGGUGGCUAUCCCGGUUUCAUCUCUUGGUUCAAACAAAUGGUAAUUUCUAUUAGACAAUUUCAUUUCAUUCGCUAAUUUGUGCAUAAUGCAACAAUCCUUUCAUAUUAAACUUGUAGGCUAAUUCAGAGUCUAUGGACGCCGAAUUGAGACAAGUCGCUAAUGGUUUUGACUAUAAGGUCCGUUCAUUUGACAAGUAUGACAUCAACGGGUAUCGCUUUCGUACCUAUGGCAAAGAGCUAUCUAUGGCCGACCAAAAGUCUACAAAUUGUUGUGUAUCUUCUGUCGGCGAAGGAGGUACCGAGUAUUAUGGGAGAGUUGAAGAAAUUUAUGAACUUCUGUUCUAUGGUGAAAACCCACCGAAUGUCGUAGUCUUCAAAUGUUAUUGGUUUCAGCCGAAGGAGACUAGAAGGACUCAUGAACAUAUAGGGCUAGUUGAAAUCAACCAAAGCACUCAUUUAGAUGUUCCUGAUGUCUAUAUUAUGGCUCAACAGGCGACCCAAGUAUUCUAUCUACCGUGGGCCUGCCAAACUAAUCCAAAUCUGAAAGGGUGGGAUGUUGUUUAUGAAGUGCCGCCACGUGCUAGACUUUCUCCCCCAAAGGAAGAGGAUUAUGAACCUCACAUUAACCCAGACACAUAUGAAGGAGAAUUCUUCCAAGAGACACGUCUUUCCAAAAAGCGUUUCAAGAACUGCUAUACUUCACCCCAAAACAUUGAAGUAGACAGCGAUAAUGAAUCCGACAUCACCCCAGAGGAGGAACAAGAAGAGCCGGAACAAGAAGAGCCGGAACAAGAAGAGGUUACUGCUGCGGAUGACCUGUCAAUGCUUGACCGAUUACGUCAAGGUGGCCUUGCACAUGUUGAUGCCAAUGAACCCUAUGAGCCCAUCAUUGAUUAUAGUGAUGAUGAUGAUUAUGCAUUUAUUGAUGAUACUGAUUGAGAUUAUUAGUAGUGUCAGGUAUUCAAUUUUUUUGUGUUGUACUUGAUGAUGAUACACUUAAGUGAUAUACAUAUUAUUAUUCAUGUCGGUACUUUUUUUAUGUUGUACUAAUUUCGUUUAUUCUUUGUCAUGGCAGGUGUUGAAAGAUGGUGGGCGCUGGUCGGGAGCGCGUCGAGGCCCCUUCUUCGUUGGCGCGUGGUGCGAGGUCUUCCAUUCCACACGCACCUCUCCGCUGAGCAUUGCUGGACAGUAUGGCGACACCGCCGGGCCCUUCUUCGUCGACCGCGGUGCCCAACAGGGGACGAGGUAAGAAGAAGAGAGGAGGUGGAGCACGUGGUCGCGGGAGAGGAGGUAGGGUGACUCUUACGGCGCCUUCCUCGCCACCGCCCCAGCUGUUUCACCCAAGCACGUGACUGCUAGGGUGGACUCGUCUGAGGAGGAGGCUGCAUGGACUCCGGUCCAUGAGCCUCCGGUCCAUGAGUCUUCGGCCCACAAGCCUCGGGUCGACGGGCCUUCGGCCCACGAGACUUGGGCCCACGAGACCCCGGAGGAGCACACGUCUGGAUGGGGUACCUGGUCGGGUCAGCCUGAGCGUGGCGGGGAGCCGAGUGGCCAUGCUGAUGAUGGCAGGGAGCCGACUGAUGAGGAGGGGGAGGAGGGGGGAAACGUCUACCAGUGUGGUGCUACACGGCUCCCGUCCGUGCCGGUGACCCGCGAGCAGAGGUGGUUGAUUUUCCUUUAUGGGGAGAGGUAUGUAAGUGCAUUCAAUAUUUUUGUACCUUCUGCAUUCACAUUUCUUCAAAUAACUAAUGUGUUGGCCUUGUCAUGCUGCAGGGGUUGGGACCACCAUCAUAGUGUCCGCCGGCCCAACUCCGUCCUUGGAGUUCUUUGCCGGCAAAACUUCCCGGGGUUUGUCACGUUGCCUGGUGAGGGUCGGCUUCCAUAGCUUGGAUUGAGCUAGGAGCACUACGUGGCUGCCCCGGCCCCGCCGGAUGAGAUUAUCGACGGUGUCGUGUGCGACACGAGGGCAGACAUGGUGAUCAGAAAGUUCUGGGUAAUUUCUCCUUUACACAUUUAAAAAUCUUCAACUAGCUAGUUAUUAAUUGUACUAAUCAAUAUUAUCUCAUUUGAUUGCAGACAUUCUACAGGUGUGAGGAGGGAUACGAGGAGGACGCGGCACAUGUUAUCGAGAACGUCUGCAAGCGCCUACUCCAAAACUUACGGCACGAGGCUCGGGUGCAGGCUGUUCGAGACUACUACGCCUUGCGUGGUAUCAAGAAGACCAAGCCGGCGUGCCGCGAUAAGUUCCUGAGUAAGGAGCAGUACAUGAAGGUAAUUCUUAAGGCCUUCUCUACUUAAGUUCCUUCAUUUAGUAAUUCUUAGCCGUAGCGCUCAAGUUUCUAUUUGCUAACUUAGGCGCCUCCGAGAUGGUGUGCGGAUCGGAUGGAUUGUUGGGAGGUGUUGGUCGAUGAGUGGUGCUCAAAACAAUGGCUAGCCCUCCACAACGAGGCCAAGGACAAACGUGCCCAAAUGGAAGGUGUGCCGCACCAUCAAGGAAGCUCCAACUUAUAUCAGUUCGGGCGCAACUGGGUAUGUGGUUUGCUUCAUGAUUCAUGCAAUUCAUUCAUCAUGCUAGCUUGAGCCCUUUAAUUACUAAUUUUCAUUGUUUCUCUCUUUCAGGCACGCUACAAUAAGGCGGAUAAGGUGCCAGAGGUGUACGACCUGUAUGCCAUGGCCCACACUGCCUCUUUCAAGAAAGUCAAGGCUUUCUCUCGGUCUGACCUCGAUGAUGCAAACAACUUCACCAACAUCUCCUCCCACAACAAGCUCAUGAGAUAUAGAGAUGAGGGGAAGGCGAGGAAAGGGGAGGACUUUAACCCGAGCCAGGGUCCCAUUGAUCCAGAGCUGGUGAUGAUAUCUGGUGGCGGGAGGUCCCAUGGCUCCAUAGCCAUUGGAGAUGGACUUAACCGUUAUCCUAGCACUCUCCCGAAGAUCAAGGCGCGCCAGUCGAGCUCCGCUCCUGAGAUAAGACCUCGUGAACAGCCAGUGCAACUCGCCAUCAAGGUUAGUGAUACGUACUCAGUUAUCUUUCUCCAUUACAUUGUGUGCACUUCCAUCAAUGAUUACAAAUGGUCAUGUGAGUGGUGUUGCAGACUGCUAUACAGAGUGAGAGAGAUAGAACGGAGAAACUUCUGGCGGAGGUGGCGGAGAGGCAGCGGGAGUUGGAGGAGAGGAUGACAAAGAUGAUGGAGGAGGAGAUGGCACGGAAUGACAUGCAGGCAAGGGCCAUGUACGAGCUCCUUGUGGUAAGUUUGUUCUGCAGAUUAGCCAAAACAUUCAUGUAGUGUUUGUCUCAUUACUAACUAGUAUGACUGAGUCGUCAAAACCAAAUGUGCAGUCUGUGUGCGAGAAGACAGGUCAGACCGCUCCGCCGAUGCCAGUGAUUGCUCCUGGGACCACGGUGAGUUUUAUUUGAAUGGACAUUACUUGCUAGUCUUAACAUUUGAGUGUCAUCAUGCUAACAAGACAUUGGAAAUGAUCUUUGGUGCAGUGUAACUCCAGACAAGCAUCGCACGAUCCUUCUCCAGCUAGCGACACGAGCCACCCCGCUCCUACACCUCCUGGAUCUUGGUAAGUUUAUCUAGUGUUUUGCUUAACACAUGCAUAAAGACCUGGACUUAGCUUUAUUUCCUCCAAUGCUUACCAUAAUGACCUAGACUUAGCUUCUUCUCCUCCAAAAUGACUUAAUAAGCUUACUGACCUCCAAAACCAUCCAUUUUACCUAAGUUAGCUCUAAAACGAUCUGUACUUAGCUUACUUAUGUCAAAAAUUGCAUAAUUAGCUUAGUUAGCUCAUAGACGAUCCAUUUUACCUAAGUUAGCUCUAAAAUGACCCAUUUUACCUAGGUUAGCUUAUAAAUGAUCCAGUUCAUCCAAGUUAGCUCAAAAAUGACCCAUUUUACCUAGAUUAGCUCCUAAAUGAUCCAUUUUACCUACGUUAGCUUUAAAAUGACCCAUUUCACCUAGGUUAACUCCAAAAUGACCCAUCUUACCUAGGUUAUCUCAUAAACGAUCCAUUUCAACUAAUUUAGCUCAUAAACGAUCCAUUUCACCAAGUUAGCUAAAAAACGAUCCAUUUCACCUAAAUUAGCUCUUAAAUGAUCCAUUUCACCUAAGUUAGCUCAAAAAGAUCCAUUUCAACUAAAUUAGCUCAUAAAUGAUCCAUUUCACCUAAGUUAGCUCAAAAACGAUCCAUUUCAACUAAGUUAGCUCAUAAAUGAUCCAUUUCACCUAAGUUAGCUAAAAACGAUCCAUUUCACCUUAGUUACCUCAAAAACAAUCCAUUUGACCUUAGUUAGCUCAUAAAUGACCCAUUUCAACUAAGUUAGCUCAUAAAUGAUCCAUUUCACCUUAGCUAGCUCAUAAACGACCCAUUUCAACUUAGUUAGCUCAUAUAUGAUCCAUUUCACAUAAGUUAGCUCAUAAAUGACAUACUCUUCUUGUUCUAGUCUUCUUCUUGUUCUACUCUUCUUGUUCUAGUCUUGUUCUUGUUCUACUCUUCUUCUUGUUCUACUCUUCUUGUUCUACUCUUCUUCUUGUUCUACUCUUCUUCUUGUUCUACUCUUCUUGUUCUAACUUUCUUAUUUUUCAUUUUGCAGAUUUCAUUCACUUGACGAAAGCUUGCAUAGAUGGAGUGCUCCUUAUCCCUUUCUCUAUUUCUUUUGUAUCAUUGAACUAUGCAUGUAUCGUUGGAUGAAACUAUUGUAAUAUAUAUGGUUGGAUGCCUCUAUGUUGAACUUGUUAUGUAUGAUGGAACUAUGCAUGUAAUAUAUAUGGUUGGAUGAUGAAGUUAUGUGUUGGAUAUCUUAUAUGUUUGCUCUGUAAUGGCCUUUUGAAAUAUAUUUAUAUAUGUCAUAUAUAUUUAUGAUGAAAUUGUUGGAUUUAAUAAAAAACAGAUAAAAGAGCCAAUAUGCAGGCUCUUUGCCGUCUGCCACCGACGACAAUGGGCUCUUUGCCGUCUGCCGCGGACGGCAAAGAAGACACGUGGCAUCCAGCUGUGCUUCCUGGGAGCUGACCCAUUUGGUCAGUUUGCCUACAGUGGCAGACGGCAAAGACUUUGCCAUCAGUGGCAGACGGCAAAGAACCUGCACUUUGCCAUCAGUGGCAGACGGCAAAGAACCUGCCAUGUAGUGACGUGUAGAUGACAUCAUACGGCGGACGGCAAAGACACUAGAAAUUUUGCCGUCAGCGGCGGAUGGCAAAGGCCUGCCGUUAGCCACUUAACGGACUGACAGCACAAUUAUUGUCGUCCGCUCUCUUUGCCGUCCGCCACAGACGGCAAAGGGCAUUUGCCGUCAGCCGCCAGGAAGCAGACGGCAAAGUAGCUGUUUAUCGUAGCCUACAUUGCCGGAGCCUUUUGCCGUCCGCGGUUGAUGGCAAAGGCCUUUGCCGUCCGCCGUUCAUGCCUUUGCCGUUCGCCGUGGCAGACGGCAAAAUAGCUGAUUCCUGUAGUGUAAAGCAUUUCUAGACUCGACAUCGACCAGUUUGGCUCAACGAACCUACAGGCAGUCCGUCUCUGAUGCCAACGCUGUCAGGACCCCGAUUCCAAGUCACAUUGAUCUAGCCGGUAACACCUCAUAUCACUUUGCGGCCUCACGCACGGUAUCCAACGGGUGUCACCUUACCAUGGCCCGGGACCGUUUGCGCCUUUUGGCUCACGUACCCAACGCGGCACAUGGCUAGUCGUGAACCCAACGCGGCACAUACCUAUGGAGACAGGCAUACAUGAAUCACAUCAAGCAUGUUGGUCAUCAGCGAGUGAUUCCGGGCUGUAGCACUUGUCUAACAGGACUCCGGGGAACCCGGGCUGUAGCAGGCUAGGCAGGACUCCGGAUGUCACCGCGUGACAUUUCCCCGAAGGGACAGACAUAGGAACGACGUGAAACACAUGUCGGCCAGUCAAGUCUCCUGAGUAGUAGUGUCGGGCUAGCAGGACUCCGGUGAACCGGGCUGUAGCGGACUACUAUGGCUCGAGGAACACUAGACUACAUUUCCCCAUAAGAAAGGUUGCCAAGGAUAAACAACUAGAUUGUCGGAUCCCACUCAUACCAAGCAUUUCAAUCAUACAAACAAUAUGCCCGAUAUGAGUACAUAUAAUAUGGCAUCGCAACAAAACUCUACAACUCAAGUACUUUAGUUAAAGGCUCCAGAGAGCCAUACAUAACAUGUUCAUACAGAUAGGGGUCACAUGAACCGACACUCAAGUCAUACAAUCAUACAAGCACAAGCGAAAGCAACUAGUCUGAGUACAGACACUAGAAAGAAAGAAGGCUUCUCGAAGCCUGAUUAUCUACAUAGGGCCCACCAUGGCCAGGAUCACCACCUGGGUGGCUAGUCACUCCUCGACGUCAAGGUCUACGUAGAACCCAUAGGAGGGGGCGGUGUUGUCGUCUAAAACGGUAAUUAAGCAAACAUGAGUACAAAGGUACUCAGCAAGUCUUACAACAGAACCUACUAUACAUACUCAUUCUCAAGAAGGUGGUGGGGUUAUUGCAGCAAGCCAGCUUUGACUCUUGGCUAAGCUAUCCUGCGGAACUCCACUAGUAAAAUAGUUUUCGCACACGAGUCCACUACUCACCAACACAAUACUCCACCAGGGAUCCUCCCUCGUCAUCCCACGAGAGGGCCAUCCUCGGUACUCACACUUAUCUUGAGUCUUUUAGUAGUAUCCAUUAACUUGUCUAUGAACUGUAUAGGCAACCAAGUAGUCCUUUACCGCGGACGCGGAUAUUCGAAUAGUUUUAUACCCUGCAGGGGUGUACUUCUUCAUACAUGAUUUCACCACUUAUCGUCAUUUACAUGACAUGUACUCGGUAACCUUCAAGCGGAAGCCCAGCGGUUGUGUCGGCCACGGCCUACCUAAACACUUAAGUCUCUAGUCCAGGUUUAUCGCCUAUCCAGGUUCCAUCUGCAGGGAGUCCGGCCGAGGUUUCCACAUACGGCCCCGAACGGUGUGAACAGGGUCCCGAGACGCCAAACGGGCGCCCGGCAUACCCGGCCACGGUGUAUCUACCGCAACAUAGCCCACCCCUAGGGUUAGCGCUACGCACGGCCGCCAACACAUAACCUACAAACACCAGAAACUAUUUGCAACUCCUGGACAGAGUACUAGGGUGAUUAAGAAGACGAGAGGGUCCAUUGGUUCGGGCCCAAUGUAUGGUAGUAACUGCAUCUUAAAUCAUACAUACAGAUCCCAGUUCUUAUGGACGGCCUCAAUGAAAUAACCCACCAUGUACUCCUACAUGGCCUCUCAUCGAUACCUUUACCAAAACAUGUUCAACACAUCCCUCACAUUACCGACAUAAUCAUAUCACUCUAGCCCAUCACCCAGAUGAACCAGACCUGACACAACUCUAACAUAGCAGGCAUAGCAAGGUAGGAAUAACAUACAUGGCUCAAUCAACUCAUACACAUGCUAGUGGGUUUCAUCUAGUUACUGUGGCAAUGACAGGUCAUGCAGAGGAUAAGGGUUCAACUACUGUAGCACACAGCAGUUUGAAUCGCAUUGUCUUAAUGCAGUAAACAAGAGCGGAAGCGAGAACGUGGGUUUGUAUCGGAAUGAUCAAUGGGUUGCUUGCCUGUUGUAGAGGUAGUAGGGUACUGCCCUUCAGACGGAUACUCGGGGUUAUCCUUGGAGGCAGAACCUACCACGAAAACCACACCGAACAUGAUCAACACAUGGCAAUAUGCAACAAUAUGAUGCAUGCUAUGACAUGGCAAGGUGAAAGUGUCCUGGCCUAAUGCAAGCUAAAACAGAAGGGGAUGAACUCAUUUGAAUCAAAGAUUCAAAUAUUAGCUCAUUAAACAUGGCCUUAUUAGUGCAUUACCUUAUUCUGCUUAAACAGCAAGGUUAACUUCUUUUGUCAUGCAUGAAACCAUUACAGAUGGAUAGAUUGAAUUUUUCUGAUCAUUUGUCAUAUAUAAAUCUUUGCGUUUGGAGCUAUGGUUGAUUUUCUAUGAUUUUUAGAAGUUUUGGAUAUUUUUUGGAAUUUCCUAUAUAAGAAUAAUUCCAGUAAUUGAAUUAAUGCGUCAGCAUGACAUAGGUGUGACGUCAGCGGUCAACUGGGUCGGCCAGGUCAAACCUGACUGGUGGGCUCUCUCUGUCAGUGUCACAACUAGUUAACAGAAUUAGAUUAACACUAAUUAGCUGUCAGUGGGGCCUGGGCCCACAUGUCAAUGUCUAAACUAAUUAGAAUUAGUUAAAACUAAUCUUAAACUGAUUAGCAGACCGGCCCCACCUAUCAUAGACUUAGGGGGUCUACCUGGGCCCGCACAGGGGUCAAACUGAGUCAAACUGAGUCAGACACAGCGGAGGUGCUCGGGUUUGCGUUUCCGGCGACCAAAACAACGGCGGAGAGUAGCUACGUGAUGCAGGGAGCGAGCCGCAUUGUUUGGUGGAGGAAGUGGGGCUCGGGGAGCCCGAGAACGACACUGGUGACGACCUUGGCGGUCGUCGGAGUUCGGGCAAGGAUGAAACCGAGGCUACGGGGCACGGCGAGGCGCGGGGAGUGGUGCGUUAGGCUCCUGGGAACGCGUGUAAGACAAAGGCGUGCUCGGAUUCGAGCUUACGCGCCUGUGGCCACGGCGGCGACAUGGCCAGCGGAGCCGAGCUCUCGGCCUCGAUGGCAGAGGGGGUUAGAGGACGCGGACGAGCGCGGGGAGAGGGGGAAACGAUGGCGGAGCUCACAGCGGUUGCAGGGAAGCGAACGGCGAGCUCGGGGAAGGGCUGGAGCGAGCGGGGCAGCGAGGGGGAUCUCCAGUGGCCGGAGUUGAGAACGAACUCAGUGCAGCAUCUCCGGGGCGAGCGAGCGCACGGGGCUCGGCCUACUUGAUGCAGUGGAUGACGGCGGAGCUUCCUGGCAUGUCGGGGCAGCAAAUAGACGGCGGUGGCUGCGGUGAAGCUUGUCGGCGGCGACGGAUGCGCUCGGCAGGAAGAGGGCGAGAGAGCCAGAGAGGGAGAGAGGCCACGGGGAGAGUGGGAAGAAAGAGGGGGAGAUGUGGGGGUCGUCGUGGCACUCGUAGACGCCUCCAGGGCAUCGGCGGAAGCAGGAGGUGGCCGGCGUGUGGCCGCCGGCGCCGGCCACGCGCUCCUCGUCCUCCUGGCGAGAGGAGGGGGACAAAUGGCAAGCGCCAGUCGACUGGGCCGAGCCAAGUGGGCUGGUGGGCUGCGCCUGGUAAGUUUCUCUCUCUCUCCUUUUUCUUGUUUGUUUUUUUAUCUAUUUUUCUGCAACUGUUGGGCUUUAUUAAAAAAUACCUAGACAUCUUUAAAAAUCCUGAAAAUAAUUAGGGGCUCUGCUUAGAUUAUUCCCAAUAGCCCACACUUAUUUCCAGAAUUAUUUGAGCAUUUAAAUUAUUUUAUAGAAUUUAAAUGCCCAAAUUCAAAUACUUAUGAUUUAAUUCAGACAAUCCAGAAUGUCCUAGAAAAGAGUGCACCAUUUUUGCCAGGGGUUUUAGCCCAAUCCAGAAAUGAUGAACAUUUUGUGAAGGGCAUUUUGGGUUCAUUGAAAAUAAUUUUAGUAAACCCUAGUUGUUUCUAGGGGGUGCUGGGGUUUCUGUCUUCCCCAUUUCAAAUUUAAGGGAAUUUAAACAUGAUGCACACUCUAAUGCUUGAACUAGCUAGGGUGUGACAGAACCUUGAGGGUGGAUCCUCUUACAUUCACCUUGAUGAUAACGUCGAGUGGAAUUCUCCGGGGGUGAUUCCUCGGGUUUUCCCCUUGGUGUUAGACGCACAGUUACUAUGGUUACUAUGACCUUACACUGAGCCAUGUUACUAAAGACGGGUCGACCCUGAGGGGUACCCGCGCGAGCUUAAUAGCGAGUGAUGUGGAGUGGGGUUGACCUGGAAGGUGCCCGCGAGAUACUUACGAGGCGUGGCCGGGCAUUCUUAGCCCUUGCAGCAAGUACUCGAGACGGGGCGACGGGGUCACAUCGAUCGUGAGUCUCUGCUCGUUACCGCGCGUUCCUAAUCCACUACGAUUUGGAUAUUUAAUCCGAGGGGCCUCUGGCCUGAUAGCACUAACAAUCAUGUGGGCAUAGUAUGGGCGUUCUGUGUUGUAUACAUCAGCCGAAGCUUAAUAGACGUCAGCGACUGAGCGGCGCGCGUCGGGUUGGACUGGAAAGCACCUACCUUGUUGAAGGAGGUAGCCAGGUCUGCUCACCGGCCGCGUACGCAACAUGCAGGAGUUCCCGGGGAGAUGGCCCAUGACCCCUGGGGGCAUAGGUUUAGUCCGGCGUGCUGGCCUCUCUAUUAAGCCUCGGUCGGGUUGCGGCGUAUUGUUUGGCCGAGGCCAGGCAUGACCCAGGAAAGUGUGUCCGGCCGGAGUUAAUCGAGCGUGGUGGGUAAGUUGGUGCACCCCUGCGGGGAAGAAAACAUCUAUCGAUAGCCUGUCCUACGGUAACGGACACUUGGAGUUGUAUCCCGAUCGAUACAACUAGAACUGGAUACUUGUGAUGAGAACUGGAUGCUGAUGAGAAUUGGAUUGUGAUGAUAACUGUAUAGUAUGGCUCUGGGAUUGCUUUCUCGAAGGGAGUCGAGAAAGGAUCUCUGGCCGAGGUUGAUAACACUAUUACUACUUUACUUUAUGCUACUCUACUCCCUCCUGUUGCUGCAAGAUGGUGGUUUCCAGGAGAUGCUAGUCUUCGAUAGGCUAGGCUUUCCCCUUCCCAUCUGGCAUUCUGUAGUUUAGUCCACAAAUACAACCCAUUCCUUUGAUACAGAUGCAUACUUAGUUUAGAUCUGAUGUAAGUCUUGCGAGUACUUUGGAUGAGUACUCACGGUUGCUUUGCUACUUCUUUUUCCCCCAUACCCGAUUGUUGCGACCAGAUGACGGAUCCCAGGAGCCAGACGACGCCAUUGAUGACUACUACUACCCGGAGGAUGCCUACUACUAUGUGAUGACCGCUGACGACUUGGAGUAGUUAGGAGGCUGCCAGGCACGAGGCCUUGCCUUUUCGAUCGUUGCUGCUUUUGUGCUAGCCUCCUUAAGGCAAUCUUGUUUAACUCAUGUCUGUACUCAGAUAUUGUUGCUUCCACUGACUCUUGUGUUUUCGAGCUUAUGUAUUCGAGCCUUUGAGGCCCCUGUCUUGUAAUAUAAAGCUUGUAUUAUUUUAAUUUGUGUCUAGAGUUGUGUUGUGAUAUCCUCCCGUGAGUCCGUGAUCUUGAUCGUACACAUUUGCAUGUAUGAUUAGUGUACGAUUGAAUCGAGGGUGCCACAAGUUGGUAUCAGAGCCGACUGCCUGUAGGAAUCCCCCUUUCCAACUCCUUGGCCCAAGUUGAGUCUAGAAACCGAAAACUAUUUUACUAACUUGGUUGUGUGGCUUACGGGCCCACGUCGCCAUUGGGUGGUAUUAGGAUCUUUUAUUCCUCGUCUAUACUCUGGGACUCUGAUCUCUCUUCCUUUCGGGUUAAACGAUUUUGCUAACUCUAACAUUACGAUCUCGUAACUACUUCCUCCCGGAGAGCCCCUUAUUUCAAAUGAUCGCCUGCUGCAUCAGAAGAUUCCGAAGGUACUCUAUGAUAUUCUCCUGAGACUUUGCACGUGUUGCCUUUGCAAUUCCCUACCACCGAAAUAUCAUUAUGGAUAACUACACACACUGACCAAUCUUACAUUCUAUCCCAUUGAUCUUGUCAUUACAAGAUGCCCUGAACUGCUCUCCUUUGUUCCGAGAAUCCUUUGAGCUUACUGCAUUGCAGUUCCUUGUCAGCUGAAUACCCCAACGGAUAACUUCGUGCACCUACCGAGUAUCCGCUCACCCUCAGUUGAUUCAUGUACUUCACAAAAGUCUUCGUAAUACCAUUCAUUCUUGUGAAAAUCCGCAACAGCCUAUUGUUCUUGAAUUUCUUGCUUGCUUGCAUUAUGGUUAAUACCAUAAGUCUAGUAAUCUUGUCAUCCUUUGUCUUUGUCAUUUUGAGUCCGUUGAUACAAUAUGUUGCGAAUGCUCGCAAUCCUCAAUCAGAUCCUAGAAUUCAACCUUCCAGCACAGACGUCAUUUUAACAUGUGCUGGGUCUCGACCAAUCAAAUCACCAUCGAGUGUACCCCUAAGGCUAUUCUACCUAUCCUUCCCUAAUCAUAGCAUUGCUUCUGAUCCCUUGUUUUGGAAAUCAUAAUUCCUUUGAAAUUGAGCUUUGAGUUAGUUAGUUGUUUCUAUAAUCUGGUCUCCUUUCAUUGUUUUACCUCAGGUUGAAUACUGAUUCUCACAUGAAAUCCCUUGUGGACCACCAGACCCCCUUUUUCAGAUUUUAUCCGACAACGUCCUGCAUAUUCAAUAAGCUUGUGGGCCUUUCCUCGGAUACAUAAUGCUUUUCGAGAAUAGUAUCCUCUGCUUUCUCAAGCAUACUCUACUGCCGAGCUUGUGUUAUUUAUUCUCGAAAUUUUGGAUAUAUGUUCCUAAGAUGCCCCGAUGGGUUGAACCUAUGCCUUCCCUAAUCUGUGUGAACCCGAAAGUUAUGCGGGUUAUACGCUACUGGCUUUUCGUCAGAUAAAAUUUCAAUACUACAACUUCAUCAAGAGUGAGAAGUAAAAUGAAAGGUUAUGCAUUAUAGAAGUGGGAGUUGACCCUGAACCUUUGUGUUCAUGCCCAUGGACACGGUGUGGAACUUAUCAUGAAAGCUUCUUGCAAGGAUAUUUAAUCAUUUGAAUAAUUCUUCAGGUAUCGUAAAUUGGAUCCCUUGCAGUUAUGGUCUCGACCAUAUUUUCUCCUUGAUCUCAUUCACUGGGUAAGUUAAAAUUACUUAUCCUCUGCAAAUUUGUUCCCCUGUCCAACCUCUACUCCGAUUUACCUUCUGGCAUUACACCUAGUACUUGAUACUGGGAAGCUUUAUACCCCAUCACAUCAUUCCUAGCCUGAUCGGCUAUAUGUUUGUUAUGUCAACUUUUUAACUGUGCUACCUGGUCCUUAUGCCCGGAGCAACUUCCGAGGAUGAGCUAACCUUAUGUCAAUCUUCCUCAUCUUAUCAUUUCACCUCGAACAACAAUCUUGACUUUGAGCUUGUGUCGAAUCCGUGGUUCUCAUAGCCCUUCACUUCUUCCUUCCUUUUCUUCUCGGUGACAUCUUCAUGAAAUCUCUCGACAAAUGUGUCAUGAUCAUCAUCAACAUUUUGAGCUUUUCCAGGAUAUCAAUCGAAUUCAUGGUGAGAAAUACAAUCCUCCCUCGAUGAUUUAUGUUAUCAUCAUAACAUUCUUGCCUUCCCCAACACUAACUUGUUCAUAUAAUUUCGGAAAUACAUCCUUUUGGCAUGUCGAUGGAUUGUGGCUGAGCCCGUCGGCCACACCCUCAUCUUUUCCCUGCUAAAAUUGUAUGACUUAUUUUCUAAGUCCGACCUUGCUUGAAGACCAUGUCAAUGCUAUCUCGAAGCUUGUCUGUGGUACUCCGAUUUUCAACGAGCCCAAUGCUAAAUGUUUCCUGCUCAAUUACCCAAACACCACUUUAUGGGUAACGUCAUGAAAUUCCUCUCCCCUUACCUAAGUGGUUUUCUAGCUUCUAUCCGGUAUUGGAUAUCAUACUCUGCUUGUUCUUGGGAAGGAUAUACCCCUGAAAUAAGUGUUUAAGCACAUUUUCCUUUCCAUUGUUCUGUUUAAUCUGGUAAUCACAUUUUCCUUUCCAUUGUUUUGUUUAACCUUCUUGAGGUUUAUAUGAUCUAAGAAGUAAUACGUCACUGCUUUUAUAAACACCUUGAUGUACUACUGGGUCAGAAUACGCCUGUUACUAUUGAUGGUGGCAUUCCGAUAGCCACCGAUGGACGAGAACUUUGCCUAUUGGUCCGCCUCGUUUAACGAGCAGGAAAAUGUUUCUCUUCGUCCCUCGCCCUUGGUACCAACGUUGUUGCCUACAUAACUGACAGGCUACCCUCUGACAUGCCUUGCUAUCAUAAUCGUGCAAGAUGUCAGCACUCUUCCUACUUUUAACCCACAUGGUGGGCCCAUAACCCACAGUUCCACAGGAUCAAAACCUGACUCCCCUGUACCCCCUGUUUCUAAGGUUAUUCCUCCCGCUUGGCUUCGUAUCAUGUCACGAGCCACCUUCCGAGAGAUGAUCUAUUCCCGAUGCUCUGAACCCCUUUCUCACACUCUGUUCAGGUAUCGAUCGUUUGUCCAUUCGCUUGAAACUUCCUAUUGUACCUUCAUAUUUUUCUCUCGAUGUUUUAUUAAGUUUCAACUCGAGGGAUACUUCUGCCACAUUCCCUGAAUUGUUCAUCUGAUAAUUAACCCUAUAAGGGUCAGUUCUCCCGAAGUUACUCUUUACUUCCCCACUUAAAUCUCGGGACGAGAUUUCUUAUAGUGGACGAGAUUUGUAACACCCCCAGUGUCAUGCUACAGUAAUCCCCUGUUGAUGGUGCCAUGUCAUCACACUACUGUUGCUAAUCUUCACUUGAUCCAAAUCACAAUUCAAAUUCAAAUCCAAUCUGAAGUAAAAAAAUCCAUAUUUGUCUGACAUGAAAACUAAAAUGUUCAUCAUGUGGCAAAUAAUCAUUUCUUAAUAUUGGUGGUGAACCAACUUUUUGCAAGGUGUUUAAAUGGCCUAAACCAAUUAAAGCAGUGGCUAAAACAAUAGAUUAAAUGGCUUUUUUUAAUUUAUAAAAAUUUCAAACUAUUUCAAAAGCCUCACAACCUUGUUAUGGCAGUGCUAACUAUUGCAAUGUAAUUAUGUGGCCAACUCCCACAUUUUACAAAAUCCUUUUGGCAGCCCAAAUAUUACCAUGAUUUUUCUGUAAAAAGAAAAGAGCAAAAGUAAAAGACAAAAAAAGAAAGAGGAAGCACCCCCCCACUGGGCUUCGGCCCAGCUGGCCUACCCAACUGGGCCAAGGCACACCCCCACUCCAUAACCACCCACUCCUCCCGUACCCCGAACCCCACUCACACCCACUCUCCCCCCUCGAAAUAUCUCCCUCCCCGUCUAUCCCGAUAGGAUCGGGAGGGGGGAACCGGCCGCCGCUCGCCGCCCGGUGCCGGCUCGCUGCGACACCGCCGCCUCCACCUCGCCGGAUUGCUCCUCUCCGUCGCACCGUCUCUGUCCUCCUACUCGCCCCCCGUUGCCCCGGUCCCUACUCCUUUGUGAGCUCCCACUCCCUCCUCUCUGCCAUGGCCACGCCCUCUCCCCCGCGCUCGGCUCCAUCGCCCGACGUCGCUCGCGAACAGCCCGGCGCCGGCCGCAUCCUACCGCCCCGCCGCUUGCCGCACGCGCACGCGCGUGCUUCGCGCCAUCCCGCUCGCCGCCUCGCUCGUCCGCCAUCCGACUGCGGUCACCGUGAUCCCCAGCCGCGUCACACUGCACCUCGCCCCACUCCCACCGCUGCCUUCCCAACGCCCGCUCCUGGACGCGCGCGCUGUUGGCCGCGCCGUGACCAUGUCCGGCCACGCUAGAGCCGCACCAGGGCUGCGCCUUCCCCCUCGGCCGCGGCUCCACCUCCCGCGCCCCACAUGCCCGCCUGCGCCUGCGCGCCUCCUCCUUUCUCCCAUGCCACGUCGCCCGCGCCCUGCUCCUCUGCUGCCCGCGCCAUCGCCACUCCUAGCGCCGCAGCCACUCAUCGCCCGCUCGCCCGUGGCCUGCUCCCCCACCGCCAGGCCUGCCUUCGCUGACGCCUGCAGGACCGCGUGCCCGCGCGCCGCUGCCAGCGCCGCUGAGGCCGCCCCGUGCUCGCGCGCCUGCCCAUGGCCUCGCCGGGGCCGCGCCUGCCGCCGGAGCCCCUCGACCGCGUCGGGACCUCGCCGACAUACACAAGCACGCACGCGCGUGAUUAAACGGUGGUUGACCGCUGACUUAGGGGCCCACCUUGCCUAAUUAGCCUUUAAAAAAAGAAUAUGCCCUAAACAGACAUUGCCAAUGGGCCCCUCAUCUUAUUAACCUAAAUUAGAUUAGUUUAAAUGAAUAGUUAAUACUGGGUCCAUGACACGUGGGAGCCAUGCUCCCUAUUUGAGUGGAUAAGGCCGAACCAGUCAGCCUCUGCUGACUGGGCUGUUGACCCAGUCAAUAGUGGCCCACCAGUCAGUCCCUGAGUGGCCUAGCUGGGUACACUUCUGUGUACAUAUAGCAUUUUUUCUAUUAAAUUCAGAUUAAUAAUAUUUCCGAAAAUGAUUUAAAACUUUAAAGAUUAAUAUAAAAUAAUCCGUAGCUCGGAUGGAAAAACUUUGUACAUGAAAGUUGCUCAGAACGACGAGACGAAUCCGGAUACGCAGCCCGUUCAUCCCCCACGCAUCCCUAGCAUAGCGAACACGCAACUUUCCCCCUUCGGUUCGUUUGUCCGAAAACGCGAAACACCGGGGAUAAUUUCCCGGAUGUUUGCCCCCUUCACCAGUACCACCUCGUACUGCAUUAGGGCACACCUAGCAUCACGCUUUGUCAUCUCAUGCAUCGUCAUGCAUUUGUUUGCAUUAUAUUUAUUGUUUCUUCCCCCUCUUCUCUCACUAGACACCGAGACCAACGCCGCUGCUACCCAGUAUACGACUACGGAGUUGACGACCCCUCUCUCUUGCCAGAGCAACCAGGCAAGCAAACCUCCCUUGAGCAUUCUGAUAUCGCCCAUUUCUUUCCCUCUCAUUCUUACAUUAGAACUGCUACUGCUUUCUGUAUGAUUCUACUCUGAUGCAUAGCCUGUUGUUGUUACCUGCUUUCAUACCUUACCUGCUUAUCCUAAACUGCUUAGUAUAGGUUGGUUAGAGAUCCAUAAGUGACCCCCACCUUGUCCCAGUUGCCCCGCUUUAUGUUCGAUGACGUGAUCAACGUGUUCGACGUCCAGGCCCCGACACUGCACAUCACCCCCCUAGUUGUAUGACUCUGCAGAGUUACCAUCUAGUGCCGAGGGUGGAACCUCUUACAUCACUCCUGAUGAGAUCUCUGUAGUGUAGCUAUACGGUAGAGGUCAUCGAGGGUGAUUUCCUCCUUAACCACUUUCGUUACGCCUCUGUUGUGCAACCCCUCAAGUGUGAACCUCGAGGGUGGAUCCUCUUACAUUCACCUUCAUGAUAACAUCGAGUGGAAUUCUCCGGGGGUGAUUCCUCGGGGUUUCCCCUUGGUGUUAGACGCACAGUUACUAUGGUUACUAUGACCUUACACUGAGCCAUGUUACUAAAGACGGGUCGACCCUGAGGGGUACCCGCGCGAGCUUAAUAGCGAGUGAUGUGGAGUCGGGUUAUCCUGGAAGGUGCCCGCGAGAUACUUACGAGGCGUGGCCGGGCAUUCUUAGCCCUUGCCGCAAGUACUCGAGACGAGGCGACGGGGUCACAUCGAUCGUGAGUCUUUGAUCGUUAUCGCGCAUUCCUAAUCCACUAAGAUUUGGAUAUUUGAUACGAGGGGCCUCUGGCCUGAUAGCACUAACCAUCACGUGGGCACAGUAUGGGUGUUCUGUGUCGUAUACAUCAGCCGAAGCUUAAUAGAUGUCAGCGACUGAGCGGCGCGCUCCGGGUUGGACUAGAAAGCACCUACCUUGUUGAAGGAGGUAGCUAGGUCUGCUCACCGACCGCGUACGCAACAUGCAGGAGUUCCCGGGGAGAUGGACCAUGACCCCUGGGGGCAUAGGUUUAGUUCGGCGUGCUGGCCUCUCUAUUAAGCCUAGGUCAGGUUGCGGCGUAUUGUUUGGCCGAGGCCGGGCAUGACCCAGGAAAGUGUGUCCGGCCGGAGUUAAUCGAGCGUGGUGGGUAAGUUGGUGCACCCCUGCAGGGAAGAAAACAUCUAUCGAUAGCCUGUCCUAUGGUAACGGACACUUGGAGUUGUAUCACGAUCAAUACAACUAGAACUGGAUACUUGUGAUGAGAACUGGAUGCUAAUGAGAAUUGGAUUGUGAUGAUAAUUGGAUAGUAUGGUUGUGGGAUUGCUUUCUCGCAGGGAGUCGAGAAAGGAUCUCUGGCCGAGGUUGAUAACACUACUACUACUUUACUUUAUGCUACUCUACUCCCUCCUAUUGCUGCAAGAUGGUGGUUUCUAGAAGAUGCUAGUCUUUGAUAGGCUAGGCUUUCCCCUUCCCUUCUGGCAUUCUGAAGUGUAGUCCACAGAUACAACCCAUUCCUUUGAUACAGAUGCAUACUUAGUUUAGAUCUGAUGUAAGUCUUGCGAGUACUUUGGAUGAGUACUCAUGGUUGCUUUGCUACUUCUUUUUCCCCAUACUCGAUUGUUGCGACCAGAUGACUGAUCCCAGGAGCCAGACGACGCCACUGAUGACUACUACUACCUGGAGGAUGCCUACUACUAUGUGACGACCGCCAACGACUUGGAGUAGUUAGGAGGCUCCCAGGCAGGAGGCCUUGCCUUUUCGAUCGUUGCUGCUUUUGUGCUAGUCUUCUUAAGGCAAUCUUGUUUAACUCAUGUCUGUACUCAGAUAUUGUUGCUUCUACUGACUCUUGUGUUUUCAAGCUUAUGUAUUCGAGCCUUCGAGGCCCCUGGCUUGUAAUAUAAAUCUUGUAUUAUUUUAAUCUGUGUCUAGAGUUGUGUUGUGAUAUCCUCUUGUGAGUCCUUGAUCUUGAUCAUACACAUUUGCAUGUAUGACUAGUGUACGAUUGAAUCGAGGGCGCCACAGCUUCACCUGCAACUAGCAACGCUAUAAGAGGGGCUGAGCAAAGCGGUAACAUAGCAAAACAACGGUUUGCUAGGAAAGGUGGGUUAGAGGCUUGACAUGGCAAUAUGGGAGGCAUGAUAUAUAGCAAGUGGUAGUUAUCGCGCCAUAGCAAUAGAGCGAACAACUAGCAAGCAAAUAUAGAAGUAAUUUCAUGGGUAUGGUCAUCUUGCCUGAGAUCCCGCAAGGAAGCAGAACGAGUCCAUGAAGAAGACAAACGGGCGUAGUCGAACGGAUCCUCACAAACGCGACGUUCUCGGAACUAACCCGAAGAAGCAAGACCGGAAAGAAGCAAACAACAUAGUAAACAACCACCACAUAAACAUGGCAUGAUGCACAACCAAGUAUGAUGCAUGUCCGGUUUAAUGAGGGCAUGGCAUGGCAAAGUGCACAAACAAAACUACAAGUUUAGUGGAGCCCAAUAUGCAACGAGUUGCAUAUUGACGAAACACCACAUCAAUUAUUUAGUUCACUCCCGGUUAGGUACUCAACAAUAUUAAAUGUUGUUAAGCAUGGCAAGGGGUGAAACAUAAGUAUAACUACCUAUUUAGGCAAGUUUAAAUGAGGCCGGAAAUAUCAAACAACAAUUCCGAAAAUCCUCAUGUGCUUUAACAAUUUAAUGCAACAACAACAUUAACCAUUUUAGAUGUUAUUAUCAUGAUGCGGAUGACAUGUUCAAGUUUAUGCAAUUUUUAUGAAAAAUGUUGAUAUGAGCAUGAUGAAGCAUUACUCAUCGUAGCGGAAACGAAAGGGGUGCCACGGCAACAUUCCGGUUCCAAAAACUCGAUGGAGAUGCCGGUGCAAAAGGAAAAGUGACGGGAGCGUGUCAUGCAAGGAUGAUGGGGUGCUCCCAGAUACCGGGUUCCCACAUGUCGGUGACAAAGCAAAAGAGGGGCAACAUGCACCGACAGUUCAGACUCGAGGAGAACAAGGGUGCAUCUCAUACAACAUGCAUUCAUUCGUUCACAGGCGUCGUCUCGGGGUUAUACCUUCGUAGCAUGCAUUCUGGGGCGGACCGAGUUCAAAGUAAUGGAGGUGUUCACGGAUCAUCGGAAGUAGUCGUUUUUGCGACAGUAGUGGAGUGGCGGUACACAUUCGUUUCGGAGAGGUACUUGAUGAAACCAACAUCUUCGGGGUGACAAUAGUUAUACACUUGGUUAUGUCAGAUCCACAGCGACGGUAGUGGUACAUCUCGUAGUGGAACUUGGCGGGUCUGAGGGCUCCGGGCAUCGUGGUACUUGGCGACAUGCACGGGAUGGUAGUAGUACACGGUCAUCGUGGGAAGUAGUGGUACACACGAAGGUAGUAGAACUUGAUGGUUCCGUUAUACGGGUCUUGUCAGGACCGGAUUUUCGGGAUAUUAAUUUCCCAGAAAAUGGCCCUUGUGCUCACUAGCCCCAGGAUUACUGUUAGCUGAUGAGACACCAACUUGAUACAUAAACUCCAAGCAGAAUACAAAAUGUGUAGUACAAGACCAUUCUAGCCUAUGAGUACAACAAAUGGUUUCUAGUGGUUGAUGGCGGAAUCGGUUUGUGGUUCCUCAGCGUUCUAUGGGACUCCAUUUCCCACAGGAACAGGUGACCUGGAUAACUCAUAUCUGCACGAGGCUGCUGUCAGCGUAGGUUCCGAGGCUGUCUUCGCAACGCUCCUCUCCAUGCAAGGAAUCUGGCAAGACAAUAGCCAGGGACAAGCCAAUGAGUACUUUGAAUGUACUUGCAAACAUUAUGAACACAGGUAUAAUAAUACAAUUGAUAAUCAUGCUCUGAAAUAUUUUAUGAUCACAACGUCAGUCACAGAAUAAGAAUCCAUGAUGCACGCAAGCAGGUUAUUCAUAUACAACAUUAAUAUGCAAUAGGGGAGUAGAAAUAGAAUACAGCGAUCGGGUGUCUGAAGUGACGCCUCGAAAGGAUAAUAAUAUAAAGCAUGCCUCAGUCGGGCAUAUGAGCGACGUCACAUAAAGGGCUUAUAAAGGAAAUAAGUAGCAAACAUGCCACAGUUGGGCGUCUCAGUGACACCACAUAAAGGGCUUACAAAGUAACUGAAUAAUAAGCAUGCCACAGUCGGGCGUCUCAGCGACACCACAUAAAGGGCUUAUAGAGUAACUGAAUAACAAGCAUGCCACAGUCGGGCAUCUCCGCGACACCACAUAAAGGGCUUAUAUGAGAGUAAUCACAGUGAAUAUCCAGGAGGUAGAACCGUCCCAGGGAUACUCAAUAAUUCAAAUAAUGUAAAUGGUUAGUCCAUAAUAAUAGUAAUCAUAAUCAUCAUAAGUCACAAGUCAUGAUCCAUGUUCUGGUUUAGCAGUUUUUUUUUCUCCGAAGACCGACUCUAAGACCGACACUUGACCCAUCCCAGACUGUAGUCCUUAACCAUGGACACAACUAUUCGAGUAGAUAUAAUCUCUACAGAGGGUGUACUCUUUACCCACGAGUAACGGAUUCCUUUAGUCCAUCGGGAUUAAUUCCGUCUAUGGUCUUUUAGUUGAAAACUCACCUGACCGCACACACCAGCCUAACUUACCGGUGUCUGGAAUCACCCACGACACCCGUUAAGCGAAACUCUAAGUGGGGAGGCUACAACCUCGACUAGCAUGGGAUCACAAAAUUUAUAACGCGUGCAAACUAGGGGAGCUACCCCCUCGGCACCAACCGGAAACACCCAUGCCCCCGGAUCAGGUGGCAUGCCUACCGGAUGCAGCCGGUAUCUUCCACCAUGGCCUCUCUGUACGGUGUGUGCUAGGAAGGGGUUGACAACUUACUGAACCGUACCCCACCUAUGGCAGGGACAAGUUCUAGUACGAAACAAGUGUGGGGGUUACUGGAACAAGACUCGAUUUAUGGUCGACUCAUGAUGUUAAAGCAUUUCCUGCAUGAUUAGCAUAAGAAAUAUAUUUCACACCAAUCAGACAGAGUCACCACUCAUCAUACCUCACCAUGCCUUACCGGACACAACCAUCUCGAUGAAGAACUAGAGACAAGCUUGUGUCUACCCAAGACAGAGGCUUUCCUGGAUCCCUUCCGGUAGGCAUGAAAGGCGUAUGAGGGUGAUUAUUAUCACAAACAUAUCAAAUUCCAACAGCACGGAAUCAUCAAUAUGCACUCAUGAGUAUGAUCAUAUCAUCACAUAAAAUAACGACCACUCCGAGUCAAGGUGGUGUUGUAACCGUAUCAACCAACACACAACAAUAUUAUGCUAGGGUUCAAAAUGCUUGCCUUCAAGAGUAUGCAAGUGGGGUGCAUUUUUUGAAAGUUGCCUCCCUCUCCAAAAUCCUAUUUAAGAAAAAAUCAAAUUAACACAUAGUUUCAAAACAAUACAAAAAAGUUGUUUGAAAUUUUUUUCAAAUAUGAAAAUAAACUAGACAAAAUUUGAGAAACAACAGAAAAAGAAUCAAAUCAAUUGGACUUGUAUUUAGAAGGUUACAGCUAGUCAAAGUUUAGUCAAAAUCUGUUUUUAAUAAAAACCAGAAAAAAGAAAACGGUUCGGCGGCACUUAUGUUUUCUUCUAGCGAAGGCGUAUUUGGUGGAAUGUGCUUCCACUUAAAACACGCUUCGGCGGGGCUGGGUCACUAACAGUGGGUCCAUCGGGCCCAUUGGUCAGGUUUGACCAGUCGCCCGCGCCUCCUUCCUCCUCUGUCCGAGCGGAGGCGGGGCUCCGGCGAUCUCCGUCGAUGAACGGCGGCUCUCCACGGGGUUCCGAGGGCAGGGAUGGAACCGCCAGUCUAGGGCGAUCCUCCCAGUGGUCGAGAGGGUCGUGGGGACAGAGGGGGUCGUCGACGGCGAGCUCCGCGGUGGACGGUGGCUUCGGGAGGAUUUGGGGUCUCGAGCUACGGUAGCUCCCAAUCGGGUUUGAGAGGUGGGGUGGCUCCGCAAGGUCUAGGGGAGUCGGACGAUGGCACUGGAUGGACGGGGGAGGCUCUGCUCGCGAUGCACGGCACCGGAGUGUGGCGGCGGCCGAACUGGCCGGAGAUGGGGAAGAAGGCCUCCCUCCGUCGAUUGCUGGCUGUGGGGGCUCUAGAGGGAUGGCCUGAGGUCGCCUGAAGGUCUUUACGGGCUCGGGGGCUCCUUUUAUAGGCGGUCAAGGUCGGUUCCGCGGCGGCCGGGGAUAAGAUCGACGGUGAGCUGCUACUGUGGCCGUAGACGACGUGGUGAUGGAGGGGGUGGCUUGGAGGAGCGACUGGAUGAGCUCGAGUUGUUCAGGGGUGAGCUGGCGUCCGGCUAUGGCUCGGGUGGCGCCGUCCAUGGCAGAGGCUGGCGGAGCGGCGGAGGCAGCUUGCGGUAGUGGCGCUGUGGGGUGUCAGGAGGUGGCCAGGGUGGCUCUGCGAUGAGGGAGGGGUCGGGGCGUGAUGGUUGUGAGCGGGCACGGAUCAAAACGGGCGCGGGGAGUCGGCAGCGGGACGCGGCGACUCGGGCGCACGCACGUGCAAAACGCGCGCUCUAGCCACGCCCAGAGCACGCACGCGAUGUGCUCGGCAAAAUGCCAAUGCCUUCCAAGGGACUCUAAUCCACAUGAGGUUUAGCAGGGUGGUGCUAUAGACUAAGGUAGAGCCAUGAGACAUGCUGUUUAGGCAAAGCAAGCAGGUCCAACGUGCAAACUAAAAACUAUGUCAAAUCUGGCCAUGCACACAAGGUGCUAGACAGAAUGCCAUGGGCUUCUAUGCAUCUCUUCUGGUGGCCAAAAACUCCAGAUCAUAGUCUCUUUAGAAGAUAAAGAGGGUAGCAAGGUUAGUUUGACAAAAAAAAAACUCCCAAGUGCAACCUUUUGAGAAAACCAAAUCUGGACAGAAAAUAAAGGCUAUUAUUGCAUGGACCAAAAAUAUUCCAAUGGGUCCAAUCUCCUGGACUUAAGGGUUUGGUAGGGUGGACUAUAAGCAGGAAAUAUCUCAUGGGCACUAGAGCAAAACAAAAUAGAGUUGCAGUAGAAAAUACCAAACUGGGCCAGAGAGCAAAAGAGGAUGAUUUGCUCAAAUUUUUCAAAGAACUCCAAUGGGUUUUGCAUAAAGUUGAAUUAUAUACUCCUACUAACAUCUCCCAACUUUGGUGGAAUUUUUAAAGAAAUAUUUAAAUAGGUUGCAGUGCAAACCACAAACUGAUCCAGAUUUGAAAACUUGAGGUAGGGCUCAAAAUUUCCAAAUGACUAAAAGAGGUUUUUGCAUAAAAGUGAUGUGGGAACAUCACAUGACAUCCCCAAAUUUUGGUGGGGAUUUUAAAGGAGUAUCUGAAAGGGUUGUAGUGCAAAUGGAACCCUAAAACUUAUGAAAAAUCACUUCAAAAUAAAUAAAGCUCAGGAAAAAUAAUUGUAGAAAUAAUUCCACUGAUAAAAAGAAAUGGUCUUGAGAAGAUAUAUAAGCCCAAUAAUAUUUUUGAAAGGUUUCCACUUGGGGUGAAAACUCCACAAUUUAGGAGAAAAGAGUAGUUAUGAAUUAAAAGAAAAUCCAGAAAACAAAAAUUUAAUUUACCAUGGCAAAAUUUUAAUUAAUAAAUCAUGGUUAAAUUUUUUGGGUGUUAUAGGUCUUCGGCGGCAGUAAUCGUUCUCGUUUGUUCCGAGAGGAGCUCGACGUUUCCAUGUCCUUCGUGGUCAUCACGUAGUCGUUUAUGACGCAGUCGGACUUGAUGCAAAGCACGCUGGCUAUAGACGUACACGUUCUGAGAGGCACUUGUCGUCGAGGGACUUGGUGCAUCCAAGAUCUUUGGACUCACGGUACUUGGCCCUAGAGGUUCCAAAUCCUGUUUCAAAAGCGUCCAUGCAAGACAUCAUAGGUGCAAAGAGGCAACAACUUGGCACAGUUCUGGUCAUCGCGUGAGGGUGCUCCCGGCGCUCGGGGACGGCGUGUGGAGGUGCAGUAAGGACGCGAUGGAGGCGAGCGGUUGGGUCGUAGUGGAGACAGGGGCUCGGCGUUGGUUGAUGCAGGCGAGCGGAGGCAUGUCCUCCUCCCGGCUCGAACGAAGCAGAGGCGAGGCAGGGGGCUUGGACAUGUAGAGGCGCUGGAGGUGAUGAGCCCCUGGACUUGGCGCGGAGGAGGCUGGUCAAUGCGGGCGAGCGGAGGCGCUGCGGAGCGAGAAGAACGGCGGGAGCUGCAGGGCGCCGGCGGCAGUAGACUUGGAGGCGGGGCGCCGACGUGGUCCUGGUGGAGUGCGGCGGCAGCGUCACAGGCCGGCGCGGCAGAGGCAGGGGAGUACCUCGGGAGGUUGAAGACGCCGGCGAACACGGGCGAUGCAGGGAGCAGCAGGCGUUGCUGAAGGGACCAGCAGGUGGCGCCAUGGGUCCUGGACGGCGGCAGCGCAUCUGCUGGCAAGCGGCUGCGGGGUGGAACGGGCAAGGGCACGGAGAGGUCCCGGUGCUGAAGCUUGACGGCGGAGGGAGGUGGGUGGCGCCCCGGCUUUGGUCGCCGCCGAGUGGUGAGGUCGAGGGAUGGGGAUCGGGUGCUGUGAGCUGCGGCCUUGUGCACGAGCGAAGAGAGGGAAGGAGAUGGGGAUCGGGCAGGAGCACGAUGGGGAUCGAGGGAUACGGCGGCGCUGCGGGAACGAGGUAGAUAGUGGGGUUCGGGCUCAGGGAGGCUAAGGUUAGACGGGAACGCAGGAGGUUGGAAGGCCCAGCUGGGUUGGCUUAUCUCUCUCUCUCUUAUUCUCCUUAGAAGAAAGAGAAGAAAAAAAUAGAGAGAAGAAAUAGAAAGAGAGGGUUAGGGAAAGAAUUUGCGCACGAGGGUAAUUUUCUUGGACUCACAAAAAUGUGAGGAAUUUAAAUAAAAUGGUAAGAGGAUUUUUGGAGGAAAAAUAGAUUCGCACAUGUUAAAUUUAAUUCAACAUGUUUGAAUUUUGAAACCCAUUCGAAAGGACUCUAGAUGGACUGAGAUUUUUGAGGAGCCUUGAUAAAAUGAUAAAAGAAUACGAGGACAAGUCAGAGACCGAGAAUUUAGAUAUGGAAGGCAUUGGGAUUUAUUUGCAAGUGUGUCACAGUAAUUCCACAUCCAUGGAAUACUUUAUAAUAGUGUCACAUCCUAGUUAGCCAUGCAUUAGAGUGUUGCAUCAUGUUUACUCUUUCAUCAGAAACUUGAAAUGGGGAUCUGUGAAACCCUCAGAAUCAUUUUGAAAAUGACCCAAAUAAAAAUUUCUCCAAAAGGGUCCAAGAAAAUGCUCAUGUUGCUCUCUGAAAAUAUUGGACAGAGAUAAAAAAUCAAACCAAUAAUUUUAGUGGCUCUUGGACAUUUAUUUGGGCAUUUGGAAUUAAUGCAUAAAUAUUUGCAUUGGGAAUAUAUUAAUUAUAUAUAUUGAUAUAUGUCCAAAUAUUAUGCCAAUUAUAAAAGAGCUCUGGAAUAAUAUAUAUAGCUCCUGCAAAAAUUGGCAUAAGUUAAAUAAAUGAUUUAAUAUAUUUUUUAAAUCAAAACAAAUGUCAGAAAUUAGAAAACAAAAAAAUAUAUAACAGGAGGAGCUUACCUGGGCUCCUCCACUGUGCGGCCCAGCCAGCUGGCUGGCCCAGCCAGCAGCCGGCCCAGCCCACCUCCCUCCUCUGUCGUCUUCGUCCCGACAGAGGGAGGGGAGUGUGGCCGGCGCGCGCGCGCGCCACCGCGCCACGCCACCUCCCUCCCUGCCUGCCUGCCCUCCCUCUCCUCGCUUCGAUGCCCUGGACGACGCCACGCCUCCCCCCCUGCUCUCUCUCACUCUCCCCCGGCUCUUCCUUCCUCUCCCUCGCUCUCUCUCUCACACGGCCGAACACCACCGUCGCCGCCGUUCGCCAUAGCAGCCAUCUCCGGCCACCCCUCGCUCCCCCGACUAGCUCAGAAGCUCCGCCACGACCCCCUCUUCCUCCCCACCGCUCCACGGUCCUCCAGAAGCCCUGCAUCGCCGCCACGUCGCCGUUCCCCUCUUCGGGCUCCGACCAUCGUCGCCGUCGAAUUCGUCGUCUCCAGCGCGUCCCCGAGCCCGCUAACCAUCCCUGCAGCUCCGCGGUGAGCCCCCGGAUCGUUUCCCCCUUCUCCCCUGGUCUCUUUCGACCUCUAGGCCCUAGCCCCACCAUGGCCGAGAGCUCCACGCCGCCGGCGAUGUCGCCGUCGUGGCCACGGUCAUCCUAGCACCCAACCGAGCGCACUAUCGUGCUCCCCACCUCACCAGGAGCACGCAGCACGCACUAACGCCUCCCCAAACCCCCUGCAACGUCGAUUCCGACCGCACCCGAACUCCGGCAGCCGCAGCCGAGCUCGCCGCCGUCGACUCCGGCCACCCCAGGGCCAGCCACGGCCACCGUCCGACGCGCCGUCGAGCUAGCUAUCCAACGCACCUAGCCGCACGCCGUUUGGAGCACCACAGAGGAAACCCGAGGCCCCUGCACGCCACGGACCUCGCCGGCGACUAACCGCCGGCGGGUUUGACCUGUCCGACCUGAGGUUUGACCCCCCCAGGGUCACUGACGCAUGGGCCCUGUCGGACAGGUGGUUAGUUAGUACUAAUUACCGUUAGUCAACCCCCCCCUAACACUGACAGUGGGCCCCAGCGCCACUAAUCCCUAAUUAGGAUUAAUUUAAACCUGUUAAACCCCCCCUGUCACUGACGUGUGGCCCCCACACGUCAGGUUUGACUUCAGCCAGCCGCAGUUGACCACUGACGUCAUGCUGACGUCAUGCUGGCGCAAUAAUUAUAAUUUCUGGAUUUAAUUUAAAUCAGGAAAUUCCAGAAUAUUACUUAAACUUCAAAAAUUCAUAACUUUUAUUCUGUAACUCCAAAUUGGACAAAUUAUAUAUGAAAAAUGAUCAGAAAAAUCCAAUUUAUCCAUCUGUACUAUUUUCAUGCAUGAUCAAACAAGUUAAAUUGAUGUUUUAAGCAGAACAAGGAAAAGCACUUUAAAAGGCCAUGUUUGAGUUUGAAAUUUGAAUCUUUGAUUCAAAUUUGUUCAAACCCUUCUGGUUUUAGUUGCAUUAGCCCAACACACUCAUAUUGCUAUGUUUCAUGCAUGCAUCAUAUUGUUGCACAUUGUUUGGUGAUGGUUGUGUAUCGGUGUCCUUUGCGACAGGUUCUGCCUCCGAGGAGUACCGUGAUUACCCUAACGAAGAACCGUAUCAGUGCAUCGAACCAUCAGGCAAGCAACCAACCAUUUGAUCAUAUCGAUACAAUCCCAUGUUCUCGCUCCUGCUCUCUUUUACUGCAUUAAGACAACGCGUUUCAAACUGCUGUGUGCUACGGUAGUUGAACCCAUUUCCUCUGCAUGACCUGUCAUUGCCACAGUAACUAGAUGAAACCCACUAGCAUNNNNNNNNNNNNNNNNNNNNNNNNNNNNNNNNNNNNNNNNNNNNNNNNNNNNNNNNNNNNNNNNNNNNNNNNNNNNNNNNNNNNNNNNNNNNNNNNNNNNCUUCCUCUCCCUCGCUCUCUCUCUCACACGGCCGAACACCACCGUCGCCGCCGUUCGCCAUAGCAGCCAUCUCCGGCCACCCCUCGCUCCCCCGACUAGCUCAGAAGCUCCGCCACGACCCCCUCUUCCUCCCCACCACUCCACGGUCCUCCAGAAGCCCUGCAUCGCCGCCACGUCGUCGUUCCCCUCUUCGGGCUCCGACCAUCGUCGCCGUCGAAUUCGUCAUCUCCAGCACGUCCCCGAGCCCGCUAACCAUCCCUGCAGCUCCGCGGUGAGCCCCCGGAUCGUUUCCCCCUUCUCCCCUGGUCUCUUUCGACCUCUAGGCCCUAGCCCCACCUUGGCCGAGAGCUCCACGCCGCCGGCGAUGUCGCCGUCGUGGCCACGGUCACCGUAGCACCCAACCGAGCGCACUAUCGUGCUCCCCACCUCACCAGGAGCACGCAGCACGCACUAACGCCUCCCCAAACCCCCUGCAACGUCGAUUCCGACCGCACCCGAACUCCGGCAGCCGCAGCCGAGCUCGCCGCCGUCGACUCCGACCACCCCAGGGCUAGCCACGACCACCGUCUGACGCGCCGUCGAGCUAGCUAUCCAACGCACCUAGCCGCACGCCAUUUGGAGCACCACAAAGGAAACCCGAGGCCCCUGCACGCCGCGGACCUCGCCGGCGACUAACCGCCGGCGGGUUUGACCUGUCCGACCUGAGGUUUGACCCCCCCAGGGUCACUGACGCGUGGGCCCUGUCGGACAGGUGGUUAGUUAGUACUAAUUACCGUUAGUCAACCCCCCCUGACACUGACAGUGGGCCCCAGCGCCACUAAUCCCUAAUUAGGAUUAAUUUAAACCUGUUAAACCCCCCCUGUCACUGACGUGUGGCCCCCACACGUCAGGUUUGACUUCAGCCAGCCGCAGUUGACCACUGACGUCAUGCUGACGUCAUGCUGGCGCAAUAAUUAUAAUUUCUGGAUUUAAUUUAAAUCAGGAAAUUCCAGAAUAUUACUUAAACUUCAAAAAUUCAUAACUUUUAUUCUGUAACUCCAAAUUGGACAAAUUAUAUAUGAAAAAUGAUCAGAAAAAUCCAAUCUAUCCAUCUGUACUAUUUUCAUGCAUGAUCAAACAAGUUAAAUUGAUGUUUUAAGCAGAACAAGGAAAAGCACUUUAAAAGGCCAUGUUUGAGUUUGAAAUUUGAAUCUUUGAUUCAAAUUUGUUCAAACCCUUCUGGUUUUAGUUGCAUUAGCCCAACACACUCAUAUUGCUAUGUUUCAUGCAUGCAUCAUAUUGUUGCACAUUGUUUGGUGAUGGUUGUGUAUCGGUGUCCUUUGCGACAGGUUCUGCCUCCGAGGAGUACCGUGAUUACCCUAACGAAGAACCGUAUCAGUGCAUCGAACCAUCAGGCAAGCAACCAACCAUUUGAUCAUAUCGAUACAAUCCCAUGUUCUCGCUCCUGCUCUCUUUUACUGCAUUAAGACAACGCGUUCAAACUGCUGUGUGCUACGGUAGUUGAACCCAUUUCCUCUGCAUGACCUGUCAUUGCCACAGUAACUAGAUGAAACCCACUAGCAUGUGUAGGAGUUGAUUGAGCCAUAUGUAUGUGUUGUUCCUACCUUGCUAUGCCUGCUAUGCUUAGAGUCGUGUCAGGUCUGGUUCAUCUGGGUGAUGGGCUAGAGUGAAAUGAUUAUGUCGGUAAUGGGAGUGGUGUGGUGAACACGAUUUGGUAAAGGUAUCGAUGAGAGGCCAUGUAGGAGUACAUGGUGGGUUGUUUCAUUGAAGCCGACCUUAAGCACUGAGAUCUGUAUGUGUGAUUUAAGAUUCAGCUACUACCAUGCAUUGGGCCCGAAACCAAUGGACCCUCUCGGCUUCUUAUUCACCCUAGUUCUCCGUCCAGGAGUUGCAACUAGUUUCUGGUGUUUGUAGCCUACUGGAGGCCGUGGACAGCGCUGACCGUAGGGGUGGGCUGUGAUGCGGUAGGUACGUGGCCGGGUGUACCGAAUACCCAUUAGGUAUCUCGGGAACCCUGUUCACAUCGUUCGGGGCCGUAUGGGAAACCUCGGCCGGACUCCCUGCGGAUGGAACCUGAAUAGGCGAUAAACCUGGACUGGAGGCUUAGGUGAUUAGGUAGGUCGUGGCCGACACCCACGUUGGGCUUCCGCUUGAAGGUUGCCGAGUACAUGUCGUGUAAGCGACGGUAAGUGGUGAGAGCGUGUAUGAAGAAGUACACCCCUGCAGGGUUAACAUGAUCUAUUCGAAUAGCCGCGUCCGCGGUAAAGGACUACUUGGUUGCCUAUACAGUUCAUAGACAAGUAAAUGGAAACUACUAAAAGCCUCAAGAUAAGUGUGAGUGCCGAGGAUGGCUCUUCCGUAGGAAGACGGAGGUGGAUCCUCGGUAGUGUAUUGAAGUGGUGAGUAGUGGACUCGUGUGCGCAAAACCAUUUCAAGUUGGAGUAUCGUAGGAUAGCCUAGCCAAGAUUCAAAGCUGGCUUGCUGCAAUAACUCCACCAACCCUUCUUGAUACUAUGCAUGUAUGUAGGAUCUGAUGUAAGUCUUGCUGAGUACCUUUGUACUCAUGUUGCUAUAAUCUACAUUUUUUACAGAAGACGCUGCAACCCCUUCUGAUGGGUUCUAUGUAGACGUUGACAUCAACGAGUAGGCUAAAGACCCCGGUGGUGACCCUGAGCUUGUGAUGGACCACGUAGUAUAGCUAGGCUUUCCAAGCCUCUUUUAUUUUACUAGUUGUCUGUACUCAGACAAGUUACUUCCGCUGCUGGCUUGUAUGACUGUAUGACUUGUAUGUUGGGUCGUGAGACCCGUACCUUGGUGUAUGUUAUGUAUGGCUCCCUGAGCCUUAAAUAAAGUACUUGUGUCAUAGAGUCAUGUUGUGAUGCUUCGUUGUAUUUGCACAUAUCGAGCAUAUUGUGUGUAUGAUUGAAAUGCUUGGUAUGUGUGGGAUCUGACUAUCUAGUUGUUUAUCUUUAGUAGCCUCUCUUACCGGGAAAUGUCUCCUAGUGUUACCGCUGAGCCAUGGUAGCUUGCUACUGCUCUGGAACACUUAGGCUGGCCGACAUGUGUCCUUCUUCGUUCCUGUGUCUGUCCCUUCGGGGAAAUGUCACGCAUUGAGUACCGGAGUCCUGUUAGCCCGCUACAGCCCGGUUUACCGGAGUCCUGCUAGCCCAGUGCUACAGCCCGGACCCACUUGCUGAUGACCGACACGUUCGAAGCUGGGUCAUGGAUGCCUGUCCCUGUAAGUCUGUGCCACUUUGGGUUUACGACUAGUCAUGUCAGCCCGGGCUCCUUAUCAUAUGGAUGCUAGCGACACUAUCAUAUACGUGAGCCAAAAGGCGCAAACGGUCCCGGGCAAAGGUAAGGCGACACCCGUGGGGAUACCGUGCGUGAGGCCGCAAAGUGAUAUGAGGUGUUACCGGCUAGAUCGAUGUGACAUCGAGUCGGGGUCCUGACAGCGUUGGUAUCAAUAGGCGAUAAACCUGGACUGGAGGCUUAGGUGAUUAGGUAGGUCGUGGCCGACACCCACGUUGGGCUUCCGCUUGAAGGAUGCCGAGUACAUGUCGUGUAAACGACGGUAAGUGGUGAGAGCGUGUAUGAAGAAGUACCCCCUGCAGGGUUAACAUGAUCUAUUCGAAUAGCCGCGUCCGCGGUAAAGGACUACUUGGUUGCCUAUACAGUUCAUAGACAAGUAAAUGGAAACUAUUAAAAGCCUCAAGCUAAGUGUGAGUGCCGAGGAUGGCUCUUCCGUAGGAAGACGGAGGUGGAUCCUCGGUAGUGUAUUGAAGUGGUGAGUAGUGGACUCGUGUGCGCAAAACUAUUUCAAGUUGGAGUAUCGUAGGAUAGUCUAGCCAAGAGUCAAAGCUGGCUUGCUGCAAUAACUCCACCAACCCUUCUUGAUACUAUGCAUGUAUGUAGGAUCUGAUGUAAGUCUUGCUGAGUACCUUUGUACUCAUGUUGCUAUAAUCCACAUUUUUACAGAAGACGCUGCAACCCCUUCUGAUGGGUUCUAUGUAGACGUUGACAUCAACGAGUAGGCUAAAGACCCAGGUGGUGACCCUGAGCUUGUGAAGGACCACAUAGUAUAGCCAGGCUUUCCAAGCCUCUUUUAUUUACUAGUUGUCUGUACCCAGACAAGUUACUUCCGCUGUUGGCUUGUAUGAUUGUAUGACUUGUAUGUUGGGUCGUGAGACCCGUACCUUUGUGUGUAUGUUAUGUAUGGCUCUCUGAGCCCUAAAUAAAGUACUUGUGUCGUAGAGUCAUGUUGUGAUGCUUCGUUGUAUUUGCACAUAUCGAGCAUAUUGUGUGUAUGAUUGAAAUGCUUGGUAUGUGUGGGAUCUGACUAUCUAGUUGUUUAUCUUUAGUAGCCUCUCUUACCGGGAAAUGUCUCCUAGUGUUACCGCUGAGCCAUGGUAGCUUGCUACUGCUCUGGAACACUUAGGCUGGCCGGCAUGUGUCCUUCUUCGUUCCUGUGUUUGUCCCUUCGGGGAAAUGUCACGCUUUGAGUACCGGAGUCCUGUUAGCCCGCUACAGCCCGGUUUACCGGAGUCCUGCUAGCCCAGUGCUACAGCCCGGACCCACUUGCUGAUGACCGACACGUUCGAAGCUGGGUCAUGGAUGCCUGUCCCUGUAAGUCUGUGCCACUUUGGGUUUACGACUAGUCAUGUCAGCCCGGGCUCCUUAUCAUAUGGAUGCUAGCGACGCUAUCAUAUACGCGAGCCAAAAGGCGCAAACGGUCCCGGGCAAAGGUAAGGCGACACCCGUGGGGAUACCGUGCGUGAGGCCGCAAAGUGAUAUGAGGUGUUACCGGCUAGAUCGAUGUGACAUCGAGUCGGGGUCCUGACAAAUAGCUCCCUAAUAUUGGGAGGAUAAGUUAUAAAGAGAAGUCACCAUUCCCUCGAUUUAAAUGGAUCAAAGAUCAAUACGAUUUAUUUAAAAGAGUUUUGAAACGGUUGCAAUAUUAAUGGCAUGAUGACAUGAUGCAAUGCAAAAUAUGCAAUGAUGCAUGCAACAGACAAAAUAAAUCACCCGAUGAAACUCGGAAAACAUGGAAGGCAUCUGAAGCUCCGGUCUUGGGGCGUCACAACACUCCACCACUACGAGAGGAUCGCGUCCCGAGGUCUAGGAUGGCACUGGAGAGAAACAAAAGAGGAAGAGAAGAGGUAAAACUAAGUUGCUUCUUGGACAAACGAGUGAAACCACAAACCUUGAGAGGUUGAACAAAUUGAAAGAAAGAAUACAACGAAGAUGAACAAAGUUGGAAACACUCCGUUAUAAAAGAGGAACAAGGAACAUUACGAUAACCUUGUAGGUUGAAAGACAUAAGAAAAGGGUUGCGAUGGACAAGAAGUACGUGCAAGCACUCUGGUAGAGACGAGAUAUACAAGGAACGAUAAGUAUCAAUUACGACAACACUCCGGUUGGACAUGGAAGGCAUAAAAUAUAAACUUGGCAAAACGAAAGCACUUGGAUGAGACUCCGGUUAGAAGAGGAAUGAUAGACACAACACUCCAGUUAAAACAAGAUAGAGAAGGAAUAAGAAUGAUAUAAUUUGGGCAGCACUCCGACCAAAAAACGGAAGGAAUUAGAAUCAUGAAGUUGACAAGAUGAGAGAAUACUGGAUGAAAUCAACAACACACUGCCUUCGGAACCAUUGAAAGAAUGGCACAAUGGGUGAGAAAAUUUUCAGACUUUACUCCGGUUGAGAAGGGAGACAAAACUUCAUAAGAUGAGAGAACCUGAAUAGAGGGCACGACACUCCAAUUGAAUGGAUAAGCAAAGGAAAGAACAUGAUCUUAAAAAACCAAGAUGAUGGGUCGAAGAGAGCAACAUCACAAAGUCUCCGGAACAAAUGUAAGAAUGGAAUCAAAAGAACAGGGGAGAAAACAACAUAUUCUACCUCAAAUGAGUUUGAAAAAAACAUCUUUAGGCGAAGGGUCAAACGGAGUUGUUGGAAAACCAAUAACGAAAAGAGUACGCUUGUUGUGGGCUUAUGGAAAACAUCUCGAAAUCUUGAGGUGAAAUUUUGCCACUAACGAAAACAAUAGGUUGGAUUGAUAUCAACAAGGAGAUGAAAACUCCUUCAUCGAGAUGAAAAGCGGAAAUUGGAUCAUAUAUAAGCACCAUAAUGGCAACAUUCCCAAUGGAAGGCUUUUAGGUGAAAUCUAUACCAAGAUAACUCCAAGGAAGAAAAUGAUGGAUUUAAUUAUCCCAUUCCUGACAACUGUUGAAUCACGACAUAUGAAGAGAAAUUGUCAAAAGUGGCAUAACACCACCUCAAAAGAUGAGAUAUGAAAGAAUUGCACUUCGGAAUGCAAGAUGAAAAAUACUUGAACUCCUUAGAACAAACAUGUGUUCAACACCAUGUUUAAUUUUGAGUAAAGCUUGGUGGACCUUAACUUUGAGAGAGAUCUUGAAGAGCAAUUUAAGAAUGAAAAGAAUCCUUGACGAACCACCAUGUAGAGUGUCGAUGUCAAAACGGGCGGAUUUUGGGUAGGGGGUCCCGAACUGUGCGUCUAAGGUGGAUGGUCACAGGAGGUAGGGGACACGAUGUUUUACACAGGUUUGGGCCCUCUUGAUGGAGGUAAAACCCUAUGUCCUGCUUGAUUGUUCUUGCUAAUAUGAGUAGUACAAGAGUAGAUCUACCACGAGAUCAGAGAGGCUAAACCCUAGAAGCUAGCGUAUGGUAUGAUUGUCUGUUGUCCUUCGGACUAAAACCCUUCGGUUUAUAUAGACACCAGAGGAGGAUAGGGUUACACAAGGUCAGUUACAAAGGAGGAGAUAUGCAUAUCCGUAUUGCCUAGCUUGCCUUCCACGCCAAGUAGAGUCCCAUCCGGACACGGGACGAAGUCUUCAAUCUCGUAUCUUCAUAGUCCAACAGUCCGGCCAAAGGAUAUAGUCCGGCUGUCCGGAGACCCCCUAAUCCAGGACUCCCUCAGUAGCCCCUGAACCAGGCUUCAAUGAUGAUGAGUCCGGCGUGCAGUGUUGUCUUCGGCAUUGCAAGGCGGGUUCCUCCUCUAAAUACACCACGAAAGAGUUUGAAUACAAGGAUAGUGUUCGACCCAGCAAAAUAAGUUCCACAUACCACCGUACAGAGAAUAAUAUUUCCACAAAUCUAAUCUGUUGACACGUUUUGGCAGCACGGCAUCACGCCACGGCCCAGUAAUUAUUUGAACCGUUUUUCUUUAACCAGCCCCACACAUAACGCGAGGCGGUUUCUUGACACGUCUUGUCAAAGCAGAGAUCGUGUUCCCCUUAUCACGGGAUUCUCAUCAAUACAAACAUGGGUAACCCAACCGUGCCUGUUGGUAUGACUCCUAGAUCUUAGGUAAGUCUCGAACGGCCACGAGGAGGAUGCCUGAUAUUCAUCCCCUUUAUAAAGGGACAAGGCUUUUUCUUUUUUCCCUCCCGUGCUCAAUCGAAUCCUUCCCCCGCCUCGAGUUCUAACACCCAACGCCCAGGUCAGGUGCUUUGGACCUUCAAUCAUGUCCGGAUCUAGCCUUCAAGGUCGGUGGAUGUUUUCCUCCGUCAUGGAGGAGGACAACAAGAAGUUGAGGGAGGCCAGAUAUCUGACCGCCGAAAUUUUGCAUAGGCUGCCCACCCGAGGGCAGGUCGUCCCUACUCCCGAACCCAACGAGAGCGUUGUGUUCGUCUCCCACUUCCUCCGAGGACUAGGCCUCGCUCCGGAUCCCUUAGUUAGGGGUCUUAUGUUCUAUUACGGGUUGGAUUUUCAUGAUCUGGCCCCGGAUUCCCUUCUUCACUUCUCGUCAUUUAUUGUCGUUUGUGAGGCCUUCCUCCGCAUUACCCCUCACUUCGGCCUGUGGCUCAAGACCUUCAAUGUGAAGCCGAAGAUGGUCGAGGGGCAGUACGCAACGUGCGGAGGUGCUCUAAUAAGCAAAAUUGUUGACGCUCCAUGGCCAAAGGGUUCCUUUCCAGAGGUGUCCAGAUUGUGGCAACGGGAGUGGUCUUACGUCACAGCUCCCCGAAGUGCCAAGUGGGUAGCUGCCCCCACCUUUCGCUCGGGCCCUCCACCACAACUGAUGUCAUGGAUCAGUAGGGGGCUGAGCUGGGGUCCAGCCAAGGACAUGCCAAUACUGCAGAGCCGUAUUCGAGAUCUCUUCGAGGGAGAUUUCAGUCUGGUUAUGGUAAUGCAAGUUAUGCUGGUUCAUCGAAUCCAGCCUUGCAAACGCCGGCCCCUCCGCAUCUAAGAAUACAACCCGGAAGGACCACGCACUAUUCAGAAUUUCAUCGUCAGGACCCACGAGGAAAUGUACAAAUCGUUCUUCGGACCCCAAAUAGAGUGUCCGGACACUACCGAGGACGUGGGCCUGAGCUGCAACCGCCCCGCCGCCCAAGUAAGUAAUCCCAUGGCCGAACACACUGUCCUUUUAUUUAUCAUGACAUCAUUCUGAAGAAUCACUCUUUGAACAGGACUGGAUAACAAAGGUGAAGAUGAUCCAGUGUUCGGCCCCCCUUCCUGAAGGCUUGGACAAUCCGGUGCUGGAAAAGAUGCUCGAGCCAGCACCUUGUCUAGUGCCCUCAAAGGAAGAUGAAGGGGGGAAUAAAGAGGGCGAAAGCGGGCCUCCAUCACUAUGUAUUCCAAUCGAGGGAAUGAGCGCCUCCGCGAGGGAGGAUAAGCUAGGGGAAGAAUCUGACAUUCUCUCUCCCCGGGGAAGGAAGAGGACUACCUUUGAAGAUCCAGAAACUAAGGUUUCCAAACGGGAGAAGAAAUCUCCGCCAGAGGGUCCCGCCUCAGAGGGUAUUCUUGACGCACAAUGUCCGCUCGGGGAUCAGCCCUCUACCGAGCUGUAAGUAAUCAAAAAGUACUUAAUAGUGAAGAUAUCCUACCUUACUUCCGAUGCUUGUAAAUUGUAGUCCGGAUCGCAUCCCUUCUCGACAGAGUUCAUCUUCGAGGGAUCUUCUUCCGGAGAUGAUGGAGAGCAAAACGCCUCCCCUAGACUCCCCAGCUCAAGAGGCGGGCGACCUUGAAGUGUCGUGAUGAAGGGUAUCUCCGGAUCCAAUAUCGUGAGAGGGUAACCCUUUGGCUGUCCGGCAUCCCCAGUAUCCGGCUCCUAAGGAGAGCGACAACAAGGGUCCGUACUGUGUGCGGUCGGACGCGCUGAAGGAUCUUCUAGGGAAAGCUGUCAUCUCAGAAGCGCAUCGUAUGCUAAUGGGUAUGGUAAUUGAAAGGAUUUCAUCUGCCGGAGGCGGUUUGCACGAAGCUUUUAUGAGUCUGCUGAAAGGCUUCGAGGUACGUAAAAUAAUGUAUUCCUUUAAUAGUACUGCAUACAUUAGGUAUGCCCAUGCAGAUAGUAGCCCCUGAGACUCUGGUUGUCGUCGAGAACGGCGGCAAACAGAGGAUCAUAGUCCCAGGUAAUAACCAGACCGCAUUUAUGUGCAGGUGGUUGAAGCUCUGGUGGCUAGCCGGACUGAUGGGUUUGCCAAACUAAAGCGGCAACUGGAUGCGGUAGAUGCCGACAUCGUGCUUGUUAACAAGUGGCUUGACGAGGCACUGGGUCAGUGAUUUUUCUGGUGAUUGUCACACAAUAAGAGCAGCAUGAUGCCAGUAUCUUUAAUAUGUUGUGACUGCAGAUGGAGCGGCCACCAUGGAGAUCCUUCGGGCGGAGCUUGCCCGAGCCAAGGAGCAAGCAAGGAGUAGCAAUGCGGCCGCUUUACAGGCGGCCGAAGAGUUAAGGGCUGAAUAGGCCGCACAUUGCGAGAGCAAACAAAAAUAUGCCAAGAUGGUCGUGGAGUUAAAAGAUGCUGCUGACCGUUAUCGGCUUCUUGAAGAGGAAAUCCGGGCGAAGGAGACGGACCUGGAGAAGGCCCGGGUGGCUGCCAAGGAAGCCUGCUCCAAAAUUAGAGCGACGAAGGAGGAGCUGAAUCAAGCUGCAGAUAUCGUGUCUGGGAAGCCCUUCUUGUUGCGGACUAAGUUCGGAGAUCCGAAGUAUGCUCCUCUAGACUGGCUAUGGAGUUCUGUGGACGCAUACAUGGAUUUGGCUGCAAGUGCUGCUGAUGCAGCCGAGUACUUCUGUCACACCCUAGCUAGUCAUGCAUUAGAGUGUUGCAUCAUGUUUACUUUUUCAUCAGAAACUUGAAAUGGGGAUGACAGAACCCCCAGUCCCCUCUGAAACCAACUAGGGUUACUAAAAUAAUUUUUUAAUGAACCUGAAAUGCCCUUCUAAAAUGUCCAUCAUUUUAGCCUUGGUUCAGAACCUCUGACAAAAGUGGUGCACAUUUUUCUAGGCCAUCAUAGGGUCUUUGAAUUAAAUCAUAGAUAUUUGAAUUUGGGCAUUUAAAAUAAUAUAAAAUAUUUAAAUGCUCAAAUAUCUCCAAACUAAAAUGUUUCAUGUUGGAAAUAAUCCAACUAUGGACCAGGAGUAGUUUGGUGAAUUUUGGAGUUGCCUAGGUAUUUUAUUUAAUUCAACAAAGUUGCAGAUAUAUUAAAUAAAACAGAAAACAGAAAAGAAAGGGGAAAGACUUACCUGUGCGGCCCAGCCAGCUGGCCGGCCCAGCUAGCAGCCGACCCAGCCCAACACUGUAGCUCCCCGUCGUCUUCCUCCCCACGCCCCGAAGCUGCUGCGUGCUCGCGCGCGCGCGGCCGCGCGGCCACCUCCUGCUUGCCGACGCCCUCCUGGCCGCGUGGACGACGUCCGCAGCCCGUCCCGAUCCCCCUGCUCUCGCUCACUCUCCCCCGUUUCUCCCUCGCUCUCUCUCGCUCUCGGCCGAAGCACACCGUCGCCGCCGUUCGCCGUAGCCACUGUCUCCGGCCACCCCUCGCUCCCCCGAGUAGCUCAGAAGCUCCGCCACAACUCCCUCUUCCUCCCCACCGCUCCACGAGUCCCCGGAAGCCCUGCAUCGCCGCCACGUCGCCGUUCCCCUCUUCGGGCUCCGACCACCGUCGCCGACGAAUUCGCCGUCUCCAGCGCGUCCCCGAGCCCGCUUCGACGCCCACUGCAACCGCGGUGAGCUACACCACCGUUUCCCCCUCUUCUCCCCCUCGUUCCCUCACCGUAGCUUCAUCUCCACCACGGCCGAACCUCCGCCGUCGCCGAGCUCGCCGUCGACGCAGCUCCGGUGACCAUUUGGUCACCCCGGCGAGUCCAACGCGUUCACAGAACCCAGUAGAGCAUCCCUAGCGCCUCACUUUGCUCGACUUCGAGCUCCAGCACCACUCCCGUGCACGACCGAACCCCGGCGGCCGCAGCCGAGCUCACCGCCGUCAACUCCGGCCACCCCGACCCCAACGGACUCCGCCAAGAGCCGCGGGUCGUCCUCAGCUUCACUCCGGUGAUCUCCGCGGUCCAUUUGGUGGCCGAAACGACCAAAACCACUAUCGCCGCCGCACUGUUGGUCGCCGCCGGCCAGAACUCCGGCGAGCUGACGUGGCCUAGUUGAUUAACCACUAAUCCACCACCUACUGACGCUGACAAGUGGGCCCCAGGGCUUAGUCAAAGCUAACCAGCCCGGGGUCAACGCGGGAUUAGCCCCUGUGACACUGACGUGUGGACCCCACACGUCAGGUUUGACCCGAGCCAGCUCUGUUGACCUACUGAUGUCACUGUGAUGUCAGGCUGACGCAGUAAAUGACAUUUCUGGAUUUAAAUUAAAUCAGGAAAUUCAGAAUAUUAUUUAAACUUCAAAAAUUCAUAACUUUUAUUCUGUAACUCCAAAUUGGACAAAUUAUAUAUGAAAAAUGAUCAGAAAAAUCCAAUCUAUCCAUCUGUACUAUUUUCAUGCAUGACCAAACAAGUUAAAUUGAUGUUUUAAUCAGAACAAGGAAAGGCACUUUUAAAGGCCAUAUUUGAAUUUGAAAUUUGAAUCUUUGAUUCAAAUUUGCUCAAACACUUCUGGCUUUAGUUGCAUUAGCCCAACACACUCAUAUUGCCAUGUUUCAUGCAUGCAUCAUAUUGUUGCACAUUGUUUGGUGAUGCAUGUGUAUCGUUAUCCUUUGCGACAGGAUCUGUCCCCGAGGAGUAUCGUGAUUACCCUAACGAAGAGUCGUAUCCGUGCAACGAAUCAUCAGGCAAGCAACCAACCAUUUGAUCAUAUCGAUACAAUCCCAUGUUCUCGCUCCUGCUCUCUUUUACUGCAUUAAGACAACGCGAUUCAAACUGCUGUGUGCUGCGGUAGUUGAACCCAUUUCCUCUGCAUGACCUGUCAUUGCCACAGUAACUAGAUGAAACCCACUAGCAUGUGUAGGAGUUGAUUGAGCCAUAUGUAUGUGUUGUUCCUACCUUGCUAUGCCUGCUAUGCUUAGAGUUGUGUCAGGUCUGGUUCAUCUGGGUGAUGGGCUAGAGUGAAAUGAUUAUGUCGGUAAUAAGAGUGGUGUGGUGAACACGAUUUGGUAAAGGUAUCGAUGAGAGGCCAUGUAGGAGUACAUGGUGGGUUGUUUCAUUGAAGCCGACCUUAGGCACUGAGAUCUGUAUGUGUGAUUUAAGAUACAGCUACUACCAUGCAUUGGGCCCUGAAAUAUGACCCUGCUCGACUUCUUAAUCACCCUAGCUCUCUGUCCAGGAGUUGCAAGUAGUUUCUGGUGUUUGUAGCCUACUGGAGGCCGUGGACAGCGCUGACCGUAGGGGUGGGCUGUGAUGCGGUAGGUACGUGGCCGGGUGUACCGAAUACCCGUUAGGUAUCUCGGGAACCCUGUUCACAUCGUUCGGGGCCGUAUGGGAAACCUCGGCCGGACUCCCUGCGGAUGGAACCUGAAUAGGCGAUAAACCUGGACUAGAGGCUUAAGUGUUUAGGUAGGUCGUGGUCUACACCCACGUCGGCUUUCGCUUGAAGUCUGCCGAGCACAUGUCGUGUGCAGACGCUAAGUGGUGGAAACAUGUAUGAGGAAGUACACCCCUGCAGGGUUAACAUGAUCUAUUCGAAUAGCCGCGUCCGCGGUAAAGGACUACUUGGUUGCCUAUACAGUUCAUAGACAAGUAAAUGGAAACUACUAAAAGCCUCAAGACAAGUGUGAGUGCCGAGGAUGGCUCUUCCGUAGGAAGACGGAGGUGGAUCCUCGGUAGUGUAUUGAAGUGGUGAGUAGUGGACUCGUGUGCGCAAAACUAUUUCAAGUUGGAGUAUCGUAGGAUAGUCUAGCCAAGAGUCAAAGCUGGCUUGCUGCAAUAACUCCACCAACCCUUCUUGAUACUAUGCAUGUAUGUAGGAUCUGAUGUAAGUCUUGUUGAGUACCUUUGUACUCAUGUUGCUAUAAUCUACAUUUUUACAGAAGACGCUGCAACCCCUUCUGAUGGGUUCUAUGUAGACGUUGACAUCAACGAGUAGGCUAAAGACCCAGGUGGUGACCCUGAGCUUGUGAAGGACCACAUAGUAUAGCCAGGCUUUCCAAGCCUCUUUUAUUUUACUAGUUGUCUGUACUCAGACAAGUUACUUCCGCUGUUGGCUUGUAUGAUUGUAUGACUUGUAUGUUGGGUCGUGAGACCCGUACCUUUGUGUGUAUGUUAUGUAUGGCUCACUGAGCCUUAAAUAAAGUAUUUGUGUCGUAGAGUCAUGUUGUGAUGCUUCGUUGUAUUUGCACAUAUCGAGCAUAUUGUGUGUAUGAUUGAAAUGCUUGGUAUGUGCGGGAUCUGACUAUCUAGUUGUUUAUCUUUAGUAGCCUCUCUUACCGGGAAAUGUCUCCUAGUGUUACCGCUGAGCCAUGGUAGCUUGCUACUGCUCUGGAACACUUAGGCUGGCCGGCAUGUGUCCUUCUUCGUUCCUGUGUCUGUCCCUUCGGGGAAAUGUCACGCUUUGAGUACCGGAGUCCUGCUAGCCCAGUGCUACAGCCCGGACCCACUUGCUGAUGACCGACACGUUCGAAGCUGGGUCAUGGAUGCCUGUCCCUGUAAGUCUGUGCCACUUUGGGUUUACGACUAGUCAUGUCAGCCCGGGCUCUUUAUCAUAUGGAUGCUAGCGACACUAUCAUAUACGUGAGCCAAAAGGCGCAAAUGGUCCCGGGAAAAGGUAAGACGACACCCGUGGGGAUACCGUGCGUGAGGCCGCAAAGUGAUAUGAGGUGUUACCAGCUAGAUCGAUGUCACACCCUAGCUAGUCAUGCAUUAGAGUGUUGCAUCAUGUUUACUUUUCAUCAGAAACUUGAAAUGGGGAUGACAGAACCCCCAGUCCCCUCUGAAACCAACUAGGGUUACUAAAAUAAUUUUUCAAUGAACCUGAAAUGCCCUUCUAAAAUGUCCAUCAUUUUAGCCUUGGUUCAGAACCUCUGACAAAAGUGGUGCACAUUUUUCUAGGCCAUCAUAGGGUCUUUGAAUUAAAUCAUAGAUAUUUGAAUUUGGGCAUUUAAAAUAAUAUAAAAUAUUUAAAUGCUCAAAUAUCUCCAAACUGAAAUGUUUCAUGUUGGAAAUAUUCCAACUAUGGACCAGGAGUAGUUUGGUGAUUUUUGGAAUUGACUAGGUAUUUUAUUUAAUUCAACAAAGUUGCAGAAAUAUUAAAUAAAACAGAAAACAGAAAAGAGAGGGAAGACUUACCUGUGCGGCCCAGCCAGCUGGCCGGCCCAGCUAGCCAGCCCAGCACUGUAGCUCCCCGUCGUCUUCCUCCCCACGCCCCGAAGCUGCUGCGUGCUCGCGCGCGCGCGGCCGCGCGGCCACCUCCUGCUUGCCGACGCCCUCCUGGCCGCGUGGACGACGUCCGCAGCCCGUCCCGAUCCCCCCUGCUCUCGCUCACUCUCCCCCGUUUCUCCCUCGCUCUCUCUCGCUCUCGGCCGAAGCACACCGUCGCCGCCGUUCGCCGUAGCCACUGUCUCCGGCCACCCCUCGCUCCCCCGAGUAGCUCAGAAGCUCCGCCACAACUCCCUCUUCCUCCCCACCGCUCCACGAGUCCCCGGAAGCCCUGCAUCGCCGCCACGUCGCCGUUCCCCUCUUCGGGCUCCGACCACCGUCGCCGACGAAUUCGCCGUCUCCAGCGCGUCCCCGAGCCCGCUUUGACGCCCACUGCAACCGCGGUGAGCUACGCCACCGUUUCCCCCUCUUCUCCCCCUCGUUCCCUCACCGUAGCUUCAUCUCCACCACGGCCGAACCUCCGCCGUCGCCGAGCUCGCCGUCGACGCAGCUCCGGUGACCAUUUGGUCACCCCGGCGAGUCCAACGCGUUCACAGAACCCAGUAGAGCAUCCCUAGCGCCUCACUUUGCUCGACUUCGAGCUCCAGCACCACUCCCGUGCACGACCGAACCCCGGCGGCCGCAGCCGAGCUCACCGCCGUCAACUCCGGCCACCCCGACCCCAAUGGACUCCGUCAAGAGCCGCGGGUCGUCCUCAGCUUCACUCCUGUGGUAGCCGCGUUCCAUUUGGUGGCCGAAACGACCCAAACCACUAUCGUCGCCGCACUGUUGGUCGCCGCCGGCCAGAACUCCGGCGAGCUGACGUGGCCUAGUUGAUUAACCACUAAUCCACCACCUACUGACGCUGACAAGUGGGCCCCAGGGCUUAGUCAAAGCUAACCAGCCCGGGGUCAACGCGGGAUUAGCCCCUGUGACACUGACGUGUGGACCCCACACGUCAGGUUUGACCCGAGCCAGCCCCGUUGACCUGCUGAUGUCACUAUGAUGUCAGGCUGACGCAGUAAUUGAAUUUCUGGAUUUAAAUUAAAUCAGGAAAUUCAGAAUAUUAUUAAACUUCAAAAAUUCAUAACUUUUAUUCUGUAACUCCAAAUUGGACAAAUUAUAUAUGAAAAAUGAUCAGAAAAAUCCAAUCUAUCCAUCUGUACUAUUUUCAUGCAUGAUCAAACAAGUUAAAUUGAUGUUUUAAUCAGAAUAAGAAAAGGCACUUUAAAAGGCCAUAUUUGAAUUUGGAAUUUGAAUCUUUGAUUCAAAUUUGCUCAAACCCUACUGGCUUUAGUUGCAUUAGCCCAACACACUCAUAUUGCCAUGUUUCAUGCAUGCAUCAUAUUGUUGCACAUUGUUUGGUGAUGCCUGUGUAUCGUUAUCCUUUGCGACAGGAUCUGUCCCCGAGGAGUAUCGUGAUUACCCUAACGAAGAGUCGUAUCCGUGCAACGAAUCAUCAGGCAAGCAACCAACCAUUUGAUCAUAUCGAUACAAUCCCAUGUUCUCGCUCCUGCUCUCUUUUACUGCAUUAAGACAACGCGAUUCAAAGUGCUGUGUGCUGCGGUAGUUGAACCCAUUUCCUCUGCAUGACCUGUCAUUGCCACAGUAACUAGAUGAAACCCACUAGCAUGUGUAGGAGUUGAUUGAGCCAUAUGUAUGUGUUGUUCCUACCUUGCUAUGCCUGCUAUGCUUAGAGUUGUGUCAGGUCUGGUUCAUCUGGGUGAUGGGCUAGAGUGAAAUGAUUAUGUCGGUAAUAAGAGUGGUGUGGUGAACACGAUUUGGUAAAGGUAUCGAUGAGAGGCCAUGUAGGAGUACAUGGUGGGUUGUUUCAUUGAAGCCGACCUUAGGCACUGAGAUCUGUAUGUGUGAUUUAAGAUACAGCUACUACCAUGCAUUGGGCCCUGAAAUAUGACCCCGCUCGACUUCUUAAUCACCCUAGCUCUCUGUCCAGGAGUUGCAAGUAGUUUCUGGUGUUUGUAGCCUACUGGAGGCCGUGGACAGCGCUGACCGUAGGGGUGGGCUGUGAUGCGGUAGGUACGUGGCCGGGUGUACCGAAUACCCGUUAGGUAUCUCGGGAACCCUGUUCACAUCGUUCGGGGCCGUAUGGGAAACCUCGGCCGGACUCCCUGCGGAUGGAACCUGAAUAGGCGAUAAACCUGGACUAGAGGCUUAAGUGUUUAGGUAGGUCGUGGUCUACACCCACGUCGGUUUUCGCUUGAAGUCUGCCGAGCACAUGUCGUGUGCAGACGCUAAGUGGUGGAAACAUGUAUGAAGAAGUACACCCCUGCAGGGUUAACAUGAUCUAUUCGAAUAGCCGCGUCCGCGGUAAAGGACUACUUGGUUGCCUAUACAGUUCAUAGACAAGUAAACGGAAACUGAUAAAAGCCUCAAGAUAAGUGUGAGUGCCGAGGAUGGCUCUUCCGUAGGAAGACGGAGGUGGAUCCUCGGUAGUGUAUUGAAGUGGUGAAUAGUGGACUCGUGUGCGCAAAACUGUUUCAAAUGGAGUAUCGUAGGAUAGUCUAGCCAAGAGUCAAAGCUGGCUUGCUGCAAUAACUCCACCAACCCUUCUUGAUACUAUGCAUGUAUGUAGGAUCUGAUGUAAGUCUUGCUGAGUACCUUUGUACUCAUGUUGCUAUAAUCUACAUUUUUACAGAAGACGCUGCAACCCCUUCUGAUGGGUUCUAUGUAGACGUUGACAUCAACGAGUAGGCUAAAGACCCAGGUGGUGACCCUGAGCUUGUGAAGGACCACAUAGUAUAGCCAGGCUUUCCAAGCCUCUUUUAUUUUACUAGUUGUCUGUACUCAGACAAGUUACUUCCGCUGUUGGCUUGUAUGAUUGUAUGACUUGUAUGUUGGGUCGUGAGACCCGUACCUUUGUGUGUAUGAUAUGUAUGGCUCCCUGAGCCCUAAAUAAAGUACUUGUGUCGUAGAGUCAUGUUGUGAUGCUUCGUUGUAUUUGCACAUAUCGAGCAUAUUGUGUGUAUGAUUGAAAUGCUUGGUAUGUGUGGGAUCUGACUAUCUAGUUGUUUAUCUUUAGUAGCCUCUCUUACCGGGAAAUGUCUCCUAGUGUUACCGCUGAGCCAUGGUAGCUUGCUACUGCUCUGGAACACUUAGGCUGGCCGGCAUGUGUCCUUCUUUGCUCCUGUGUCUGUCCCUUCGGGGAAAUGUCACGCUUUGAGUACCGGAGUCCUGUUAGCCCGCUACAGCCCGGUUUACCGGAGUCCUGCUAGCCCAGUGCUACAGCCCGGACCCACUUGCUGAUGACCGACACGUUCGAAGCUGGGUCAUGGAUGCCUGUCCCUGUAAGUCUGUGCCACUUUGGGUUUACGACUAGUCAUGUCAGCCCGGGCUCUUUAUCAUAUGGAUGCUAGCGACACUAUCAUAUACGUGAGCCAAAAGGCGCAAACGGUCCCGGGAAAAGGGUAAGACGACACCCGUGGGGAUACCGUGCGUGAGGCCGCAAAGUGAUAUGAGGUGUUACCAGCUAGAUCGAUGUGACAUCGAGUCGGGGUCCUGACAGCGUUGGCAUCAGAGCCGGACUGCCUGUAGGUUCUCCAAGCCAAACUGGUCGAUGUUGAGUCUAGAAAUUCUUUAGUUAUAUGUAGGGGAAUUGUUUGUGGGUUGGAACGUAAGGCUCUUUUUUUACUCCUUUUACCUUAUGACAUUCUGAUCUGAGUCAGUCCAUUCUUCCACCGGGGGUUAAGAAAUUAGGAUCUGUUCUCUCUAUCAGGAUCACGUGUUACUAAUCAGUAGUACCUUAUAAGUUUGAUGGAUACAAGCCUAGUUCAGUUCUACUACCACAUUAUGUUGAUAGAAUGGAUUCAGAACUUGAUAUGAUGAUGUUGGGUGUGUACGAAAUCUUUUGUCAAAUGUCUCAAAAAUCCUUUUUGAGCAUUUACAGCUGUUAUGCUGCCGAAAUUUUGCUAGAAAUUCUAAUGCCUUUGCAUUAUAAUUGUGCUUUCAGAUGGCCACUCGCGACCUCAAUCAAGUGGUUCGCCUGACUCGAUGCCUAGAUGUACCCGGCCAUACUGCUAAGUUGGUUAGGGUAAUGACUGAGGCUGGAUACCGCUGGUAUCCUGAGUACACGGUCGAAGAGCAAUUCCGAGAUUUUAAUCAAAGCCAGUAUCUCUGCACUGUCAGGAUAUUUCCAUCUUAUCCUGGAUCCACUGAGCCUCUUCACUGCUCCUAUGGACUCGGGGUUACUAUCGAGAUGGCUGUGCAGGAUGCCGCCUACUCUAUGAUGACCAUUAUGCGAGUCAGAUCUGGUCUAUUUCGGGACUCUGAUUUCCGGUAUAUGCCAGGAUCACUUCCGGGAGCACAAGGAUAUUUCCAGGCUAUCUAUGCUGACUCCACUCAGGAGGAUUCACGGACUCGCACCACUGCUGAGAUGCUCGAGGAUAAGGACCGUGAAAAUCGGGCCUUAAGGUUAGAGCUCUUCAAUACCCGUGCCGACCACUGGGCCACUUUGACUCGGUUCGCACCGGCGGUGCAAGCUGGAUAUUCAGAUAUGCGCGAUCUCUAUCCUGUGAGAUCUGCUCUGCCAGACGUGAUGGUUUGGCGUGAUGUAGGAGGCAUCACCCCACCUCGCGGUCCCCGCAGGCCAGCGUUUGUUGGUCCACGACCUCAUCCUAGCCCCUAUGGUCCACAAGCUCCGCGAGACCGUCUGUUUCCGGAUGAUCAUGUUGAACUUCCAGGCUAUGGAGGUGACUUCUACGAGGACUACUAUGGAUCGGUCUGAGUUAGUAGUAGUAUCACUAGUUCGCACUAGCUGUGUCGUCUAUCGUCCUGCGUGACUCGUGGGAUAUGACCUAGUUUGUACUCUUUCCGGAGGUGUAGAAAAAUAAUGUAUAGGAGCUUGAGAUGCCUCCGAUGAGAUGUAAUCCUCUUUUCACCGUUUUAGUACUUUGCUUGGUCUUGUACUAAACCUGUAUGGUGUGUAUGACGAUGGAAUAAAGAAGCAGUUUCUGUAUCUACCAUGUCAUACGGAUGAUCAUCUUGCAUUUCGAGUUAUUCCCUACAUUCUAUAUCCUAUGUCGGAAUUUUAUCAUUCUGACUAAAUCAUUGUCUUGUUUACCUAGGAUGGUCAACACGCGCGCUAACCCUGCUUCCCAAGAGCAGGCCGAAGGCAGUGAAGCCAGAAAUGAACAUCUGCCUCAACCUCCUUCACUAGCCGAGGUUAUGAUGGGAGCUGAGAGAAACAAGCGGGAGACAAACCGUUUGCUGGAGCGUAUUGAACAGAACACAGCACACCAUCAGAGGGCUAACGUGGUGUCACUCAGUGAUUUUAUCAAAUUGCAUCCACCCACGUUCCACCACUCCGUCGAGCCUCUCGACGCUGAUGACUGGCUUUGCAGUAUCUCUCACAAGCUGCGUUCGGCGCUGGUAGCUGAGGCUGACAAGGUCACCUUUGCUGCAUAUCAUCUUGAAGGCCCCGCCAGUCUAUGGUGGGAGAAUUAUGGAGCUAUGCGCCCAGCGGGCCAUGUCACUACUUGGGCUGAGUUCAGUGAGGCUUUCCGUGAACAUCACAUUCCGGAGGGUCUCAUGGACCGUAAGCGUGAAGAAUUUUGCAAUUUCACCCAAGGCCGACUUUUUGUGGAUGUCUAUAGCAGGGAGUUCGGUAAUCUUGCAUGAUAUGCAACCGAGGAAGUUUCUACUGACGCCAAGAAGCAAGCAAGGUUCCGCAAGGGCCUUAGUCCUGAGCUUCGCCGCGACCUCCGUCUGCAUGAGUGCACAUCCUUUUCGAAACUUGUCAACAAAGCCAUCAGUGCUGAAACUGGUCAGACUGACUAUGACGCAACACGCAAGCAUGGACGUGACACGGGUUCCUCAUCCGGUGCUGGUCCUCAGAAGCGCCGCGUGUGGGUACCCAACACCGCCCUGCCACCCAGGUUCACACCGAGGCCAUCUUUCCAGGCGCCUCGCCCCGCUCAACAGUCUGCUCCAGCCAAGCCCUAUGGGGGUCCAACCAAUAAUGCUCCUCAACGUACCAGUUCCGUGACUUGUUUCAAGUGUGGGGAAUCUGGUCAUUAUAUGCGUGAGUGUCCCCAGACCAACCCCAAUCAAUCUGCUAAAGCUGUUGGCCGUGGCAAGCCGACAGGAAAAGUGUUUCAUGCUAAACCGGUCACCGCUUCACGUGGCCAUGUCAACUGUGUCUCUGCCGAAGAAGCUCAAGAGGAUCCCAAUGUCGUUCUCGGUACGCUUCUUGUUAAUUGCCACCCGGCAUCUGUUCUUUUCGAUACAGGAGCCUCUCAUUCCUUUAUAUCUGAAAAUUAUGCUCGUUUGCAUAACGUUGCAUUCUGUGAUCUGCCGUCCACUAUGGAAAUCUCUACCCCUGGGUCUAGAUGGCAGACUUCUAGGGUAAGUUAUGGAAAUGAGAUCCAAGUCGACAGACUUGUUUUCCUUGCGUCUUUGAUAGCCCUUAAAUCUUCAGAUAUUAAUAUCAUUCUGGGUAUGGACUGGAUGUCAGCUCAUCAUGCCCAAAUUGAUUGCUUCUCUAGGACUGUUCAACUCACCCAUCCUUCGGGGAAGAUAGUCAAUGUCUUGACUCGAAUAGCCAAGCGACAACUAUAUUCUCUUAACGCCAACCCUUUGCCAGACCUUGAGGACGUUCCGGUAGUCCGUGACUUUCCGGAUGUCUUUCCAGAGGAAUUGCCAGGUGUUCCACCUGACAGGGAUGUUGAGUUCGUAAUAGACCUCAUCCCCGGAACUGUUCCGAUUGCUAGAAGACCUUACAAAAUGGCACCUCUAGAACUAGCCGAGCUUAAGAAACAACUCGAUGAAUCCUUGAAAAGGGGUUUCAUCCGACCUAGCUCAUCUCCGUGGGCUUGCCCCGUCCUAUUCGUUAAGAAGAAGGAUGGUACGGACCGGAUGGUUGUAGAUUACCGACCUGUCAAUUUGGUCACAAUCAAAAACAAAUAUCCACUUCCCAGGAUCAACGACCUGUAUGAUCAGCUCGCUGGAUCCUCAGUCUUCUCUAAGAUGGAUUUGAGGUUGGGCUACCAUCAAAUCAAAAUCAGAAACGGGGACAUUCCCAAAACGGCCUUUGUUACUCGUUAUGGCCAAUACAAGUACACCGUCAUGUCCUUCGGAUUAACCAACGCUCCAGCCACCUUUUCUCGGUUAAUGAACUCAAUCUUCAUGGAGUAUUUGUAUAAAUUCGUCGUAGUUUACCUCGAUGAUAUACUCAUCUACUCCAAGAACGAGGAAGAACAUGCCGAACAUCUAAGACUAGUGUUGCAGAAACUUCGUGAGCAUCGCCUUUAUGCCAAAUUUUCAAAAUGUGAAUUCUGGUUGCCAGAAGUGACCUAUCUGGGCCAUGUAAUAUCUGGUAAAGGUAUUGCUGUUAACCCUGAGCGAGUUCAAGCCGUCCUUGAUUGGACUCCACCCGAAUCGGUCAAGCAAGUUCGGAGUUUUCUAGGCUUAGCGAGCUAUUGUCGUCGCUUUGUCGAGAACUUCUCCAAAGUUGCUAAACCUCUAACCGAACUCCUCAAGAAAGAUAAGAAGUUCGAAUGGACUCCACAAUGUGAGCACAGUUUUCAGGAACUGAAAAGACGCCUGACUUCUGCUCCCGUACUGGUACCGCCAGACUUCUCCAAGGACUUUGUUAUCUACUGCGACGCCUCGCGACAAGGACUAGGUUGCAUUCUCAUGCAAGAUCGACACGUAAUUGCUUACGCUUCACGGCAAUUACACCCACAUGAGGAGAAUUAUCCUACUCAUGAUCUAGAACUUGCAGCCGUAGUCUAUGCACUUAAGACCUGGCGACAUUACCUCCUCGGUAAUCGUUGCGAAAUAUUCACUGAUCACCAAAGCCUGAAGUACAUCUUCACCCAACCGGAUUUGAAUCUCAGGCAGAGACGUUGGGUUGAAUUGAUCACAGACUUCGACUUAGGAAUAACCUACACCCAAGGGAAAGCCAACGUCAUGGCUGAUGCGCUAAGUCGUAAAUCUUAUUGUAACAAUCUGAUGUUACAACAAAGUCAACCGCUUCUCCAUGAGGAAUUUCGGAAGCUUAACCUUCACAUUGUACCUCAAGGUUUUCUUUCCACCUUGGUGGCAAAACCUACUCUUACGGAUCAAAUCAUCGCUGCCCAAAAGCGAGAUAAGGGAAUAUCUAAAAUCAAGGAGAACAUUGCUAGCGGAGGUGCUAGUUGUUUUUCCACAAAUGAUCAUGGUGUUGUGUACUUUGAGAAUCGUCUAGUGGUUCCCAAGAACCAGCGUCUGCGGUAGUUGAUCCUUAAGGAGGCUCAUGAAUCUCCUCUCACUAUUCAUCCCGGUAGUACUAAAAUGUAUCAGGACCUACGCCAGAGGUUCUGGUGGACUAGGAUGAAGAGAGAAAUUGCUCAGUAUAUUGCAAAUUGCGACAUCUGUCGUCGUGUAAAAGCAGAGCAUCAACGACCUGCUGGCACCCUUCAACCCUUAGCUAUUCCUGAAUGGAAAUGGGAUAAAAUUGGUAUGGAUUUCAUUACCGGUUUUCCCAGGACCAAGAGAGGGAAUAAUGCUAUUUUCGUCAUGGUCGAUCGUCUUUCCAAAGUAGCUCAUUUCCUACCUGUUCGUGAGAGUAUAACCGCUAGUCAGCUGGCAGACUUAUACAUCUCCCGGAUAGUGUCUCUCCAUGGUGUUCCUUUGGAAAUCAAUUCGGAUCGAGGAAGUCUUUUCACCUCUCGAUUUUGGGAAAGUUUCCAAAAUGCUAUGGGAACUCGUCUCUCUUUUAGCACCGCUUUCCACCCUCAGUCAAGUGGUCAAGUGGAACGCGUCAAUCAGAUUCUAGAAGACAUGCUUCGAGCCUCCGUUAUCUCUUUCGGAAUGGACUGGGAGAAGUGCCUUCCAUUUGCCGAAUUCGCUUACAACAACAGCUAUCAAUCUAGCUUGGGUAAAGCCCCUUUUGAAGUUCUCUAUGGACGACGAUGUCGAACACCCCUUAACUGGUCAGAAACCGGGGAAAGACAAUUCUUUGGCCCGGAUAUGAUUCAGGAAGCAGAAGAACAAGUUCGUAUCGUUCGUGAAAAAUUGAAAACAGCCCAAUCCCGUCAAAAGAGUCAAUAUGACCGAAAACAUAAGGCUAUGACUUUUGAGGUUGACGAGAAGGCUUACCUUCGGGUCACCCCUCUGAAGGGAACCCAUCGUUUCGGUAUCAAAGGCAAAUUGGCUCCUCGUUACAUUGGACCUUUUCGCAUUCUUGCCAAACGAGGAGAAGUUGCCUACCAAUUGGAACUACCUCCGCACCUCUCCAGAGUUCACGAUGUCUUCCACGUUUCUCAACUCAGGCGUUGCUUCUCGGAUCCUAUCCGUGAAGUGGACCACGAAACGCUUGAUCUCCAAGAUAAUCUUACAUAUCGAGAGUACCCCAUUCGUAUCCUCGAUCAAGCCGAACGUACCACGCGACGUCAUAAUAUCAAGUUUCUCAAGGUUCAAUGGUCGCACCAUUCUGAGGAUGAAGCAACUUGGGAAAGGGAGGAUCGUCUUCGACUCGAAUAUCCCGCCUUCUUCUCGGAGGAACCCAAAUCUCGGGACGAGAUUCUUUUGAGUGGGGGUGAGUUGUCACACCCUAGCUAGUCAUGCAUUAGAGUGUUGCAUCAUGUUUACUUUUUCCUCAGAAACUUGAAAUGGGGAUGACAGAACCCCCAGUCCCCUCUGAAACCAACUAGGGUUACUAAAAUAAUUUUUCAAUGAACCUGAAAUGCCCUUCUAAAAUGUCCAUCAUUUUAGCCUUGGUUCAGAACCUCUGACAAAAGUGGUGCACAUUUUUCUAGGCCAUCAUAGGGUCUUUGAAUUAAAUCAUAGAUAUUUGAAUUUGGGCAUUUAAAAUAAUAUAAAAUAUUUAAAUGCUCAAAUAUCUCCAAACUAAAAUGUUUCAUGUUGGAAAUAAUCCAACUAUGGACCAGGAGUAGUUUGGUGAAUUUUGGAGUUGCCUAGGUAUUUUAAUUAAUUCAACAAAGUUGCAGAUAUAUUAAAUAAAACAGAAAACAAAAAAAGAAAGGGGAAAGACUUACCUGUGCGGCCCAGCCAGCUGGCCGGCCCAGCUAGCAGCCGACCCAGCCCAACACUGUAGCUCCCCGUCGUCUUCCUCCCCACGCCCCGAAGCUGCUGCGUGCUCGCGCGCGCGCGGCCGCGCGGCCACCUCCUGCUUGCCGACGCCCUCCUGGCCGCGUGGACGACGUCCGCAGCCCGUCCCGAUCCCCCCUGCUCUCGCUCACUCUCCCCCGUUUCUCCCUCGCUCUCUCUCGCUCUCGGCCGAAGCACACCGUCGCUGCCGUUCGCCGUAGCCACUGUCUCCGGCCACCCCUCGCUCCCCCGAGUAGCUCAGAAGCUCCGCCACAACUCCCUCUUCCUCCCCACCGCUCCACGAGUCCCCGGAAGCCCUGCAUCGCCGCCACGUCGCCGUUCCCCUCUUCGGGCUCCGACCACCGUCGCCGACGAAUUCGCCGUCUCCAGCGCGUCCCCGAGCCCGCUUCGACGCCCACUGCAACCGCGGUGAGCUACGCCACCGUUUCCCCCUCUUCUCCCCCUCGUUCCCUCACCGUAGCUUCAUCUCCACCACGGCCGAACCUCCGCCGUCGCCGAGCUCGCCGUCGACGCAGCUCCGGUGACCAUUUGGUCACCCCGGCGAGUCCAACGCGUUCACAGAACCCAGUAGAGCAUCCCUAGCGCCUCACUUUGCUCGACUUCGAGCUCCAGCACCACUCCCGUGCACGACCGAACCCCGGCGGCCGCAGCCGAGCUCACCGCCGUCAACUCCGGCCACCCCGACCCCAAUGGACUCCGUCAAGAGCCGCGGGUCGUCCUCAGCUUCACUCCUGUGGUCGCCGCGUUCCAUUUGGUGGCCGAAACGACCCAAACCACUAUCGCCGCCGCACUGUUGGUCGCCGCCGGCCAGAACUCCGGCGAGCUGACGUGGCCUAGUUGAUUAACCACUAAUCCACCACCUACUGACGCUGACAAGUGGGCCCCAGGGCUUAGUCAAAGCUAACCAGCCCGGGGUCAACGCGGGAUUAGCCCCUGUGACACUGACGUGUGGACCCCACACGUCAGGUUUGACCCGAGCCAGCCCCGUUGACCUGCUGAUGUCACUGUGAUGUCAGGCUGACGCAGUAAUUGAAUUUCUGGAUUUAAAUUAAAUCAGGAAAUUCAGAAUAUUAUUAAACUUCAAAAAUUCAUAACUUUUAUUCUGUAACUCCAAAUUGGACAAAUUAUAUAUGAAAAAUGAUCAGAAAAAUCCAAUCUAUCCAUCUGUACUAUUUUCAUGCAUGAUCAAACAAGUUAAAUUGAUGUUUUAAUCAGAAUAAGAAAAGGCACUUUAAAAGGCCAUAUUUGAAUUUGGAAUUUGAAUCUUUGAUUCAAAUUUGCUCAAACCCUACUGGCUUUAGUUGCAUUAGCCCAACACACUCAUAUUGCCAUGUUUCAUGCAUGCAUCAUAUUGUUGCACAUUGUUUGGUGAUGCCUGUGUAUCGUUAUCCUUUGCGACAGGAUCUGUCCCCGAGGAGUAUCGUGAUUACCCUAACGAAGAGUCGUAUCCGUGCAACGAAUCAUCAGGCAAGCAACCAACCAUUUGAUCAUAUCGAUACAAUCCCAUGUUCUCGCUCCUGCUCUCUUUUACUGCAUUAAGACAACGCGAUUCAAAGUGCUGUGUGCUGCGGUAGUUGAACCCAUUUCCUCUGCAUGACCUGUCAUUGCCACAGUAACUAGAUGAAACCCACUAGCAUGUGUAGGAGUUGAUUGAGCCAUAUGUAUGUGUUGUUCCUACCUUGCUAUGCCUGCUAUGCUUAGAGUUGUGUCAGGUCUGGUUCAUCUGGGUGAUGGGCUAGAGUGAAAUGAUUAUGUCGGUAAUAAGAGUGGUGUGGUGAACACGAUUUGGUAAAGGUAUCGAUGAGAGGCCAUGUAGGAGUACAUGGUGGGUUGUUUCAUUGAAGCCGACCUUAGGCACUGAGAUCUGUAUGUGUGAUUUAAGAUACAGCUACUACCAUGCAUUGGGCCCUGAAAUAUGACCCCGCUCGACUUCUUAAUCACCCUAGCUCUCUGUCCAGGAGUUGCAAGUAGUUUCUGGUGUUUGUAGCCUACUGGAGGCCGUGGACAGCGCUGACCGUAGGGGUGGGCUGUGAUGCGGUAGGUACGUGGCCGGGUGUACCGAAUACCCGUUAGGUAUCUCGGGAACCCUGUUCACAUCGUUCGGGGCCGUAUGGGAAACCUCGGCCGGACUCCCUGUGGAUGGAACCUGAAUAGGCGAUAAACCUGGACUAGAGGCUUAAGUGUUUAGGUAGGUCGUGGUCUACACCCACGUCGGCUUUCGCUUGAAGUCUGCCGAGCACAUGUCGUGUGCAGACGCUAAGUGGUGGAAACAUGUAUGAGGAAGUACACCCCUGCAGGGUUAACAUGAUCUAUUCGAAUAGCCGCGUCCGCGGUAAAGGACUACUUGGUUGCCUAUACAGUUCAUAGACAAGUAAAUGGAAACUACUAAAAGCCUCAAGAUAAGUGUGAGUGCCGAGGAUGGCUCUUCCGUAGGAAGACGGAGGUGGAUCCUCGGUAGUGUAUUGAAGUGGUGAAUAGUGGACUCGUGUGCGCAAAACUAUUUCAAGUUGGAGUAUCGUAGGAUAGUCUAGCCAAGAGUCAAAGCUGGCUUGCUGCAAUAACUCCACCAACCUUUUUGAUACUAUGCAUGUAUGUAGGGUCUGAUGUAAGUCUUGCUGAGUACCUUUGUACUCAUGUUGCUAUAAUCUAUAUUUUUACAGAAGACGCUGCAACCCCUUCUGAUGGGUUCUAUGUAGACGUUGACAUCAACGAGUAGGCUAAAGACCCAGGUGGUGACCCUGAGCUUGUGAAGGACCACGUAGUAUAGCUAGGCUUUCCAAGCCUCUUUUAUUUUACUAGUUGUCUGUACUCAGACAAGUUACUUCCGCUGUUGGCUUGUAUGAUUGUAUGACUUGUAUGUUGGGUCGUGAGACCCGUACCUUUGUGUGUAUGUUAUGUAUGGUUCUCUGAGCCCUAAAUAAAGUACUUGUGUCGUAGAGUCAUGUUGUGAUGCUUCGUUGUAAUUGCACAUAUCGAGCAUAUUGUGUGUAUGAUUGAAAUGCUUGGUAUGUGUGGGAUCUGACUAUCUAGUUGUUUAUCUUUAGUAGCAUCUCUUACCGGGAAAUGUCUCCUAGUGUUACCGCUGAGCCAUGGUAGCUUGCUACUGCUCUGGAACACUUAGGCUGGCCGGCAUGUGUCCUUCUUCGUUCCUGUGUCUGUCCCUUCGGGGAAAUGUCACGCUUUGAGUACCGGAGUCCUGUUAGCCCGCUACAGCCCGGUUUACCGGAGUCCUGCUAGCCCAGUGCUACAGCCCGGACCCACUUGCUGAUGACCGACACGUUCGAAGCUGGGUCAUGGAUGCCUGUCCCUGUAAGUCUGUGCCACUUUGGGUUUACGACUAGUCAUGUCAGCCCGGGCUCUUUAUCAUAUGGAUGCUAGCGACACUAUCAUAUACGUGAGCCAAAAGGCGCAAACGGUCCCGGGAAAAGGGUAAGACGACACCCGUGGGGAUACCGUGCGUGAGGCCGCAAAGUGAUAUGAGGUGUUACCAGCUAGAUCGAUGUGACAUCGAGUCGGGGUCCUGACAACUUCAAGGAUCAGAAAGGUCCCGAAGUGGAAAAGUUGUUCUGGUCACAGUUUCACGCUCCAGUUCGUCCGCUGCUGCUGAAUGAGCGAUUGACCGGUUGGGCCGAGCUCCAUAGGUUGUCCAGACUUGCCAUGAGGUCCGUUGUGGAUCACCUGUGGCUGGGAGGGCCAAGGCCGAGUAGCUCCUUUAGCUUAGUGCAAAAAUUCCUUGAAGCCGUGCCACGCAUCGAUGCUAUAAAGAGAUCAGCGUGCACAGAAGGUUCGCGGAUGGCCCUUGCCCGUGUCAAAACAUACUGGGCGGAGAUGGAGGCCACCACUAUUGUGGCACAGGGUUCGGCCAUAGGCCCAGUGGCUGCCAAGCACUACUUUGAAGAAGUCCUUAAAAGCGCUCGUUCGAUAGAGGCUCAGUGCUCGAAGAAUAUUAUUUUCUAGUGACAUAUAGUCCCAUUGUACAAACAAUGUUUUAUUGAACUUAUCAAGGCUGUAUUUAUACUUUUGCCCGAAAGUGCUAUGAUGCCUCUUGUGCGGCCGUUUAUGUAUAUAUGUAUAUAACCUGAAAGAUGGUGGUCGUCGGCUUCAGCCCCCACGCAUAUAAUGCGGGGGUGUUCGCAGAAGACGCAUGUUCACACUUGAUCCAACGUCUUGGUCCAUUAAGGAGGUGAUAGCGCAGUGAACUAGGCAACCGAACUAUAAUGCUUUAACACUUUCACUUAGCCAGAGGAGUUUGACAGUGGGGCUACUAUAUAGCCCCUGGUGGCUCCGUGCUCAUCCGGAUUCGGGGCGCGUACAUGCCUGGCCGAGAAACAGCCCUUCGUUAAGGCGGAGGAAUCCCAAAGGUUCUGCUAGGUCACCGAGUGGUUGACCAGUGUCACGCUAUAUCAUGACAGUUAGUUUUCAGCUUUCUCUACUGAGGUGCUCGUCCGGAUGAACCAGGGCACAAUCGCAGUAGUUCUCCUGGUGCCGCUUUAGCCGAUAGAGCAGAAUGUAAAGCAGCAAAACACAGGAGCCGGGCAAACCCAACAUUUGACCAAAGACAUGAUUCAGAACUGAUGCAUAUAAGGCCAAACUCGCUACGCCGAACACUACCUAGGGUAUUCGGUCUUUAUGUUGUAAACUGGGUCAAAACAGUGCCCUUUGUAAUAAGCCCCUGGUGUCUAGGUACAUGAAGUAUUCUGAUGUGGACACAUGCCAAUACGUCAGCAUCCUUCUCAAUUGUACUGAGAAUCCGAGGGAUGUGUAUCAACAAGAGACAGUAAAAAAGGUUUACACAGGGUCUUAAUCUAAAAAGAAUCCUUGGAACGGGUCCCUGCUGCACGUCUGCGCUUGUGUCUCCGUUGUGCCAUAUUCUGGACGGGUGUAGCACGAUGGUCAUCUAAAAAAGAAAGGUACUUAAUUGAGAAGUUGUCGUGCAAAAGGUAGGUCAUACUAAAUAAAUCAUGUACAGUUCAAAAUGAGUAAAGUUGAGCCUAAUUGCCACUUGUUUGCGCGCGUUGAGCCCCUUGUAUUGUAAUAGGGGUAUAGCCAUCAAACCUAUAUCAAUUACAUAUAACUGCACUGGACUCGUCCAACCGCGUCCGUGGUCUUAACGACCUGUCAGAUGCUUUAGAUGGUGAGGCCAUUUAGUUGGUGAGGCCAUCCGUGGUCUUCCGCGCGCAAGGAGUGCUCAAUACUUCCAUUUACUGUAAUGAUGCCACGUGGACCGGGCAUCUUAAGCAUGAGAGAAGCGUAAUGCGGUAUUGCGUUAAAGCGAGCGAAAGCUUCGCGUCCGAGUAGUGCUUGAUAACCACUUUGGAACGGAGCGAUGUGGAACAUUAAAUUUUCACUGCGGAAGUUAUCGGGAAAGCCAAAUAUAACCUCUAGUAGCAGGAAGCCCGUGCAAUGGGCCUCUGGGCCUGGCGUUACUCCUUUAAAGGUAGUAUUGCUGCGGUUCAUUUUUGUUGAGUCUAUCCCCAUUUUGCGGACUGUGUCCUGAUAUAUCAGGUUUAAAUUGCUGCCACCGUCCAUCAGGACUUGUGUGAAGUGGUAUCCAUGAAUUAUUGGGUCUAAUACCAAGGCAGCCCAUCCUGCACGGCGGAUACUUGCCGAGUAAUCCCGAUGGUCAAAGGUGAUCGGUUGGGACGACCAGUGGCAGAACUCCGCGGUGAUAGGCCCUGGGGCAUGUGUCACUAGGAGUGCCGCUUUGUUUGUCCCCUUUGUUACGUGUAACACGUUUACUGUUUUGACUUCUUUUGGGAAUUUCUUCUGUUCCCUAGUGCUUUGCUUGCGAGGCUCGUCCUCGUCUUCGCUUGGUGUAUCCUGCCCCUUAUGUUCAGCGUUGAGCUUGCCGGACUGCUUGAAAACCCAACAUUCUCUAUGGGUAUGAUUUGCAUGCUUAUCGGGGGUGGUGUGGAUCUGACAUAUUUUAUCCAGAAUCUUGUUUAGGCUGGACAGUUCGUCUCUGUUGCCUUUGGAGCGCAGCUUUUGCGGACCUGGCCGAGAGCUUCUAAAUCCGGCGUUUACCGCCGUGCUCUUUGUGCUGUCUUCUUUAUUCCGGCACUUGUUUUUGCUGCGUCGUGGUUUCCCGUUUCCGUCCCUGACUUCGGAUGUACUUGGGCCUCUGGUGCUGCAUCGGGCUAACCAGCUAUCCUUGCCCGUGCAAAAGCGGGUCAUGAGGCUUGUUAAUGCUGCCAUUUUUCUCGGCUUUUCUUAGUAGAGGUGUCUAGCAACCCAUUCGUCUCGAACGCUGUGCUUAAAAGCUGCUAAGGCUUCGGCCCGGGCAGUCGACUAUUUGGUUGUUUUUAGUGAGGAACCUAUUCCAAAGCUUUCGGGCUGACUCUCCGGGCUGUUGAGUUAUAUGACUCAAAUCGUCUGCAUCCGGUGGUAGGACAUAGGUCCCUUGAAAAUUUGCCCGAAAAGCAUCUUCGAGCUCUUCCCAACUUCCAAUGGAGUUUUCGGGGAGGCUUUUAAGCGAGUGCCGAGCUGGCCCUUUGAGCUUGAGGGGUAAGUACUUGAUGGCGUGGAGAUCGUCUCCUCGAGCCAUAUGGAUAUGGAGGAUGUAGUCCUCAAUCCAGACCCCAGGGUCUGUCGUUCCGUCGUACGCCUCUAUGUUUACGGGUUUGAAUCCCUCUGGAAAUUCGGGGUCCAGCACCUCCUCGGUGAAACAUAGGGGGUGUGCGGCACCCCUGUAUUUGGGUGUACCGUGGUGUUGGGAUGCUUGUUGUGUUGCAUUGCAUGCUGGAGCGCGCUUGCAUGGCCCAUAGAUGGAUCUGGUUGCGCCGUCCUUUUGAUCCAAGACCUCACGCGGAUCACGUACUGGCUUAUGUGUGGCGUUGUUUGCCGCUCUAUGUUGGCCACGAGGUCGUUUAUCCGACCGUAUGGCCAUUUUGUUUUUGGAUUGCGGGGGAUCUAAGGCCUCCUCAUCGAAUUCAGGUAGCAACUUUCGCUUCGGGUAGCUCUUGGUGUGGCGAUUACCGCCGUACUUCGCUUCAGUCUUGAGUACUUCACUCCAUCUGAUUCUGAGUGUGUCUUGUGCAGCCCUAAGCCUUUGCUUCUGCUUUUUCAGACUCCUCGCAAUGGCAACAAGCCUUUUAUGGGUAUUCUGUUGCUCCGGGUGCCUAUCCAGUUUGAUGUUAUCCGGACUGUUAUCUUCGACGGAGUCGGGUUGUUCGGUUUGAUUCUCCGUGUUGCUGUGGUCGGACGAUGGUUCAAUGUCGUAUUUUUCAUCCGCUGGCUCGCCUUGCUCUAUCGCUGGGUUUAUAUGAUCGCUGCUUCUGCCGAGGCGAGAUUUGAAGCGGCGCUUACGCCGCCGCUUUGACUGCUUUUCGAGGGAACAACCCUGCGUUGCGUCCUUCUGUUCUUCGUCGUUGUUUUCUCUGGGUGUGUCCACCAUGUAUACAUCAUAUGAUGAAGUGGGUGUCCAGUGCCCUUGUGGGCAGUGGUUCUUGUUCAUCUCUAUCAUCCAUACCGUCGGUGCCUUCGGAGUCGAAGUCGAGCAUGUCGGUCAAAUCGUCGACAGUGGCUACUAAGUGGGUGGUGGGUGAGCGGCGAAUUUCUUCGUCUUCCGCAUCCCAAUUCUGUCGGACAUGGUUCGGCCAGCGCUCUCCUGACAGAGAGAGGGACCUUAAUGAGUUCAGUAUGUCGGCGAAGGGCGAGUGCUGAAAGAUAUCCGCGGAGGUGAACUCCAUGAUUGGCGCCCAGUUGGAUUCGAUAAGCAUGGGCGCAGGCGGUUCGGAGUCCGUGGCCGAGGAAGAAUCCGGCAGUUUGGCAUCAUGGCUCUCGUGAAGGGUAAGGUUGAUACUCGGCUCGGUCGCCGAUGAGAGUGCAGCCUCCGUGGUGGGGUCUAUCCACCCGUCACUGGAUGGCGCAAUUGGCUCCGAUUUGAGGGUCGGAGCGGUCGCCGGUGUGAUCUCCCGAACAAUGUCCGAUGGUAGAGCUAAGUCGUGCUCAUCGCGACCGUGCGACACACUCGGCAAGGGCUCGAAUCCGUCGAAGAACAAGUCUUCGUGGAUGUCGGCUGUGUAGUUCAACUUUCCAAAUCUGACCUGAUAGCCAGGGGCAUAGCUCUCGAUCUGCUCUAGAUGGCCAAGCGAGUUGGCCCGCAGUGUGGAGCCGCCGAAUACAAAGAUCUAUCCGGGGAGAAAAGUCUCACCCUGGACUGCAUCGCUAUCGAUGAUCGAAGGAACCAUCAAGCCUCAUGAUGAUGACACAGAGGAACUCUCAAUGAAAGCACCAAUGUCGGUGUCAAAACCGGCGGAUCUCGGAUAGGGGGUCCCGAACUGUGCGUCUAAGGCGGAUGGUAAUAGGAGGCAGGGGACACGAUGUUUUACCCAGGUUCGGGCCCUCUUGAUGGAGGUAAAACCCUACGUCCUGCUUGAUUGUUCUUGAUAAUAUGAGUAGUACAAGAGUAGAUCUACCACGAGAUCAGAGAGGCUAAACCCUAGAAGCUAGCCUAUGGUAUGAUUGUCUGUUGUCCUUCGGACUAAAACCCUCCGGUUUAUAUAGACACCGGAGGAGGCUAGCGUUACACAAGGUCGGUUACAAAGGAGGAGAUAUGCAUAUCCGUAUUGCCUAUCUUGCCUGCCACGCCAAGUAGAGUCCCAUCUAGACACGGGACGAAGUCUUCAAUCUCGUAUCUUCAUAGUGCAAUAGUCCGCCCAAAGGAUAUAGUCCGGCUGUCCGGAGACCCCCUAAUCCAGGACUCCCUCAUAGAGACUCCAUGAAGAACUCCGGUAAUAAAAGGAUGAUCAAACAAAAUGAAGGAUGAAGAGAAUAAGGUUGAAGCCUUGGAAUGAUUAGAUGGAUCUUCGCGAUGAUGAGAGCUUGGAACUCCGGGAAAAGAAAAGAUGAUCCAAUUGAAACCGAAAAUUUGAUGAACCUCCGGAGUAAGGAAUUGAAUACACUUGAUGAAACAAGAAUAAGAAUUGCAUUAUGCUUAUCCUUCACCAAUUUAGAUAGAUGACAAGCAAUGGAUUUGGCAUACUACUUAUUCUCGUAGAAAAGAUUAAGAGAGAUAUAGUGCAAACUUGAAGAAGCCUUCGAUGAACCACCGGUAGGAUUGAAACAACGAAUAAAUUGAUAUCAUAACCAAGGAAGCGAACUCUUGAACGAACCACCGUAAGAAUUGGAAAUGAACGAAGUAAAGGGAUGAAUCACCAGCAAGAAUUAGAGAACAAAUGAAGAUACUUGAGGUAAUUUGAUACAAGAGAACGAAGAGAUCACGAGCUGAUUAUAGAAUAUUUGAAUGAUGCACCGGUAAGAUUUGCGGAACGAGAGCUGAAAGAUGGAAUGAAUAAUUCUAAAAUGAUGGGAUUUGAACGAAUAAAACUGAAAAGAAUCUUAAAUUGCUCCGGAUAGGUGAAAAGAAUUCUCACAAUCAAAAACCAUUAUGAGAGGAUGGUAUAAAGCUAGAACCACGCGUCUCUAAGAGCACGGAUAAGAUAUGGAGGAAAAACUCUUCUUCGGUCUUCAAAACCCGAGAAUGACGACGAGAAAUAGAAAGGUUGAACCAACGAUGAAAAGAAUUUGAAAGAUCUUGGAGAAAGACAUUUGACUAAUGAAAACUCAUUCUUACGUCAAACUUUGAAAUGAUUUUUUUAAUAGCUCCAGGAAAAUUAGAAGAUUCAGGUAAGAUCCUGGGAAAAGACCUGUGGGUUAGGGCCCACUCAAAAGAUACACCAUUGAAUAAUUUAAAAGACAGAUUGCAUCGGUUUAAUUAAAUAGCUUGAAUAAGGUAAGACCUCGAAAUAGCUUGAACGAAUGCAGAGUGGAAACAUGAAUCUUCGAGAUAUCUUGAGCACUCCGGAACAAUUGAAUAGCGAGAAGUGGAUGAUUAGGAGGUGCAACGGCAUGAGAAAGCAUUUGCAACGAGGAAAAGAUAUGAUCGACAAAGCUUGAAGUUGAACCCACUGGAGAAGAAAAAGAAUGAGGAAUGACGAACUAGAAGCUCCGUUAGGAUCUUCAUGAGAAUCACCGGGUAAGAACAUUGACGGAAAAGAAUGGAGAGACUUCACAUGAAUAAAAUGGAAACAUGAUUAAGAUAUAUGAGUCCUUGUAGAAAAAAGGGUGGGAGGGCGGGAAAACAAAGGCAACUUGGGGACAGAUGAAACGAACAACAUUGGGAAAACCAAGAGGUGAUCUUGCGGAUGUUGAAAUGAUCAGAUCCACUUGAAGAGAUACACACCAGUUGGAAAUAAUUGACAUGACAAUCUUGAUGAUCAAGAAGGAUUGGUAUUCACAUAGGAGUAUGAGAAUACCGCUUAGGAAAAAUAUGGAAUCAACACUUGACAUUGAAGCUACUCGAAUACCACAACAAAAAACAAAACAAGGGAUUGACUUGCAAAAUAAGGCGGAAACAAACAUAUAAUAGAUACCAUAUCAUAUCAUGUGUUUGUUAGAAAGAUAUUCUAGGAGCUACUUGAAUUCCCACUUAUAAACUCCCGAAACUUUCUGGUUAUGCAAUCAGGUGUUGGGGAUACAUGGGAAGCAUAAUAUCUCACCCAAACUAACAAUACCUACAUCCAGCUGUAUCCAUCGUUCAACACAUAACCAAGAAACCUUCGGAAAUCAUCUACCUCAACCUUCGAAAAGCAUCCGUUAUACGAGUUAUGGCAAUACUCCCGAACUCCCGCCCCAGUACUAGGAGGCAUUGAGGUUAUCUCACCAACAACUGCAUAAAGGAGAUUUUCGAUGUCGGUGAACUCAGGUAUUCUAGAACUGCAACGAUGAAAUUGUGACGACAACACCUCGGAGCUCAACUCCCUGGGACACUGCCACAACCCCUAAAUGUCAGGAGGCACCAAGAACAAUGUUAUUGUCACAAAACCAUCGGAACGAUUCCAAGAUACCCGUGUGAUCCUAAUAAAAAUCGUGAAAUUUGAGAAGAGAAGAGUCAAAACUCUAUGUCAGGAGGCCUCACUAGAGCGACGAAGAGAUUGAGGAUUAAAAAGAAUCCUACUCUCCGAUAUAUAUAAUCCUAAGACUCAAAACAUUUUGUUCUAGACUCAACAACGUCAGCGAUUUGAUCAAGCAGGGGGCUCCUAAGUCGGGGAUGGCUCUGAUUACCAACUUGUAACACCCACGAUGCGGCUAUAUCUCCCAUGUGUUGGAGCACGACUUAGAGGCAUAACGCAUGGUAGGCAUGUCGCAAGAGGGGUAAUCUUUACACAUCCCAUGUACUAAGAAAGAGAUAAAGAGUUGGCUUACAAUCGCCACUUCACACAAAACAUAAAUAUAGCAUACAUAAUCUAGAAUACAAUCAAGGUCCGACUACAGAACCAAACCCCAAAUGCUAGAUCCCCGAUCGUCCCAACUGGGCACCACUACCGAUCAACCGGAAACGAAACAACACAACGAGCACGAUCUUCUUCGAGCUCCCACUUGAGCUCAGUUGCGUCACCUGCACUGGUAUCGUCGACACCUGCAACUGUUUGGAAGUAACUGUGAGUCACGAGGACUCAGCAAUCUCACACCUGCGAGAUCAAGACUAUUUAAGCUUAUGGGUAGGGAAAGGUAGUGAGGUGGAGUUGCAGCAAGCACUAAGCAUAUAUGGUGGCUAACAUACGCAAAUGAGAGCAAGAAGAGAAGCAAAGAACGGUCGAUAAGCUAUCAUGAUCAAGAAGUGAUCCUGAAACUACUUACGUUCAAGCAUAACACGAGACCAUGUUCUCUUCCUGGACUCCGCCGAAAAGAGACCAUCACGGCUACACACGCGGUUGAUGCAUUUUAGUUAAGUUAAGUGUCAAGUUCUCUACAACCGGAUAUUAACAAAUACCCAUCUGCCCAUAACCGCGGGCACGGCUUUCAAAAGUUCAAAACCCUGCAUGGGUGUCCCAACUUAGCCCAUCACAAGCUCUCACGGUCAACGAAGGAUAUUCCUUCUCCCAGGAAGACCCGAUCAGACUCGGAAUCCUGGUUACAAGACAUUUCGACAAUGGUAAAACAAGACCAGCAAGACAGCCCGAUGUGCCAACAUCCCGAUAGGAGCUGCACAUAUCUUGUUCUCAGGGCAACACCGGAUGAGCGCUCCAUACAACUAAAACCAGCCCUCAAGUUUCCCCGAGGUGGCGCUGCAAAGGACUCUAGUUCGAACCAACACUUAGAGAAGCACUGGCCCGGGGGGGUUAAAAUAAUGAUGACCCUCGGGUUGGUCGACCCGAGGGAAGGGUAGAUGAUACGUCUCCAAUGUAUCUACUUUUCCAAACAGUUUUGCCCUUGUUUUGGACUCUAACUUGCAUGAUUUGAAUGGAACUAACCCGGACUGACACUGUUUUCAGCAGAAUUACCAUGGUGUUAUUUAUGUGCAGGAGCAAACGUUCUCGUAAUGACCUGAAAAUUCACGAAGACACUUUUUAGAAAAUAAGAAAAAUACCUGCCAAAGAUGAAGGCCAGGGGGCCCACCACCUUGCCACGAGGGUGGGGGCGCGCCUGUCCCCCCUAUUGCGCGCCCCCUACCUCGUGGGCCCCCUGUUGCCUCUCUGACUCCAACUCCACCUCCAUAUAUUGAGUUUCAGGGAGAAAAAAAACCAGAGAGAAGAAAUCAUUGCGUUUUAUGAUACGGAGCCGCCGCCAAGCCCUAAAACCUCUCGGGAGGGCUGAUCUGGAGUCCGUUCGGGGCUCCGAAGAGGGGAAUCCAUCGCCAUCGUCAUCAUCAACCAUCCUGCAUCGCCAAUUUCAUGAUGCUCACCGCCGUGCGUGAGUAAUUCCAUCGUAGUCUUGCUGGACGGUGAUGGGUUGGAUGGGAUCUACCAUUUAAUCGAGUUAGUUUUGUUAGGGUUUGAUCCGUAGUUUCCACUAUGUUCUGAGAUUGAUGUUGCUAUGACUUUGCUAUGCUUAAUGCUUGUCACUAGGGCCCGAGUGCCAUGAUUUCAGAUCUGAAUCUAUUAUGUUUUCAUCAAUAUAUGAGUGUUCUUGAUCCUAUCUUGCAAGUCUAUAGUCACCUAUUAUGUGUUAUGAUCCAUUAACCCCGAAGUGACAAUAAUCGGGAUACUUACCGGUGAUGACCAUAGUUUGAGGAGGUCAUGUAUUCACUAUGUGUUAAUGCUUUGUUCCGGUUCUCUAUUAAAAGGUGGCCUUAAUAUCCCUUAGUUUCCGUAAGGACCCCGCUGCCACGGGAGGGUAGGACAAAAGAUGUUAUGCAAGUUCUUUUCCAUAAGCACGUAUAAAUAUAUUCGGAAUACAUGCCUACAUUAUAUCAACGAACUGGAGCUAGUUCUGUGUCACCCUAGGUUAUGAUUGUUACAUGAUGAACCGCAUACGGCAUAAUUCUCCAUCACCGAUCCAUUGCCUACGAGCUUUCCAUAUAUUGUGCUUCGCUUAUUUACUUUUUCCGCUGCUAUUGUUAUCAUCACUACAAAAUACCAAAAACAUUACUUUUACUACUGUUACCUUUUGCUACCGUUAUCACUAUUAUCAUAUUACUUUGCUACUAAAUACUUUGCUGCAGAUAUUAAGUUUCCAGGUGUGGUUGAAUUGACAACUCAGCUGAUAAUACUUGAGAAUAUUCUUUGGCUCCCCUUGUGUCGAAUCAAUAAAUUUGGGUUUAAUACUCUACCCUCAAAAACUGUUGCGAUCCCCUAUACUUGUGGGUUAUCAAGACCAAUUUCUGGCGCCGUUGAUGGGGAGCAUAGCUCUAUUCUUUGAGUCACUUGGGAUAUAUAUCUGCUUAUCAUUAUGAAGAACUUAAGAGAUCCAAAAACCAAGAUUUAUCCCUCAGCUACGAGGGGAGGUAAGGAACUGCCAUCUAGCUUUGCACUUGAUUCACCUUCUGUUAUGAGUAUGUUUGCGAUAUGUACACCUGCUUCUGCUAUUCAUUCUGAUAUGUCGGAUGUUAUUGAUGAUGCCACUUCUGCUAUGCAUGAUACUUAUGAUGAAACUACCUCUAUACCUGAUACUACUAUGCCACUUAGUGAUUUUCUUGAUGAACAACUUGCUAGGGCUAGAGAAAUUGAAAAUAUUGAAUAUGAUGAUACUGAUGAAAGUGAUGAUGGAGAACCACUUGCCAUUCCUAAGGGUUAUGUAUUUGAUCAAGAUGCUUCUUUAGCCAUUUUAGCUUGCAGAAAUAGAACUGAACUUAAAAAAUUAUUAGCUAAAUGGAGUAAGCAAUUCCUAAAUGAUAGAAUGAAACCUGACCCUACUUUUGCUACUUCGCCUAUCUUUGUUAUUGAUAAGGAUUAUGAAUUCUCUGUUGAUCUUGAUAUAAUUACUUUGGUUGAAUCUGAUCCUUUUCAUGGUUAUGAAUCUGAAACUGUUGUGGCACUUACUAAAUUGAAUGAUAUAGCUACCCUGUUCACUAAAGAUGAGAGAACUCGCUACUUUUAUAUCCUUAAAAUAUUUCCGUUCUCAUUAAAGGUUGAUGCUAAGAUAUGGUUUAAUUCUCUUGAUCCUGGUUGUGUGCGUAGUCCCCAGGACAUGAUUUAUUACUUCUCUCCUAAAUAUUUCCCUGCUCAUAAGAAACAAGCUGCUUUAAGGGAUAUAUAUAAUUUUGUGCAAAUUGAAGAAGAGAGUCUCCCACAAGCUUGGGGGAGGCUUCUCUAAUUACUUAAUGCUUUGCCUGAUCAUAUUCUUAAGAAAAGUGAAAUACUUGAUAUCUUUUAUAAUGGAUUAACCGAUGCCUCCAGAGAUUACCUGGAUAGUUGUGUUGGUUCUGUUUUCAAGGAAAGAACACCGGAUGAAGCUGAAAUUCUAUUGAAUAAUAUGUUGACAAAUGAAAAUAAUUGGACACCACUGGAGCCAAUUCCUGAGCCUAUCCCUAAACCUACUCCGAAGAAGAGGGGUAUUCUAUUUCUCAGACCUGAAGAUAUGGAAGAGGCAAAGAAAUCUAUGAAAGAAAAAGGUAUUAAAGCUGAAGAUGUUAAGAAUUUACCUCCUAUUGAAGAAAUACAUGGUCUUAAUUUACCGCCUGUUGAAGAAACAUAUAAUCUAAAUCCUUUACCUAUUGAAGAAACUCAUGGUCUUGAUAACCCGACACAGGUAGUAAAGGUAAAUUGUCUCUAUAGAUAUGAUAAAGUUGUAAUCCCAUUUACUAAAAUUGCUAGCCCAUGCUUAGAUGAGUUUGAUAAAUUUAUGGCUAAGCAAGAAGUUUUUAAUGCUUAUUUUCGUAGACAAUUGAAAAACAAUUCAAAUAUGCUUGAACACUUGGGUGAUUAUAUGGCCAAUGUCAAAGGUGAACUUAAACUUAUUAGUAAACAUGCUUCUAUGGUUACCACUCAAGUAGAACAAGUACUUAAAUCUCAAAAUGAUUUGCUCAAUGAAUUGAAUAGUGAAGAUAAUGAUAAUGUUGUUAGAGUGGCUACUAGAACUGGUAGAAUGACUUAGGAACCUUUGUAUCCUGAAGGCCACCGUAAGAGAAUUGAGCAAGAUUCUCAGAGAAAUAAUAUAGAUGCACCUAGUUCUUUUAAAAAGAAGAAAAAGAAAAAUGAUAGGACUUUGCAUGCUUCUAGUGAUCCUAUUGUUGAAACACCUGAGAAUCCAAAUGAUAUUUCUAUUUCUGAUGCUGACACUCAAUCUGGUAAUGAACCUGAAACUAGUGGUAAUGCUAAUAAUAAUGUUCAUAAUGAUGCUCAACCUAUUAAUGACAAUGACAUAGAAAUUGAACCUGCUAUUGAUCUUGAUAACCCACAAUCAAAGAAUCAAUGUUAUGAUAAGAAAGAUUUUAUUGCUAGGAAACACGUUAAAGAAAGAGAGCCAUGGGUUCAGAAACCCAUGCCCUUUCCUCCCAAACCAUCCAAGAAAAAGGAUGAUGAGGAUUUUGAGCGCUUUGCUGAAAUGAUUAGACCUAUCUUUUUGCGUAUGCGAUUAACUGAUAUGCUCAAAACCAAUCCUUAUGCUAAGUACAUGAAAGAUAUAAUUACAAAUAAAAUAAAGAUACCGGAAGCUGAAAUUUCCACCAUGCUUGCUAAUUAUACUUUUAAGGGUGGAAUACCAAAGAAACUUGGAGAUUCAGGAGUACCCACUAUACCAUGCUCCAUUAAAAGAAACUAUGUUAAAACUGCUUUAUGUGAUCUUGGAGCCGAUGUUAGUGUUAUGCCUCUCUCUUUAUAUCUUAGACUUGAUUUGAAUAAGUUGACACCUACUGAAAUAUCUUUGCAAAUGGCUGAUAAAUCAACUGCUAUACCUGUCGGUAUUUGUGAGGAUGUGCCUGUUGUAGUUGCAAACGUUACUAUUUUAAUGGACUUUGUUAUUCUUGAUAUUCCCGAGGACGAUAGUAUGUCUAUUAUUCUUGGAAGACCCUUUUUGAAUAAUGCAGGGGCUGUUAUUGAUUGCACUAAAGGCAAUGUCACUUUUCAUGUUAAUGGUAAUGAGCAUAUGGUACACUUUUUGAAGAAACAACAUCAAGUUCAUAGUAUCAACUCUAUUGGAAAAAUUCCAUCGAUUAUAUUUGGAGGUUUUGAAUUUCGUCUUCCUACUGUCAAGAAGAAAUAUGAUAUUCUUAUUAUUGGGGAUGUGCAUAUCCCCAUUGAGGUAACAUAGUGUUAUUCGAAAUUUCUCCGGUUCCAUGUUAUUCGGAAUGAGUUCGUUAACAAGACUUGAUCAACCUUGUUAGUGGAUUCCUUUUGAUGAUCAUGAGAUGGAUGAAACUAGAAGGCACAACCUUCUGUACCCCACAUUUACUUUCUGUUAUUUAUAUUAAAUAAAAUAAAAAUAAAUAUUUGUUUGUCUGUUAUCUGAUUAUCCUUGCAAUAUAAAAAUACCCUGAAAAUAAAAGUUCUCCAAAUGCCCUGAAAAUUAAAUAUGAUUUUUUCUAGAAUAUUUGAGGAUUUAUGGAACAAAGAACACACCAGGGGGGCAACCACCUUGCCACGAGGGUGGAGGACGCGCCCACCCCCUUAGGGUGCGCCCCCUGCAUCGUGGGCCCACUGUGGCCCUCCUCCACUUAUUACUGCACCCAUACACUCCUUAUUCCUCCCCCAAACACAAAUAACUAGCUCAAACCCGAGUCCAAGCUCGUUUUGCUGCCAUUUUCGAUCUCCUUUCUCAAAGCACCUCUCACAAAACUGCUUGGGGAGAUUGUUCCUUGGUAUGUGACUCCUCCAUUGGUCCAAUUAGUUUUUGUUCUAGUGCUUUAUUCAUUGCAUUUUUUUGCUGCUUAGGUGACCCUGUUCUUGAGCUUGCAUGCCAAAUUUAUAUGGUCAAAAGUAGUUUUGAUGCAUGAUAUAGGCCCUAGGCACUUGUAGGAGUAGUUGCUAUCAAUAUUAUUGAGUUUGGUUUACUUUUAUUUUGAUGUUACCAAAAAUUUCAGAAUUUUUCAGAAAAUGACGAGGAGACUUUUGAGGGACUCAUCGAGCCAAAGUUCGAAGGAAAAGGCACCAAAGCCUAAGUAUAAUCUGCCUCGCACCACGGAGGUUCGGGCGUGUGAAUGGCCUUCUGAGGAUUUCUUGAGAGCAGUCGGGAUUUAUGAAGAUUUCCAUGAGUUGGCUCAGACUGCAGGCCUUACUGCUUUCCUCCACGACCAAUGCGAUCAGUAUCUCUUGCUCACAAAUACCUUUGUGCAAAACUUUCAUUUUCAUUCUAGGAACUCACCACCUAUGGUGGAGUUUCAUUUAUAUGAUGAGCAUAAGGAUAUGUCACUUUAUGAUUUUUGUCGGAUCUGUUUAGUCCCUUUUGGGGGCAAGACAGAAGAACCACAUCGUGAUGAUGUGGAGGGAUUUAUUGAUACUAUCACUGUAGGGGAAACAAGGAAGGUUUCCGAUGCAUGAAUCACUAGCAUACAAUUUCCUAUUUUACGCUACUUUGCAUUAUUUGCUAGUCAUUGCUUAACUGGUCGCGGAAACUGUGGAAACCUGAGUAUCCCUGAUAUUAUUAUUUUGCACCACGGUUUAUACGGUGAUAACUCUUUUAGUAUGGGCAGCAUUAUUUGCCAAACGCUUAAGUCUAAACUGUACCUAGGGCCCCAUCUUUGGAGGCAUCUAUGCUACACGCCUAGCUGCACAUUUUAACAUACCUAUUAGGCAUGCUGAGAAGGAAGAAAAAGUGCUGCCCCAUGUUUAUCUAGAUUAUAAAAGUAUGGUGGCACAUGAUUUUAUUGUUAAGAAUAGGGAAGGAGAGCUUAAAUAUCAAUUGUUCUUUAAUAAACAUCAUCCUGGGACUAUUACCUUGCCUGCUCCUUCUUUGUUUGAUUUGACUGUAGGCACGUACCUUGUUCCGCUAACGGCUAUCCACGCCAACCGGAACCCUGCACCAGCCGAGGAGCCAAAGCCGGAACCACAAUUUGAUCCUUCACGAUAGUCUAAUUACCAGUGGGAUCCUGAGAUGAUUGUCAGCCAAUGGCAAUCGGAGCCUUCCUCGUCUGCAUCACAGUAUGACCCCAACUAUUAUUAUGGAUAUCAGUCAGGCCAGCCGUGGCCAUAGACCAACUUAGGCCAAAAGCCUAAGCUUGGGGGAGUACGUAUUUCCCACCGACAUUAUAUUCACGUUCACACACUCAUUGCUAGAUGUCGGUGCUCAUACUUUUUCAUUGUAUCAUCCAUCCUAGUUUAUUUUCCUUUUUAUGCUUUCUUCUUGUGUGUUUAAUAAACCUUAAGAAAAACCAAAAAAUUAGUUCUAGCUUUUAAUCAGUUUACUUUCCAUGCUUGUAGUAGUAAUUAAAAAUAAAAUCCAAAAAGAUUUCAUGUUCUUCUUUUGCUUGUUGGGAGCUUUCCCGUGUAAAUAGUUUUAUUUCUUUUCUUUGGGGUCGAUAGGAGAAGACCAUGAUUAAAUUGUUGAAGUGGCUCUUAUAUGCAUUAUUGUUUAUCUGACAAAAGAGCCCAUAUUGCCUUGUCUUCUCCUAUUUAUUGAAUGCUUGCAGAUUCCAGCUUAGUCCAAUGCACGUGCACUAUUAUUAUCAUUCACAUCGUUCAUUCAUGCAAGUGAAAGGCAAUUAUGAUGUUAUAUGAUAGACUGGCUGAGAUGAGAAAAGCUGGUAUGAACUCGACCUCUUUUGUUUUUGUAAAUAUGAUCAGUUCAUCGUUCCUGAUUCAGCCUAUUAUGAAUAAACAUGUUUGCAAUGACAACUAGAGAUCAUAGUUUCUUGUGCCAUGCUUGAUUAGCUAUCACUAGUAGAAAACGGAGCUUUAAAACCGGUUCGUAAGGGCCUUUAGUGCCGGUUCCAUAACUGGCACUAAUUGGUGGGCACUAAAGGCCCCCCCUUUAGUACCGGUUCGGCACGAACCGGCGCUAAAGUGCCACCACGUGGCGUGAGCUCGCGCCCUGGUAUGGGGGACCUUUAGUACCGGUUGGUGUUACCAACCGGUACUAAAGGUUUUUUUGAAAAAAAAAAUCGAAAAUUUUGGAAUUUUUGCAUUUUUAAUUUUUAUGAUUUAUUUGGUGAUUUAGUCUCUAAUCACCUCUCUUAACUGCUCAAGUGUGGAUCACUCAUUCCAAAUCAUCUACCUUCCCGACCGGUCACCCAUCCCUCUCACUACUCCAGCCCGAGCACGCUUAACUUUCGGGUUCUAUUCUCCUUCGUUUCCAAGUCUGCACUUGUUGUUUUCCUGACAACAGUAAGAUGCCAAUCCUAUUAACCCUCAGGAGUUUAGCUUGAGCAUGAAGUCACACAUUUCACUGUUUGAGUUUGAAACUAUUAUUCUAAAAAACAGUAAUUAUUUAGUAACACUAAUAUUUCUUGAAUAAUUUUGACCAUAGUUUGACCAUAGUUUGACCACAGUUUGACCAUAGUUUGACCACAGUUUGACCAGAUUUGACCAAAAUUCAAAAAAUUAAAAUAAUUAUUUAGUAACACUAAUAUUCUUGAAUAAUUAUGUAGUAACAUUAAUACUUCUUGAAUAAGUAGUUUGACCAGAUUUAACAAAAAAAUUUAAAAAACUUAAAUUUCACCAUAUCUUUUUUCCUUUUGGAAUUUGAGGAUUCUAAAAAAUUGCAAACAAGCCGUAGGCCGUCUCCAUUGGAUGCGGAUUUUCGUGCUGAAUUUUUGAUAUAUUAUACGUUUUUUUCCGACAUCGUAUGCAAAAGUUAUAGCCAUUUUACAUUUUCCCUACACUUUUUGCAAAACAUGUCCAAAUUUAAGUUUUCAAAUUUUCCUAACUAGUAGAUGUAGUAAUAUAACUACCUCUCGAAGGAUUUUAUUUUUUGAAGUUUUUAUCAUNNNNNNNNNNNNNNNNNNNNNNNNNNNNNNNNNNNNNNNNNNNNNNNNNNNNNNNNNNNNNNNNNNNNNNNNNNNNNNNNNNNNNNNNNNNNNNNCAAAUUUAAGUUUUCAAAUUUUCCUAACUGGUAGAUGUAGUAAUGUAGUAAUAUAACUACCUCUCGAAGGAUUUUAUUUUUUGAAGUUUUUAUCAUUUUCUUUUGAUUUUUUCAGAACUGAAAUGGCGACACACGGGGGGGGGGGGGGGGGGUAGAGUUUGAAAAUUGCCCUAUAGUGCCGGUUUAUGUCACAAACCGGUACUAUAGGUCAGACCCCUUUAGCCGGAUUAAGCAUCAUCUUAUAGACCCGGAGGUUACCAAAGGUCUCCCUCAGGUCAUCUAUCAAGGUUUCCUCCUUCCUAGAUUUCACCACAAUAUCAUCCACAUAAGCUUGAACAUUGCGCCCANNNNNNNNNNNNNNNNNNNNNNNGGGUAGAGUUUGAAAAUUGCCCUAUAGUGCCGGUUUGUGUCACAAACCGGUACUAUAGGUCAGACCCCUUUAGUACCGGUUCAUGGCACAAACCGGUACUAAAGGUUAGCCCUUUAGUACCGGUGUGUGCCACGAACCGGUAAUAAAGGUGAUCGUGGGGCCCCAGCCUGACGCCAGCCUGCCAUCACCCCUUUAGUACUGGUUCGUGCCACGAACCGGUACUAAAGAUUCAACAUGAACCGGCAUUAAUGCAUAGUCGUUCGAACUGGCACUAAUGGUACCAUUAGUGCCGGCUCAAAUUCAAACUGACACUAAUGUGCUUCACGUUUGACCAUUUUUCUACUAGUCUAUGAGUUAUAAUGGUUUACUUUGCGUGCCAACAUGCUAUUGAGAUGGUUAUGAUGUGGUAUGAUAGGGUGGUAUCCUCCUCGGAAUGAAUUAAGUGACUUUACUUGGCACAUGUUCACGCAUGCAGUUGAAACAAAAUCAACAUAGCCUUCACGAUAUUUACGUUCAUGGUGGAGUAUAUCCUACUCAUGCUUGCAUUCAAUGUUGAUUAAUUUUAAUGCAUGUUCAUGACUGUUGUCGCUCUCUAGCUGGUCGCUUCCCAAUUUUUUGCUAGCCUUCACUUGUACUAAGCGGGAAUACUGCUUGUGCAUCCAAACUCCAUAAACCCCAAAGUUAUUCCACAUGAGUCCACUAUACCUACCUAUAUACGAUAUCUACCUGCCGUUCCAAGUAAAUUUGCAUGUUCCAAACUCUAAACCUUCAAAUAAAUAUCCUGUUUUGUAUGCUCGAAUAGCUCAUUUAUCAACUAGGGCUGUCUGUAUCUUCCAUGUUAGGCGGGUUAUUCUCAAGAGGAGUGGACUUUGCUCCUCACUCACGAGAUAAAUGGCUGGUCACCGCGAUGCCUAGUCCCAUGGUUUAUGCAAACUAAAUCAAAAUAAUUGCAAACAAAACUCCCCUUGGGACUCUUGUUAGUUGGAGGCACUCGUUGUUUUGAGCAAGCCAUGGAUUGACGCUUGUGGUGGAAGGGGGAGCAUAAACUUUAGCAUUCUAUUUGGGAACCACCUAUAAUGUGUGUAGCAUGGAAGAUAUCGCCAUCUCUUGGUUGUUAUGUUGACAAUGAAAGUAUACUGCUCAAAAUAUUAUUCACCUCUGUUUCAAAACCGAGCUCUGGCACCUCUACAAAUCCCUGCUUCCCUCUGCGAAGGGCCUAUCUAUUUACUUUUAUGCUGAGUCAUCAUCCUCUUAUUAAAAAGCGCCAGUUGGAGAGCAAUGCUGUCAUUUGCAUUCAUUAUUUUUAGUUUGCAUUGAGUAUGACUUGACUGGAUCUCUUUUACCAUGAAUUACAAUGUCUAGUCAGUCCUUGGUCUUUAAAGGUUCUCGGCAUUUAUUUUUUGCGGUCUCAGAAAGUGUUGUCAUCCGAGUUUUAUUAUUAUGGCUCGCUAGUUGAUUAUGCUAUUGAUAUGAGUAACUUGAGACCUAUGCGUUAUUGCGAAUGUGGUUAGUUAUAAUCUUUGCUGAAAACUUGAAUAUUGGUUUUACAUAUUUACAACAACAAGAGCAAACAGAGUUUGUAAAAGUUUUUCUUUAUCACUUUCAGUUUGUCAACUGAAUUGCUUGAGGACAAGCAAAGGUUUAAGCUUGGGAGAGUUGAUACAUCUCGAACAUAUCUACUUUUCCAAACACUUUUGCCCUUUUUUGGACUCUAACUUGCAUGAUUUGAAUGGAACUAACCCGGAUUGACGCUGUUUUCAGCAGAAUUACCAUGGUGUUAUUUAUGUGCAGGAGCAAACAUUCUCGGAAUGACCUGAAACUUCACGGGGACACUUUUCAGAAAAUAAGAAAAAUACCUGCCAAAGAUGAAGGCCAGGGGGCCCACCACCUUGCCACGAGGGUGGGGGCGCGCCUGCCCCCCUAGGGCGCACCCCCUACCUCGUGGGCCCCCUGUUCCCACUCCAACUCCACCUCCAUAUAUUGAGUUUCGGGGACAAAAAAAUCAGAGAGAAGAAAUCAUCACGUUUUACGAUACGAAGCCGCCACCAAGCCCUAAAAACUCUAGGGAGGGAUGAUCUGGAGUCCGUUCGGGGCUCCGGAGAGGGGAAUCUGUCGCCAUCAUCAUCAACAACCAUCCUCCAUCGCCAAUUUCAUGAUGCUCACCGCCGUGCGUGAGUAAUUCCAUCGUAGGCUUGCUGGACGGUGAUGGGUUGGAUGGGAUCUAUCAUGCAAUUGAGUUAGUUUUGUUAGGGUUUGAUCCCUAGUGUCCACUAUGUUCUAAGAUUGAUGUUGUUAUGACUUUGCUAUGCUUAAUACUUGUCACUAGGGCCCGAGUGCCAUCAUUUCAGAUCUGAAUCUAUUAUGUUUUCAUCAAUAUAUGAGUGUUCUUGAUCCUAUCUUGCGAGUCUAUAGUCACCUAUUAUGUGUUAUGAUCUGUUAACCCCGAAGUGACAAUAAUCGGGAUACUUACCGAUGAUGACCGUAGUUUGAGGAGUUCAUGUAUUCACUAUGUGUUAAUGCUUUGUUCCAGUUCUCUAUUGAAAGGAGGCCUUAAUAUCCCUUAGUUUCUGUAAGGACCCCGCUGCAACGGGAGGGUAGGACAAAAGAUGUCAUGCAAGUUCUUUUCCAUAAGCACGUAUGACUAUAUUCGGAAUACAUGCCUACAUUAUAUCAAUGAACAGGAGCUAGUUCUGUGUCACCCUAGGUAAUGACUGUUACAUGAUGAACCGCAUCCGGCAUAAUUCUCCAUCACCGAUCCAUUGCCUAUGAGCUUUCUACAUAUUGUGCUUCGCUUAUUUACUUUUCCGCUGCUAUUGCUAUCAUCACUACAAAAUACCAAAAACAUUACUUUUACUACUGUUACCUUUUGCUACCGUUAUCAAUACUAUCAUAUUGCUUUGCUACUAAACACUUUGCUGCAGAUAUUAAGUUUCCAGGUGUGGUUGAAUUGACAACUCAGCUGCUAAUACUUGAGAAUAUUCUUUGGCUCCCCUUGUGUCGAAUCAAUAAAUUUGGGUUGAAUACUCUACCCUCGAAAACUAUUGCGAUCCCCUAUACAUGUGGGUUAUCAGUAGGUGGUGGUGAGGCAAAUGGUAAAACCAAGGUUGGGCCUUGCUGGAGGCGUUUUAUUCAAAGCGAACUGUCAAGAGGUCCCCAUAACACCCAACCGCGUAAGGGACGCAAAAUCAAGGAACAUAACACCGGUAUGACGGAAACUAAGGCGGCAAGAGUGGAACAAAACACCAGGCAUAAGGCUGAGCCUUCCACCCUUUACCAAGUAUAUAGAUGCAUUAAUUAAAUAAGAGAUAUUGUGAUAUCCCAACAUAUCCAUUUUCCAACAUGGAAAAAACUCCAGCUUCACCUGCAAUUAGCAACGCUAUAAGAGGGGCUGAGCAAAGUAGUAACAUAGCCAAAUAACGGUUUGCUAGGAAAGGUGGGUUAGAGGCUUGACAUGGCAAUAUGGGAGUCAUGAUAUAUAGAAGUGGUAGGUAUCGCGGCAUAGCAAUAGAACAAAAAAUUAGCAAGCAAAGAUAGAAGUGAUUUCGAGGGUAUAGUCAUCUUGCUUGAGAUCCCGCAAGGAAGAAGAACGAGUCCAUGAAGAAGACAAACGGGCGUAGUCGAACGGAUCCUCACAAACACGAUGUUAUUGGGACUAACCCGAAGAAGCAACACCGGAAAGAAGCAAAAAACAUAGUAAACAACCACCACAUAAACAUGGCAUGAUGCACAACCAAGUAUGAUGCAUGUCCGGUUUAAUGAGGGCAUGGCAUGGCAAAGUGCACAAACAAAAUUACAAGUUAAGUGGAUCCCAAUAUGCAACGAGUUGCAUAUUGACGGAACACCACAUCAAUUAUUGAGUUCACUCCCGGUUAGGUACUCAACAAUAUUAAAUGUUGUUAAGCAUGGCAAGAGGUGAAAAAUAAGUAAAACUACCUAUUUAGGCAAGUUUAAAUGAGGCCGGAAAUAUCAAACAACAAUUCCGAAAAAUCCUCAUGUGCUUUAGCAAUUUAAUGCAACAACAACAACGUUAAACAUUUUAAAUGUUAUUAUCAUGAUGCGGAUGACAUGUUCAAGUUUAUGCAAUUUUUAUUAAAAAUGUUGAUAUGAGCAUGAUGAAGCAUUAGUCAUCGUGGCCGAAACGAAAGGGGUGCCACGGCGACGUUCCGGUUCCAAAAACUCGAUUGAGAUGCCGGUGCAAAAGGAAAAGUGACGGGAGCGUGUCAUGCAAGGAUGGUGGGGUGCUCCCGGAGACCGGGUUCCCACAUGUCGCUGACAAAGCAAAAGAGGGGCAACGUGCACCGACAGUUCGGACUCGAGGCGAACAAGGGUGUAUCUCAUACAACAUGCAUUCAUUCAUUCACGGGCAUCAUCUCGGGGUUAUACCUUCGUAGCGUGCGUUCUGAGGCAGACCGAGUUCAAAGCAAUGGAGGUGUUCACGGAUCGUCGGAAGUAGUCGUUUUUGCGACGGUAGUGGAGUAGCGGUACACGUUCGUUUCGGAGAGGUACUUGACGAAACCAAUGUCUUCGGGGUGCCGGUAGUUAUACACUUGGUUAUGUCGGAUCCACAGCGACGAUAGUGGUACAUCUCGUAGUGGAACUUGGCGGGUCCGAGGGCUCCGGGCAUCGUGGUACUUGGCGACAUGCACGAGAUGGUAGUAGUACACGGUCAUCGUGGGAUGUAGUGGUAAACACGAAGGUAGUUGAAUUUGAUGGUUCCGUUAUACGGGUCUUCGGCGGCAGUAGUCGUUCUUGUUCGUUCCGAGAGGAUCUCGACGUUUCCAUGUCCUUCGUGGUCAUCACGUGGUCGUUUAUGACGCAGUCGGACUUGACGCAAAGCACACUGGCUGUAGACGUACAUGUUCUGAGAGUCACUUGUUAUCGAGGGACUUGGUGCAUCCAAGAUCUUUGGACUCACGGUACUUGGCGCUAGAGGUUCCAAAUCCGGUUUCGAAAGUGUCCACGCAAGACAUCACAGGUGCAAAAAGGCAACCACUUGGCAUUGUUCUGGUCGUCGCGUGAGGGUGCUCCCGGCGCUCGCGGACGGCGUGUGGAGGUGCAGGAAGGACGCGAGGGUGGCGAGUGGUUGGGUUGUAGUGGAGGCAGGGGCUCGGCGCUGGUCGAUGCGGGCGAGCGGAGGCACGUCCUCCUCCCUGUUCGAACGAAGCAGAGGCGGGGCAGGGGGCUUGGACAUGUAGGGGCCCUAGAGGUGACGAGCCCCUGGACUUGGCGCGGAGGAGGCUGGUCGAUGUGGGCGAGCGGAGGCGCUGUAGAGGGAGAAGAACGGCGGGAGCUGCAGGGCGCCGGCGGCGGUAGACUUGGAGGCGGGGCACCGACGUGGUCCUGGUGGAGCUCGGCGGCGGCGUCACAGGCCGGCGCGGCAGAGGCACGGGAGGACCUCGGGAGGUUGAAGACGCCGGCGAACACGGGGCGAUGCAGGGAGCAGCAGGCGUCGCUAAAGGGAGUAGCAGGCGGCGCCAUGGGUCCUGGACGGCGGCGGCGCAUCUGCUGGCAAGCGGCUGCGGGGUGGAAUGGGAAAGGGCACGGAGAGGUCCCGGUGCUGAAGCUUGACGGCGGAGGGAGGUGGGUGGCGCCCCGGUUUUGGUCGCCGCCGAGUGGUGAGGUCGAGGGAUGGGGAUCGGGCGCUGGGAGCUGCAGCCCUGUGCACGAGCGAAGAGAGGGAAGGAGAUGGGGAUCGGGCAGGAGUGCGAUGGGGAUCGAGGGGAUACGGCGGCGCUGCAGGAACGAGGGAGAUAGUGGGGUUCGGGCUCAGGGAGGCGAGGGUUAGAGGGGGCGCUGGGCCUAGGGUGCAAAUAGCCUACGUGGGCCGGCGCAGGAGGUUGGAAGGCCCAGUUGGGCUGGCUUAUCUCUCUCUCUUAUUCUUCUUAGAAGAAAGAGAAGAAAAAAAUAGAGAGAAGAAAUAGAAAGAGAGGAUUAGGGAAAGAAUUUGCGCACGAGAGUAAUUUUCCUGGAUUCAAAAAAAUGUGAGGAAUUUAAAUAAAAUGGCAAGAGGAUUUUUGGAGAAAAAUAGAUUCGCACAUGUUGAAAUUAAUUCAACAUGUUUGAAUUUUGAAACCCUUCGAAAGGACUCUAAAUGGAUUGAGAUUUUAGAGGAGCCUCGAUAAAAUGAUAAAAGAAUAUCACUAGUAGAAAAAGGGCCUUUAGUCCCGGUUCUGGAACCGGGACUAAAGGGUCGGUAAUAAAGCCUCCCCCUUUACUCCUGGUUCUUAUACGAAGCAGGACUAAAGGCCCUCCACGUGGCCGCUGCCUGGAGGUCCACCUUUAGUCCCAGUUGGUAACACCAACCGGUACUAAAGGAAAUUUUAUGAUUUUUUUAUUGAAAAUUUUUGUUGAUUUUUUUAAAAAAAAAAUUUGAAUUUCAAAUUUCUGAAUUAUUUUAACCUCUAAUCACUAAUCACCCCUCAUCACUGCUCAAUUUAACCUUUAAUCUCUAAUCACCCCUCAUCAUCUAACUUCCUGAACGGUCACCCAUCCUCUCACUACUCCAGCCUGAGCACGCUUAACUUCCGAGUUCUAUUCUCCCUCGUUUCCAAGUCUGCACUUGUUGUUUUCCUGACAAUAGUAAGAUGUCAAUCCUAUUAACCCUCAGGAAUUUAGCUUGAGCAUGAAGUCACACAUUUCACUGUUUGAGUUUGAAACUAUUGUUCUAAAAAACAAUAAUUAGUUAGUAACACUAAUAUUUCUUGAAUAAGUAGUUUGACCACAGUUUGACCCUAGUUUGACCACAGUUUGACCACCAUUUGACCAGAUUUGACCAAAAUUCAAAAAAACUGAAAUAAUUAUUUAGUAACACUAAUAUUUCUUGAAUAAGUAGUUUGACCAUUGUUUGACCACAGUUUGACCAUAUUUGACCAAAAUUCAAAAAAAUGGAAUAAUUAUUUAGUAACACUAAUAUUCUUGAAUAAUUAUUUAGUAACACUAAUACUUCUUGAAUAAGUAGUUUGACCAGAUUUAACAAAAAUUCAAAAAUAAACUGAAAUUUGAGCAUAACUUUUUUUCCUUUUAGAAUAUGAGCAUUCUAAGAAAUUGCAAACAGGUCGUAGGUCGUCAAAAUCGGAAGCAAAUUUUUGUUCUGAACAUUUUGAUAUAUUAUACGUUUUUUCCGACAUCGUAUGCAAAAGUUAUAGCCGUUUUACAUUUUCCCUACAUUUUUUGCAAAACAUGUCCAAAUUUAAGUUUUUAAAUUUUCCUAACUAGUAGAUGUAGUAAUAUAACUACCUCUCGAAGGAUUUUAUUUUUUGGAGUUUUUAUCAUUUUCUUUUGAUUUUUUUUAAAAAAGGCGAUCCACGGGGGGGUAGAGUUUGAAAAUGGGACCUUUAGUCCCGGUUUGAGACACAAACCGGGAUUAAAGGGCAUUGCACCCUUUAGUCCCGGUUUGUGUCUCAAACUGAGACUAAAGGUCUAAUCUUUAGUCCCGGUUUGAGACACAAACCGGGACUAAAGGGCAUCGCACCCUGUAGUCUCGGUUCGUGCCACAAACCGGGACUAAAGGGCUCAGGUGAACCGGGACUAAUGCCUUAGCCGCACGAACUGGGACCAAUGCUCACAUUUGUUCCGGUUCGUGACUGAACCGGGACUAAUGGGCUGACCCGGCCUGGACCAUUGCCCCCUUUUCUACUAGUGUAUGAGGACAAGUCGGAGACUGAGAAUUUAGAUAUCAAAGGCAUUGGGAUUUAUUUGCAAGUGUGUCACGAAAAUUCCACAUCCAUGGAAUACUUUAUAAUAGCUCCCUAAUAUUGGGAGGAUAAGUUAUAAAGAGAAGUCAUCCUUCCCUUGAUUUAAAUGGAUCAAAGGUCCAUACGAGUUUUUUAAAAGAGUUUUGAAAUGGUUGCAAUAUUAAUGGCAUGAUGACAUGAUGCAAUGCAAAAUAUGCAAUGAUGCAUGUAACAGACAAAAGAAAUCACCCGAUGAAACUCGGAAAACAUGGAAGGCAUCUGAAGCUCCGGUCUUGGGGCGUCACACACGUGCUCCGCAUGGUAGCGUUGAAGUGCAUGCCAUGCUUCAAGAAGACAAAUCAAAGAUUUAAUGUUAAUCUUCAUAUUCAAGAAUAGAAGAUACUAAGUAACCAGUAUCUCCAUUAACAUACUGAACAAAAUCGGUGCCUACAAGAGGAGAAGUGAUGAAUAUUGUGAAAUCUAUAGCUACACAUCACAUAUAUCGUACUGUGCACACAUAGUACUACCUAGUAUUAAGAAGCAUCAUAAUUUAUGACCGUGAACUUAGCUAGUCUAGUGUUUGGUGUUUAUUUUCAUGAAUCUUAGUGUCAACCAAGGUUAGGUCCACUAGUGACGUGAUCACAUCACUAAAUAGUUUGUUUGUCUAUGAUUGGUGCUAUGUUAGUAAGUUGAGCGGUAAAUGACUAACAUAAUGUAUAUAGCGUGCACAUGAUAUUGUUAUGCAGCCUAUACACCACCCACGGCUGGAACAUGUAUAAACAUACAUCUUUAAGAGGAACAAACAGGUAUAUCAUCGAUGUUCCAUAAUAGCAAUUAUAUAUUAAAACUUUAGAUGACAUGAUGUAUGGUAACCUUGAUUUUUAUCAAAUUUUAGAUGGAAAAAUUUGGGUAGGUAUGACUAACUAGAACUUUUCAAUCCAUAGAAGCGAUGUAAGGUUUUUCAAACAUAUCUAAGCGGAAGCAAAGAAAAUCUAGCAUUGCCUUGCAUGUGCUUAACGAAUGCCAUUAUGACGUGGAGUCUUCUUAGCCAAGACUUCUUGCUAAUUAACUGAAUAAAAAAUCUAAUGAGCAUUGUGGUGCAUGACAUAUCCUAUAUAUUGUACGCAUAAUCUAAUGAGCACCGAGGUGUGAUAACAAGAACAUGUUGUCAAUUCCAUCAUAUAGCAAACAAGUUAAUUUUUACUAUGCAUAUAUGCAUUCGAAUCGGCAAAUUAUGUUCAGACACAAUCAUUCCCUUUCAACUGCCUUUAUGCUCAUUAGUCUAUUGAUAUGUACGACUAUAAAUUCUAUGAAAGUUGCAUGUACCCAAUAAUGCACUCAGGGUUGAUUACAUCAAAACAAGUCUUAUUCGUAGACAUAUUUCCUUAUAAGGUAGCCUUCUAAGAAUCAUCCAUAUUGAUUGUUUUUAUAAAGAGGGUAAAGAUCCUCGCCUUCACAUCAUUUGAAGCACAUAACCUUUAGUAUAUUGACGUGAUCAUAGCGUCAACCAGGACUAGUGCAGAACCGGGCUGUAUCACCGGUUCGUAAAGCCCUUUAGUGCCGGUUCUACAACCGGCACUAAAGGGUGUGAACUAAAGAUCCACCUUUAGUACCGGUUCAACACGAAUCACCACUAAAGGGACACCAGUGGCACGAGCCAGCGCCGGGGGCGGGGACACCUUUAGUACCGGUUGGUAACACGAACCGGUACUAAAAGUUUGGGGGGGGGUUGGGUUCAUGAUUUAUUUUUUGUUUAAUUUUGUGUUUUCCAUUUAAUUCUUCUUCAUUUGCUGGUAUUUUACGAUGGAACAUAUUGUACACGUGGAUAUAUAUAUAUAGAAUUUCUCGUAGAACCGAUCAUAUAUAUAUAUAUAUACACACACACAUCGAAUGUCUCGCACCACACAAUUCACACAUACACAUGUAUACAUAUAUACAAUUUCUCCUACACGGAGGCAUUACUGCGGUAGCGGGUAAUGGUAUUCUCCUUUGGGAUCUAUGACCUGGUCGAGCAAAAAUCCCACUAUUUCCUCUUGAAUAGCUCGUAGGCGGUCCAUUGGUAGGAGCUGAUCCCGCACCUCAUUGAGCGUUUAAGAUGGAGAUCAAUAUGCAUGUAUUAGUCGUUCUGUGAUUAGAUAUUGAUAAUGAUGUAAAAAAACUAUGAAUAGUGUUCUGGCAAACGUACCAAAGCUGUCUAUCAGAUUUGGUCCUUUCGGAUGCCAUCAUGCGAAUGUUCUCGCAAAUGUAGUGUGCACAUAAAUUAGUCCCUGGCACCUGCUUCAUGGCCUUUACGAGAAUAGAAUUCAAUAAGAUAAUAAUUAAUUAAGCAUGAUAAUUAAUGGCAUUGAAACUAAAAUUAAAGAGAUUAUAACUAGCUAGUACUAUACUUAAUUACUUACACUGGGUCGAAACCAAUGUAGCUCUGGUUUCCAUUCGCCUGGAACCGUACUAAUGAACUUUUGCGAAGCCCUGCCGCCGUCAAAGAAAAUGAAUAAAGGAGUAAUUAAUUCGUUUAUAUCAGGAAAUGACGAACUAAAGAGGCCAACACAUAGUUCAAGAAUGAUUGAAAUUACCUAUUGACUAUCCCUUUCAGGAUUGUAUAGCCAGUAGGUUUUUUAAGUAGUGAGUCUAGUACUUCAACUGUUCCAUCUUCAACUUUAAUGACUAACAAGAUCCAGUGGAAACUGCAUGCACAUACGUUUGCAUAUGUAUAAAUUAAGUGGACAUGUGCAUAACACUCAUCAAAUACCUUAAACCCUAUACACUUAUUAACAUCUAGCUAGUAAGCAAAAACAGAAUUUGUAGUACAAGACAGUGUGACUCACAGGAAGUUGUAAGGAAGUAGUAUAUCUGCAUUGCUAUUGAGGCGCUUCAAGAACUCUAACAUGUUUUUCUCUACUUCUGCUUUAUACCAUUCAUAUGUCCAUGUCUCUUCAUUGCUACGAACCCAAUGCCAUAGCAUCCACCUUUUUUUCAUUUCAUACAUCUUCAUCCUGCAUAAUACAACAGAAAAGAAUAUAGUGAGGAUAAUUACAGGUAAUGAUCAACGAGAGCAUUAAAGCUAGCUUGAGAGUUAAAUUACAGAAAAAAUCACUUACAGACAAUAGCAACUGAUGAUAGAUUUGGACGGGAGAUCACCAGGAGUGGUCUUCGAUGGCUCCUCUCCCACCUCUCCCACCGCUCCCCUCUCCCAACAACAAUGGCGACCUCUAGUCUAGAUCAAUGGAGGGUCUUCUACAUUGGGAUUUCUCCCUGGCCAAGCGGUGGAGACACAAGUGCGUAAAAGGUUUGGUACUACUGUUCAUUUCUCCUCCAUUGGAGAUGCAAAGGAGUUCUUCCUAGUGGUGGCUUUCUCUUCUGCCCCAUUCCCCCUUUCGGUUGAUUCGGUGGGUCUUGCUCUAAAAUGUUGCAUUGGUGGAUCCUCUUUUGGUUUCAGGGUCAAACAUCUUGUUGGUAGGCAUUUUUGUUUCUCUAUGGCCUCAAACAAAGUUGGUCAUUUCAUCUAUGGUCUUAAGGACUGGGUCUGGCCAGAUUUUGUUUGUCAUUUCAAUCUUUAUAGACACAAUGCUUGGUUUAAUUCUCAUUCUGAUCAAAAUUGGCAUUCUGACCAAGAACUUACUGAGGUGGUUUUACGUUCUCCAUUGGCUAUCAAGACAAAGUUUAACUUACUGUCUAGUGGUGCUCAUCAACACAGUAAUUCUACCAAGGAGCUUGCAAAAUUUGGAUUUUCUCUUCCUCAGCCAAGUAGUACUGUUGGGCAUGAAUCAAACAUUCAAGAGGAUCAUCCUUUGGUUCAUACCGACAAGGUUGUUUUUCGUAGUUUCCAAUCGGACAUUUCCAUGCACAACAAAGGCAAUAAUUCUAUCCGUUUUGGCAACUUCCAUUCAGUAUUUACUCCUAAUAAUCCAGAGCAUCCAUCUACAUUUAUUGUCUAUAAUUAUCGGUCCUCUUAUUGGGAUUCCAUUCCAACUUUUAUCCUACUACACAUUAUGGAUUUCCGACAGGCGGGAUAUGAUGACUCGCAAAUUGCAAAAAUUUGGGCCUUGGACUCGGUCUCGUCUGCAGAAUUCAUUUUUAACAAAGCCAACAUAUGCUCGCGGUGCAAGCAAUUAGGCCACCUUCGCCCUAACUGUACAAGUUAGGCUAUUGAAACUCAGACGUCCCAGGUAAAUCCCAAUAAGCCGAAUUCAGACCGUUUGCCUUUUGAGACCAGCUCAAAUAUCUUAAAGAAAAGAUUUUCUUGCAUUAUUUGCUCCUCUAUGGAUCACUUCUCGGAUCUCUGCCCUUCCAAAUUAUUUUUCCAAUAUUGCCACCUUUUAGGCCACUUACCUAAUGACUAUGGAAAUGCUGAUUGUACCUAUCUGUGGUGGCAACCCAAAGAGAUCUCCAUGGAGCGUUCCUCUCCGGAUGAUGCAAUUUUAGGCAAAAAUAAAGGCCAGGAUUGUAUUCCUACGCGUGAGAAUAUAGCAAAACAAUCUGACGCCUCCUGUGUGAUCAACUCAGCGUCACAUCAAAAUUAGAUAUCCACUUGCCAUAGCUCAUUGAUUAUCUUCCUUGACUGCAAUAAAAAAGCAGAGGAAUUUAAAGCCACCCGAUGCAGUAUCUGUGGCCGGUAUGGACACCUGGCACAUUCCUGUUGGAAGGGGAGGGAGGCGCGGAGACUAAUAUGGAAGCCUAAAACAAUUACCGCUACCGCUACGCAUUCCACUUCCCCUUCUCUGCCUACCUCGAGAGCUCCUCCUACUACAACAAUGGCGAACUACCUUGUCAAUGUCGUCCCCUACAUCUCUACGGGGAUGACCAUCGAGCUUGGGCCGGCCGAUCGGAUUGUUCGUAGUGACAUGGAGGUGCACCCAGUCCCUCCCCUCAACCACGACUUUCUGGCCAUUGCCGAGGUGAACCACAAUGUCCCGUUCCACCAUAAGGCUGCUCUGAGGCAGGUAAUCACUGGUCUGCUGCAUGAAUCCAACUUUGCUCCGACUGAAAUAGAUGAUCACCCACUAGGCAUUGCUAUAUAUGGAUUUCCCAGCCCGCUGAUGUGGGACAAUGUGGUGGGUACUACCUUUGAGAUUGAUGCUGAGGAAGAAGGGGAUGUAAACACUAUAGUUUCUUUUGUUCCGCAUGAUGAGGCACUCAAUAUGAGGCUCACUACUUUUGGGACGGAUGUUUGGAUUCUUUACAUUGGUUUUCCGCAAGAUUACCAAACAUAUCAUUACCUGCAUAGAUCUGUUGAUGGUUUUGGUAGUCUACCACAUUGGCACAAUCCAAGAGGAGACAGAAAACUAGUUCUAAUUCGUGUCAAAGUCAUACACAUUAGACUGGUACCAAAGAGCUUGGUGAUCCGCCAGCUAGGUGGAAAUCGCCGUUGCUGGACAGUCUGUGUUACAAUGCUACGCAAUUCUGCUUGGAACGCCCAUUUGCCUGAAGUUCCACCUGCUGGAGAAGACCCACCGCCUAUAGAUGACAUUCCUCACCCUCUGUAUGGAGAAGGCCUCAAUGCUGAACAGCUUUACCAAAUGCAACUCAAUAAUUGGAUGGUGCAACAAGGUGCUGGCAACAAUGUUGCAGAAGAUGUGGGCGAAAAUGCUACAGGCCAGGCUGACAUUGAGAUACAUCCCCAAUGGGGUGAAUGGCCAGCUUCCCCUCCACCUGCACCACCUGCCCUUUAUAAUUUCCAAGAGUGGUUGUCCAAUGAGGGACUACAAGUUCAGGAUGGAAUUAUGUCAACCAACAAUCUGCAAGACAGUCCUUAUGCAGCUUGGAAUGAUUCCAUUUCACACAGCAGCUCCACUUCAAAUUCCGACUCUGAUGCUUUGGUGCUAGUACCAGCUAGUAUUCUGCAGGCCCUGCAAAGGAAUGGCUCUCUCAACUUGGCUAAUAAUACUGUGGCUCCACCAGUGCAACACAAUGAGUUGAUGAUUCCUAAAGAGGAGGUCUAGACCUCAUAGAUUCAGCUCAGCAUCUCUGUUACUAAUGCUGGUAUGAACAUUAGUUUCUCUGCUGACAAUGAAUUCAUGAAUGGAAUGCUAAUUGUUGAACCCGUGUCAUAUGUGCCCAUCACUAAGUUUCUCUCAAGAGCCAUCAUGCCAACUCUGGCCACUAUUGGCCCUUGGGCCCAUGGAUAUAGAAUUAGGCCAACUAGGCUGGAUAUUCAACUAUCCCUCUCUGCUUAUGAAGGGUCAGUUCAAGUUACUUCUUGCAUUUCUUAGGGAGAAGCUGAUGGCACAGUUACUUCGAUUGUCCAGCUUUGGUAUCUUGACAGCGAGGAUGUGCAUGCGCUUCCUGAUGAUAACUAGACGGUGAUGCUCCCUGAAGAUAAUCAGGCUGUGGAUUUCUCUGAAGUUUCUGAAGAUCAAGAUACUGUUUCUGGGGACAUAACUGAAGUUCAGGCUGGCUCUUCAAGGAUGGGGCCCAAGGCAAACGUAGUAAGAAUAAAGCUCCAGUCUCUGUUGCCAAUGUGCUUAGUAGCUCUCGCUCCAAUAAGUAUGACGGUUUCAAGGUGCCUGCAAUAACUGACAACAGUACCAAAACUUCCAAGGUGAAGCCUAGAAUCAUCCCUAAUGUAGUGUCUGCUGUGGUCAUUUCUGAGAUUACUGAAGAUCAGAUUGAAGAGGGUGAAAGACCACCUCUCAUGACAGUUGAUCAAAUUCAAAACAUUGCUGUGCAGAAAUGUGUUGGCCCACUGGAGGAAGUAACUGAAGAAGUGCUCAUGGAAGACAAGGGGGCUGGUCCUUCUUCUUCUUCAUCUUGAUUUUAGCUUUUUUUAAUUGCUUUUAUGGCCUUGCUUUCGAACUGGAAUGUUUUGUGUUGGAAUAUCCGAGGCAUGAACUCAGACCCUAAACUUUUGGCUUUGUCGAGUGCUAUUGCUAUUAGUGGUUGUUCAGUUGUUUGCUUACAGGAAACGAAGAAGUCUGCUUUUGAUAACUCCUAUAUUAAAUCAUGUUGCCCCAAACGCUUUGACAAAUUUUCUUUCAUCCCUUCAAGGGGUGCAUCAGGGGGUAUUGUCACUAUAUGGAAUAGUACUAUCUUUACUGGCACAGUGCUGAUUGAGGAAGAAUUUGCCCUAGUAAUUCACUUUAAAUCCACCCAAUCUGCCCAAAUGUGGACCCUGGUUAACAUAUAUGGUCCCUGUCAAGGUGAUUCCAGAAUUGACUACACAAACUGGUUACUCAACCUUAAUAUACCUAACAAUGAAGACUGGCUUCUAGUGGGAGAUUUCAACUACAUCCGCAGCCCCACUAAGCGAAAUAAACAUGGUGGAAACAUUAAUGAUAUGAUCACUUUCAAUGAUUUCAUCCGUACACAGGGCCUGAUUGAACUUCCUCUAAAAGGAAGGUCUUUUACUUGGAGUAACAUGCAGGAUGAUCCCCUACUUGAACAGUUAGACUGGUUUUUCACUCCAACCAAUUGGACUAGAUCAUAUCCCAACACCAUUGUAAACCACUCUCUAAACCAGUCUCAGAUCACAUACCUUGUGUGAUAUCCAUAUAAACAAACAUCCAUAGGAGUAAUCUUUUUAGGUUUGAGUCAUACUGGAUUCAACACCCUGGUUUUAUGGAUUUGGUCGCUUCUGCUUGGAACAAAAAGGUACCCUAAGAAAACUAUGCCACAAUUGUCUCUAGGAAAUUCAAAACACUCAGAUAUGAGCUCAAAAGAUGGAGUAAGCACAUUUCCAAGAUUGCUACUACCAUAGCUAACUCUAAUACCACACUUGCUGACCUGGACUCAUUGGAAAAUAAAUGACUACUUACAACACCAGAGAGGAACUUCAGAAGAAUUCUCAAAAAUCAUUUACUCCAACUGUUAGAUUACCAAAAACAAUACUAGAGGAAAAGAUGCACAAUAAGAUGGGCUAAGUUUGGUGAUGAGGACCCAAAAAUUUUCAAAGCAAUGGCAUCCGAGAGGUAUCGAAAGAAUAAUAUUCCCUCUCUUCAGUUGGAUAAUGGCACCACAGUAGAAGAUCACAUUGGAAAAGAAGCAUUAAUUUACCAAAGCUUCAAGCAGAGAUUGAGAACGGCAGGAGCUUUUCAAAUGAAAUUCAACCUAGUUAAUAUAAUGAAAAAAGGAAUGACCUAGACCAAUUAACAAAUCCAUUCUCUAGAGAGGAAAUUGAUAAUGUCAUUAAAGAAAUGCCUGCAGACCAAGCUCCAGGACUUGAUUGUUUCACAGGAAUAUUUCUUAAGACCAGCUGGCACAUUAUUAAGGAGGACUUCUACAAACUAUGUGCUCAAUUCCAUGCUGGUACCUUAAACCUGGAAAGCAUCAAUGAAGGAUAUAUUACCUUCAUUCCUAAAAUUUCCUCCCCGGCUACAGUUAAUGAUUUCAGACCUAUUACACUCCUUAACUGCUAUCUCAAAGUGAUUACAAAACUUCUUGCCAAUCGUUUGCAAAUGAUUAUUCUGAAGAUUAUACACAUGAAUCAAUAUGGUUUCAUUAAGGGCAGAGCAACCCAAGAUUGCCUAGCUUGGGCCUUUGAAUAUAUACACCAAUGCCAGAAUUCCAAGAAUAAGAUUGUACUCCUUAAAUUAGAUUUUGCCAAAGCAUUUGACACCAUUGAACAUGAUUCAAUGUUAGAAAUAAUGAAACACAUGGGAUUCAAUGAUAAAUGGCUUCUAUGGAUCAAAUCUCUAUUUUCUACUAGCAAAUCUUCCGUUCUUCUGAAUGGUGUACCGGGCAGACAAUUCAUCUGCAAAAGUGGUGGUCGACGGAGUGAUCCACUCUUUCCUCUCAUUUUUGUUGUUGCUGCUGACCUCUUACAAACGACCAUUAAUGAUGCUUUCAGACAUGGAUUGCUACAAUUACCAUUCCCUAGAAAAAACCAAAUUGAUUGCCAUGUCAUUCAAUACGCUGAUGAUAUUAUUAUCAUUAUGCCUGCAUGCCCUGACCAAGCACAAACAAUGAAGAAUAUUCUCACUGACUAUGCCACUUCAAUUAGACUCAAGAUCAACUUCCAUAAAUUAACAUUGAUACCAAUAAAUUGUGAUGAUGUAUUAAGUAAAUAUAUAGCUCAAAUCUUUGGAUGUACAAUCGGAAAGAUGCCAUCCACAUACCUUGGUCUACCUCUUGGGACAUCCAAACCUUCAGUCCAGGAUUUAAUGCCUAUUGUCUGUAAUAUGGAAAGAAGGCUCACAUCUACGUUAUCCUUGAUGUCUUAUGGCUCCAAACUUUCCUUACUAAACACGGUCAUCACUUCACUUACAAUUUUUGCUCUUUGCACUCUGAUAUUCCCACCUAAAAUCCUUGAGAUGUUGGAUAAACUAAGAAGGAGAUGCCUCUAGACAAAGAAGAUAGAACAAGGUGAAAAAUGUAACUCACUAGCUGCGUGGGAUAGAGUUUGUAGACCAAAGAAGAGUGGGGGGCUUGGAAUCAUAAAUCUUAAGAUAUAAAGUGAUGCUCUCCUACUAAAAUAUCUACACAAGUUUUAUAACCGUCAUGACCUUCCUUGGGUCGACUUGCUUUGGACCACCUACUAUACCAAUAAAAUUCCACAUGCCUCUGACCCAUGUGGAUCAUUCUGGUGGAGGGACAUCCUCAAGCUAACUCCCAUUUUUAGAGGAAUUUCAAAGGUGGACAUGAGAUGUGGGGACAACGUAGUAAUGUGGAAAGACCUGUGGUUGGAAGAAGUUCUAUCUGACACACAUCCUAGAGAAUUUUCUUAUGUCAGAAAUGAAGACUUCUCAAUGAAAGAUUUCUUGACCAUCAACUCGCUGGAUGAAGCAUUCUUUCUACCACUUUCUACACAAGCCCUGGAGGAAUUACAAGAUAUGCAAAACUUGGUGACACACAUUACACUAGACAAUAGCCAGAAUGCAAAAGAUAUAUGGACUUAUCCUUGGAGAGGAAGAUAAUUUUCAGCCAGCAAAUACUACAAAUUCUACUUUAGGGAUAUGAAGGCCCAUAAGACCUACCACUUGCUAUGGAAAUCAAAGGUCAAUGCUAAACUCAAGGUCUUCGGAUGGCUUAUGCUGUCUGAUAGAUUGAACACAAGAAACAUGUUGAAGAGAAGACACUAUGACAUUGGUACUAACAUCAAUUACCUGCUUUGUGGCCAAAGAGAAGAAGACAUUGAUCACAUGAUCCUCACAUGCCCAUUUAGCAGAAAUUGCUGGGCAACAUUUGGAUUAGACCCUGGAGAUCAGGCCACUAGGCUAUCCUGGCUAGAACAAGCUAAAAUCAAUUGGGGCAGGCCCUUGUUCAUGGAGGUCAUCCUUCAAGCAUCCUGGAGCAUUUGGAAAGAGAGGAACAACAAACUUUUCAGAGAUAUAAACCCCUCCUACCACUCUUGGCUGGCCAAGUUCAAGGAGGCCAAGACAAUAAGAAAGAGUUUAUCUUCUUACUUUUAGACUCCCUACCCUCUUAUUAAUUGUACCAUUUAGUCAAAUUCUACCCUCCACUACAAAGGUAGUUGGGGUGUAAAUUGUACAUGAUGUAACUAAACCCUUGUAAUUGUGUUCAGUAUAUAAUAUAUAUGAUAAUGGGAGCCUCUCCCACUGUCCCAGUCCCUGAAAAAAACUGAUGAUAGAUUUGUCGAGUGUGUCUUGAUUGAAUACCUGAAACAAUUUUGUAUACUCAACAGAUAGAGCUAGCUGGUGGAAGAAAUGCUCUUCCUUGACUUUCACCAUGAGGGACUCUCGAUUGGUAGUCUUUGUAAUUUCCAUGUACCAUUGAUGUAAUUUCCAUGUACCAUUGUUGCAAUUCAUACAUUCUCGUUGACAACUUCUUGACCUCCUCAGGCUUGACCAGAGGUUCGCCGCGGACAUAUUUCCGUUUUAGCUCCUCCUCUUUAAAAGUUUCCAUGGGCUCCAAGCCUAGCAGUUGUUCUAUAGUGCAUCCGAUCUCUUUAGCCUAAUUUAUAUGGUCGUCGGUUAUUACUAGCUGAUCGACGCCAGUACUCGCAUGUGUUGGUACAAUGAGCGGGGAGAUCGAUUGCACCGCCUGUUCUCCCAGCUGGGGAACGGUUUUCCCGGGUUUUUUGGUAGCUGCUUGGCUCGAGCUUUAGCUCGACUCGUUCUGUUGUCAUGCCUUAUGUGCCUUUCUGAUUUAGCGCUCAUAGUCUGAGUCAACAGGCUUGGGAGCUGGUUUUUUGGCCAUAUGAAUAAAGUGGUCAACAAUUUCCUAGGGCACUUUCUCCUUUGGUGGCGGUGGCGGUUUUGGUCCAAAAUGGGCGUCCACUUGAGCCUUCACUAUGGCUUUCUUUUGCUCGUCGGUCAUGUCGUAAGGCCUCAGCGGAAGAGGCAUGAGGCUUGGACCAUAUUGCAAUCGCUUGCCUCCGCCUGUACCUCAUGUAUUACCUCGACUUGUACCACUAUGCACCAUAGCUGUGGCGGCUCUCUUCCACUGUUGCUGAGGCGGCGGAGUCAGCUAAUGUGGCUGACUUGGAGGAGGAUGAGUGGGCUGACAUGGUGCCGGACUUGGACGAGGAGGAGUGGGCUGACACGGUGCCGGACUCGGAGCAGGAGGAGUGGCCUGACAUGGUGCCGGACUUGGAGGAGGAGGAGUGGCCUAACGCGUUGGUGGACUUGAAGGAGCAGGACUGUGCCGAGGUGGUGGCUGGUGACUUGGAGGAGAGGGAUAUUGCUGACGCAGUGGCGAACUUCGAGGAGGAGUUGGCUGACGCGGUGUCGGUGGGCUUGGAAACAUGAUGCAAUCCUUUCUCCAUAGGAUGAUACGAUGUUUGGCCUCUCCCAGUGUGUUCUCCUCGUCACCUCCAGGAAUGUCAAGCUCUAGCCCCAAAUAUUGGUCCACCACUUCAUCAACCACGACACGAGCAUAGCUAGAUGGAAUCGGAUUGCAGUGGAAGGUUGCUACGGGGGGAUUUGUAUAAGCAACGGCAUCCGCCACCUACAUGGAUAUAUUCUUCAUUUUGAAGUGUAGCUCACAAUAGUGUUCUCCAUGAUGUCAUCCACAGGGUAUCUAUCCCGCAGCUAUGCCUCGCCCGAGGUGGAACCCAUGCUACUUCUCGGCAUGGAUGGGACGGUGCUAUCCAAUGCUGGAUCAGCCGCUAGCUGCUGCCACUGCUGUGACCCCCUUUCUUGGCUAAGUGAGUCGAUCUGCUACUGCCGCUGGAAUUGGAGUCCCAACUCCGCGUUCUUUGAUUCUAGCCCAUUAAGGCAUUCUGCUUCCUGCUUCCUCUUCUUCCUCCAGCUUCCUCUUCUUCUCCUCCUCCAUCUUCCUCCUCGCAUGGAUUAUGUAGUCGGCGUUCUAGUCCGCAAACCCCUCAUACCACGGAAGAACGCCUUUGCCUCGUGUUCUUCCCGGGUGUUCAGGAUUUCCCAGGGCGUGCGUAUGCUUGUCGUUCUCUCUGUUGGGCGUGAACACCCCCGUUCGGGCCUCUUCUAUUGCACCAAGUAACUUGUCAUCAUCUCCUUUAAGACUUGCCUUCUUCAAAACCUUGCCUGUCUUCGGGUCCAACGCCCCCCAUGCGCAUAGAACCAAGUCCUGCGCCUAGGGGGGGCACCUCAAUGUAACUGGAAUGACCGCUGCAUCCACCAUCUCUUGCUCAGCCUUAUCCCACUUAGGCAUUGCCACCGCGCAGCCACCUGGCCCCAGCUUAUGGAACUGCUCCUUUUUUGCGGCAUUGGCCUUGUUUACUCUCGACUGUUCCUUAGAUAAUUCCUAUUCCUUGAAUUUCACAAAAUCGGGCCAGUGAUCUCUUUGCUUCUCCAAUGUUCCCAUGAAUUCUGGAGUCUUCUUUCCUCCAUCGACGUACUUGGCCCAUAUAGUUUACUUGUGGUUGUUGAAUGCAAUUGCCAUCUUCCUAAGAACAACGGCCUUCACUUUCUGCACAUCUGCAUCGUGAAAUGAUCUGGUAGGGUGAAAUGUUCCAUGAGAGAUUCCCAAAGCAGAUCUUUUGCUCUGUUGUUGACCCAAGUAAGAUCUGGACGUUGCUUUGCUGGCCUUUUCCAUUCUUGCAUGGAGAUCGGGAGUUGGUCCUUCACAAGAACUUCGCAGUGACGAAUGAACUUGUUCGCAUUCUUCUUAGGCAAGAUUGGUUCGCCAUCAGUUUUGAUGGCAUCGAUGUUGUAUUUUACGCCCUCCUUCGACUUUUUGGCCGGGCCUCACACUAUCCUACUGCAUGUAGAAGAUUUGCUUGAUCUGGAGGGCUGAAAGAAGAAAGAUCGAUUGGUUAAUAUAUCUUCGAGUCAUUUAAACCAUGUGAUGAUCACUAGAUGCCUGCUUAUAUAAAUAUACCUCACCGGUCUCUGUUAUUUCAAGAUCAACAUUUUCUUUGUCAUCAUAAUCAUAGUUCUGGACUUCAUCAAUUUAGUCGUCACGAUCGAAUAUCAUGUCACCCUCCCCGGUAUUGUUCAGAUAUUGGGAGCCGUCAUCUUCUUCAUUAUGAUCAUCUGGCUGGCGAGGGGAGAGUAUGAUCUCGAACAGGGCCUCUUCUCCUUCUCUACCGGUAUUGUCUGCCAUAGCUUUUAUUUAACUAAUCUAGAAGAAAUAUAAAACAAUUUAGUAUUCAAAUUACAAUGCAUGCAAUCAAUCAAUAAGGAAAACUGAAUCAUAGUACAUAUAAUUAAUAUGCAUCGUCAAUUAUAAUCUCGAAUACAUCAUCUCGAAUAUUAUUGAAUAAUAUAUAUAUAUAAUCUUGAAUACAUCGUCUCGAAUAAUAUAUGUAAUCUCGAAUACAUUGUCUCGAAUAAUAUAUAUAAUCUCGAAUACAUCAUCUCGAAUAUUAUAUAUCAAAUACAUCACUAGCUAGCUAGCUAAUAAAGAUCGAAUACUACAGAAUAAUCUAGUACACUCACGGUUCCUGAGGCACGGGCGGUGGACACCUAAAGAGAAGGAACCAUCACAGGAUCAUAGCUCAGGUGAGAUCCCCAAAGAACCUGCCGGGUAUUGGAGAACCUGACGUCCAUAGCAUCCAUGUUGCGACGGACGUGCUCGUCGUCCUCCCUGACACGGCGACGUACCACCUCCAGCGGGGCCGGCUCCCUCCGCACCGAAAGUGGCCCACGCGAACACCACCAAAGGAGCUCAGGGUCGACGACGAUACCCGGGGCCGGGUUCCUCACCAAGCGGCGCGCCCCUGAAUGUAGCACCUCCCAGUGCCAGCCCGGUGGAGCCCAGUCCCGGACAUCGGUCCUCUGAAGUCGUCACGAAUGGGUCGACGGCGAGGGUGCGGGCCGGGCAUCGUCGAGAACAAAUACUAUAUGCAAACAUAACAUUUUUAAAAUGAUUGGAUUGUGAUUUCUUAUAUACAAAUUUAAAAAAUGAUAUGGUUGCAUAUGUCAAAAUUCUAUAUGCAAAUAUAACAUUUUCUAAAUUCUAUAUGCAAAUUCAUCUAACAUUAAUAUAUAUCUAGCUAGCUAAUUCAUCUAACAUUUGAAAAAAGUAUAAAAACUAAUUCAUCUAACAUUAAUUAAUAUAUCUAAUUCAACGAACAAAUAGUAUAAGAAAUAAUUCAUCUAACAUUAAUAUAUCUAGCUAAUUCAUCUAACAUUUGACACUAUAAUCUAAUUAAUUAAUUCAUCUAAAACCUUUGUAUAAAAAAUAGAAAAACAGAAAAAACUAAAAACUAAAAACUGAAACUAAAAACAUCAAAGUGUGUGUGUGUGGGCGGGCUUGGGGGCGACCGGGGUUCUCACUAUGGGGCGACGGGCCGGGGCGUGGCGAGGCGACGGGGCGGUGGCGAGACGGCGAUGACGGGGACGACACGAUGAGGGGCCGGGGCGUCGACGGGGAUGGGGGCGGCAGCGAUGGGGACGGCGACGGCGCGCGGCGGGGGUGGCGACGGGGACGACGAUGGGUGACGGUGUGGGACCGGGCGGCGGCGACAUCUAAGCAGACGAUAAGAAGUGGAGAUGAAACUGCAAAAUUUUCGUAAGUGUUGUAUAUAUAGGAAUGACCUUUAGUACCCGUUGGAGCCACGACCCGGUACUAAAGGUCAAAUUUUGCCAGGUAAAGCGGCGAGAAGGGCACCCCUUUAGUAUGAGGUGGUGGCUCCAACCAGUACUAAAGACCCCCCCUUUAGUACCGGUUGGAGCCACGACCCGGUACUAAAGGGGUGCGCUAGCGUAGGUGCGGUGCGGGAAAGUUUAGUCCCACCUCGCUAGCCGAGGGUCGCCCGCACCUGCUUAUAAGCCCCGGUGCGGCUGAUGUCUCGACCUCCGCUCUAUUGUAGGUUUUCUGGGCCUACCUCUCCUACUCUACCCUGUGGGGCCUAUUCGGCUUGCGGGCCUGUAUCCUGGCCCAACUACAUGUUGGGUUUCUAGUCGUAUGCAAGCCGCUUUGGCCUAGUAGGCGGGCUUUUUUAUAUAGUUUUUUCUCUUUUCUGCUUUAUUUAAUAUCUUUUAUUUAUUUCUGAGUUGUUUUUUGCUGUAUUUAGAGUUUCUUUGUGAAUAUUUUUGCUUUAGGUACAAAAAAUUACAAACUUUCUGUUAGUGCCAGUAGUUUUCAAAUUUGAAUUAUUUGAAAUUUGUGUGAAUCACUAGUUUGUGAAUAACUUAACUUUAAAAAUAGAUUUUUAUCAGUGACUCUUUUUUUCUUAUCUUUAAUAUUAGUGUGUUUUAUCAUUAUAUUCAAUUUGGUAAUACUUAGGUUAUUUGAAAAAAAUGAAAUGCCUUUGGAACAGAUGAGUUUUCGUUCGAUACCCUGAUACUUCAAAAGAGAUCGUCCAUUUUGUACACGAAGUGCAUCCAGUUUUUGUCGUAACCCUCUCUACUUUUUUGCACAUGCUAUGUGGGUGCAAUGAUGAUACCUACCAACUUUUUACCCUUUCAGAGUUCAUUUGUAGUGCUUUUCAAUUUCAGGGUCAUUUGGCUCAAAAAAUUCAGUAAAUGCAUGAAAAAUAGAGAAUGGUGUCAGAAAGGGUUGAAAAUUGAUGACGUGGCUUUGAAUGGUGCAUACUGAACCCACAAAAUAGCAAAUGAUGUCAGAAAGGUAUACAUUUGUCUGAAGCACAAAAGUACACGUUUCAAGUGCCAAAACACAUAAGCACCCUAACUAUUACAAACAUAUACAAGUCUGGAAACUCACUAGAGAAGAAAGUGAUGACAGCGAAGUCGAUCACAUCCUAGAGUGGGAUCUUUGGGGGUGAAACUUUUUCUUCGCGUGUGUCCCUUUGCGCCGUAACCAUGGACAAUCUUCAUCAUUUAACUGGAUGCUCGGGAAAAUAUUCACUCUGAAUGGAGCAAUUUCAUCAAACUUUUCAUAAUCUUCUGAUAUGUCUGUCUUGUCAUCCAGUCCGACAAUGUUUCUUUUCCCUGAAAGAACUAUGUGGCGCUUUGGCUCAUCAUAUGAUGUAUUCGCUUCCUUAAUUUUUCUUUUUCUCGGCUUGGUAGACAUGUCCUUCACAUAGAAAACCUGCACCAUAUCAUUGGAUAGGACAAAUAUUUCGUCUGCGUACACAAGAUUGUUGAGAUCCACGGUUGUCAUUCCGUACCGUGGGUCUUCCGUUACCCCGCCUCGUGUCAUAUUGACCCAUUUGCACCGAAAUAAAGGGACCUUAAAACCACAUCCAUAGUCAAUUUCCCAUAUGUCCUCUAUGUAACAAUAAUAUGUGUCCUUUCCCGUCUUGGUUGCUGCAUCAAAGCGGACACCACUGUUUUGGUUGGUGCUCUUCUUAUCUUGGGCGAUCGUGUAAAAUGUAUUCCCAUUUAUCUCGUAACCUUUGAAAGUCAUUAUAUUUGAAGAUGGUAACUGGGACAACAAGUACAGGUCAUCUUCGAUAGCGGCGUCAUGGAUGACACAUGUCUGCAACCAACCGGCCAAAGUGCCCAUUUGUUCAUGUGUAAUCUAGUCGUCAGACUGCUCUGGGUGUUUGGAGCAUAGAAAAUUAUUGUGCUCCUCCAUAUACGGAGCCACCAACACGGAAUUCUGUAGAAUUGUGUAGUGUGCUUGAGUGAGAGAAUGCCCAUCCAUACAUAUUAUUUGAUCUCCUCCUAGUGUGCCUUUUCCACCCAGUGUGCCCUUAUGCCGCGAUUCAGGAACACCAAUCAGCUUAAGGUCAGGAAUAAAGUCAGUACAAAACUCAAUGACCUCCUCAUUUUUAUGGCCCUUGGAGAUGCUUCCUUCUAGCCUAGCACGGUUAUGAACAUAUUUCUUCAAGACUCCCAUGAACCUCUCAAAGGGGAACAUAUUGUGUAGAAAUAUAGGACCCAGAACGUUAAUCACUUCGCAUAGGUGAACUAGGACGUGUGUCAUGACGUCGAAGAAGCUUGGUGGGAACACCAACUCGAAACUGACAAGACAUUGCACCAAAUCAUUCUCUAACAUUGGUAUGAUUUCUAGAUCGACUACCUUCUAAGAGAUUGCAUUCAAGAAUGCACAUAGCUUCACAAUGGCUAAUCGAACAUUUUCCUGUAGAAGCCCCGUCGAUGCAACCGGAAGCAGCUGUGUCAUAAUCAUGUGGCAGUCAUGAGACUUUAGGUUCUGAACUUUUCCUCUACCAUAUUUAUUAUUCCCUUUAUAUUCGACGAGAAGACAUAAGGUACCUUCAUACUGAGCAGGCAUUCAAAGAAGAUUUCCUUCUGUUCUUUGCUAAAAUCUAGAUGAGGAUAAACCUUCUGAAACACAAUCCAAGCGCCAGUGUCAGCGACGCCGCUCUAAGUCACGCCGCAGUAAAAACAGCAACACCGGCACAGGAGAAGAUAACACUCCAGAAGGUGCCAAAGACAACGAAGACCCCGUUGAAACAGCUAAUGAACAAGAUGAACAGGAGGAUGGGAAGGUUAGCCCUGGUAAACAGGCCACGCACGAGGACUUAGAGGAUGGAAGUUAUCUUCCGCUCUCCAAGGAUGAGGUGAGCCUCGGCACCGACGAUUUCAUUGUCCCUAAGGAACCUCUUGAGCAGGAGCGCUUCAAGCGCCAGCUAAUAUCCACUGCAAGGAGCCUGAAAAAGAAACAGUAGUAGCUUCAAGCUGACCAAGAUCUGCUCAAUGAUAAAUGGACGGAUGUGCUAGCAGCCGAAGAAUACGGCCUCAAGCGCCCAACCAAAAGCUAACCAAAGCGCAAAUUGCUACCUCAGUUUGACGAGGAGGCGCCGAAAUACACACCACCAUCGUACAAUGCGGCUGACUGGCCACCACGUGGUCGGGACAAAAUGACAAUUCACGCCCAAGACCAGCCCGCCCCGCCUCAUCGCACAGGUAGAGGUAAAUUAGCCCACGGCCAUACAUAUGACCUCCGACAAAACCUGAACAAUAAAGCAGGACAUACCAGAUUAAUCUACGGCUCACGAGGACGUGCCUCGACACGCAACAAUGGCCACCUAUUUGGACGUGACAAACUUAGUCAUGCGCGGGCUGAAAACCGCAGACGGACUCCAUCAGAGCUACGUCGCGAUAUGGCCCGAUAUAGAGGCGCCGCACACCCUCAUUGCUGCACUGAUGAGGUCAUGGAUCAUGAAUUCCUAGAAGGGUUCAAACCCGUGAAUAUAGAAUCAUACGAUGGAACCACGGACCCUGCGGUGUGGAUCGAAGACUUAAUUCUCCACAUUCAUAUGGCCCGUGGUGAUGACCUCCACGCCAUGAAAUACCUCCCUUUGAAACUCAAGGGGCCAGCUCGACAUUGGCUCAACAUUCUGCCUGAAAAUUCUAUUUGCAGCUGGGAGGAGUUGGAAGAGGCCUUCCUCGACAACUUCCAAGGUACAUAUGUUCGACCACCAGACACUGAUGACUUAAGCCAUAUAGUUGAACAACUCGGAGAGUCCGCCAGGAAAUUCUAGACUAGGUUCUUAACUAAAAAGAACCAAAUCGUCAAUUGUCCGGAUGCCAAAGCCCUAGCAGCCUUCAAAUGUAACAUUCACGACGAAUGGCUCGCUCGCCACCUCGUCCAAGAAAAGCAAAAAUCCAUGGCGGCCCUCACGGAACUCAUGACCCGUUAUUGUGCGGGCGAGGAUAGUUGGUUGGCUCGUAGCAAAAACAAUGCAAGCGAUGCCGGCACCCCUGAAGUUAAAAACAACAAAGACAAGUCUUGACGCAACAGAUACAAGCGUCGAAACAACAGUGAUAACACCAAGGAUACGGCGGUCAAUGCCGGAUUCAGUGUCUCUAAGUCCGGUCAGCGGAAGAAGCUGUUCCAACAGAACCAUUCAGGCCCAUCCAGCUUGGACCGCAUACUUGAUCGUCUGUGCCAGAUUCAUGGCACCCCAUACAAACCACCCAAUCAUACAAAUAGAGAUUGUUGGGUUUUUAAACAGGCCGGAAAAUUAAACGCCAAGACCAGGGAAAAGGGACCGUGAAGCGAGGACGAUGACGAAGUGCCCCGGCAACCGAACACAGGGGGACAAAGAAGUUUCCCCCUCAGGUCAAAAUGGUGAACAUGAUAUACGCUACCCACAUCCCCAAGAGGGAGCGCAAGCGUGCGCUCAGGGACGUCUACGCGAUAGAGCCAGUCGCGCCAAAAUUUAAUCCAUGGUCGUCAUGCCCGAUCACUUUUGAUCACCGGGAUCAUCUGACCAGUAUCCGUCAUGGUGGCUCAGCUGCACUGGUCCUAGACCCAAUAAUUGAUGGGUUCCACUUGCCUCGCGUCCUUAUGGACGGAGGUAGCAGCCUCAAUCUGCUCUAUCGGGAUACAGUGUGAAAAAUGGGCAUUAACCCAUUACAAAUCAAGCCCACCAAGACUACCUUCAAAUGAGUCAUACUAGGUGUACAGGCCCGCUGUACGGGCUCAAUCACACUAGAGGUUGUCUUUGUAUCUCCGAAAAACUUCCGAAGCGAGGAGUUAAUCUUCGAUAUCGUCCCCUUUCGCAGCGGCUAUCACGCACUGCUUAGACGAACUAUGUUUGCUCGAUUCAACGCAGUAUCACACUAUGCUUAUCUCAAGCUCAAGAUGCCCGGUCCACGCGGCAUCAUAAUGGUCAAUGGAAAUACGGGACACUCCCUUCAUACAGAAGAGCACACAGCUGCCUUAGCAGCAGAAGUACAGAGCAUCCUUCUCAAGAUGAACCUUUAAUUCGGCUGUCUAGCCCACGGACACCGUUAAGAGGGUCCGAACUACUCUGCAGGAGUAGAGCUCGGCUCGUCAGGAGCUUGACUAGCAAUCCGGCCUCCGUCUUAGUCCCGAUCAAGUGGUGGCAUUCGUGCCGCGCAUACAUAACUUCAUACUCAAAACCCCAUGGGCAUCGACGGAGGCAUAGCUAGCUCGUUGUCCAUAGUACGGCUCAACUGACAUCGGACACACACAUACUUUCACUUUUACUUCUUUACUUUUCAGGUCUCAAUCCCACAGGCCCCAUCUGGUGGUCUGGUCAUCGGUCCUCUUGAAGGAUAAACACAACAAGAUGGCGAGAAACGCAGACAUAUGUGGGACUUUUUAGGUGAUUCCGUUAUCGAUAACUCUACCGGUUUUUCAUGACCCACAUGCAGCUCUCCCUUGGUUUCAGCAUGUCAAAUAGCAUGUUGCUUAUCGCACUACCUGUAUCAAUGCGCCUUGACGUACUAAUUAAAUUACAAUGAGAAUAGUUUGCGGCUGGAGCUUUAGGAACCCAACUUUUUACCUUUGCACCUUUUCUGUUUUCUUUCACUUUUUUCUCUCAGCUCCCCUGUGGAUAACCCUAUCAAGUAGCACCCGUACACUUUGCUACAUUUUAUGUUUUCCAGGGGCUUCAGAGCACCCCACAUUACGGCAACAAAAGUCCGAACACUUUUUAUAAUUAUAGUUCGGCACCCCGAAUUUAGCAUUAUAUGCAUUGUGUAGCGACCAGACCUCAAACAGUCCAAUCUCUGUGCUCAGGUGUCAUCCCUAGAUCAGUAGUGUUGACAGCACAUAGUACUUGAAGGAUUUAUAACAGAGUAGCAAUCACAAACUUAUUACAUCGAGUGUCUCAAAAGAGAACUUAUUACAAUAAAUAUGGCUUAAGGCCAUCUAAUAACGAUAACAGCGGAAGGCUUGGAAGAUAAGUGGAUCCAUCAACUCCAAUGACAUCACUGAGUAUAGAGCCACGACCUAAAAACUCCUUAAUCAUCAUCUGAAAAGUCUGCAACAUUAACGUUGCAGCCCGAAACGGGUCAGCACAUGGAAUAUGCUGGCAAAGUAACACAUAGAAUAUGCUGGCAAAGUAACACAUAGAGAGUAAUGGAAUGAAACAACUAUUCUAUAUGCAUAUUUGGCUGGUGGAAAGCUCUAUUGUUACAGUUUUGCGUAAAGCCAAUUUUUCCCAACUGCAAAGGAAUAAAUUUUAUUUAACUAUCAUGGUAGUUGUUAAACAUUGCGAAUGGUUGACAGCAUUCUCAAUCCCAAUUAAGCAUCAUCAUUAAACAAAACCCAACAAAAUUAAUUUAGAGUAACAUGUUGAGAUUCACAUGAAAAUCCAGGUACUAGAUACUCAAGAUGUCCAUAACCGGGGACACGGCUAAUCAUGAUUAGUUUAUACACUCUGCAGAGGUUUGCGCACUUUUCCCCACAAGACUCGAUCGCCUCUGUUUGGUUUCUCGCACUACAUGGUGUUUGAGAAGACGGAUGACCGAGACAUAGUCUUUCAGAAGUACUAGCACCUUACGAUCGGGUAGACCGUUACACCUACUUUCCCCAACAUCUGCUAGUCCACCACUGUAAGAGUUCGCACAACUUAGUCAACUAUGCUAGAGCCCAUAAUAGCUUGUGGCCGCACACGGAAGUUUCUAGCAUGAAUAAUCUCAUGAUCCCUUUGAGCCUAGGUGGCGGUCCAUAAAAGAAAACAGGCAAUCGCUGGAAUGCAAAGGUGCCUCAAUCCACCCAGAUGUGUAUUCAAGUUGCCACCUUAGAUAAACCAUUAAUUAACAAUCUCACAUCUGUCCUGGAUUUCACUCACCCAAUCCACGUCUACUAGCAUAGCAUGGCAUAAUAUACAAACGUAGAAGUAACUACCAAAGGUUUGAUAGUAACAUGUAAUAGGUACUACCUCAGCUACUCCCCAAACCCACAAUUUAAUUUGAUCCUAAUCAUGCGAUGUGUGAGAAUUGAUCUAAUGCAAUAAAACUGGGUGGAGGGAAAACAUGAUCGAAGUGUUACUUGCCUUGCUGAUGAUCCGGGAAACCUAGCGAUUCAAAGUAGCAAGCGGCGCACUCCGGGUACUCUAUCACAAACAAACAAGCGUACAAUAAGUACUCAUCUAAUGCACAAGUAAAACUCAAAUAACAGAUCUAACCAGAAGGUUCAACUUAAGAACUCCGGUUGGCAAAAAGAAUCAAAUCAAACGAAGCAACAAAAGACAAACGACAAAAGAAAAGCUUUGUUUACUAUUCUGAAUCUAUGCCAAUUUUUACAGUGGCAAAAACUAUUUUAAGUUGGUUCAUCGGAAAGAAGGUUUCGAGACGAAACUCCAGGCGCUUGAAUCGCCUGAUUCCGAUAAACGAGCAAAAAGUUAGACUAAAACGAAAAUCGGAUCAGAAAUCGCUAUCUGAAAAAUCGCGGAUUUAAUCCGAGAAAAAGAUAAACGACGAACAUUAUUAAAACGAACGAACGGAUGAACGCUCGCUAAAUAAAUAAACCGGAAAAAAGGAUCUAUUUAAAAAACCAAAACUAAAAAAACCGAUCAUAACCGUCAGAAAACCGAACGGUUUUUCAAGAAAAACCAGAGGCGAAAAAAAAACUACCUCUGGCGAACGAAUCCGGCGGGCGGUGGUGGUGCUCCGGCGGCGGUGGUGGUUGGCAGCGGCGGGCGGCAGUGGCGGCCGGCUAGGGUUAGGGUUUGGCGGGGCGGCGACUUGGGAUUCGGCCGGGGGCGGGGCGUGGCUUAUAAGAGACCCGGCCAGGAGAGUCCUGGCCGGUUACGGCCCAAGGUCGGUUCGGACGUUUUUUUAAUAAUUACGCUCGGAAGAAAAAACAAAAGUAAUACUAAACGAACUCCAAAAAUCUAGAAAUAAAUUUUCCCCGGCUUCUAAAAUCAAGACGCACAGGAUGAACAUUUAUUUGGGGCCUAAAUGCAAUUUUGAAAAAUGCACAUUUUCCUAAAUUCAAAUAAAAUGGUAAAUAAAACCAAAAUAAGAUCUUAAUUGAUUUUUUCAUUAAAUCCUCAAUAUUUCUUUAUUUUGGGAAAGUCAUUUUAUUCCCUCUCUCUUAUUUUUGUAAUAGAAAUAAUUGAAGUAAAAAAUAAAUAAAAUCAAAUGAUCCUAUUUUCAAAAUUUGAGACAACUCAAAUAUGAAAAUAACGAAAUCCCCAACUCUCUCCGAGGAUCCUUGAGUUGCGAAAAAUUUCUAGGAUCAACCAAAAUGCAAUGAAUAUGAUAUGCAAUGAUGAUCUAGUGUAUAACAUUCCAAAUUGAAUAAUUGGGAUGUCACAAACCUACCCCCCUUAAGAUGAAUCUCGCCCUCGAGAUUCGGGUUGGCUAGAAAAUAGGUGAGGGUGGUCCUUCAGCAAAUCUUCCUCUCGUUCCCAGGUGGCUUCAUCCUCCGUGUGGUGGCUCCACUGAACCUUGCAAAACUUGAUAACCUUGCUGCGGGUGACUCGACUGGCAUACUCUAGAAUCUUAACUGGUUUCUCCUCAUAAGUCAAAUCACUGUCCAACUGAAUUGCUUCUAGUGGUACCUUAUCUCUCAGCGGUAUGCCAGCCAUCUCUACAUGGCACUUCUUCAACUGGGAAACAUGGAACACGUCGUGAACUCCCGACAAUCCUUCGGGCAAUACCAAUUUGUAGGCAACUUCUGCCAUACGCUCCAAAACUUUGUAUGGGCCUACAAAACGUGGCGCUAACUUUCCCUUAACUCCAAAGCGCUUAACUCCUCGAAGUGGUGAUACUCGAAGAUAAACUCGCUCUCCGACUUUGUAAACUCUCUCCUUGCAUUUAGAAUCUGCAUAACUCUUCUGCCUGGAUUGAGCUACCUUGAGCCUAUCACGAAUCAAUUUCACUUUCUGUUUAGACUCCUUUAUCAGAUCUGGUCCAAACAACUGACGACCUCCAAAUUCAUCCCAAGACAACGGGGUCCUGCACCUCCUUCCGUACAAGGCUUCGAAAGGGGCCAUCUUCAAACUGGAUUGGUAACUGUUGUUGUAAGAGAACUCUGCAUAUGGCAAAUUCUCAUCCCAACUAGAUCCGUAAUCUAGCGCACAAGCUCUUAGCAUAUCCUCCAAAAUCUGAUUGACUCUCUCAGUCUGUCCAUCUGUCUGAGGGUGGAAAGCUAUGCUAAACUCCAAUCUAGUUCCCAAAGUUUCAUGCAACUGAUUCCAGAACGUUGAGGUAAACUGGGUUCCUCUAUCUGAUACAACGCUCCUUGGAACUCCAUGCAGACAUACGAUCCCGGUCAUGUAUAUCUUUGCCAACUUUGCACUGGUAUAGGUAGUCUUCACUGGAAUGAAAUGAGCUACCUUUAUCAAAUGAUCGACUACAACCCAUAUCGAGUCAUAGCCUGAACAUGUUCUGGGUAGUCCUGUAAUAAAAUCCAUGCCUAACGUAUCCCACUUCCAUUUGGGUAUCGGCAAUGGUUGUAAUAACCCUGCUGGCUUCUGAUGCUCUGCCUUUACUCUCUGACAUACAUCACAAACUGCUACAUAUUCCGCAAUAUCCUUCUUCAUUCCUGUCCACUAGAAAAUAUCCUUUAAAUCCAAAUACAUCUUGGUAUUUCCUAGGUGAAUUGAAUACGGUGAAUCAUGGGCCUCUUGUAAAAUUAACUUCCUGAUGUCCGAAUCAUUAGGCACAUAAACACGGUCUUCAAACCAUAGGGUGUGGUGCUCAUCCUCACGAAAUCCCUUAGCUUUUCCUUUGCUCAUUUUCUCAUUAAUAGAAGCAAUCUCCUUGUCAGCCUUUUGAGCUUCUCUGAUCUUAUCCAUCAAAGUUGACUGAAUCUCCAAUGCUGCUACAUAUCCUCUUGGAACUAUUUCCAAACAUAGAUCUCGAAGAUUUUCGGCUAACUCCCUUGGUAAAUCUCCCGUCAUUAGGGUGUUAACAUGGCUCUUACGCCUUAACGCGUCAGCUACUACGUUAGCCUUUCUGGGGUGAUAAUGCAAUUUCAUAUCAUAAUCCUUGAUGAGCUCCAACCAUCUUCUUUGUCUGAGGUUCAACUCCUUCUGUGUGAAAAUAUACUUCAAACUCUUGUGAUCCGUGUACACCUCGCAAUGGUUUCCAAUCAGGAAAUGUCUCCAAGUCUUCAACGCAUGCACUACGACUACUAACUCCAAAUCAUGCGUAGCAUAAUUCAACUCAUGGGGCUUAAGCUGUCGCGAGGCAUAUGAAACAACUCUUCCUUCCUGCAUAAGCACUGCUCCAAGUCCUCGACGUGAAGCGUCACAAUACACCUCAUAAUCCUUGGUCUGAUCCGGUAAAAUCAACACUGGUGAGGUAACCAAACGUUUCUUCAACUCCUAAAAACUAGCCUCACAUUCCUCAGUCCAUAUGAACUUGGUAUCCUUCCUCAACAACUCCGUCAUAGGCUUUGCAAUCUUUGAGAAAUUCUCAAUAAACCUCCGGUAGUAUCCUGCGAGUCCAAGAAAACUCCGGAUCUCUCCAACUGUGGUUGGCGCUUCCCACUUGGUCACGGUAUCAACUUUAGUGGGAUCUACUUCUAUACCUUCUCCGGAUAUAACGUGUCCAAGAAAUCCAACUUCUUUCAACCAAAACUCACAUUUGCUAAACUUGGCAUAUAGCUGAUGUUCUUUGAGUUUUCCAUGAACCAAACGCAAAUUCUCCUUAUGCUCCUCUUCAUUCUUUGAGUAAACCAGGGUAUCAUCAAUGAACACUACGACAAACUUAUCCAAGAACUCCAUAAACACCUUGUUCAUCAUGUUCAUAAAAUAUGCAGGCGCGUUAGUCAGGCCAAAUGACAUAACGGUAUACUCGUACAACCCAUACCUGGUGGUAAAAGCCGUCUUGGGUAUAUCCUAUUCUCGAAUCUUCAACUGAUGGUAUCCUGAUCGUAGGUCGAUCUUGGAAAAUACCUUCGCUCCUUGCAAUCGAUCAAAUAGAUCAUUGAUCAUCGGUAGUGGGUACUUGUUCUUGAUGGUUACUUCAUUCAAUCCUCGAUAAUCAACAAGCAUCCUUAACGAUCCAUCCUUCUUCUCCACUAGAAGUACUAGCGAUCCCCAAGGCGAAGAACUUGGGCGAAUAUAUCCCUUAUCCAGUAACUCCUUAAUCUGCUUCUUAAUUUACACCAAAUCCUUUGCUGGCAUCCUAUAUGAUCUCUUAGACAUUGGCCCUGUGCCUGGCAAAAGCUCAAUCAAAAACUCAAUAUCUCUAUCUGGUGGCAUGCCUGGCAAUUCUUUCGGAAAUACAUCAGGGAAAUCCUUCACUACUAGUACUUCCUCCUGCACAACUCCUGUUAAACAAUUUACUUGAGUCCUCUUCGGCACAUGCCGGGAUACAUACUUGAUCCUUCUCCCUUCCGGGGUGGUAAGCAAUAUUGACUUACUGGCGCAAUCGAUGUUUCCUCCAUACAUCGACAACCAAUCCAUACCCAGAAUUACAUCCAAACCUUGUGAUUCCAAUAUUAUCAAAUCUGAGGGGAACACAUUCCUACCUAUACUUAAUGGCACUCGAAAACAUUCUUGGCUAGCCAUAUACUCCGCUCCUGGUGAGCUUACUAACAUAGGUGUUCGAAGUACUUUGGUGGGCAGGUUAUACUUAUCCACAAAUCCCCUUGAUAUGUAUGAAUGCGAUGCACCGGUAUAAAAAAGAACAAGUGCAGUAAAUGACUUAACCAAAAAUUUACCGAUUACUGCAUUCAGCUGCUCUUCAACCUCCUCCACGUUAAUGUGGUUCACUUGUCCCCUAUUGAAAGGGUUCGGCUUCUUCCCAGUGCAUCCAUUUCCAUUACCAUUCUGUGAUUCAGGACAUUCAUUGGCAUAAUGUCCGGUCUUCUGGCACUUAAAACAAGUGACUUGGCUCAGGUCUCUCUUGGCUGGGGUCGAUGGGUUGGUGCGGUUCUGGCCGUUGCUUCCUCCAUUCCCAUUACCAUUCUUGGUGCCACUGUGAUUGUGCGAGAUACCUCCUCCAUGGGUAUGCUGAAAAUGUCCUCCCGGUCUAGGGGUAAAACGUGGCUUCUGCUGAGCUCCUGAAGUGUGCUUCCCUUGUCCAUACUUCCUCUUGUGAUUCUCAAUCUGUUGUUGCUUCCCUUCAAUCAUGAGAGCACAAUCUACCAACUCCUGGUAGUUGUUGAAGGUGGCUACCAUCAACUGCAUGCUCAACUCAUCAUUUAGUCCUUCUAGAAACUUCUCCUCCUUAGCUGCAUCCGUAGCAACGUCAUCUGGGGCGUAACAUGCUAGUGUACUAAAGUCCUCCACAUACUGGCCAACUGUCCGUCCUCCUUGGUGCAAGUUGCCAAACUCUCGCUUCUUUAUGGCCAUAGCUCCUGCUAAAACAUGGGCAGUUCGAAAAGCCUACUGAAACCGGUCCCACGUGACAAUGUCGACAGGGAAAGUGGCUGUGAAAUUCUCCCACCAUGAUGCUAUGGGUCCCUCAAGCUGAUGUGCGGCAAACUUCACCUUUUCCGCAUCCAUGCAUCCUGCUAUGGUCAACUCCCUAGCUGUCUUGCGGAGCCAAUCAUCUGCUACUAUCGGGUCGGUGCUACUGGAAAACACCGGCGGAUUCAGCCUAAGAAAACAGGCUAAGUGAUCAACAGGUGGUGGUGGUGGUGGUGGAUUGUUGUUGUUGUUCCCCUGAUUCUGAUUCUGGACUAACAACUGCAUCAAUUUGUUCUACUGUUGGAUCAACUGGGUGAGCUCUGGUGGAAAGGUAAAUCCAGGGUCACGACUCGGAGGCAUCUGAGGGUUUAGAAAAGCUGAGAUUUAAGAAUAGAGGGGGUCUAAAGAGAAAACACUACCUAUAUGCACAUGAGGCAAAAGCAAACAAUUCACUUCAUUCAAUCAAUCAAACAAGGUCAUACAAUCGAUCUAACUAUCACAAAAGUGAUCGGACUACUAUAUUUACAUGGUGGACUACUACUACUGAUGAGGUGGUCUACUAGAAAUAUUCUUCGGUUGCAGACUCCAUGAUAUCUGCUCCCGCUUCAUCAACAUGGUCAUCAUCGCUAUUGUCUGGAUCCGAGUCGGUGUCAUCGAUGAUGAUGUAGUCUUCCAGGCGAAUCUCCUUGUGUUGUUCGUCUUCUUCUACUGGUGUAGGGCCUCCCAUAAAUAUUCCAAUCUUCUUGAUCAGAUCGUCAUUCUUCUCCACUAAUACUUCGAUUUCCUCUUCAUAGUCUUCAUGUGUUGCCUUGAGUUCUUCCUCCAGUUCCUUGACUCUUGUCCUCGCCUUCUUCAGAUCUAUCAUGUCGGCGCACAUCUGGUUCUCCUGACGUCGAAUGUGCUGAUUUAACUCUUGGAUAAAAGCUGCAACUGAUCUAUCCUUCCUGGUACUGAUCAUCUCCCAGUGCUCAUCUCGGCGCCCGCAAAUUUGGUAGAUAGUAUCCUUGAGAUCAUUGCGGUAAACUUCUCCAAUGCAUCCCAUGGUGAUGUGAGCUGCCAUGCUCUUUCCUAGACUCCAAGUUGGUGCAUCAAAAGAAAACUCUAUGGGCUUAGUGACUGGCAUGAAUGUCCUUCCUGGAACUUGAACUUGAAUCAUCCAGCGCUCUUCUUCAGGUAAGGUGGCGUUGUAGGUUCCGAUGAAACAUGGUACUCCUAUGUUCAGGUAUCUAGUGACUUCCUUCAGGUGACAUCCAAAGGGUGUAUCUUCCUCCGGUUGAGUGAAAUUGUUCCUUGCAUCCACCAUCCUAAAAGAGCAGAAAAGAUGAGAAGUCAGAAAGAGAAGAGAGUGAGUAGUGAUCUAGGUCUUUAGCUUAGUGGUCGUGUCCUAUAGUCAGCGUGUGCUCUGAUACCAUCUUGUAGCGACCAAACCUCAAACGGUCCAAUCUCUGUGCUCAGGUGUCAUCCCUGGAUCAGUAAUGCUGACACCACACAGUACUUGAAGGAUUUUCAACAGAGGAGCAAUCACACACUUAUUACAUCGAGUGUCUCAAAAGAGAACUUAUUACAAUAAAUAUUGCUUAAGGCCAUCUAAUAACGAUAACAGCGGAAGGCUUGGAAGAUAAGUGAGUCCAUCAACUCCAACAGCAUCACUUAGUAUGGAACCACGACCUAAAAACUCCUUAAUCAUCGUCUGAAAAGUCUGCAACAUUAACGUUGCAGCCCGAAACGGGUCAGCACAUGGAAUAUGCUGGCAAAGUAACACAUAGAGAGUAAUGGAAUGAAACAGCUAUUCUAUAUGCAUAUUUAGCUGGUGGAAAGCUCUAUGGUCACAGUUUUGCAUAAAGCCAAAUUUUCCCUACUGCAAAGGAAUAAAUUUUAUUUAACUAUCAUGGUAGUUGUUAAACAUUGAGAUUGGUUGACAGCAUUCUCAAUCCCAAUUAAGCAUCAUCAUUAACCAAAACCUAACAAAAUUAAUUUAGAGUAACAUGUUGAGAUUCACAUGAAAAUCUAGGUACUAGAUACUCAAGAUGUCCAUAACCGGGGACACGGCUAAUCAUGAUUAGUUUAUACACUCUGCAGAGGUUUGCGCACUUUUCCCCACAAGACUCGAUCGCCUCCUUUGGUUUCUCGCACUACAUGGUGUUUGAGAAGACGGAUGACCGAGACAUAGUCUUUCAGAAGCGCUAGCGCCUUACGAUCGGGUAGACCGUUACACCUACUUUCCCCUACACCUGCUAGUCCACCACUAUAAGAGUUCGCACAACUUAGUCAACUAUGUUAGAGCCCAUAAUAGCUUGUGGCUGCACACGGAAGUUUCUAGCAUGAAUAAUUUCAUGAUCUCUUUGAGCCUGGGUGGCGGUCCAUAAAAGAAACAGGCAUAGCAUAGCAUGUGUAUUUAAGUUGCCACCUUAGAUAAACCAUUAAUUAACAAUCUCACAUCUGUCCUGGAUUUCACUCACCCAAUCCACGUCUACUAGCAUAGCAUGGCAUAAUAAGCAAACCCACAAUUUAAUUUGAUCCUAAUCAUGCAAUGUGUGAGGAUUGAUCUAAUGCAAUAAAACUGGGUAGAGGGAAAACAUGAUCAAAGUGUUACUUGCCUUGCUGAUGAUCCGAGAAACCUGGAGAUUCGAAGUAGCAAGCGGCGCAUUCCGGGUACUCUAUCGCAAACAAACAAGCAUACAAUAAGUACUCAUCUAAUGCACAGGUAAAACUCAAAUAAGAGAUCUAACCAGAAGGUUCAACUUAAGAACUCCGGUUGGCAAAAAGAAUCAAAUCGAACGAAGCAACAAAAGACAAACAGCAAAAGAAAAAGGAUUCAUUUACUAUUCUGGAUCUAAGGCAAUUUUUACAGUGGUAAAAACUUGUUUAAGUUGGUUAAUCGGAAAGAUGGUUUCGAGACGAAACUCCAGGCGCUUGAAUCGCCUGAUUCCGAUAAACGAGCGAAAAGUUAGACUAAAACGAAAAUCGGAUCAGAAAUCGCGAUGUGAAAAAUCAUGGAUUUAAUCCGAGAAAAAGAAAAAUGACAAACGUUCGUUAAAACGAACGAACGGAUGAACGCUCGCUAAAUAAAUAAACUGGAAAAACCAAUCUAUUUAAAAAAACCGAAACUAAAAAAAGAACAAAACCGUCGGAAAACAGAAUCAAGCGCAGAUCCGGCGAAAAAAACUACCUACGGCGAACGGAUCCGGCGGGCGGCGGCGGGNNNNNNNNNNNNNNNNNNNNNNNNNNNNNNNNNNNNNNNNNNNNNNNNNNNNNNNNNNNNNNNNNNNNNNNNNNNNNNNNNNNNNNNNNNNNNNNNNNNNNNNNNNNNNNNNNNNNNNNNNNNNNNNNNNNNNNNNNNNNNNNNNNNNNNNNNNNNNNNNNNNNNNNNNNNNNNNNNNNNNNNNNNNNNNNNNNNNNNNNNNNNNNNNNNNNNNNNNNGGCAGCGACUUGGGCUUCGGCCGGGGGCGAGGCGCGGCUUAUAAGAGACCCGGCCAGGAGAGUCCUGGCCGGUUACGGCCCAAGGUCGGUUUGGACGUUUUUUUUAAAUAAUUACGCUCGGAAGAAAGAAAAAGAAGAAAUACUAACCCGACUCCAAAAAUCCCGAAAUAAAUUUUCCCCGACUUCUAAAAUCAAGCCACACAGGAUGAACAUUUAUUUGGGGCCUAAAUGCAAUUUUGAAAAAGCGCAUUUUUCCUAAAUUGAAAUAAAAUGGCAAAUAAAACCAAAAUAAAAUCUUAAUUGAUUUUUUAUUAAAUCCUCAAUAUUUCUUUAUUUUGGGAAAGUCAUUUUAUUCCCUCUCUCUUAUUUUUGUAAUAGAAAUAAUUCAAGAAAAAAAAUCAAAUGAUCCUAUUUUCAAAAUUUGAGACAACUCAAAUAUGAAAAUAACGAAAUCUCCAACUCUCUCCGAGGGUCCUUGAGUUGCAAAAAAUUUCUAGGAUCAACCAAAAUGCAAUAAAUAUGAUAUGCAAUGAUGAUCUAGUGUAUAACAUUCCAAAUUGAAAAUUUGGGACGUUACACAUUGCUUCCGAAUCAUGUCUUUGGUCAAUAGUUGGGUUGCCCAGCUCCUGUGCUUGCUACCUUACGUUCCGCUAUAUGGGCUAUGGUAGUAAAGGGAGAACUACUGUGAUUGUGCCUUGGUUUAUCCAAAGGAGCACCUUAGUAGAGAAAGCCGAAAAUUGAUUGUCAUGAUGCGGCGAGAGUUGGUCAGCUAUUUGGAGGUUACAAACCGUUGGAGAUUUCUUCUGCAUUACGUGAAGGAUUGGUACUUCCCAAUCAAACACUUAUAGCACUCUAGUUCGGAUACUAGGGGCUGCGCCCAUGUUUUUGUUGUCGAACUCCUAUGGCUAAGUGAGGGCGUUACAGCCGCAUAGUCUGGUUGCCUGGCUCGUUGCGUUAAACAACUCCUUCAGGGACCAUCUAAUUGGAUCAAGAUUGUUUAGAUUCCAUCCUGAACACCCCCAUACUACCUACGUGGUGGUAGAAGGCGAUGACUGGUUAACCCUCAGAUUUCAUACAACACGGCCGCACAGGAAGUAAAAAUUUAAAAACAUAACAAGCAUUAUAUUGCACAAUCACUUUGUUUUAUAAUACAAGGUAGAGGGAGCUCGAAUACAUUCAUUCAAAGAUAGUUUCUUUCGCACAAUUAUCCGCAACAAUGCGGGACCAUUCCAAGACAUUGGCGAAGUAUCGCUCGGGUGUGCGGUGCUCCUUGCCCUUCGGCGGCCCCUUGGUCGCUAAUUUGACAGCGUCCAGCUUCGCCCACCAGACCUUGCAAUAGAAGAAGGCCAGACGUGCGCCCUCGAUGCAAACGGACCGCUUGACGACGUCCAGCCGAGGACAUGCAUCCACCAGUCGCUUCACGUGGCCGAAGUAACUACCGGGUAUAGCUUCGGCUGGCCACAACCAUAUUAUUAAAUCCUUCAUGGCCAGUUCGGCCACCCUAUGGAGCUCGACCAGCUGUUUUAGCUGAUCGCUGAAGGGCACCGGAUGUUCUGGCGCGAGAUAUUGCGACCAGAAGAACUUCUCCGUGGAUCUCCCUGAUUCGGCUCGGAAGACCUCUGCGGCGUCAGCCACACUAUGUUGCAGAUCAGUAAAAGCCCCUGGAGAACUCCGAAUCCGGGUUAGUAAACGAUAUAUCAUCUUCACAUUCUUGCUUUGCAUAUUGAAUGCCUUACCCGCCGUGAUCUUCCUGGCCUCCUGGAUCUCCUGGAGGGCGCCUGAUACGUCUCCAACGUAUCUAUAAUUUUUGAUUGCUCCAUGCUAUAUUAUCUACUGUUUUGGACAUUAUUCGGGUUUAUUAUCCACUUCUAUAUUAUUGCAUGAGUUUAUCCCUCUACAUCAUGUCAUCUUGGGCGUCUGAUUGCAGUGUCCUUUCCCAGUGACAGUAGGGGUAGCAAGGCACGUAUUGUAUUGUUGCCAUCGAGGAUAAUAAGAUGGGGUUUUCAUCAUAUUGCAUGAGUUUAUCCCUCUACAUCAUGUCAUCUUGCUUAAGGCGUUACUGUGUUUUCAUUAACUUAAUACUCUAGAUGCAUGCUGGAUAGCGGUUGAUGAGUGGAAUAAUAGUAGUAGAUGCAGGCAGGAGUCAGUCUACUUGUCUCAGACGUGAUGCCUAUAUACAUGAUCAUACCUAGAUAUUCUCAUAACUAUGCUCAAUUCUGUCAAUUGCUCAACAGUAAUUCGUUCACUCACCGUAGAAUACUUAUGCUCUUAAGAGAAGUGUCACGACCGGGUUUUCCGGGUAAUAAAUUUCCAGAAAAGACCGUCGUGCUCAUCAGCCCCAGGAUUACUGUUAGCUGAUGAGGCUCCAACUUGAUACAGAAAUUCCAAGCAAAAUACAAAAUAUGUAGUACAAUACCAUUCUGGCCUGUGAGUACAACAAAUGGUUUCUAGUGGUUGAUGGCGGAAGCGGGUUGUGAAACAUCUGUGUCUAUGGGACUUCAUUUCCCACGGGAACAGCUGACCAUGUUAAUUCCUAUCUUCGCGAGGCUGCUAUCUCCAUUGAGUGGGUUCCGGGGCUGGCAUCGCGUCGCUCCUCUCCGUGCGAGCAAAAUCUGGCCAAGACAAUAGCCAGGGACAAGCCAGUGAGUACUUUGAAUGUACUCGCAAACAUUAUGAACACAGGUAUAAUAUAACCAUGAUGUGCUAAAAAUAUUUUUAUGCUCAUGACGUCAGUCAAAAAUAGUAAAUAAAAUACUGAUGCGUGCAGGCGGUUAUUUAUAAAAAAAUGCAAUACAUAGUAGUAUUAAAAUUUAUGAAAUAAAUAACAAGCAAUGCCACAGUCGGGCGUCUGAGCGACACCACAUAAAGGGCUUUAAAAGAAAUGCCACAGUCGGGCGUCUGAGCGACGCCACAUAAAGGGCUUUAAAAGAAAUGCCACAGUCGGGCGUCUGAGCGACGCCACAUAAAGGGCUUUAAAAGAAAUGCCACAGUCGGGCGUCUGAGCGACGCCACAUAAAGGGCUUUAAAAGAAACAAUCAUAAUGAAUAUCCCUGGAGGUAGAACCAUCCCAGAGAUACUCGAUAAUAACAAUAAUAUCAUGGGUUAGUCAACAAUAAUAAUAAUCAUCAUAGAUAUCACAAGUCACGAGUAGUAAUUCCAUUUUCUGGUUAACAGUUUCACCUCCGAAGACCGACACUAAGACCGACACCUGACCCAUCCCAGACUGUAAUCCUUAACCAUGGACACGGCUAUUCGAAUAGGUUUAUUCUCUGCAGAGGGUGUACUCUUUACCCACGAGUAACGGAUCUCUUUAGUCCAUCGGGACUAAUUCCGUCUACGGUCUUUUUGUUGAAAACACACCUAACUUGCACACACCAGCUUAUCUCACACGUGUCUGGAAUCACCCACGACACCUGUUAAGCAAACUCUAAGUGGGGAGGCUACAACCUCGCGUAGCAUGGGAUCAAAUUUAUAUCGCGCGCUCUAAGGGGUGGCCUCCCCUCUCGGUCCCAACCGGAAACACCCAUGCCCCCGGACCAGGUGGCCUGCCUACCAGCUACAACCGGUAUCUUCCACCAUGGCCUCUGUGUACGGUGUGUGCUGGAAAGAGGUUGACAACUUACUGAACCGUACUCUACUUGCUGUAGAGACGAGUGGUAGUACGAAACAAGUAUGGGGGUUACUGGAACAAGACUCGAUCUACGGUCGACUCAGGAGGUUCAAGUAUUCCCUGCAUGAUUAGAAUGACGAAUAUAUUUCAUCCAACAGAGUCACCGCUCAUAUCACCUUACCAUGCCAUACCAGACAUAACCGUCCCGACGGAGACCGGCGACAAAAUCAUGCCUACCCAAGGCCGAGGUUUUCCCGGGUUCCUGCGGUAUGCAUGCAAGGCACAUGAGGGUGAUUAUCAUCACAAGUGAAUCCAUUUCCAACAGCAUGGAAAUCAACAACAUGCACCCAUGCAUAUGAUCAUAUCACAUGAAAUAACAAGUCCUUCGAAAUGCGGUGGUGUUAUAAAUGUAUCAACGAUCACACCAAAAAUAUUAUGCCGGGGUUCAGAAUGCUUGCCUUCAAUGUUGUGGAGGGGUGAGGUGCUCUCCAAAACUUUUGAAAGUUUCUUCUCUCUCCCCAAAAUCCUAUUUAAAAAAUAUAUGAAUUAACACACAUUUCAAAAACAGAACCAAAAAGUUGUUUGAAUUUUUUUCAAAUAAAUCUUAAAAUAAACUAGAUCAAAUUUGAGGAAGGUAGGAAAAAGAAUCAACUCAUUUGGAGUAAUAUUUAAAAAGUUAUAGCCAGUCAAAGAUGUGGUCAAAAUCUGUUAUUUAAAUUAAAACAGAAAAGAAAACGUUUCAGACGAGAUUACGCUUUCGGUACAGAGGAGGCGUACUUGAGGCUUUACGCCUCCACUUAACCACGUGGACGGUGCGGGGUGUCACUGACAGUGGGCCUGCCUGGCCCACUGGUCAGGUUUGACCAGUCGCCGCGCGUCGUCUCCCUCCUUUGCCCGAGCGGAGCGGGGCUCCGGCGAUCGUCGCCGGCGUUUGGCUGCUCCUCGCGGGCCCCCGAGGGUGGGGAUGGAUCCGUAAGGUUGGGGCGGUCCUCCCGGUAGUCGUUGGGUCGGCGGGGACGGAGUGAGCUGCCGGCGGCGAGCUCCGCGGUGGAAGAAGGCUUCGGUGGCGAAGUGACUUUGUGGCGGCGUUGGCUCCCGAUCAAAAUCAAGUAGGGGAAAAGGCUCACGGGAGGAUGAGGAUGUUCUUGGUGGAGAGAACGGAGAGUGGGAGAUACUAGAGGUGCCGGAUUGGCCGGGGCGGUGGCGGCGGCAGGAGUUGCCGGAGAUGAGGAAGGAGGCCUCCCCGGGUCGAAUGCGAGCUAGGGAGUGCCAUAGGGGUGGUCUGAGGUCGCGUGCGUGCUCAGAGGGGCUCGGGGUGUCCAUUUAUAGCGCGACGAGGUCGGUUCCGCGGCGGCCGUGGAUAAUCUUUCCGGCGAACCGCCUCUCUGUGGCUAGGGCGACGUGGCGGCGACGAGCGCUAGGGACGAAGCUGCGGAUGAGCACGCACUGCUCACAGGGGCAGGUGGCGAGUCGGGGUGGCUUGGGCAGCGCUGCACGGCGCAGGGCUGUCGGGCGGCGGCGGCGGCUAGUGCUUGGCCUGCCGGGCGCGGCGAGGGGCGGCUUGGCGCGUAGCUGAGAGAAGGGGCGCGCGUGGCGUGGUGCUGCCGUGUGGGCCAAAGCCAGGGGGGUCAGCGUGUCGGCUCGGGCGCGUGGCUGCAAUUUGCGCGCUCUGGGCGCGCCCAGUGCACGCACAGGACGUGCUCGACGAAAUGCUAUGGCAUGUUAGGGGGCUCCAAACCACAAGAAAGUUAGCAGGGUGGGGUUAUAGUUUAAGGCAAAACCAUUGGACAUGCUGGUCUGGCCAGGGGAUUAAGUCCAUAGUGCAAACAAGGACUCAUGUCAAAACUGAUCAUGCCCACAGAGUGUUUGACAAAAUGCCAGAGGCAUCUAGGCAGGUCUUGGAGGGGCCAAAUCUUCCAGAUUCAAGUCUCUUUGGAAGCAAGAGGGGGUGGUGAGGUUAGUUGGCCAAAAGCAGAAACUUGUUAGUGCAAGUUUUACAAAACUUCAAUUCUGGACAGGAAAUAAAUGACAUUAUUUCAUGAACCAAAAAUGAUCCAAAAGGUGCAUGCUCCUAGACUUAAGGGUUUAGCAUGGGGGACUACAAGUAGGAGAAAAGAUCAAGGGUUAAAGAGCAAGUAAAAACAUGGUUGCUGUACAAACCAUCAAGUUGGUCCAGAAUGAAGAUGAGGUUGAUUCACUCAAAUUUUUCAAAGUACAUAAAUAGGUUUUUGCACAAAGUGAAACAAUAGGCUCCUAUUGACCUCCCGUAAUUUUUGUAGAAGUUUUUAAGAAAUAUUUAAAUAGGUUGUAGUGCAAAAAGCACUCUGGACCAGAGAUGAAAAAUUGAGUGUAGGGCUCAAAAUAUUUCAUGAAUGAAAUAUAUUUUAGCAUAAAAGUGAUUUAAAAACAUCACAUGACAUCUCCAAAUUUUUGUGGGAAUUUUAAGUGAAUUUAUCAAAUGGUUGUAGUUCAAAUAAGGCCAUUUAACCUAGAAAACCCUUUUCAAGAAAAUAAAGAUCAAGCAACUUAAUUAUUUAAUUAGUUACACUGAUAAAAGGGAAGUUUUUCUUGAGAGGUUAAACAAGUCCAACAACAUUUUUGAAAAGUUUUCUCUUUGGGAAAAACUCAUCAUAACAGGGAAGGAAAUGAUUUAAACAAAAUCAAAAUGGAGCUCAAAAAUUCAAAGUUUUAAAUCCUGGCAAAAUUUUAUUCCAUUAAAACAAGGCCAAAAUUUUGGGGUGUCACAAUACUAACCCCCUUAAAAAAAUCUCGUCCUCGAGAUUUGCUAAAAGUGGUGUUAAGAAAAUAAUUACGCAAUGACGAUGUGGCUACAGUGAGAGGGCAAUAAGUGGUGAAAAACCACAGUGUGAAAAACUGGGGCUGCGCGGAAAAGUCUAUGGUUCGGGACAAAAACGGGUGAUUUCUACGCUGGAUAUAAAUUUAGGAUAACUCCUAAAUUUAGAUAUACGCUGGUUGUACCCGAGAGCACAAUGCUCUCUCUGGCCGACAGGUGGACCCGGGGUCCACUAUCAGUCUCCUCUUCUUCUCCCUCUGGCCCUUUCUUCUUCCUCUCUCCCGCGCGCUUUCUCCACCGGCGACGCCUAGUGUGUAGGGCAUCUAGGCCGUACCGUGGUAGUGCGCGGCGUGCUAGCUGCCGGUGCAGCGUGCACUCACCUCGCGGGCCAGCGCGCUGUCGGCACUGCUCGCGGAUUCGACUCCGAACACCGGCGAUCAGCGACGAGCGGCGUUGGUGGACUUCACCCACCGUACACCGAACUCGAGCUAUAAAAACGGCUGGGGUGCCUCUCUCUUCUUCCUCACACCUGGCCUCACUUCUCCUCCUCCUUCUUUCUCCAUUACUGCUUACAGAAGCUCGGUCGAGGCUCUAAUGGCGGAGGCGAUGCCGGACUGGUUUGUGAUCUUGAUAUGCGGAGGGCUGGCGACGCUGCUGGGGCUCUCUGUGCUCCUGUGCGCGAUAAUCUUCGACGAGUAUCGCGAUGCUGCGGCUCGGGUGUUGGUUCUCCGCGGUGGUGGUGAUCAUGAGGAGUAGAUGGGGUGUGCCGGGUGCUAACUGUUGUUAGGGGGGUGAUUAGCUGGAUGUAACACCGUUGCAAAGUUUUGCAAACAGUGUAUGUCUCCGAAUGAUUAUGGUUGUGAGUCUGCUCGUGGUGCUGAGUGAAAUUAAAUAAUCCAUGUCGUGAGAAAGUGUAGAUGUAGCAACUCAGGGAAAAGAAAAUCUCAAUCCAGGGUUUUGCGAGGGAAAAACAGUUAAUUUAAAGGAGCAUAAACCACAACAAAAACUACACACAUUAGCAGAAGCCAAAUAAUUGACUCGUCGUACAAACUCAGGGUAUUACGCAUAAGUCACACACAUAAAUAAAUGCUGCAAAGAACAAAUACAAUAGUGACGUCUAAAAUGAAAAUGGUAACUGGGCGGGGUUCUGAUAAAAUGUCUCUGGUAAAGGAAUACAUUCUUCUUCAAUUGGAGGCGGUGGAUUGACCAGUCGAUGUAUGCGUCUCUCCGUGUCGGGUCUCAGUGGUCUACCGAUGGCAAUCUGAGGAUUUAAAUCUGCGAGGCUCUGGAGAUAAUCCAUCACUCGCUGGUUUAAAUGCUCUUGAGCAAUGAUGUACUGGAUAAGGUUGGCCAGAACUGGGUCUCUCUCAAUACGUCCACCGGGAAAAGACAUUACUUCUCCGGGUGCUGCACGACUCGGAAAGUAAUGAUAUCCUCGUUCGCGGGCAUAGGGUACUGCCGAUCGAAGACGAGCAAUCGCUUCUUUCGCAGCAGCCUCUAUGGCCAAGUGUGGGGUUGGCAUAGAUUUCCCCACGAAGGAAACUUCCGUUGGAUCUUGGUUGGGGUCUACAGGAGGAAUGUGUACUGCUGCCCAAUAUUCUGAGGUGGAUGGGGUGAUCCUUGAUUUGAACAGCUCGUACUGGGGUGGCUGGGUAGAACCCAUGGUACUGCGGGUAAAAUCCCACAAUAUUUUGACAAAGCUACCUGGGGUUGCAUCUGGGGUUCUCAGAUGAAUGCUGGGGUUCGGCAUGACAGGAAAAAGCGUGAGUGUUGUGCACAAAGUGAGGGUUGCUGGGUAAGGUCACAAGGUGGCCUUUAUAUAGCAAUGGAGCCGGAUCGUUUUACCGUGGUGAAAGGUAAAAAUUUGCCAGCUUAGCUCCAAAGGUCGGAUCAGUGUCAGAGAUACACAUAUCUCAUAAAAAGACGCGUUACUGUGGUUGUCGUCGGGUUGGUUUUGGUAGUUGUGCCCGGAAAAAUAUGCAGCUAUGCGCUGACCAAUUAUGCAAGGCUACUAUUAAGACAGAGGCACAACGACAGGCUGAGUUAAUAUACACGGUCGCGUGAUUACAAAGCGAGGAUACAUUGAAACUUGGUGCUACUCAUACGGCUUAGUCUACCUCGUUUAUGUCUAAAUGGGCGUGCCUGGUGGAUGUCGAGGCUUCUCCACGUGUCUCUCUGCCGGGAUUAGUCGGAGAUGGCGGAGGAACUGCAGGGUCGGGGUAGUGAGAAUGACAAUUGCGGGGAUUGUUGGCCACAACCCCGUUGGAGUGUGCUCCCAAUAUGCGACGAAGCACUUCUGGGGUUAUCGCAGCACCUUGGCCGAUGGCUAGGGCAGAUCUCGGGGUCUCGAUCGGUUGUCCAAACAGCACGACUGGGUUGUCGGUGUUGGGCUCGUUUUCUUCUCUCGCCGGGGCUCGACGAACCAGCUCUCCACGAGCUGCGAUUAGAUCAAUAGUGAUCUGGUCGAACAGUGCCUCUAGUGCACUUACAUAGCGCACUAGGUGCAACAAGGCGGGGUCCGUCUCGUGAUCUCCAUUGGCAACUUGGGGUGGUCUACCAUACCCUUCACGUCUGGGGUAGUAGUGGAACGAGCGACAGUUAACUCUGGGCGACAAGUGCCUGAGAUGAACUAUAGCCUCUCGAGCGGCUAGCUGGAUGGCUUGUGGCUCAAAGGAUGUUGUUCUUCCGGUGAACCAGUAGGGGCGCUCGGGUGCUAGACUCCUACCGUAAAUGUGCACAGUGGCGCAGAAUUGGCGGUCUUCACCGCUCAUGGGUCCUUGAUACACAACAUAUUCUGGUGGCUCCUCUAACGCGUAGGCACGACGGGUGAGGUUUGCGAGGAUGGUCACAAAACCUCCAAGGUUGGUUGCUGUGGUUUCGUUGUGCACUAUAGGUCCAGGCAUUAUGGCUCGGUUUGGGGUAGCGGCUGUGUGUGCUGGUUUGGUGUUAGCGCGCCCCUUUUUAUAGGGAAAAGGGGACAGAAUCUUCCUUCGCACGCUUGUGAGAAAGGACUAUUUAGGGGCCGGUCACUGGCGCAUGAGUGACAGGUUAGGUUGAUAGGUUGGGCACCGACUGCCAAAAGUGUUGGGUCACUGUGUGGCUAUCUUGCACGAGAAGCUUGGCUGGGGUUUGGUUAAGGUCUGGUGGGUUGGUUUGCCUAGUUUAUUGACCUGGCUAAGAUAGGAUUAGCCAAUGGUCAGCCUGGCUCUGAUACCAAGUCUGUCACGACCGGGUUUUCCGGGUAAUAAAUUUCCAGAAAAGACCGUCGUGCUCAUCAGCCCCAGGAUUACUGUUAGCUGAUGAGGCUCCAACUUGAUACAGAAAUUCCAAGCAAAAUACAAAAUAUGUAGUACAAUACCAUUCUGGCCUGUGAGUACAACAAAUGGUUUCUAGUGGUUGAUGGCGGAAGCGGGUUGUGAAACAUCUGUGUCUAUGGGACUUCAUUUCCCACGGGAACAGCUGACCAUGUUAAUUCCUAUCUUCGCGAGGCUGCUAUCUCCAUUGAGUGGGUUCCGGGGCUGGCAUCGUGUCGCUCCUCUCCGUGCGAGCAAAAUCUGGCCAAGACAAUAGCCAGGGACAAGCCAGUGAGUACUUUGAAUGUACUCGCAAACAUUAUGAACACAUGUAUAAUAUAACCAUGAUGUGCUAAAAAUAUUUUUAUGCUCAUGACGUCAGUCAAAAAUAGUAAAUAAAAUACUGAUGCGUGCAGGCGGUUAUUUAUAAAAAAAUGCAAUACAUAGUAGUAUUAAAAUUUAUGAAAUAAAUAACAAGCAAUGCCACAGUCGGGCGUCUGAGCGACACCACAUAAAGGGCUUUAAAAGAAAUGCCACAGUCGGGCGUCUGAGCGACGCCACAUAAAGGGCUUUAAAAGAAAUGCCACAGUCGGGCGUCUGAGCGACGCCACAUAAAGGGCUUUAAAAGAAACAAUCAUAAUGAAUAUCCCUGGAGGUAGAACCAUCCCAGAGAUACUCGAUAAUAACAAUAAUAUCAUGGGUUAGUCAACAAUAAUAAUAAUCAUCAUAGAUAUCACAAGUCACGAGUAGUAAUUCCAUUUUCUGGUUAACAGUUUCACCUCCGAAGACCGACACUAAGACCGACACCUGACCCAUCCCAGACUGUAAUCCUUGACCAUGGACACGGCUAUUCGAAUAGGUUUAUUCUCUGCAGAGGGUGUACUCUUUACCCACGAGUAACGGAUCUCUUUAGUCCAUCGGGACUAAUUCCGUCUACGGUCUUUUUGUUGAAAACACACCUAACUUGCACACACCAGCUUAUCUCACACGUGUCUGGAAUCACCCACGACACCUGUUAAGAAAACUCUAAGUGGGGAGGCUACAACCUCGCGUAGCAUGGGAUCAAAUUUAUAUCGCGCGCUCUAAGGGGUGGCCUCCCCUCUCGGUCCCAAUCGGAAACACCCAUGCCCCCAGACCAGGUGGCCUGCCUACCAGCUACAACCGGUAUCUUCCACCAUGGCCUCUCUGUACGGUGUGUGCUGGAAAGAGGUUGACAACUUACUGAACCGUACUCUACUUGCUGUAGAGACGAGUGGUAGUACGAAACAAGUAUGGGGGUUACUGGAACAAGACUCGAUCUACGGUCGACUCAGGAGGUUCAAGUAUUCCCUGCAUGAUUAGCAUGACGAAUAUAUUUCAUCCAACAGAGUCACCGCUCAUAUCACCUUACCAUGCCAUACCAGACAUAACCGUCCCGACGGAGACCGGCGACAAACUCAUGCCUACCCAAGGCCGAGGUUUUCCCGGGUUCCUGCCGGUAUGCAUGCAAGGCACAUGAGGGUGAUUAUCAUCACAAGUGAAUCCAUUUCCAACAGCAUGGAAAUCAACAUCAUGCACCCAUGCAUAUGAUCAUUUCACAUGAAAUAACAAGUCCUUCGAAAUGCGGUGGUGUUAUAAAUGUAUCAACGAUCACACCAAAAAUAUUAUGCCGGGGUUCAGAAUGCUUGCCUUCAAUGUUGUUGAGGGGUGAGGUGCUCUCCAAAACUUUUGAAAGUUUCUUCUCUCUCCCCAAAAUCCUAUUUAAAAAAUAUAUGAAUUAACACACAUUUCAAAAACAGAACCAAAAAGUUGUUUGAAAUUUUUUCAAAUAAAUCUUAAAAUAAACUAGAUCAAAUUUGAGGAAGGUAGGAAAAAGAAUCAACUCAUUUGGAGUUAUAUUUAAAAAGUUAUAGCCAGUCAAAGAUGUGGUCAAAAUCUGUUAUUUAAAUUAAAACAGAAAAGAAAACGUUUCAGACGAGAUUAUGCUUUCGGUACAGAGGAGGCGUACUUGAGGCUUUACGCCUCCACUUAACCACGUGGACGGUGCGGGGUGUCACUGACAGUGGGCCUGCCGGGCCCACUGGUCAGGUUUGACCAGUCGCCGCGCGUCGUCUCCCUCCUUUGCCCGAGCGGAGCGGGGCUCCGGCGAUCGUCGCCGGUGUUUGGCUGCUCCUCGCGGGCCCCCGAGGGUGGGGAUGGAUCCGUAAGGUUGGGGCGGUCCUCCCGGUAGUCGUUGUGUCGGCGGGGACGGAGUGAGCUGCCGGCGGCGAGCUCCGCGGCGGAAGAAGGCUUCGGUGGCGAAGUGACUUUGUGGCGGCGUUGGCUCCGGAUCAAAAUCAAGUAGGGGAAAAGGCUCACGGGAGGAUGAGGAUGUUCUUGGUGGAGAGAAGGGAGAGUGGGAGAUACUGGAGGUGCCGGAUUGGCCGGGGCGGUGGCGGCGGCAGGAGUUGCCGGAGAUGAGGAAGGAGGCCUCCCCGGGUCGAAUGCGAGCUAGGGGAGUGCCAUAGGGGUGGUCUGAGGUCGCGUGCGUGCUCAGAGGGGCUCGGGGUGUCCAUUUAUAGCGCGACGAGGUCGGUUCCGCGGCGGCCGUGGAUAAGCUUUCCGGCGAACCGCCUCUUUGUGGGUAGGGCGACGUGGCGGCGACGAGCGCUAGGGAUGAAGCUGCGGAUGAGCACGCACUGCUCACAGGGGCAGGUGGCGAGUCGGGGUGGCCUGAGCGGCGCUGCACGGUGCAGGGCUAUCGGGCGGCAGCGGCGGCUAGUGCUUGGCCUGCCGGGCGCGGCGAGGGGCGGCUUGGCACGUAGCUGAGAGAAGGGGCGCGCAUGGCGUGAUGCUGCCGUGUGGGCCAAAGCCAGGGGGGUCAGCGUGUCGGCUCGGGCGCGUGGCUGCAAUUUGCGCGCUCUGGGCGCGCCCAGUGCACGCACGGGACGUGCUCGACGAAAUGCUAUGGCAUGUUAGGGGGCUCCAAACCACAAGAAAGUUAGCAGGGUGGGGUUAUAGUUUAAGGCAAAACCAUUGGACAUGCUGGUCUGGCCAGGGGAUUAAGUCCAUAGUGCAAACAAGGACUCAUGUCAAAACUGAUCAUGCCCACAAAGUGUUUGACAAAAUGCCAGAGGCAUCUAGGCAGGUCUUGGAGGGGCCAAAUCUUCCAGAUUGAAGUCUCUUUGGAAGCAAGAGGGGGUGGUGAGGUUAGUUGGCCAAAAGCAGAAACUUGUUCGUGCAAGUUUUACAAAACUUCAAUUCUGGACAGGAAAUAAAUGACAUUAUUUCAUGAACCAAAAAUGAUCCAAAAGGUGCAUGCUCCUGGACUUAAGGGUUUAACAUGGGGGACUACAAGUAGGAGAAAAGAUCAAGGGUUAAAGAGCAAGUAAAAACAUGGUUGCUGUACAAACCAUCAAGUUGGUCCAGAAUGAAGAUGAGGUUGAUUCACUCAAAUUUUUCAAAGUACAUAAAUAGGUUUUUGCACAAAGUGAAACAAUAGGCUCCUAUUGACCUCCCCUAAUUUUUGUAGAAGUUUUAAAGAACUAUUUAAAUAGGUUGUAGUGCAAAAAGCACUCUGGACCAGAGAUGAAAAAUUGAGUGUAGGGCUCAAAAUAUUUCAUGAAUGAAAUAUAUUUUAGCAUAAAAGUGAUUUAAAAACAUCACAUGACAUCUCCAAAUUUUUGUGGGAAUUUUAAGUGAAUUUAUCAAAUGGUUGUAGUUCAAAUAAGGCCAUUUAACCUAGAAAACCCUUUUCAAGAAAAUAAAGAUCAAGCAACUUAAUUAUUUAAUUAGUUACACUGAUAAAAGGAAAGUUUUUCUUGAGAGGUUAAACAAGUCCAACAACAUUUUUGAAAAGUUUUCUCUUUGGGAAAAACUCAUCAUAACAGGGAAGGAAAUGAUUUAAACAAAAUCAAAAUGGAGCUCAAAAAUUCAAAGUUUUAAAUCCUGGCAAAAUUUUAUUCCAUUAAAACAAGGCCAAAAUUUUGGGGUGUCACAAGAAGCCACUAGUGAAACCUAUGGCCCCCGGGUCUAUCUUCAUCAUAUUAAUCUUUCAAUACUUAAUUAUUUCCUUUGCUUUCUACUUUGCUUUUAUUUUACUUUGCAUCUUUAUCAUAAAAAUACCAAAGAUAUUAUCUUAUCUUAUCUAUCAGAUCUCACUCUCGUAAGUGGCCGUGUAGGGAUUGACAACCCCUUAUCGCGUUGGUUGCGAGGAUUUAUUUGUUUUGUGCAGGUACAAGGGACUCGCGCAUAGCCUCCUACUGGAUUGAUACCUUGGUUCUCAAAAACUGAGGGAAAUACUUACGCUACUUUGCUGCAUCAUCCCUUCCUCUUCAGGGAAAACCAACACAGUGCUCAAGAGGUAGCAAGAAGGAUUUCUGGCGCCGUUGCCGGGGAGUCUACACAAAAGUAAAUAUACCAAGUACCCAUCACAAUCCCUAUCUCCCGCAUUACAUUAUUUUCCAUUUGCCUCUCAUUUUCAUCUCCCCCACUUCACCCUUGCUGUUCUAUUCACCCUCUCUCUCUAUCCUCCCUCUCUUUCUCCAUUUGCCUCUUUUUGCCUGCUUGCUUUUUGUUUGCUUGUGUGUUAGUUUGCUUCUUGUCUCGAUGGCUCUUCCCUGAUUUGGUGAUCUUCACCUUAAAAGGUUAGAAGAAAUAGAAAACAACGUUAGGAGUUUUAUGGUCUUGCAAUUCGAGCAUAAUAGUUUCUUUAGAAACGCGUUUAAGGAACAAAUUUUUUUUAUGAGUUUUAUGAAUAAAGAGCUCGAUAAUAUGUCUAAAGAAUUUGAUGCUUUAAGAUCCCAAAUUGCUCGUCUUGAGAAGUUGACCGCUGAAAUUUCGGAUAAGCAAGCCACCUUAGUUAAUAGGAUGGCCGCUAAACCGGAUUGCUAUGAAAAUAAAGAUGAAGAUCUAAAAGUUAUUGAUGUGUCCCCUAUUAAAUCUUUGUUUUGCAAUAUGAAUCUUAAUAAUGAUGGGACUUAUUAUGAUCCACCUUUACCUAGAAGACGUUCCAAGAAUUCAGAGUUUUUAGAUAUUGAUGCUAAAAUUGAUGAAAGUGGGAUUGAAGAAAUUAAAACCUUAGAUGUUGCUAAACCCACUAUUUUGGAUUUCAAGGAAUUUAAUUAUGAAAAUUGCUCUUUGAUUGAUUGUAUUUCCUUGUUGCAAUCCGUGCUAAAUUCUCCUCACGCUUAUAGUCAAAAUAAAGUGUUCACUACACAUAUCGUUGAUGCCUUGAUGCAAUCUUAUAAAGAAGAACUUGAAUUAGAAGUCUCUAUCCCUAGAAAACAUUAUGAUAAGUGGGAACCUACUAUUAAAAUUAAAAUUAAAGAUCAUGAAUGCUAUGCUUUGUGUUAUUUGGGUGCUAGUGUUUCCACGAUUCCAAAGACUUUGUGCGAUUUGUUAGGUUUCCGUGAUUUUGAUGAUUGCUCUCUAAACUUGCACCUUGUGGAUUCUAGUAUUAAGAAAUCUAUGGGAAGAAUUACUGAUUUUAUUAUUUUUUCAAAUAGGAAUUAUGUUCCCAUAGAUUUUAUUGUUCUUGACAUAGAUUGCAAUCCUUCAUGUCCUAUUAUUCUUGGUAGACCUUUCCUUAGAACGAUUGGUGCAAUUAUUGAUAUGAAGGAAGGAAAUAUUAGAUUCCAAUUUCCGUUAAGGAAAGGCAUGGAAAACUUUCCUAGAAAUAAAAUUAAAUUACCUUAUGAAUCUAUUAUGAGAGCCACUUACGAAUUGCCUACCAAAGAUGGAAAUACCUAGAUCUAUCCUUGCUUUUUAUGCCUAGCUAGGGGCGUUAAACGAUAGCGCUUGUUGGGAGGCAACCCAAUUUUAUUUUUAUUCCUUGAUUUUUGCUCCUGUUUAGUAAUAAAUAAUUUAUCUAGCCUCUGUUUUGGUUGUGUUUUUUGUGUUUAAUUAGUGUUUGUGCCAAGUAGAACCGUUGGGAAGACUUGGGGAAAGUCUUGUUAAUCUUACUGUAAAAAGUCCUCACGAGAACUGCUGCCAUUUUUAUUUUUAAAGUGAUAUUUAGUUAAUUCUUUUUGAAGAUGAUUAAUAGAUAAAUUCCGCACGUCCAGCAAUUUAUUUUAGAAUUUUUGGGGUUCCAGAUCUUGCGCUAGCUACAGAUUACUACAGACUGUUCUGUUUUUGACAGAUUCUGUUUUUCGUGUGUUGUUUGCUUAUUUUGAUGAAUCUAUGGCUAGUAAAAUAGUUUAUAAACCAUAGAGAAGUUGGAAUACAGUAGGUUUAACACCAAAAUAAAUAAAGAAUAAGUUCAUUACAGUACCUUGAAGUGGUCUUUUGUUUUCUUUCGCUAAUGGAGCUCACGAGAUUUUCUACUUUAUGUUUUGUCUUGUGAAGUUUUCAAGUUUUGGGUAAAGAUUUGAUGGAUUAUGGAACAAGGAGCGACAAGAGCCUAAGCUUGGGGCUGCCCAUGGCACCCCCAAGAUAAUCUAAGGACACCUAAAAGCCAAAGCAUGGGGAUGCCCCGGAAGGCAUCCCCUCUUUUUGUCUACUUCUAUCGGUAACUUUACAUGGAGCUAUAUUUUUAUUCACCACAUGAUAUGUGUUUUGCUUGGAGCGUCUUGUAUGACUUGAGUCUUUGCUUUUUAGUUUACCAAAAUCAUCAUUGCUGUACACACCUUUUGAGAUAUCCAUACAUUAUUUCGAAUUUGUUAGAAUACUCUAUGUGCUUCACUUAAAUCAUUUGAGUUAUAUAGUUUUGCUCUAGUACUUCACUUAUAUCUUUUAGAGCACGGUGGUGGAUUUGUUUUAUAGAAACUAUUGAUCUCAAAUGAUUCACUUAGAUUAUUUUGAGAGUCUUAAAUAGCAUGGUAAUUUUCUUAAAUAAUCCUAAUAUGCUUGGAAUUCAAGAAUAAUAAAAGAACUUCCUUAUGAGUGUGUUGAAUGCUAUGAGAAGUUUGAUGCUACAUAAUUUUUUGAGAUAUGAAGAUGGUGAUAUUAGAGUUAUGCUAGUUGAGUAGUUGUGAAUUUGAGAAAUACUUGUGUUAAAGUUUGUGAUUCCCGUAGCAUGCACAUAUGGUGAACCAUUAUGUGAUGAAGUCGGGGCAUGAUUUAUUUUUUGAUUGUCUUCCUUAUGAGUGGCGGUCGGGAACGAGCGAUGGUAUUUUCCUACCAAUCUAUCCCCCUAGGAGCAUGCGCGUAAUACUUUGAUUUGAUAACUUGUACAUUUUUGCAAUAAGUAUAUGAGUUCUUUAUGACUAAUGUUGAGUCCAUGGAUUAUACGCACUUUUCUACCCUUCCACCUUUGCUAGCCUCUCUAAUACCGCGCACCUUUCGCCGGUAUCAUACACCCACCAUAUACCUUCCUCAAAACAGCCACCAUACCUACCUAUUAUGGCAUUUCCAUAGCCAUUCCGAGAUAUAUUGCCAUGCAACUUUCCACCGUUCCGUUUAUUAUGACACACUCCAGCAUUGUCAUAUUGCUUAGCAUGAUCAUGUAUUUGAUAAGGAUGGCAAUGGGUCGGGUUUGGAUCGGGUUGAACAAUCUCAAAUCCAUAUCCAUGUCCAUGACGACAGUCUUUGCCCGCCCAUGAAAAAAAUCCAUGGGUGGAAAAUUGUGUCCAUGUCCAAAUCCGAUGGAUAUCCAUACCCAUUGGAUAUCCAUUGGAUCCUCUCGAGACAUAUAAAUAAGACAUAACACAAUAUUAACAUAAACUCUUCCAUUCUUCACCUCAUGGUAGGCUAUGCUUCACUUAUGGUAAAUCAACAUCCACUAACAACCUAAGAUCAUUUAAUAUUUUUCUAACAAAUGAGAAUGACGAGUCAUUUAAGAAGGAGGUAAAAAUAAGGAAAGGGGUGUUGGAGUAUGUUAUAGAGGGGAUUGAAUGUCAACUAAAAAAAGUUACGAUGGGGAUUGUGUAAUUUCUUAUGCAUGUUUUAGAUAAAAAAGUGUAAAAUUGUUGUGCGACAUAUGACCGUGGGGCAGGGAUAGCAUAUUUUCCCCCAUUAAGUCAUACUAUCGGGUCGGGUUUGGGUAUAUCCAUUCCUACAAGAUUAUAUCCAUGCCCUAUCCACGAACAAUCGGGUCGGGUUUGGGCGCUGCCCAUGGACACAAAAGCAUAUCCAAACCCUAUCCAUUCGGGUCGGAUAUCCAUGGAUGUCCAUGUCCAUGGAUAAAAUUGCCAUCCUUGGUAGUUGACAUCGUAUUUGUGGCAAAGCCACCAUUCAUAAUCCUUUCAUAUGUGUCACUCUUGAUUCAUUGCAUAUCCCGGUACACCGCCGGAGGCAUUCAUAUAGAGUCAUAUUUUGUUCUAAGUAUUGAGUUGUAAUUGUUGAGUUGUAAGAAAAAUAAAAGUGUGAUGAUCAUCAUUAUUAGAGCAUUGUCCCAGUGAGGAAAGGAGGAUGGAGACUAUGAUUCCCCCACAAGUCGGGAUGAGACUCCGGGCGAAAAAAAGGGAAGAGAAAGAAAAGAGGCCAUAAAAAAAGAGAAAAAGGCCCAAAAAAUGAGAGAAAAAGAGAGAAGGGACAAUGUUACUAUCAUUUUACCACACUUGUACUUCAAAGUAGCUCCAUGAUAUUCAUGAUAGAGAGUCUCCUAUGUCAUCACUUCCGAAUACUAGUGGGAAUUUUCAUUAUAGAACAUGGCUUGUAUAUUCCAAUGAUGGGCUUCCUCAAAAUGCCCUAGGUCUUCAUGAGCAAGCAAGUUGGAUGCACACCCACUUAGUUUCUUUUGUUGAGCUUUCAUAUACUUAUAGCUCUAGUGCAUCCGUUGCAUGGCAAUCCCUACUCACUCACAUUGAUAUUUAUUGAUGGGCAUCUCCAUAGCCCGUUGAUACGCCUAGUUGAUGUGAGACUAUCUUCUCCCUUUUUGACUUCUCCACAACCACCAUUCUAUUCCAUUUAUAGUGCUAUAUCCAUGGCUCACGCUCAUGUAUUGCGUGAAGAAUGAAAAAUUUUGAGAACACCAAAAGUAUGAAACAAUUGCUUGGCUUGUCAUCGCGGUUGUGCAUGAUUUAAAUAUUUUGUGUGGUGAAGAUGGAGCAUAGCCAGACUAUAUGAUUUUGUACGGAUAACUUUCUUUGGCCAUGCUAUUUUGAGAAGACAUGAUUGCUUUGUUAGUAUGCUUGAAGUAUUAUUAUUUUUAUAUCAAUAUUAAACCUUUAUCUUGAAUCUUUCCGAUCUGAAUAUUCAUACCACAAUUAAGAAGAAUUACAUUAAUAUUAUGCCAAGUAGCACUCCACAUCAAAAAUUCUGUUUUUAUCAUUUACCUACUCGAGGACGAGCAGGAAUUAAGCUUGGGGAUGCUUGAUACGUCUCCAACUUAUCUAUAAUUUUUGAUUGCUCCAUGUUAUAUUAUCUACUGUUUUGGACAUUAUUGGGCAUUAUUAUCCACUUUUAUAUUAUUUUUGGGACUAACCUACUAACCGGAGGCCCAGCCCAGAAUUGCUAUUUUUUUGCCUGUUUUAUGGUUUCGAAGAAAAGGAAUAUCAAACGGAGUCCAAACGGAAUGAAACCUUUGGGAACGUGAUUUUCUCAACGAACAAGACCCAGGAGACUUGGACCCUACGUCAAGACACAAAAGAGGAGGCCAUGAGGUAAGGGGCGCGCCUACCCCCCCCAGGUGCGCCCUCCACCCUCGUGGGCCCCGUGUUGCUCCACCGACGUACUCCUUCCUCCUAUAUAUACCUAUGUACCCCCAAACGAUCAGAUACGGUGCCAAAACCCUAAUUCCAUCGCCGCAACUUUCUGCAUCCACAAGAUCCCAUCUUGGGGCCUGUUCCAGAGCUCCGCCGAAGGGGGCGUCGAUCACGGAGGGCUUCCACAUCAUCACCAUAGCCCCUCCAAUGAAGUGUGAGUAAUUCACCUCAGACCUACGGGUCCAUAGUUAUUAGCUAGAUGGCUUCUUCUCUCUUUUUGGAUCUCAAUACAACGUUCUCCCCCUCUCUUGUGGAGAUCUAUUCAAUGUAAUCUUCUUUUUGCGGUGUGUUUGUUGAGAUCGAUGAAUUGUGGGUUUAUGAUCAAGCCUAUCUAAGAAUAAUAUUUGAAUCUUCUCUAAAUUAUUUUAUGUAUGAUUGGUUAUCUUUGCAAGUCUCUUCGAAUUAUCAGUUUGGUUUGGCCUACUAGAGUGAUAUUCUUGCAAUGGGAGAAGUGCUUAGCUUUGGGUUCAAUCUUGCAGUGUCCUUUCCCAAUGACAGUAGGGCCAGCAAGGCACGUAUUGUAUUGUUUCCAUCGAGGAUAACAAGAUGGGGUUUCAUCAUAUUGCAUGAGUUUAUCCCUCUACAUCAUGUCAUCUUGCUUAAGGCGUUACUCUGUUUUCAUUAACUUAAUACUCUAGAUGCAUGCUGGAUAGCAGUCGAUGAGUGGAGUAAUAGUAGUAGAUGCAGGCAGGAGUCGGUCUAUUUUCUCGGAGGUGAUGCCUAUAUACAUGAUCAUACCUAUAUAUUCUCAUAACUAUGCUCAAUUAUGUCAAUUGCUCAACAGUAAUUCGUUCACCCACCAUAGAAUACUUAUGCUCUUGAGAGAAGCCACUAGUAAAACCUAUGGCCCCCAGGUCUAUCUUCAUCAUAUUAAUCUUUCAAUACUUAGUUAUUUCCUUUGCUUUCUACUUUGCUUUUAUUUUACUUUGCAUCUUUAUCAUAAAAAUACCAAAGAUAUUAUCUUAUCUUAUCUAUCAGAUCUCACACUCGUAAGUGGCCGUGUAGGGAUUGACAACCCCUUCUCGCGUUGGUUGCAAGGAUUUAUUUGUUUUGUGCAGGUACGAGGGACUCGCGCAUAGCCUCCUACUAUAUUGAUACCUUGGUUCUAAAAAAACUGAGGGAAAUACUUACGCUACUUUGCUGCAUCAUCCCUUCCUCUUCGGGGAAAACCAACGCAGUGCUCAAGAGGUAGCAGCGCCCUGGGCCUCAUUUUGGGCUACCUCCGCACUCUGACGAGCCUUGGCGAGUUCGGUCUCUUGAACCGAUGCAUCACGCUCCAAGGCCUGACACUUCUUCACCGCAUCCUCGAGCUCCUGUUGGACCUUGUUUACCCGGGCCUUGAGCUUCUUCUGAGCGGCCUGCUACUUGACAGCCUUCCCUUCGGCUUCGACCAGUGCCUUUUUCAGGGCCUCGACCUCGGUCAUCACCUCUGUACACAUCAUGGCAUUUCGGUCAUGCAUAUCAUUUCCCUUUUUUUGAAUACAUAACAGGUUAUUACUUACCUUGUUUUUCCUGGAGCUGCCUCUUCACCUGGCCCAGUGUUGGGGAAUGUAGCAGAAUUUUAAAAUUUUCUAUGCAUCACCAAGAUCAAUCUAUGGAUUCAUCUAGCAACGAGGGAGAGAGGAGUGCAUCUACAUACCCUUGUAGAUCGCGCGCGGAAGCGUUCAAGAGAACGGGGUUGAUGGAUUCGUACUCGCCGUGAUCCAAAUCCCCGAUGACCUAGCGCCGAACGGACGUCACCUCCGCGUUCAACACACGUACGGUUGGGAAGACGUCUCCUCCAACUUGAUCCAGCAAGGGGGAAGGAGAGGUUGAUGAAGAUCGAGCAGCAUGACGGCGUGGUUGUGGAAGCAAUGGUGAUCUCAGCAGGGCUUCGCCAAGCUCAGGGAGAGGGAGGAGUGUCACGAGAGGGAGAGGGAGGCGCCAGGGGCUAGGGUGCGGCUGCCCUCCCUCCCCCACUAUAUAUAGGACCCCUAGGGAGUGGGGCGGCCCUAGGAGAUUGAAUCUCCAAGGGGGGGCGGCGGCCAAGGGGGUUGGAGUGCCCCCCAAGCCAAGUGGGGCGCCCCCACCCCUAGGGUUUCCAACCCUAGGCGCAGGGGAGGCCCAUGGGGGGGGGGGGCGUACCAGCCCACUAGGGACUGGUUCCCCUCCCACUUCAGCCCAUGGGGCCCUCCGGGAUAGGUGGCCCCACCCGGUGGACCCUCGGGACCCUUCCGGUGGUCCCGGUACAAUACCAAUUACCCCCGAAACCUUCCCGAUGGCCGAAACUUGACUUCCUAUAUAUAAAUCUUCACCUCCGGACCAUUCCGGAACUCCUCGUGACGUCCAGGAUAUCAUACGGGACUCCGAACAACUUUCGGGUUACCGUAUACUAAUAUCUCAACAACCCUAGCAUCACCAAACCUUAAGUGUGUAGACCCUACGGGUUCGGGAGACACGCAGACAUGACCGAGACGACUCUCCGGUCAAUAACCAACAGCGGGAUCUGGAUACCCAUGUGGGCUCCCACAUGCUCCUCGAUGAUCUCAUCGGAUGAACCAUGAUGUCGAGGAUUCAAUCAAUCCCGUAUACAAUUCCCUUGGUCAAUCGGUACGUUACUUGCCCGAGACUCGAUCAUCGGUAUCCCAAUACCUCGUUCAAUCUCGUUACCGGCAAGUCACUUUACUCGUACCGUAAUGCAUGACCCCGUGAUCAACCACUUGGUCACAUUGAGCUCAUUAUGAUGAUGCAUUACCGAGUGGGCCCAGAGAUACCUCUCCGUCAUACAGAGUGCCAAAUCCCAGUCUUGAUUCGUGCCAACCCAACAGACACUUUCGGAGAUACCUGUAGUGUACCUUUAUAGUCACCCAGUUACGUUGUGCUGUUUGGCACACCCAAAGCACUCCUACGGUAUCCGGGAGUUGAACAAUCUCAUGAUCUAAGUAAAUGAUACUUGACAUUCGGAAAAGCUAUAGCAAACGAACUACACGACCUUUGAGCUAUGCUUAGGAUUGGGUCUUGUCCAUCACAUCAUUCUCCUAAUGAUGUUAUCCCGUUAUCAAUGACAUCCAAUGUCCAUAGUGAGGAAACCUUCACUAUCUUUUGAUCAACGAGCUAGUCAACUAGAGGCUCACUAUGGACGUGUUGUGGUCUAUGUAUUCACACAUGUAUUACAAUUUCUGGAUAACACAAUUAUAGCAUGAACAAUAGACAAUUAUCAUGAACAAAGAAAUAUAAUAAUAACCAUUUUAUUAUUGCCUCUAGGGCAUAUUUCCAAUAGUCUCCCACUUGCACUAGAGUCAAUAGUCUAGUUACAUUGUGACGAAUCGAACACCCAUGCAGUUCUGGUGUUGAUCAUGUUUUGCUCUAGGGAGAGGUUUAGUCAACGGAUCUGCCACAUUCAGGUCUGUAUGUACUUUACAAAUAUCUAUGUCUCCAUUUUGAACAAUUUCAUGAAUGGAGUUAAAGCGACGCUUGAUAUGCCUGGUCUUCCUAUGAAACCUGGGCUCCUUAGCAAGGGCAAUAGCUCCAGUGUGUCACAGAAGAGAGUCAUCGGGCCCGACGCAUUGGGUAUGAAUCCUAGGUCGAUAAUGAACUCCUUCACCCAGAUUGCCUCCUGUGCUGCCUCCGAGGCUGCCAUGUACUCCGCUUCACAUGUAGAUCCCGCCACAACGCUUUGCUUGCAACUGCACAAACUUACUGCCCCACCAUUCAAAAUAUACACGUACCCGGUUUGUGACUUAGAGUCAUCCAGAUCUGUGUCGAAGCUAGCAUCGACGUAACCCUUUACGACGAGCUCUUCGUCACCUCCAUAAACGAGAAACAUAUCGUUAGUCCUCUUCAGGUACUUCAGGAUAUUCUUGACCGCUGUCCAGUGUUCCAUGCCGGGAUUACUUUGGUACCUUCCUACCAAACUUACGGCAAGGUUUACAUCAGGUCUGGUACACAACAUAGCAUACAUGAUAGACCCUAUGGCUGAGGCAUAGGGGACGACACUCAUCUUUUCUCUAUCAUCUGCCAUGGUCGGGCAUUGAGCUGUGCUCAAUCUCGUACCUUGCAAUAUAGGCAAGAACCCCUUCUUUGACUGAUCCAUUUUGAACUUCUUCAAUAUCUUGUCAAGGUACGUACUCUGUGAAAGACCAAUGAGGCGUCUCGAUCUAUCUCUAUAGAUCUUGAUGCCUAAUAUAUAAGCAGCUUCUCAAAGAUCCUUCAUUGAAAAACACUUGUUCAAGUAGGCCUUUAUGCUUUCCAAGAAUUCUAUAUCAUUUCCCACCAACAGUAUGUCAUCCACAUACAAUAUGAGAAAUGCUACAGAGCUCCCACUCACUUUCUUGUAAAUGCAUGCUUCUCCAUAAGUAUGCGUAAACCCAAACGCUUUGAUCAUCUCAUCAAAACGAAUGUUCCAACUCCGAGAUGCUUGCACCAGCCCAUAAAUCGAGCGUUGGAGCUUGCACACCUUGUCAGCAUUCUUAGGAUCGAGAAAACCUUCCGGCUGCAUCAUAUACAAUUCUUCCUUAAGGAAACCAUUAAGGAAUGCCGUUUUGACGUCCAUUUGACAUAUCUCAUAAUCAUAGAAUGCGGCAAUUGCUAACAUGAUUCGGACGGACUUCAGCUUCACUACGGGUGAGAAAGUCUCACCGUAGUCAACUUGUCGGAGUAAUGGGCCAUGGGUAGGCUAACCCGAGUCCCAGAACCUUUCAAGACAUCGGGGCAGGCUGCGCCCCUCAAGACCCCAGGACAAAGAGCCGCCUUCUGAGGAGUCGGCGGCAAGGCCACCGACUAGCCACUCGCGGCCGAGUCCCAGGGACGACUUCAGGACAAACCGACUCCUGACUGACGACUUCCUGAGAAGCCGGCCUUGGUGAGUCGGCCUGCAACUCCAGCAAAACCCCAUGUCCUCAUCAAGAGGGACAGGACAGGGGAGUGGCUACAGUGAAGACUGCUCCCACCCCUUUCCAAAGGCAAGCAUGGUCACAGUAUGCCGUACCCGCGGAGAUCUCCGUGCGGCGUGGCACUGUUGCCAUGCUGGCCCUUACAUCAGCACCGGUGGACCGAAUCAUGGGCCCAUGGCGGCUUGUCUAUACGACCUUUGGGCGGCGGGUCCCACCGGCCAGCGGGAUCCCAGAAGACGGAAAGUGCGCCACAAGUCGGACCCGUCGGGAGUCGGUCACCGAGAGUCGGCCGGCUCCUCCCCCGGGCCCAUGCGCCAUUAACCAGAUGUGAUGGAGAGUGGCAAUAGUGAUCGCCCGCCAGGCGGCGGGGCUGUUGCCACGACUCCAUGACGAAGCCCGCGUCAUUAGAAGCACGGCUAUAGUAAUCAGCAGCCGGCAAGACCCGCCCGCAGCGGACGCGGCCUGUCGGCUCCGUACUUAGCCAGUCGGCGGGGCCCCCAAGUCGGCGGGCCCCAGCAGUCGGCGAAGAAGACGGAGGCCAGGGGCACUAACGGCUGGGCCCACGUCCAGCUGGAUUACCAUUGUACCCCUGGGGGGUAGGCCUAUAUAAACCCCUAGGGCACCCAUGUAAAGGGUUGGAAUCCAUUAGCUCUAGACUAGAUCAUAUAGGAGGGAGAGAGCUAGCCUUGCCCUCUCCUACCUCCAGGAAAUAGCUCAAGGAGGAAUCGUGUAAACACUUUGCCAUAGUGAUCAUGCGGAGACCCCGUAGAGCAGCAGUAGGUGUAUUAUCUCUCCGAAGAGCCCUGAAGCUGGGUAAGAUUGGUCGGCGUGCAUGUCUACGCCUCAUCCCGUUUCCAGGCACCGGCGACGUUCUACUCGCCCCCACCAUGAUAAGCCAUCCUUUGGCAUAUGUCGCACCCAACCCCCGACAUUUGGCGCCCACCGUGGGGCAUGGUGCACCGUCGUCCGGAGACCUGUUUUGGACGGGAACCCUUUUCGUCCCUGGCGAGCGCAGCCAGCCAGGCACACCAUACGGAGUUUGCACCGACGCGCUGCACGGCAUUGAGAUUGCUUGUGCUGCUAGCCGCCUCGCCGAACGUGUCGGCGAGGUUCGCAUCUCCGACGAACCUGCAUCCGACGCAGGCACGGGCGGCUCCAAGAGCCUCCUCGCGGGCCUCCUCGAUCAACUCCACGUCACCGGCGAGCCUGCUGUGGACUUGGAGUAUGUAGGUUCCACCGACCCAAUGCUGGUCGACUCCGACACCGCGUCACUCAACACGUUCCCCACUAAUGUGGUGGUCUACGACGAGCCUCUCCCUCGUGCGGAGAGCGGCGGAAGCACCGUCACCGAGGUGCUCGUCAUCAGUCAUGACGAGUUCCCCGCCGGAGGAGCGCAUGACCCACUUGGCGCGGCGCUACAAGACCUGACUGCGCCCAUUCCGGAAGACACUGACGCGGAGACGUUGGAGGCGCGCCGCCUUCAGCUCGUCGAAGGCGUGAAGAAGCUGGCUACCAUGAGACGCUUGUCAGAAGCCUACCAGUGAGAGAUGGAUCGCGCCGUUGGUGGCUCGCCGGCCUCAGUGGGGCCCAGCAGCCUUGGCGCGGUCCAGCAGCGCGGCGUAGCCAUCGCCAACCUGUUCGGGGCAUGCCGCCCUGUGUACACUACCCCUGCGGAGAACAUUCGAGCCGCCCAGGUGGCAGCGGACGAGCUGGACAAUUUCGAGGGCGAAGAGUGCCGCCUGAUGAUGGAGCGAGUCCAGCGGCUCCUCGACACGGCUGCCGCGCAGAACGAGGCCGGCUGCCGCACGGAGGCGCCGCAAUGGCAAAACGAUGACCUUCGCCGAGACCAAGGCGCGAUGUCUCGGACGCCGACUGACGGUGCCCGAGGAAGAAGAGACAAGGAUCCGGCUGUCAGCCAUAGUCGGACUCACAUUUCCAUAGAGCGCGACCGAGACGGCCGCCCGAGAGAAGUUGAACGACGGGACGACUGACCGCCUCCUCCUCCUCGCAAGGAGAGGCGAGUCUCCCCACGGCCUGUUGACCAUCCGCCUCUCGGCCAUCGCCUUGGCCGCCGAGAGGGAGUCGGAGAAAACGACGCCCGCCACCGGAUCGACCGACUUCACCGAUCCCUGGCGCUGGAAGAAGAAGACGAGUUGGGUCUGCCUUGUUUCGGGCCCCGCAUUCGAGACGAGACCUUUCCCAAAGGGUUAGCGCUCCCAAGAGACACGCCCAAGUACACCGGCUCCGUGAAGCCGGAAGACUGGCUAGUCGACUACUCCAUGGCUGUCAGCAUAGCGAACAGCAACAAGCGUGUCACCGUAAAAUACGUUCCGCUCAUGCUCCAGGGCAUGGCCCGGACAUGGCUGAACAGCCUGAAGCCCCGCAGCAUCAACAGCUGGGUCGACUUCACCGAAGCCUUCGUCCGCAACUUCACCAGCACGUACAAGCGUCCUCCCAAGCCUCGCCAGCUCUCCUUGUGCAUGCAAGGUCCUGACGAGUCGACUCGCGACUACCUCAGCGUUGGGCCGGGCUUCGAAACUCCUGCGAGGGCGUGCACGAGGUGCAGGCUAUCGAGUACUUCACCGCCAGGUGCAGAGAAGGCACCCUCCUCAAGCACAAGCUCCUCUGCAACGAGCCAGAAACCCUCGACGAGCUGCUGAUCAUAGCAGACAAGUACGCCACGGCCGACUCCUCCAUGAAGGCGGAGAUUCAAGUCAGCGCAACUGGCAAAGUGGCCCCUCAGGCUCCAAGAACUCCGGUGGGAGACGCCAGUCGGCGGCAACAGCAGAGCGACCACAAGCGCAAGGUCCAGCAGCCGGCUUCCAGCAGCCGGCAGGUCGCGAUAGUUGAAGCCCAGCAGCCGGAAGGGCAGCCUCCGCCCAAGCGAUAGAAAGGCGGCAAGCCCAACUGGUUGCCGGCCUUCUCCUACGAGUAGACUCUGGAUGGUCCUUGCAAGUUCCAUAGCGGCGCGAAGCCGUCGAAUCACACCACCCGGAAGUGCCACUGGCUCACCAGGAUCGCCAAGGGAGACGACCUCCUACCUCCCACGCCUGCUGGGCAGCCGCCUCUACCCCAGCAGCCGGCUGUCAGACCAGUCGGCGCAGUACAAGACGAAUACCCGGAAGAGCAUGGAGCCUACGUGGUGUUUACCAGUAUGACUGACGAUCGAUGCAGCAGGCGGCUGCAGCGACAAGAGGUGAAUGCAGUAGCAUCAGAGACGCCAGAGUUCAUGCACUGGUCCGAGAAGCCUAUCAGUUGGAGCAGGGCUGAUCACCCAGAGGUGAUGCCGAGUCCGGGCUCCUAUGCCUUGGUCUUGGAUGCCACCUUUGCCACGGAUAGACGAGCCGCGCGUUUCUCGCGAGUUCUGAUAGACGGAGGCAGCAGCAUCAACAUCCUGUACAAAGACACCAUGGAGAAAUUAGGAAUCAAGCAAAGACAACUUCAGAACAGCCGGACUAUGUUCCACGGCAUUGAUCCUGGGCUUUCCUACUCACUAAUCGGCGAGAUCUUGAUGGACGUCCUCUUUGAAGACAAAGAUCACUUCCGCCAAGAGUCAGUUUGGUUUGAGGUGGUGGACCUUGAGAGCCCAUACCAUUCACUACUUGGCCGAUCCGCCCUGGCCAAGUUCAUGACGGUCCCCCACUACGCCUACCUCAAAGUGAAGAUGCCUAGUUCCAGGGGAAUCCUGACCAUAGCCGGCUGCCUGUGCGGCUGAGAGCAGUCGGCUAGCCGAGUCCCUAGUAAUCGCAGCCGAGAAGCGGCUCCUUGAACGGGUUGUGGCGAUGGCCGGCAAGCAGCCAGAGGUGUCGCCCAACCCAAAGGAGUCGGAGGCUGAGGGUUCGUUCAAGCCGGCCAAGGAGACAAAGAAGAUACCCUUGGAUCCGAAGCACCCGGAGAGGUACGCUGUCGUAGGCGCAAACCUCGACAGCAAAUAGGAAGGCGAGCUCAUCGAUUUCCUCCGUGAGAAUCGGGACAUCUUCGCAUGGUCCCCCAAAGACAUGCCAGGUGUACCGACGGAAUUUGCCGAGCACAAGUUACAUGUCCGAUCUGAUGCAAAGCCAGUCAGGCAGCCCCUGCGCCGCCUGUCAGAAGAGAAGAGAAGAGUUGUCGGAGAAGAGAUAGCCCGACUCCUGGCAGCCGGCUUCAUUAUGGAAGUAAUCUUUCCAGAGUGGCUAGCCAACCUGGUCGUGGUACUGAAGAAAAACAAGCAGUGGCGAAUGUGUAUUGACUACAUGAGCCUCAACAAGGCCUGCCCCAAGGACCCGUUUGCUCUGCCAAGAAUUGAUCAGGUGAUAGACUCCACCGUCGGAUGCGAGUUGUUGAGUUUUUUGGAUGCAUAUUCAGGAUAUCACCAGAUCAAGCUGAACCCAGCUGACAGACUGAAGACCGCCUUCAUCACGCCGUUUGGAGCUUUCUGCUACCUCACCAUGACGUUCGGCUUGAGGAAUGCCGGCGCCACCUUCCAACGUUGCAUGCAGAAGUGCCUCCUCAUGCAGCUCGGCAGGAACGCCCAUGUCUACGUGGAUGAUGUGGUGGUGAAGAUGGAAAAGCGUGGAACGCUGCUAGAAGACCUCAAGGAGACUUUUGAGAACCUGCGCCGAUUCUAGAUCAAGCUCAACCCCGAGAAGUGCGUCUUCGGAGUACCAGCCGGCCAACUCCUUGGCUUCCUGGUCUCUUAGCGCGGCCUAGAGUGCAACCCUGUAAAAAUCAAGGACAUUGAGAGGAUGGAGGUACCCAGCCGACUGCUGGACGUGCAAAAAUUCACCGGCUGCUUGGCGUCCAUCAGCCGAUUCAUCAGUCGGCUGGGCAAGAAAGCUCUCCCCUUAUACCAAAUCAUGAAGAAGACCACUUUUUUCGAGUGGAACCACAAGGCGGAUGAAGCUUUUCUCCAGUUGAAAAAGAUGCUGACUACUCCACCCGUUCUGGCGGCUCCGACUCGUAAGGAACCCAUGCUCCUGUACAUCGCUGCCACCAGCCGGGUAGUCAGCACGGUCAUUGUAGUGGAACGCAAGGAGGAAGGCAAGGCACUACCUGUCCAGAGACCGGUAUAUUACCUGAGUGAAGUACUGUCAGCCUCCAAGCAGAACUACCCCCACUACCAGAAGAUGUGCUAUGGCGUGCACUUUACCGCCAAGAAAUUGAAGCCUUACUUUCAAGAGCAUCCAAUCACUGUGGUCUGCAUGGCCCCACUUGCCGAGAUCAUCGGAAGCUGAGAUGCUUCUGGCCGAGUGGCCAAGUGGGCCAUAGAGAUGGCUCCCUACACCAUCCACUACCAGCCCCGCACCGCCUUCAAGUCACAAGCACCGGCCGACUUUCUCGUCGACUGGGCCGAGACCCAGUACCUACCUCUAGUGCCCGACUCCACCCAUUGGCGGAUGCAUUUCGACGGCUCCAAGAUGUGCACCAGCUUGGGAGCCGGCGUUGUCCUCACUUCCCCUAAAGGCGACAAGCUCAAAUACGCACUGCAAAUCCAUUUCGCCGCCUCCAACAACGUCGCCGAGUAUGAGGCGCUCAUUCACGGGCUCCGGCUUGCCAAAGAACUUGGCAUUCGCCGGAUCCUGUGUUAUGGCGACUCGGACUUAGUGGUCCAACAGUCAUCUGGCGACUGGGAUGCCAAAGAUACAAACAUGGCGAGUUACCGUUUCCUCGUGCAGCAACUCAGUGGGUAUUUCGAGGGGUGCGAGUUCCUCCAUGUGCCAAGAAACGACAAUGACCAAGCAGACUCCUUGGCAUGAAUCGGCUCUACCCACCAAGAAAUACCAUCCGGCGUCGCCCUUCAACGCCUCCUCAAGCCGUCUGUCAAGCCUUCACCAGAAUCAGACUCCAUCUUCGUGGCGGCUCCUCCCGAAGAAGUUGGAUCCGACUCCAGAGCCCCGGCAGACGGUACGAGGAUUUUGGCAGAUGGCUCCAAAGUCACCAUAGUCAAGGCCGGCCCGGGGACUGCGGAGGUGGGCUCGAAGACUCCAGAACUCGGCCCAAGAGCCACGCCGGUCGGCCUGGGGACUUCAUUAACCCAGCAAGCGGUUGUUGACUCCAACCCGCCGCCUCCCAGCCCAGCCGCCCUCAUCCAAGUCGCAGUUCUGGCAGUCGAAGAAAUGGCAGCACCCUCAUGGGCCCAGCCCAUCCUCAAAUUUCUGGUGAGCAAAGAGCUACCGACUGAUGAGACCUCAGCUCGGCAAGUACAACACCGAGCGGAAGCCUACACCAUAGUCAACAGAGAGCUGGUCAGGCGCAGCGUCACUGGUGUCUACCAGCGCUGCGUAGAGCCAGAGCAAGGCCAAGCAAUUCUCAAAGACAUCCAUCUAGGCGAGUGCGGCCACCAUGCGGCUUCAAGAGCACUCCUUGCAAAAGCCUUUCGACAUGGUUUCUUCUGGCCGACUGCCUUAGAAGAGGCCAAGGAAUUGGUCCAAAAAUGCAAAGGGUGCCAGAAGUCCAGCUCCAAGCCGCACCAGCCGGCUUCUGCACUCAAGACCAUCCCCAUUGCCUGGUCUUUCGCAGUUUGGGGUCUAGACAUGGUGGGACCAUUUAAGAUGGCACGAGGUGGCUUAAUCUUACUUGUCACAAUGGACAAGUUCACCAAGUGGAUAGAAGCGAAGCCAAUCAAGAAAUUGAACGGUCCGACUGCCGUGACUUUCAUCUCUGAUAUCACAAUUCGGUACGACAUACCACACAGCAUCAUCACCGACAACGGCACAAAUUUUGCCAAAGGCGCUUUGGCCCGUUUUUGCGCAACACAGGGCAUCCGACUGGACCUAGUGUCUGUCGCCCAUCCAUAGUCAAACGGCCAGGUGGAGCGAGAAAACAGCCUCAUCCUGUCCGGCAUCAAGCCCCGGCUGGUCGAGCCUCUGGAGUGCUCGGCUGGCUGCUGGCUCGACGAGCUGCCAGCCGUCCUCUGGAGUUUGCGCACAACUCCAAACAAGUCAACUGGCAUCACGCCUUUCUUCCUCGUCUACGAUGCCGAAGCCAUCAUCCCAACCGACAUAGAGUUUGACUCCCCGCGAGUCACCAUGUACACCGAGGAGGAAGCAGAAGAAGCACGUCAAGACGCCGUCGAUCUGCUGGAAGAGGGCCGGCUGUUGGCACUCAGCCAGUCCAGCAUCUACCAGCAGAGCCUGCGCCGAUACUACAAUAGGAAGGUCAAGCCAAGAUCUUUCCAAGAAGGCGAGCUUGUGCUCCGGCUGAUCCAGCGAACAGCCGGCCAGCACAAGUUGUUGGCACCUUGGGAAGGCUCCUUCAUCAUCAGCAAAGUGUUGGGCAACGACUCCUACUACCUGAUUGACGCUCAGAAGCCCCGAGCACGCAAGAGGCACGGCUCCGGCAAAGAGACAGAGUGACCAUGGAAUGCAAAUCUCCUCCGAAGAUUUUACAGUUGAUGCAGUAUGUACCACGCUACCUUUUGUAUUAAAGUACCAAGACUUCGGGGCCCCCGAGAAGAGCUCGGGGACUACCCUCUUUUGUCUAUAUGAUAAAAGUUAUGCCUACGAGUAUGUUACUCUUUGUUAUGCCGCUUGGCACCGGGAUCGACAGGUCGGCCCGGGGACUUGCCGCCUUGCACUAUGAAAUGCUUCCUGCAGCCGGACAAGUAGUGUGUGGCGCCUAAGCCAUCUCCUGUCAGAAGCCGCAGCUCGCAGAGCGACUGUACGGUGGGCAGGAGUAAGGUAGAAUGGGCGUUCGCAUGAAAAAUGGCUAAGGACUCAAAGCAUAAAACAUAGCUUAAGCCGGCUUCCAGCCUUCCUUUUUUCUUUUCGCAAACCGACUAUUAAGCAGUCGGCUCACCACCUUCUAUUCAACUUGCUAAAAACACUCUAAAACGGCUAAGUACUUGCCUUCCCAAAGUAGCCAAGCAUUUGAUCCAGCGGCAGUCCGCAGAGCGGCUGUCCGACUGGCAAGACAAGCAACUAAGGGAAAGCAGCAAAGGAAAAAAGCCAAAAGAGCAAUGAGAAAGAAAAGAUAGAAUUCAGAUAAAUAUUUACAUAGCAUAGGCCCUUGGCCUAAUCUUCGAGCAGAAGUUCAAAAUACACCCCGCGGGUGGAAUUGUGCGAAUUAACAAGUUCUUCAGAGACUACUAAAGCAGAUAAAAUAAAGAUAAGGCGGCAGCCUAAGAUGCGGCAGAUGGAUUCGGAGGGUCGGAGGAGGUGGCAGCGUCAGGUGUUGGGGCGGCCGGCUGGGCAGUCUUGGCUUGAUCGCCUCCGGUGGCAGUCCACUCGGUCACACGCGGCUCGUUGCUGGAUGCACGGUCGAGCUGAGGCUGGCCGUCCGCUCCGUCCUCUGGUGCUUCCGUCUCGCCCCGUCCUCCGCCUUGCCUUCCUCCUCGACGCUGGAGCCGAUCACCUCCGCCGAGUCCUCGCCAUAGUCUGGGUUCAUCCCAAACCACUCUGGCAGUACCUCCUCGCUGUCUUCAAACUGCUUGGGGACGAAGAUGCUGGUGUCGGUGUACUCGGCGAUCGCCGCGGCACCCUUGACGAGGACGUCUUCCGCGGCUGCCAGCUCCGGCUGGGCCUCUGACCGGACUGUGGCCAGCCAGUCUAGAUCCAGCCCCGGAUACCACGCCUUGACAAACUCCAAGGCCCGGCGUGCUCCAGCUCUUGCCGAGGAACCCUUCCAGGCCUCAAGAUGACCAGCCGCGACCUCUAGCCAGUCGGCAGUCAGGCUAGGGGUGCGCGAAGCCUGCAUGUCCGGCCAUAGGGCGGCAAUCGCCUGGGCACCGACACGUUGAUGCCGGCGCAGCAUCCGGUGAGUCGGCCGAAGGUGAGCCUCGAUGCUCAGGAUAUUCUCAUCAAGGGUUCGGGGGCGUCGGUGGCAAUCUCUGCACCUUCCGCCCUCCGACCUUCACGGUCAGCCUUGAUGGCCUGGAUGGCGGCCUGCGAGUGCCCAGGAAGAAGUCUGCCAAGACGGAAGAAACGAAGAAACAAGUCAAAAACCAGGAGUCGGCACGAUUUAUAACCGGCAGCUAGAAGAAAGAAAGUAAAGAAACUCACCAUCAACAAUGUCUUCAAUCUCAUGGAAGCCGGAGGCUAGCAUUGCCUCUUUGUCAGUCCAGGAGGAGCGCUCGCUUGUGAACUCGGCCAGGAGGGCGGUUUCCGCCUCUUCCACCUCCUUCUGCGUCUUCACAAGCAGCUCCCUCUGCUCUACCAAUUGAGUGGCCAGCAGAUCGCGCUCUGUGGCGAGCUUGCUGCACUCCUCCCCCUUGGCGCGCAAUGCGGAUUUGGCUUUGCUCAGCUGCUGUUGAAGAACAGCGUUGGCUUCUGAAGAGAAGGAAGAAAGAAGGCGUUAUGUCAUCAGUAAAGAAGGUUGCCGGGGAGAUCCAGCCCGACUGCUCAGUAGUCGGCCCGAAUCUCGGGGACUACAGCCCACGGGUGCACCAGCGCACCCCCGCAAAGAAGAGAAAAGACUCCCUACGGCUCUCCAACAAGUCGGCGGUCCGCUUUCCCAGCUCUUCAACGUUACGGUUGAAGGCAGUAAAGUGGAGGUUGUGAUAGUCCUACGACAAAUAUUCCAGACAAAAGUAAGAACCCGGAACUCACAAAUUGGAGCUCCGGGCCGCCUGCUCAGCAGCCGGCCCGAAACUCGGGGACUACACCUAGUGGGUGCACUGGCGCACCCCCACAGAGAGGAACAAGUAAACAAGGACCAAAGAGAAAACAUACCCGGACGGUUUCCCGCGAUGCCAGGUACGCCUUGGUGCACUUCUGGAUGGCGUCGCCCUCAGCUCGAUGCUUCAUUUGGACGUCCAAAAGAGCCUAGUUCAGAGGCCCUGUGCCGCCUCCCUGCACCCACCUAAUGGGUGCGAUGCUCGUCGCUUCGGCAUCCGGGAUCGCCGAUCUGGCGGUGCCGGUCUCCAGGGGGCGUGGCGCCGAGGUCGCUUUCUCAAGACGGCGGCGCGUUGGCGAGCCAACUUGAACGAGUAGCCUCGCCACAGCCUCGUCUUCAGGCGGCGGCACUGGAGGGUCCACUGGUUGUUCGCCUUGCGCGCUCCCAGACGGCGGCGGAGGCGGCCGUGGAACGAUCACAUCCGGCGUCGAGGAGCCGCCGCCUUCCCUCUCCAUGAUGGGGUCCUCACGGCCGGCUUCCCCAGUCUGCCCCGUGAACUCCGGAGGCGGCAACGCGGAGUUCAGCGGGGUGACGAACACCGCCGAUUGGCGGUGCGCCGCCUCCUCAGCCUGCCGCUUCGUCGCGGCGACGGCUUCAGCCUCCGCCAGUUUCUUCUUGGCGGAGGCCUCCGCCUUAUCGGUCUCCACCUUCUCCAGGCGGGCGGCCUCGACCUCGUUGCGCUUCUCCUGCGCAUUCCGCUCCGUCGCCUCCCAGAGGUCAGCAGCGGGUCAAUCCGCCGAGUGGUGGGGGACGUCUCCGCUGACCCCAUGACGGAGGCGGCGACAACCCUCUCAAGAGUGAGGGGAGCCCUGAAGCGAGGGAAGCAAGUAAAAGACUCAGACAGAGCUACAAAGAAAGAAUAAAGCGUCAAGACGGAAUACUCACGCGGAGACCAGCAGCGGCUUCAUCACUUUGUUGCGGAAGCGGAUGGCCUUCGCGGCCGCCUCGUCCCGUUUGGUCGCUGCAGCCGAACUCUUGGGCUUCUUCGGCCAACUGCCGAACAAAGUCGGCACGGCCCUGCGCUUCUUCCCACCGCCCAGAGCACCCGGCGCGGCAGAAGAGCCCGCACCAGGAUGGCUGGCUCCUAGCCGGGGGCGGGGGGCGACCUCCUCAUCAUCGCCAGGCCAGUCCUGUAGACUGGCCCUGAGCCGCGGGCCGCCUCCUCCCUCGGUGUCGUCUUCCAAAGCCGCCGCCCCCAGAUCAGGGUCGUCUACGUCGUUGUCCGCCCGGUCGGCAAGGAACUCGCGGGCCGGCCCUGAGGUGCCGGCUGGUGGAUGGAGGAGGGGAUUCUGACCAAAGCCGACUAGUCAGGUCACACAAAACAGACUCAGCAAGAAAGAAGACAACUCGAAGAAAGAAAGAAAGGGCAACUCACUGUAUGUGGGGGUUGGCACGGGAGUACGGCUACUUGCCGAACCGCCAGUCCUCCAGCAGCUUGCUGUCCGAGAGGUAGUUCACCAUGUAGGCCACCUCCUCGUGAGGCAUGUCCUUGGUGCACAUCCGACUCGGGUCAUGGCGCCCGCUCAUUUGGCAUAUCAUGUGGGGGCGUCCUUGGAGCGGGAGAACUCGGCGCGCCACGAAGGCGGCCAGCAGGUCUGGACUAGUCAGGCCCUCCGACUGUUUCAGCACUCGGAGUCGUGUGACGGCACCGGCUCCCGCAAGCGUCAGCGACUUGGCCCAGAACGACCAGUUGGGCAAUCUCCCAGCCGGUGGGACGGCUUCAAAGGCCGGCAGGUCGACCCAAUCGCCCCCCGCGAAGACGCUCUUCACGUAGAAGUACGAUCGCUGCCACAUCUUCACCGACUUUAUCAGCUUGAUGGUGGGGAAGGGGUUGUCGGCCCCCAACCUCCGCAUGGCGAUGAAUGCACCACACUGAGCCGGCACGCCUGGAGCCUGGGUGCCGAGCUUGCAGAAGAAGAACUCCCCCCAGAGCUCGAGGGUGGGGAGGACUCCGAGUAAGCCUUCACACAAGGCCACGAAGGCGGACAGCAGCACCACCGUAUUGGGCAUGAGGUGGUGCAGCUGGAGGCCGUAGAACUCCAGAAAAGAGCGGAAGAAGCUGCUCGCCGGCAGCCCCAAUCCGUGCAGGCAGUGCGAGCAGAAGAUGACCCGCUCGCCCUCCUCCGGCGCUGCGGAAAUCUCCCCCUCGGCGCAAGACACACCCGCACGUAAUCUUCGCAAGGGAGCCGACGAGUCCUGCAGAGGAACUCGAUGUGGUUGUCGUGAACUUCUGAGCCGUCCUAGGUGCCGGAAUGCACCGAGGGAGGCGCGGCGACAGAAGAAGAACUCAUCGUGAGCUGAUCUCCGCGGCAUUCGGCAAAGCUUGGGCGCGCGGCGGAGCGAAGAAGAAGAAGAAGGAGAAGAGCAAGGAGUAGUGGGAAGGAGGGGCGCGCAUGCUCUGCCGCGCCCCCCUCCUCCCCCUACUUAUAGCCUCAUGGGCUGCGAAGCCGAGGUGGUGGUGGUGGGAUUUACUGCGCCCACGGCCCCACGACCCCCACGUUUCCAUGAAAAAGUUACUGCGCGCAGUAACUCCACGGGAAUCCCAACCGUCCGCCUGGGCCACAGCGGAUCUGCUCGGGCGCCGAGGCACGGUAGUGGCGGGCCCCGCCUACGGGCCUGUCCUGUCACGCGUGUAGGCUGGCAGACUGGCCCGGCCGCGUGUUAUCACGUGACAGACCCGGAACGGGCGGCGGCCAGGAGGCUUAGCCAGCACGCUACUUGGAUCCCGCCGCGACGUUCAAAAUAUUGUGCGAGUCAGAGUUGGGCGAGUCCGACUCCUUCUUGCCGGUUCGGCAGAAGUGAAGCAAGAUCCAUGUCUCAGGCACCCAGAAAGAGAAACUGCUGAGGCUCCUCGGCCGAUCGUCCAUGGCGCCUCAUCAGCUUCGGGACUACUAUCAGAGUAAUGGGCCACGGGUAGGCUAACCCGAGUCCCAGAACCUUUCAAGACAUCGGGCAGGCUGUGCCCCUCAAGACCCCAGGACAAAGAGUCCCUUCUGAGGAGUCGGCGGCAAGGCCACCGACUAGCCACUCGCGGCCGAGUCCCAGGGAUGACUUCCCGAGAAGCCGGCCUUGGGGAGUUAGCCCGUGACUCCAGCAAAACCCCAUGUCCUCAUCAAGAGGGACAGGACAGGGGAGUGGCUACAGUGAAGACUGCUCCCACCCCUUUCCAAAGGCAAGCAUGGUCACAGUACGCCGUACAUGCGGAGAUCUCCGUGCGGCGUGGCACCGUUGCCAUGCUGGCCUUGACAGCAGCACCGGUGGACCGAAUCCUGCGCCCACGAUGGCUUGUCUAUACGACCUUUGGGCGGCGGGUCCCACCGGCCAGCGGGAUCGCAGAAGACGACAAGUGCGCCACAAGUCGGACCCAUCGGGAGUCGGCCCCCGAGAGUCGGCCGUCUCCUCCCCCGGGGCCCACGCGCCAUUAACCAGAUGUGAUGGAGAGUGGCAAUAGUGAUUGCCCGCCAGGCGGCGGGGCUGUUGCCACGACUCCAUGACGAAGCCCGCGUCAUUAGAAGCACGGCUACAGUAAUCAGCAGCCAGCAAGACCCGCCCGCGGCGGACGCGGCCUGUCGGCUCCGUACCUAGCCAGUUGGCGGGCCCCAGCAGUCGGCGGAGAAGACGGAGGCCGGAGGCACUGACGGCUGGGCCCGCGUCCAGCCGGAUUACCAUUGUACCCCUGGGGGUAGGCCUAUAUAAACCCCCCAGGGCACCCAUGCAAAGGGUUGGAAUCCAUUAGCUCUAGACCAGAUCAUGUAGGAGGGAGAGAGCUAGCUUUGCCCUCUCCUACCUCCAGGAAACAGCACAAGGAGCAAUCGUGUAAACACUUUGCCAUAGUGAUCAUGCGGAGACCCCGUAGAGCAGCAGUAGGGGUAUUAUCUCCCCGGAGAGCCCUGAAGCUGGGUAAGAUUCGCCGGCGUGCAUGUCUAUGCCUCAUCCCAUUUCCAGGCACCGGCGAUGUUCUACUCGCCCCCACCAUGAUAAGCCAUCCUUUGGCAUAUGUCGCACCCAACCCCCAACACAACCCCUUGAACUUGUCGAUAACCCUUAGCGACAAGCCGAGCUUUAUAGAUGGUUACAUUACCAUCCGCGUCUGUCUUCUUCUUAAAGAUCCAUUUAUUUUCUAUGGCUCGCCGAUCAUCGGGCAAGUCAGUCAAAGUCCAUACUUUGUUUUCAUACAUGGAUCCUAUCUCGGAUUUCAUGGCUUCCAGCCAUUUGUCGGAAUCUGGGCCCGCCAUUGCUUCUUCAUAGUUCGAAGGUUCACCGUUGUCUAACAACAUGAUUUUCAGGACAGGGUUGCUGAGGGAGUCCUGGAUUAGGGGGUGUUCGGAUAGCCGGUCUAUACCUUCAGCCGGACUCCCGGACUAUGGAGGUACAAGAUUGAAGACUUUGUCCCGUGUCCGGAAGGGACUUUCCUUGGCAUGGAAGGCUAGCUUGGCGAUACAGAUAUGUAGAUCUCCUACCAUUGUAACCGACCUUGUGUAACCCUAACCCUCACCGGUGUCUAUAUUAACCGGAGGGUUUUAGUCCGUAGGACAACAUACACAACAACAAUCAUACCAUAGGCUAGCUUCUAGGGUUAAGCCUCUCUAAUCUCGUGGUAGAUCUACUCUUGUACUACCCAUAUCAUCAAUAUUAAUCAAGCAGGACGUAGGGUUUUACCUCCAUCGAGAGGGCCCGAACCUAGGUAAAACUUCGUGUCCCUUGCCUCCUGUUACCAUCCGGCCUAGACGCACAGUUCUGGACCCCCUACCCAAGAUCCACUGGUUUUGACACCGACAUUGGUGCUUUCAUUGAGAGUUCCUCUGUGUUGUCACCGUAGGCUCGAUGGCUCCAACGAUCAACAACAGCGAUGCAGUCCAGGGUGAGACCUUCCUCCCCAGACAGAUCUUCGCCUUCGGCAGCUUCGUACUGCGGGCCAAUUCACUUGGCCAUCUAGAGCAUAUCGAAAGCUAUGCCCCUGGCCGUCAGGUCAGAUUUGGAAGCUUAAAAUACAUGGCUGACAUCCGCGGCGACUUGAUCUUUGACGGAUUCGAGCCACUGCCGAGCGCGCCGCACUAUCACGAUGAGCAUGAUCUAGCUCUGCCGCCGAACAGUGCCUUGGAGGCCGCACCCGCAUCAGCUUCGACCCUUAAUUCGGAGCCAACUGCGCUGAUCGAGGAUGGAUGAUUGGACGCCGCCUCGGGGGCUGCGAUCCCAAUGGCGAUCGAGCCGAACACCAGCCCCGCACUCUGCGAGACUCGUGAAUCCAAGGAGCCGGACUCCUCUCCGGACUCCGAACCAUCCGCGCCCCUGCCGAUCGAGUCCGAUUGGGCGCCGAUCAUGGAGUUUACUACUGCGGACAUCUUUCAGCACUCGCCUUUCGGCGAUAUUCUGAAGACACUAAAGUCUCUCUCUUUAUCAGGAGAGCCUUGGCUGGACUACGGUCAGCAAGGUUGGGAUACGGACGAUGAAGAAAUUCGAAGCCCACCCACCACCCACUUUGUAGCCACUGUCGACGAUUUAACCGACAUGCUUGACUUCGACUCCGAAGACAUCGAUGGUAUGGACGCAGAUGAAGGAGACGAUGAAGAACCAGAGCCUAUCAGGCCCUGGAAAGCCACCUCGUCAUAUGACAUAUACAUGGUGGACACCCCAAAAGAAGGAGAUGGCGAUGGAACAGCGGAGGAUGACCCCUCCAAGAAACAGCCUAAGCGCCAGCGUCAGCAGCGCCGCUCAAAAUCCCGCCAAAACAAAUACGGUGAUUCCAGCACGGGAGAUAAUAAUACUCCAGAAAGUGCCGAAGAAAACCCCCACCAGCAAGAUUUAGCACAGGAGGAUGGAGAAACCAGCCCUCAUGAGAGAGCGGCAGACAGAGAGGUCGAGGACGAUAAUUAUAUGCCUCCCUCCGAAGACGAGGCAAGCCUCGACGAUGAUGAAUUCGUCGUGCCAGAGGAUCCCGUCGAGCAAGAGCGUUUUCAACGCAGGCUUUUGGCCACGGCAAGAAGCCUCAAGAAAAAACAGCAACAGCUUAGAGCUGAUCAAGAUUUGCUAGUCAACAGAUGGACUGAAGUCCUUGCGGCUGAAGAACAUAAACUCUAACGCCCCUCCAAGACCUACCCAAAGCGCAGGUUGCUACCCCGAUUAGAGGAGGAAGCACUUAAACCUACAUCACCUGCACUCGAUAUGGCUGAUUGGCCACCUCGUGGCCGCGACAGAGAGGCCUCUCGGCCCUCCACUCAAGCCGCACCCCGUACCAAGGCACGAGAAAAUGUGCCAGACCUAUGAGAUAUGUUGGAGGACAAGGCAAGGCAAACAAGAUCGAUCUACGGAUCGCGUGGGCGCCCCACGACUCGAGACGGUAACCGUCACGCUGGCCACAAAUUCGGCAGGGCCGAACACGAUAGACAAAGCUCAUUGGAGCUAUGUCGUGAUAUAGCCUAGUACAGAGGCGCCGCACACCCACUAUGCUUCACAGACGAAAUAAUGGAUCAUCAAAUCCCCGAGGGUUUCAAACCCGUAAACAUCGAAUCAUAUGAUGGCACAAUAGAUCCUGCGGUACGGAUCAAGGAUUAUCUCCUUCAUAUCCACAUGGCCCGCGGUGAUGAUUUCCACACCAUCAAAUACCUCCCACUCAAGCUUAAAGGACCAGCUCGGCAUUGGCUUAACAGCUUGCCAACAGGAUCAAUCAGUUGUUGGGAGGACCUGGAAGCCACAUUCCUCGACAAUUUCCAGGGCACUUAUGUGCAACCCCCAGACGCCGAUGACCUAAGUCACGUAAUUCAGCAGCCAGAGGAAUCGGCCAGGCAAUUCUGGACACGGUUCCUAACAAAGAAAAAUCAAAUAGUCGACUGUCCGGACGCUAAGGCCCUAGCAGCCUUCAAGCACAAUAUCCGUGAUGAGUGGCUUGCCUGGCACCUUGGACAGGAAAAGCCGAAGUCUAUGGCAGCACUCACGACACUCAUGACCUGCUUUUGCGCGGGAGAAGACAGCUGGCUUGCUCGUAGCAACAAUAUGACCAAGAACCCUGGUAAUUCGGAUACCAGGGACAGUAUGGCAGGUCGCGUCGCAACAAGCAGAAGCGCUACAUUAAGGGCGACAAUGCUGAGGAUACGGUAGUCAAUGCCGGAUUCAGAGGCUCUAAAUCCAGUCAGCGGAAAAAGCCAUUCAAAAGGAAUCCUAGGGGCCUGUCCAGUUUGGACUGAAUACUCGACCGCUUGUGCCAGAUACAUGGCACCCCCGAAAAGCCAACCAAUCACACCAACAGGGAUUGUUGGGUGUUCAAGCAGGCAGGCAAGUUAAAUGCCGAAAACAAAGACAAGGGGCUGCAUAGCGAUGACGACGAUGAGCCCCGGCCGCCGAACAACAGUGGACAGAAGGGUUUUCCCCCACAAGUGCGAAUGGUGAACAUGAUAUACGCAACCCACGUCCCCAAGAGGGAGCGGAAGCGCGCAUUAAGGGACGUAUACAUGGUAGAGCCAGUCGCCCCAAAGUUCAACCCAUGGUCCUCCUUCCCGAUCACCUUUGAUCGAAGGGAUCACCCCACUAGCAUCCGUCAUGGCGGAUUCGCCACAUUGGUUCUAGACCCAAUUAUUGACGGAUUUCAUCUCACUAGAGUCCUUAUGGAUGGCGGCAGCAGCCUGAACCUGCUUUACCAGGAUACAGUGCGGAAAAUGGGCAUAGAUCCCUCGAGGAUUAAGCCCACCAAAACGACCUUUAAAGGCAUAAUACCAGGUGUAGAGGCCAACUGUACAGGCUCAGUCACACUUGAAGUGGUCUUCGGAUCUCCGGAUAAUUUCCGAAGCGAGGAGUCAAUCUUCGACAUAGUCCCAUUCCACAGUGGCUAUCACGCACUGCUCGGGCGAACCGCAUUUGCCAAGUUCAAUGCGGUACCGCACUACGCAUACCUUAAGCUCAAGAUGCCAGGCCCUCGAGAAGUAAUUACGGUCAAUGGAAACACCAAACGCUCCGUCCGAAUGGAGGAGCACACAGCGGCCCUUGCAGCGGAAGUACAAAGCAGCCUCUCCAGGCAGUUCUCCAGUCCGGCCAAUAAACGACCGGACACCGUCAAGCGCGCCCGGAGUAACCUAGAAAAAGACCGCCUGGCACGAUCCGAGCAGGCGUAGCAAUGCGGCCCCAACCCAAGCCCUAGAAAAAAGGCGACGCCAGUGCUUCGCUUACAUAACUACGCUCUAGAAAUACCAUGGGUACAGGGGGAGGGGCACCAUCACGGCACGCCCGAAGCACGGCUUAAACCGCACCAGGGGCUGCCGAUUUUUAAAUUUUCUCUUACUUUCAGGACUCCAUUCUUCGGAAGGCCUGUUCGGCAGGUCAAUUGCCGCACAAACGAUGCAAGAACCAAGGAAUCAGACAAGCCACACCGCAUUACGGAACUCCCAGGUGGUCUCUAUCACGAGCAGUAUACAUGUUUCGCAUACUAUUCCGUAGCUUACCCCUGGAACGGACGUGCUAAAUAGUCCAACCUUUUGCUUAUCGCAUUAUUUGUAUCGUUCUGCUUUGAUCACAGCCUUCUUUAAUAAACAAUGCAUAGCUUUUGUCUAUUUUGGCAUUACUUUUUUUAUAUAUGUUCCUUAACGACAUGUUGCACCCGUACACUUUGGUAUGGCCGAAAUAUGCCAGGGGCUUCAGUACCCCUCAACAUUGGCUCUGAAUCAUGUCUUGCAUCAAUAGUUGGGUUUGCCCGGCUCCUAUGUUUUGGUGCCUUACGUUCCGCUAUAUCGGCUAAGGUAGCACUAGGAGAACCACUGCGAUUGUGCCCUAGUUGAGCUGGGUCGAGCACCUCAGUGGAGAAAGCUAAAACUGACUGUCAUGAUGAAGCGAGAGCUGGUCGUUGUUCAAGAUGUUUUUCGAGUCCCUAAAGACUUAUGCCGCUUAGAGCGAGGAGUUGGCUCUGUCCGGCCAAGGCGUGCAUAGCGCCCCGAACUCGGUCUUCCGAAUACCAGGGGCUUUGCCGAAAUUUAAAAUUAUAGAAUUCUAUGGCUAAGUGAGAGUGUUCACGCAUUAUAGGCCGAUUGCCUUGUUCGUUGGGCUAAGCGCCUCCCUCGAAGGACCCAAACAUGGGAAAAAGAGCGCUCAGGUUUAUCCCCGAAGACCCCAGCACUAGCGGCACGGGGGCAGAAGCCGACGACUCGCCAUCUCUCAGAAUUGAUAAACAGCCGCACAGAAGGUAAUGUUUUAAAUUCCAACAGCAUUUCUUAGCGCAUAUGAACAAAGUUUUCAGCGCACAGGACAAAACGAGCAAGUUUCACUCAAAAAUUACAUCCCUAGAACAUUCAUCCGCCACAAGGCAGGCACCCUUCAGAACAUCCUUAUAAUAAUUCUCGGGCUUGCGAUGCUCUUUCCCGGCGGUGGCCCGUCCUUCACAAGCUUCUCAGCAUCCAGCUUGCCCAGUGCACCUUAGCACGGGCAAGGGCCCUAUGAGCACCUUCAAUGCAGACGGAGCGCUUGAUGACUUCGAGCCUUCGACAGGCCUCCACCAGCCGCCGCACCAGCCCGAAAUAGCUCCCAGGCAGAGCCUCUCCAGGCCACAGCCGAACUAUGAGGCCCUUCAUGGCCUGUUCGGCCGCCUUGUGGAGCUCGACCAGUUGCUUCAGCUGGUCGCUCAGGGGCACGGGGUGUCCAGCCUCAACAUACUGAGACCAGAACACCUUCUCUAUCGAGCUGCCCUCCUCGGCUCGAUAGAAUGCGGCGGCAUCGGACACACUCCGGGGAAGAUCUGCGAACGCUCCUGGAGAGCUCCGGAUUCGGGUAAGUAACAAGUAACUCACAUUUAUGUGUUUGCUUUGCAUAAAGAAUGCCUUACCCGCCGCUAUCUUCUUCACCUCAUCCAACUCCUGGAGGGUCUUCUAGGAUUCGGCCUUGGCAGACUUGGCAUUUUCAAUAGCCGCCGCGAGCUCGGACGCUCGCGUCUUUGAGUUAAGCUCCAAACUCUCAAGUUUUUUCAUGAGAACCUGGAGCUCUUGCUGCACCUUGCCAACCUGGGCCUCGUACUUCUCCCGCUGGGUGUGCUCCGUGGCCGCCCUCUUCUCGGCCUCGACCAGCGCUUGCUUAAGGGUCGCCACCACAGACGUGGCCCCUACAAUAGCCACGAUAAUCCUGUCAUUUUUCGCAAUUGCACCUUUUUAUGUAUAUCUAAACAAGGCAUUUCUUACCUUCAUUGUCCUCGAGCUCCUUCUUGGCACGCCCUUGCUCUUGCUCAAACCGCUCGAGGUUCUGCUUUAGCGUGUCCCCUUUCGCAGUCAGUGCGGCGGACGCAAGCAGAGAAGCCUGCAUACGCAUAUUGACUCCUUUCUGUUAGACUCCUGCGAAUUUUAUUUGAUCCUCUAUUCAGCCUUUCUUCCCGAACGCCAAACAGAGCAUCAGGGGCUACUGUCUACGCGGUAAUAUUAUUUACACAUUCUUUACUUACCUCAAAGCUUUUAAAAGGCUAGUACAAGCUUCAGUCAGUCCGCUCUUGGUGGACUAAACCUUCUAGACCACCGCACUCAUAAUGGUGCAGUGCUCCUCGUCGAUGGAGGCGCCUUAGAGCGCCUCUAACAGAUUGUCCGGCGCCUCCGGUUGGACGGGGGUCAUCGGCAUGGUGACCUUGCUCCUCUUGGAAGGAGGUCCCCCACCGGACUCUGGAACCUUUGAAGGUUCUGGAGCGGUGUCCGGCCUAGAGCCGGACUUGGAACCCUGGGGGGUUUCAUCCCCUUUACUCCUGGAGUCCGGGAGGUCGCCUUGCGGCGCCUCUAGGACCACCUCCUCCCGGCUCGGAACCUGUUGGACAACACUUCAGUGUCGUUCGUAGGGCGGGGGGAGGAAGCCGUCGGAAGCGAGUUCACACCCGACGAGUCAAGUGAGCCGCUCGACGAUGCGUCGAGCCGGUCUUUGGGUGGGCAGCAUAAACAUAUUCGACAUAAGGGAAAGCUGUGCAAUAAACGAAUGCUAUGAAAUACUCUGACAUCCAGAUACUUACGAUUUAGCCAGGGGCUUGGCCCUGGGUGGCCACUCCUCUCCACCGUCGUCGGUGUCGGUGGAGUAGUCCGGAGGAAGGGUUUUCCCCUUCUUGGACCCUUCGGCCUCCCCAGCUGGGGCGGCCUUCCUUUUCUUCUCUCCUCCCGCUGGAGGGGGAGAGGUCUCUUCUUCUUCCUCCUCGUCUUCACGGGAGGAAUGCGCCUCGGAACCGUCGGAUGAUGGAUCCGACACCUCCUGGCGCCUGGCACUCUUUCGAGUCCCCGUGGCAUUUUUCGCGGCCUUCUUCUCCGGCAACACAUAGCGUGCCGGAACCAGCAGCUUCGCCAAGAGAAUCUGCGCUGGGCCUUCGGGCAAAGGAGCCGGAUAGUUGAUCUGUCCGGACGUCUCCUGCCAAUCCUGUCAAAGGUAAGGGAGCUUAGAUCCCGCAUGGAGUCAAACUAUGAAAAACUGAUACCCUAUAAAAGGAAAAAACAGCUUACCGCAUGAGCGUGACACUACGUACUGAAUCCGCGAUCCUCGGUAGCGGAUGUGGGGGCCUGGGCGCCCUUGAAAAGCACCUUCCAGGCAUCUCCGUACAUCGUGCCGAAGAGCCUGCUCAGAGUUCGGUGCCGUGCCAGGUCGAACUACCAUAGGUUGAAAGCCCGUUGUUGACACGGGAGGAUCAGGCGGAUGAGCAUAACCUGGACUGCGUUGACAAAUUUGAGCUUCUUGUCCACCAGGGUUUGGACGCAUGUUUGGAGUCCGGUCAGCUCUCCUUUUUUACCCCACGACAGGCCCGUCUCCUUCCAGGAGGUGAGCCGCGUAGGAGGUCUGGAUCGAAAUUCGGGGGCUGCGACCCAUUCGGGGUCGCGCGGCUCGGUGAUGUAAAACCACCCCGAUUGCCACCCCUUCAGGGUCUCCACAAAGGAGCCCUCGAGCCAUAAGACGUUGGGCAUCCUGCCCACCAUGGUGCCUCCGCACUCCGCCUGGUUGCCGCGCACCACCUUCGGCUUGACAUUGAAAAUCUUGAGCCAUAGACCGAAAUGGGGGCGGAUGCGGAGGAAAUCCUCGCACACGACGAUAAACGCCGAGAUGUUGAGGACAAAGUUCGGGGCCAGAUCGUGGAAAUCCAGGCCAUAGUAGAACAUGAGCCCCCGGACAAAUGGGUGAAGAGGGAAGCCCAGUCCGCGAAGGAAAUGGGGGAGGAACACCACCCUCUCAUGGGGCCUAGGGGUGGGGAUGAGUUGCCCCUUUUCGGGAAGCCGGUAUGCAAUGUCGUUAGACAAGUAUCCGGCCUUCCUCAGUUUUUUGAUGUGUCCCUCCGUGACGGAGGAGACCAUCCACUUGCCUCCCGCUCCGGACAUGGCUGGAGAUGGUUGAGGUGGGGAGUGCGGACUUGGGCGCUGGAGCUCGAGUGCGCGAGAAUGGAUAGGCAAGAGAGGAAGAAGGCGUAGGUGAAAAGGUGGAUCCUUAUCCCCUUAUAUGGGUGGACGCAACUACGUGUCCCCACCAGCCUGGUAAAACUCGCUUAUCUCCAAGCGCCAUAAUCAAUGGCGCGGUUGGGUUACCCAUGCCCGUAUUGAUGAGAAUCUCGGAAUAAGGGGACACGAUCUCUGCUUUAACAAGACAUGCCAAGGAAACCACCUCGCCUGAUGUGCUGAGGUGGGAUGAUGAAACGACUCGGAUAAAGGCUUGGUCGUGGUGUGUCACACUACGGAAUACGUCAGCAGAUUAGAUUUGUGUAAACAUUAUUCUCUCUAUGGCAAUAUGUGGAAACUUAUUUUGCAGAGCCGGACACUAUCUUUGAGUUCAAGAUCUUCUAUGAAGUACUUGGAGGAGGAACCUGCCUUGCAAUGCCGAAGACAAUCUGCGCACCGGACUCGUCAUCUUUGAAGCCUGGUUCAGGGGCUACUAAGGGAGUCCUGGAUUAGGGGGUGUUCGGAUAGCCGGACUAUACCUUCAGCCGGACUCGCGGACUAUGGAGAUACAAGAUUGAAGACUUCGUCUCGUGUCCGGAAGGGACUUUCCUUGGCGUGGAAGGCAAGCUUGGCGAUACGGAUAUGCAUAUCUCCUCCUUUGUAACCGACCUUGUGUAACCCUAACCCUGUCCGGUGUCUAUAUAAAUCGGAGGGUUUUAGUCUAUAGGACAACAUACACAACAACAAUCAUACCAUAGGCUAGCUUCUAGGGUUUAGCCUCUCUGAUCUCGUGGUAGAUCUACUCUUGUACCACCCAUAUCAUCAAUAUUAAUCAAGCAGGACGUAGGGUUUUACCUCCAUCGAGAGGGCCCGAACCUGGGUAAAACUUCGUGUCCCUUGCCUCCUGUUACCAUCCGGCCUAGACGCACAGUUCGGGACCCCCUACCCGAGAUCCGCCGGUUUUGACACCGACAGUUACCGUACCACUCUGGUGCGGAACGUGUCCUUGUGGACCUACGAAGUUCAGUAGCAACUUGAUCUGAAGUUUCAUGAUCAUCAUCGUUAACUUCCUCUCUAGUCGGUGCAGGCACCUGAGGAACAAUUUCUUGAGCUGCGCCACUUACCAGUUCAAGAGGUAAUACUUCAUCGAGUUCUACUUUCCUCCCACUUAUUUCUUUCGAGAGAAACUCUUUCUCUAGAAAGGAUCCAUUCUUGGCAACAAAGAUCUUGUCUUUGGAUCUGAGGUAGAAGGUAUACCCAAUAGUUUCUUUAGGUUAUCCUAUGAAGACGCAUUUUUCUGACUUGGGUUCGAGAUUUUCAGGUUGAAGUUUCUUGACAUAAGCAUCGCAUCCCCAAACUUUUAGAAACGACAACUUAGGUUUCUUCCCAAACCAUAAUUCAUACGGUGUCGUCUCAAAGGAUUUUGAUGGAGCCCUAUUUAAAGUGAAUGCGGCAGUCUCUAAAGCAUAGCCCCAAAAUGACAGCGGUAAAUCGGUAAGAGACAUCAUAGAUUGCACCAUAUCCAAUACAGUGCGAUUACAACGUUCGGACACACCAUUACGCUGAGGUGUUCCAGGCGGCGUGAGUUGUGAAACUAUUCCACAUUUCCUUAAGUGUGUGCCAAAUUCGUGACUCAAGUAUUCUCCCCCACGAUCUGAUCGCAAGAACUUGAUUUUCAUGUCACGUUGAUUCUCAACCUCACUCUAAAAUUCCAUGAACUUUUCAAAGGUCUCAGACUUGUGUUUCAUUAAGUAGACAUACCCAUAUCUACUCAAGUCAUCAGUGAGGGUGAGAACAUAAUGAUAGCCACCGCGAGCCUCAACACUCAUUGGACCGCACACAUCAGUAUGUAUGAUUUCCAAUAAGUUGGUUGCUCGCUCCAUUGUUCCUGAGAACGGAGUCUUGGUCAUUUUACCCAUGAGGCGUGGUUCGCACGUGUCAAAUGAUUCGUAAUCAAGAGACUCCAAAAGUCCAUCUGCAUGGAGCUUCUUCAUGCGUUUGACACCUAUGUGAUCAAGGCGGCAGUGCCACAAGUAUGUGGGACUAUCAUUAUCAACCUUACAUCUUUUGGUAUCCACACUAUGAAUAUGUGUAACAUUACGCUCGAGAUUCAUUAAGAAUAAACCAUUCACCAGCGGAGCAUGACCAUAAAACAUAUCUCUCAUAUAAAUAGAACAACCAUUAUUCUCGGAUUUAAAUGAGUAGCCAUCUCGAAUUAAACGAGAUCCUGAUACAAUGUUCAUGCUCAAAGCUGGCACUAAAUUACAAUUAUUGAGGUUUAAAACUAAUCCGUAGGUAAAUGUAGAGGCAGCGUGCCGACGGCGAUCACAUCGACCUUGGAACCAUUCCCGACGUGCAUCGUCACCUCGUCCUUCGCCAGUCUCCACUUAUUCCGCAGCUCCUGCUUUGAGUUACAAAUGUGAGCAACCGCACCGGUAUCAAAUACCCAGGAGCUACUACGAGUACUGGUAAGGUACACAUCAAUUACAUGUAUAUCACAUAUACCUUUAGUGUUGCCGGCCUUCUUGUCCGCUAAGUAUUUGGGGCAGUUCCGCUUCUAGUGACCACUUCCCUUGCAAUAAAAACACUCAGUCUCAGGCUUGGGUCCAAUUGUUUGAAUUCUUCCUGACAGCUUGCUUACUGGGCACGGAACUCCCUUGCCAUCCUUCUUGAAGUCCUUCUUACCCUUGCCUUUCUUGAACUUAGUGGUUUUAUUCACCAUCAACACUUGAUGUUCCUUUCUGAUUUCCACCUCUGCUGAUUUCAGCAUUGAAUAUACCUCAGGAAUGGUCUUUUCCAUCCCCUGCAUAUUGAAGUUCAUCACAAAGCUCUUGUAGCUCGGUGGAAGCGACUAAAGGAUUCUGUCAAUGACCGCAUCAUCCGGGAGAUUAACUCCCAGCUGAGUCAAGCGGUUAUGCAACCCAGAAAUUUUGAGUAUGUGCUCACUGACAGAACUAUUUUCCUCCAUCUUACAACUGAAGAACUUGUCGGAGACUUCAUAUCUCUCGACCCGGGCAUGAGCUUGGAAAACCAUUUUCAGCUCUUCGAACAUCUCAUACGCUCUGUGUCGCUCAAAACACUUUUGGAGCCUCGGUUCUAAGAUGUAAAGCAUGCCGCAUUGAACGAGGGAGUAAUCAUUAACACGUGACUGCCAAGCGUUCAUAACGUCUUGGUUCUCUGGGAUGGGUGCGUCACCUAGCGGUGCUUCUAGGACAUAAUCUUUCUUGGCAGCUAUGAGGAUGAUCCUCAGGUUCCGGACCCAGUCCGUAUAGUUGCUGCCAUCAUCUUUCAGCUUGGUUUUCUCUAGGAACGCGUUGAAGUUGAGGGCAACAUUAGCGUGGGCCAUUUGAUCUACAAGACAUAGUGUAAAGAUUUUAGACUAAGUUCAUGACAAUUAAGUUCAUCUAAUCAAAUUAUUCAAUGAACUCCCACUCAGAUAGACAUCCCUCUAGUCAUCUAAGUGAAACAUGAUCCAAGUUAACUAGGCCGUGUCCAAUCAUCACGUGAGACGGACUAGUCAACAUCGGUGAACAUCUUCAUGUUGAUCGUAUCUUCUAUACGACUCAUGCUCGACCUUUCGGUCUUCCAUGUUCCGAGGCCAUGUCUGUACAUGCUUGGCUCGUCAAGUCAACAUAAGUGUAUUGCGUGUGUAAAUCUGGCUUACACCCGUUGUAUUCGAUCGUUAGAAUCUAUCACACCCGAUCAUCACGUGGUGCUUCGAAACAAUGAACCUUCGCAACGGUGCACAGUUAGGGGGAACACUUUCUUGAAAUUAUUACGAGGGUUCAUCUUAUUUAAGAUACCGUUGUUCUAAGAAAAUAAGAUGCAAAACAUGAUAAACAUCACAUGCAAUCAAACAGUGACAUGAUAUGGCCAAUAUCAUUUGCUCCUUUUGAUCUCCAUCUUCGGGGCUUCAUGAUCAUCGUUGUCACCGGCAUGACACCAUGAUCUCCAUCAUCGUGUCUUCUUGAAGUUGUCUUAUCAUCUAUUACUUCUACUACUAUGGCUAACGCUUUAGCAAUAAAGUAAAGUAAUUACAUGACGUUUAUGUUGACACGCAGGUCAUAAAUAAAUUAAGACAACUCCUAUGGCUCCUGCCCGUUGUCAUACUCAUCAACAUGCAUGUCGUCAUUCCUAUUACAAGAACAUGAUCAAUCUCAUACAUCACAUAUAUCAUUCAUCACAUCCUUUUGGCCAUAUCACAUCACACGACACAUGCUGCAAAAACAAGUUAGACGUCCUCUAAUUGUUGUUGCAAGUUUUUACGUGGCUGCUAUAGGUUUCUAGCAAGAACGUUUCUUACCUACGCCAAAACCACAAUGUGAUAUGCCAAUUUCUAUUUACCCUUCAUAAGGACCCUUUUCAUCGAAUCCGAUCCGACUAAAGUGGGAGAGACAGACACCCGCUAGCCACCUUAUGCAACUAGUGCAUGUCAAUUGGUGGAACCAGUCUCACGUAAGCGUACGUGUAAGGUCGGUCCAGGACGCUUCAUCCCACGAUGCUGCCGAAUCAAGAUAAGACUAGUAAUGGCAAGCAAAUUGACAAUAUCCACGCCCACAACUGCUUUGUGUUCUACUCAUGCAUAGAAACUACGCAUAGACCUAGCUCAUGAUGCCACUGUUGGGGAACAUAGCAGAAUUUUAAAAUUUUCUACGCAUCACCAAGAUCAAUCUAUGGAGUCAUCUAGCAACGAGGGAGAGAGGAGUGCAUCUACAUACCCUUGUGAUCACGCGCGGAAGCGUUCAAGAGAACGGUGUUGAUGGAGUUGUACUCGUCGUGAUCCAAAUCACCUAUGACCUAGCGCCGAACGGACGACACCUCCGCGUUCAACACACGUACGGUUGGGAAGACGUCUCCUCCAACUUGAUCCAGCAAGGGGGAAGGAGAGGUUGAUGAAGAUCCAGCAGCACGACGGCAUGGUGGUGGAAGCAACGGUGAUCUUGGCAGGGCUUCGCCAAGCUCAGGGAGAGGGAGGAGUGUCACGGGAGGGAGAGGGAGGCACCAGGGGCUAGGGUGUGUCUGCCCUCCCCCCCCACUAUAUAUAGGACCCCUAGGGGGGGCGCCAGCCCUAGGAGAUUGAAUCUCCAAGGGGGGCGGCGGCCAAGGGGGUUGGAGUGCCCCCCAAGCCAAGUGGGGUGCCCCCACCCCUAGGGUUUCCAACCCUAGGCAUAGGGGAGGCCCAUGGGGGGAGGGGCGUACCAGCCCACUAGGGGCUGGUUCCCCUCCCACUUCAGCCCAUGGGGCCCUCCGGGAUUGGGGGCCCCACCCAGUGGACCCCCGGGACCCUUCCGGUGGUCCCGGUACAAUACCGAUUACCCCCGAAACCUUCCCAAUGGCCGAAACUUGACUUCCUAUAUAUAAAUCUUCACCUUCGGACCAUUACGGAACUCCUCGUGAUGUCCGGGAUCUCAUCCGGGUCUCUGAACAACUUUCGGGUUACCGUAUACUAAUAUCUCAACAACCCUAGCGUCACCGAACCUUAAGUGUGUAGACCCUACGGGUUCGGGAGACACGCAGACAUGGCCGAGACGACUGUCCGGUCAAUAACCAACAGUGGGAUCUGGAUACCCAUGUUGGCUCCCACAUGCUCCUCGAUGAUCUCAUCGGAUGAACCAUGAUGUCGAGGAUCCAAUCAAUCCUGUAUACAAUUCCCUUUGUCAAUCGGUACGUUACUUGCCCGAGACUCGAUCGUCGGUAUCCCAAUACCUCGUUCAAUCUCGUUACCGGCAAGUCACUUUACUCGUACCAUAAUGCAUGAUCCCGUGAUCAACCACUUGGUCACAUUGAGCUCAUUAUGAUGAUGCAUUACCGAGUGGGCCCAGAGAUACCUCUCCAUCAUACGGAGUGACAAAUCCCAGUCUUGAUUCGUGCCAACCCAACAGACACUUUCGGAGAUACCUGUAGUGUACCUUUAUAGUCACCCAGUAACGUUGUGACGUUUGGCACACCCAAAGCACUCCUACGGUAUCCGGGAGUUGCACAAUCUCAUGGUCUAAGGAAAUGAUACUUGACAUUCGGAAAAGCUAUAGCAAACGAACUACACAAUCUUUGAGCUAUGCUUAGGAUUGGGUCUUGUCCAUCACAUCAUUCUCCUAAUGAUGUGAUCCCGUUAUCAAUGACAUCCAAUGUCCAUAGUCAGGAAACCAUGACUAUCUUUUGAUCAACGAGCUAGUCAACUAGAGGCUCACUAGGGACGUGUUGUGGUCUAUGUAUUCACACAUGUAUUACGAUUUCCAGAUAACACAAUUAUAGCAUGAACAAUAGACAAUUAUCACGAACAAAGAAAUAUAAUAAUAACCAUUUUAUUAUUGCCUCUAGGGCAUAUUUCCAACACCCAGCUCCUCCUCGGCCUCCGCCAGUUUCUGCUUCAGUCUAGACACUUCGGGAGUAUGCGAGGCCGCGGCCAACAGCGACGCCUGUGUUUACAUUUCAGAAAAAUUUAGUUAGUUUCCUGCAAUAGGAGAUUGAUCCUUUGUCCGGCUUUUUCUUUCCAAACACGGGACAAUGUCUCAGGGGCUACUGUCUACAUUGGGAUUUUCCCUUUUUUGCCUCGCUUACCUCAAAACCUGUUAGCAGGCUGCUGCAGGCAUCGGUUAGUCCGCUCUUGGCGGACUGAACCCUUUCAUUUACCGUGCCCAUAAGGACACGGUGCCACUACUAGGAAAAGGGCUAUAGCUAAUAUGGGCAUUAACGGCGCACCAUGUAUGUGGUGCGCCACUGCUAUAUAGCAGUGGCGCACCAGAUACAGGUGCGCCAUUAGUGUCCUCAUUACUAAUGGCGCGCCAGACACACGGUGCACCAUUACUAGCAAAUUUUAUUUUUUUAUAUUUCCAAAACUAUUAAUGGCGCACCAGGGCACAAUGCGCCAUUACUAGUUUUAACUAGUAACGGCGCACCACACGCUCUGUGCGCCACUACUAACAUUUUUUUACUUUUUUUUUCAAAACUAGUAAUGGCGCAACUGUGUGAAGUGCGCCAUUACUAGUUCAAACUAGUAAUGGCGCACCACAGCCACGGUGCGCCACUACUAACAAUUUUUUUUUGCAAAACUAGUAAUGGCGCUCCGCUAACUUGUACGCCAUUAGUAACCAAGGUUACUAAUGGCGCAUUUUAUGUGGUGCGCCAUUAGUAACUUGAGACCAGCUAGAUAUUUUGAACAGCCACCUACCACACUCACUUUCCCCACUUCAUUCUCUCCACCUCCUCCUCCAAGCUUGUCUCGGCUGCCUCCUCCUCCUCACCUCAUUUGCACCAUAGAUUCACCCAAAUUAAGUUGUUAAAUUACCUUUUUGUGAUAGGUAAGUAAGGGGAAAGCUUUAUUUAUGUUGUAGAUCUACUUUUUUCUCCCUCCAACAACAUGCACAUGCACUUUUUAUGGCCUAGCUAGAUCUAUGUAUGUUUGUGGUGUUGCAUAUGUUUGUGGUGUUGCAUAUAUGUUUGUGUUUGCAGGUACCGGUAUUUGAAAUGCGAUAGUUGCCAAUAUUUUGCCGGAAUGUUGAUUCAUUUCCGUUUCGGCGAGAAUUUGGCACUAUGCAUUCUUUUUUGUCCUAUUUUCAGGCAAAGUCAUGCCAAAUUUUUUCUUGGUUCUAAAAUAUCGUUUUGCUCUACCCCGCAGGCGACCAUGGUACGCACGAUGACUGAAGGCAUCGUGAAUAGGUUUUUGAGCUCCGCGAAGGUGGAGAUGCUUCCAAAGAACGAGAUGGAGAUAAGAUGUCCAUGUCGAAGACGCAAGCCGAAGAGCCUUAUUGCGGACCCGGAUUCCGGGCUGGUGCGGGACCAACUGCUCUUGCGUGGUUUCAUGGAUGGCUAUCGGUGACAAGGUGAUGAAUAUGACUAUGAAGUCAUCCAUGGGGGCCGAGCAAGAAAUGAGGAAGGGCAGCAAGACAACCACCGCGGCGAGGGCGGGCGAGAAGACAAAGAAUCUCUAGGACAUGAUCACGACGGUUCUGCAGUACACAAUCAUCAUGUAGAAGAUGCCAGACAUGAUGAUGACAAAGAUCAAGCAGAACGGCAUGAUCAUGAAGAUGAAGAUGCCGGAGCAGACGAUGAUGGACCAUCGAUGGGCUUGGUGCAGGACCCUCAUAUUCAAGAGUUGCUUCUCAAGCAGACGGAUAAUGCAGGAGCUGCCGCCCGAGAGAAUGCCAAGCUGGAUCAACUGGAGAUGGAUGCGGUUACUCCAUUGUAUGAAGGAUGCAGGCCUGAGGAUACCCGCCUGAAAGUAACGCUCAUGGCUCUAGAGAUGAAGGUAAAACACAAAAUGACCGACGCAUGCUUCGACGAGAACAUGUCAUUCUGGCACGAACGUCUUUCCGAGGGGAACAAGUGCCCAACCAGUUUUGAGGAGGCAAAGAAAAUCGUGUGUCCUCUGGAUUUACCGCAUGUGAAAUACCAUGUGUGCAUGAACAAUUGCAUCAUUUACCGGGACAAGCACGCCGAGUCUACCAUAUGUCCGGUGUGCGUCGUCACUCGAUACAAGAGAGGAAGAAAGCUCCUCAAAAAGUGGUGUGGUACUUUCUAAUCACUCCUUGUCUGCGGCGGUAUUUCGCGGACCCUAAGCUAGCAAAGCUCCUGUGUUGGCAUGAGGAUAGGGAGGAGAAUAAGCGAGAAGAUGACGGAAAUGAUCCGGAGAUAAAUAAAAAAGACAAGAUGCUGAGUCACCCUAAGGAUGCGAGCCAGUGGCAAGCGUUGAACUUCAAACACCCAGAAUUUGGGGACGAUCCAAGGAACAUCAUGCUGGGCGCGAGCACCGAUGGAGUCAAUCUGUUUGGCAGCCAGAGAAGCACACAUAGCACCUGGCAUGUGUUAGUGUGGAUGUACAACCUUCCCCCUGGUUGUGCAUGAAGAGGAAGUACAUUCACAUGAGUAUGCUAAUUGAAGGGCGGAAACAACCAGGGAACAACAUAAAUCUGUAUCGAGGGCUGCUGAAAGAGGAGCGAGACAAGAUGUGGAAAACGCCAGCCAAUACGUGGGACGCCGCAGACAAAGAAUAUUUCCCUAUGAGAGCCGUGCUACUCACGACGGUGGACGACUAUCUUGGUUACAGAUAUGUCGCGGGGCAGGUGGUCCACGGAUUUUCUGGAUGCGUCAGGUGCAUGGAUGACACAACGUAUCGCCAGCUAGAUAGAUAUCCCGGGUCUUCAAAAACCGUGUUCAUGGGACAUCGAAGGUGGCUUUGCGACGAUGACCCAUUUAGAAAACGCAAGGAUCUGUUCGAUGGUGAAACCGAACCACGAAGGCGCCCAUGUACGAGGAGCGGCAAGGAAAUAGAUGAGCUGUUGAAAAAUUGGAAAGAGUGCCCGGAGCUGGGUAGGAAGUGAAAGGCGCCAGAGCCGCUGCUGAAGGUAUGGAAAAUGAGGUCUGUUUUCUGGGACUUGCCGCACUGGAAGAUCCACCGUGUGCCUCAUAGCCUUGAUGUCAUGCAUAUCAUGAAGAACGUGUGUGAGAGUCUGCUUGGUACACUGCUCAACAUGCCAGAGUAGACAAAAGAUGGGCCGACAGCAAGGGCAGACUUGAAAUUAAUGGGCAUCAGGGAGGAGCUUCACGCUAAUGAUGAUGAUGCUGAUGAGGAGGAGGAGGAGGAGAAGCAGGGCACAAAAAGUCAUUGCAAAGGCAAAAAAGGCCAAGAAGACCGAAAAUGACUACCCUCCCGUGUGAUUCACUCUAAGUCAGGAGGAGAUCGAGCAGCUUUUCACCUGCCUCGUAGGAGUAAAACUUCCUUACGGUUACGCGGGGAAGACAAGAAGAUACCUAGACUCUGCGAAGCAGAAGUUCAGCGGGAUGAAUUCUCAUGACUGUCACGUGCUGAUGACGCAGAUACUUCCAGUUGCAAUCUAUGGGAUCAUGGACGCACACGUCCGUGAAACGCUAUUUGGCCUAUGAAACUUUUUCGAUGUCAUCUCUCGGAAGUCGGUUGGCGUGAGGCAACUCAGAAGGCUACAGGAAGAGAUCAUGGUGAUACUAUGCGUGCUUGAGAUGUACUUCCCGCCCGCAUUCUUCGAUGUUAUGGUGCAUCUGCUGGUCCAUAUCGUGGAGGAUAUCAUCCAACUCGGGCCGACGUUCCAGCACAGCAUGAUGCCGUUCGGAAGGACGAAUGGUGUCAUCAAAGGAUAUGUUCGCAACAUUUCACGUCCAGAGGCAAGCAUAGCCAGGGGCUUUCUGACCGAAGAGUGCAUCUCCUACUGCACGAAUUAUCUAGGCAUCGAGAACCCCGUUGGUCUGCCCAUCAAAAGGCACCGGCAGGCUCGCCGGAUGGGUUCACCGCGAUGGUCGCUGCGAAAUACAUGUCGACUUCGAGGGUCAACUCGCCGACUUUGAAAGAGCAAACCUAGUCACGCUACAACACAUAGACGUGGUCGAUCCUUGGGUGGUAGAGCACAAAACCUUUAUUGAGAAGACGUACAAUGACCGAGGCCAAUAGAGGACGGACAGUGAUAUAAUCAAAGAGCACACCUCAUGUUUCAUGCGUUGGUUCAAGGAGAAGCUUCUGUCGUACCCUUUACAUGAGGAUUCUUCCGCGAAAGAAAAACUCAUAUUCUCCUUGUCACAGGGCACCGAGCACAACCUGAUGACCAAUGAGGCAUACGAUAUCAACGGCUACACAUUCUACACAGAGGAAAAGGACAUGAAGAGCGAUGGUUAUCAGAACUCCGGGGUAACGAUGCAAUCCUACACCGGUAACGACAAGGACAGAUACUACGGAAGGAUCGAGGAGAUCUGGGAGCUGAGCUACGCUGGAGAGAAGGUCCUGAUGUUCCGUGUCAGAUGGGCCAAGAGCGUCCUAAAAGAAGACCGGUAUUUCACCACCAUGGUUAUACCCGAAGCCAAAUCCAAGACCACGGGCGCAAACGUCACCGCGAAAAAUGAGCUAUGGGUACUGGCUUCCCAAGUGGACCAAUGCUUCUUCAUUACCGACCCGUCAAAGCCCAGUCGUGUUGUCAUGAGGAGAGGAAAAAGGAAGAUCAUCGGAAUGGAUGGAGUCGCCAAUGAGCAAGACUUCGACAAGUACGGUGACCCGAAGAUGGAACAAGACGACGAUGAUGAAGUGCCAUACACCUCAAGAAGAAGCAGGACCACCCUACCUAAAGGACGUCCGCUCCACAGAAGAACUCCAUUUGCGAAAAAGAAGGGCAGGAAGAUUAGGAAAAGAUAGCUAGCUAAGAUCGAUUGUAUUUAAAUCAUAGUCUUCAUUUCUCGAUUGUAUUUCGACAUUUUGAAAUGAUAUUUCUUCUGUUCUAGUCCUCAUGAAUAUUUAUUUACUAUGGUAUUGAAUUUCUAACUCACAAAAAGUAUUGAAUUUGUUAAUAUUUUUUGAGCUCAUGAAUAUUUUUAAAUUUCAUGGGCACUUUUUGAAUUCAUGAAUAUUUUGACAAAUUUGAUGAUAUUUUUUCAUAUUCAUAAUGUUUUACCAAUUCACAAAUGAAUGCAACUAAAAAUCCAAAAAAAUAUGGAUGAUAUUUUAAAAUAGCAAAUUUGAUGAUAUUUUUCAUAUUCAAAAAUAUUUUGACAUAACAAAUUUGAUGAUAUUUUUUCACAUUCAUAAAUGUUUUCAAAUUUGAUUGUAAUUUUCUAAAAAAUUAUUAGAUGCAACUAAAAAUAAUUAAAAAAAGUUACUAAUGGCGCACGAGGAGGCGGUGCGCCAUUGCUAUCACUGUACUUAUGGUGUACCCCUAGGAGGUGCGCCAUUGGUAAUGUUUUCAAAUUUUUAUGAUAUUUUUUCAAAUAUUUUCAAAUAACAAAUUUGAUGAUAUUUCAAAUAACAAAUUUGAUGAUAUUUUUUCAUAUUCAUAAAUAUUUCAAAUAAGAAAUUCGAUGAUAUUUUUUCACAUUCAUAAAUGUUUUCAAAUUUGAUUGUCAUUUUCUAAAAAUAUAUUAGAUGAACCUAAAAAAAGUUACUUAUGGCGCACCCCUCGAUGGUGCGCCAUUAUUUGAUGAUAUUUGAUGAUAUUUUCAAAUAACAAAUUUGAUGAUAUUUUUAAAUAACAAAUUUGAUGAUAUUUUUAAAAAAAUCAUUACUAUUUUUAUAAAAAAUUAUUACUGUUUCAUAUUCAUAUUCAUUUUCUAAAAAAUUAUUAGAUGCAACAAAAAAAAUAAAGUAACUAAUGGCGCACCAGAGGAGGGUGCACCAUUGCUAACACUGUUUUUAUAAAAAAUUAUUACUGUUUCAUAUUCAUAUUUGUUUUCUUAAAAAUUAUUAGAUGCGACAAAAAAUAAAAAAAGUUACUAAUGGCGCACCGGACGUGGGUGCGCCGUUGCUAUUACUGUUUUUAGGGCGCACCCCUAGAUGGUGCGCCAUUACUAAUNNNNNNNNNNNNNNNNNNNNNNNNNNNNNNNNNNNNNNNNNNNNNNNNNNNNNNNNNNNNNNNNNNNNNNNNNNNNNNNNNNNNNNNNNNNNNNNNNNNNNNNNNNNNNNNNNNNNNNNNNNNNNNNNNNNNNNNNNNNNNNNNNNNNNNNNNNNNNNNNNNNNNNNNNNNNNNNNNNNNNNNNNNNNNNNNNNNNNNNNNNNNNNNNNNNNNNNNNNNNNNNNNNNNNNNNNNNNNNNNNNNNNNNNNNNNNNNNNNNNNNNNNNNNNNNNNNNNNNNNNNNNNNNNNNNNNNNNNNNNNNNNNNNNNNNNNNNNNNNNNNNNNNNNNNNNNNNNNNNNNNNNNNNNNNNNNNNNNNNNNNNNNNNNNNNNNNNNNNNNNNNNNNNNNNNNNNNNNNNNNNNNNNNNNNNNNNNNNNNNNNNNNNNNCGCUCCCCCUUCCCUCCAUCACGAGAUACCCCUUCCCUCCCUCGCCAGAUCCCCGCGCCCGCUACACCGCCGCCGACGACCCCCCGCACCUGCUCCGAUGACCCCCACGCCCGCUCCGACGAGGUGCACUGCCCACUUCUUCUUCCUCCCGGACCACCAGAUGGAGCCAGGAAGCUCUCCUCCGCCGGAUCGCCUCGCUCCAUAACCGUCGGCAUCGCCGCUGCCACCGCCUCGACCUGUAACACCGCCUCGACCUGAAACACCGACAACCUCCAAGCACGCCCCGACCUCACUGUGAGCCGCCGUCCUCAUCCACCCACCCCUUGGUGUUCAAUGAUUAAGGUUCAUGCAUACUAGUACUACUCAUCCCGCCCUUCUCUGCAAUGAUUAGGGUUCAUGCACUGGUAGGUGGUUGUUCAAGGCCAUCUGAUGGUUGUGGUCGUCUCACCCUUCCCUCGUUGAAGUUCUCCCCAGUCUAGUGCUAGAUUUGUUUCCUUCGCUGCAGAUGUAGAAGUAGGCGAUGGUGUAGUUGUAGCGAUGAAUACCCCUCGUGUUUUUGUUGUAGAUGGUAGUUGUAGGUGCAUAGAUAUAGUUGUGGAUUUGAGUCUCCUGUUGAUUUCUUUUCUGCUAGGCUGGUGGCUGGAUGUCUGUUCCACCUGCUUUUUUGUUGUUAGAUGUAGUUUGCUUCUGAUGGCUGGUGCGAUGUAGAUGUAGAUGCCAAUGGUAUAUCUUUGUCUGAAUUUGUUUGCUCUUCUAUGUAGAUGUAGCUGCGUUUUGAUUCAGUUACGUGCUCAAAUAUGGUUUCUGAUGUGUUCAGUUUUCUACUUAGUAGUAGGUGGUCUCUGUAUUGGUUCAUGUUGCUGUUGUAGUUCUUGAAUUUGUUCAGUUACCUCCUGGUAGGUUAGAUGGAGGUGUUUAGUUUCCAUAGUUUAUGGUUUUCUCAGUGUAUCAGAUUUAAUGAGUUAGCUCUGCUUUAUUCCUGUGUCUAUAUGGUUUUCUAGUGCCUUUCACUGGAUGUUUUUCACUGUAAUCCCCAUGUGUUUUUCAGCCCUGUAUUGGUUCAGUAGGUGUUUCCUUUAUUUUGUUAGUGUUAGAUCGUCUCACUGAAUUUGUGUGUACAAGCCCUGUAGUGCAGAUGUAUUUUAGUGUAAGCUCAGCAACUAUUGAUGAAUUUUCAGUGUAAUAUACCCCAGAAUUAUAGUGCAAAUUAUCCCAUAUUUUGAGUGUAUUUGUCAGUGCAAUAUACCCUAGAAUUAUAGUGUAAUUUAGCCCAUAUUUUCAGUGUAAUAUCCAUGAUUAAAUUUUUGUAUUUACCUUGUAUUAGAUAGUAAUUUACACUAUAAUUACACUGUAAUUUGUCCCAUAAUUACAGUGUAACCUUCAUGCUACUUAUAGAUAAGUAGAGUGUAAGUUUUCCCAUAAUUUUCAAUGUAGCCCUGAUGCUUCUUAUAUGUAAUUACAGUAUAAAACUUCUCCUAAUUACAGUGUAAAUUUUCCUAUAAUUAUAGUGUAACCCGCAUGCUUUCCAUAAUUUCUGUUUUUUUUAAUUUGAGGCUCAUUCUUGUUAUAUAUUCUUUGUAUCGUUGUGGUGCAGGUCUUGUUAUAUAUUUCUGGUUGUUAGACUCUUCAGCUAUGCAGAGUGAAAUACUAGUUCAGCAUGUCAAUAAUGAUUUUGGCAGUAGUGUGUGGCACAAUUCCUUCAUUGGAUAAUGAUUUUUUAGGUACCCCAAGAGGCCCUUGAGUUUGCCGGAAUGUCGAUUAACUUCCGUUCCGGCAAAUUCGGGUACUCCAUAUGUCCUAUUUUCAUGCUGAAAUUUUCCUUGAAUUUUAGCAUGACUUUGCUAAAAAUAGGACAUAUGGGGUACUUGCGACUAAUGCAUGGGUCGAGGUAUCUUAGUACUUAAUUAAGUAGUAGCAACUGCCCCUUUAUCCUUGCUGCAUUAAACCAUAGGUGGCAAUAGAGCCAAGUGAUUAGGCCCAACUUAGAAUUCUCCUUCCCUUUUCUUGAUAGGGUAUAUUAUUAGAAGAUACCCAUAUAUAUCAGUCAACCUAGGGUGCCUUGGCAUCGAUAAACCCUAAAUGAUAAAAGCUUAGCUUUUAGGAUGCCUCGGUGUCGAUAAAAACCUAAAUGGUGAAAUCUUAGGCUUUAGGGUGCCUCGGCAUCGACAAACCCUAAACGAUAAAACCUUGGCUUUUAGGGUGCCUCGGUGUCGAUAAAAACCUAAAUGAUGAAAGCUUAGGCUUUUAGGGUGCCUCAGCGUCGACAAACCCUAAAUGAUAAAAGCUUAGCUUUUAGGAUGCCUCGGUGUCGACAAACCCUAAAUGAUGAGACCAUGAUCUUGUUCCUUGACAAUAACCAACUUUUUGACCAAACUUUUUUCCUAUUUGGAGCGAAACAUGGCCCACAACGAUGAGGCCGGUGGUUCGGGCGGCAAGGCAUUCUGGGAGCUGUUCCAGGAGAUGGAGGAAGAACCUCACCGCUAUGAGGACACCGUAGAAGACACCGAUCUUGACUACACAACCCCUAGUGGCGUUGGGGAUGACACCACUGAUGGUGCUGCCGAGGAUGCCACCACUGAUUAUGGCAGCGCACGCACAAAUGGCAGCCAACCGAAGAGGCAACGGAAGGACCGGCGCCCGAAUGUGCUCGGCACCGUCAAGGAGGAAUUUACUGAAGUGUCCACCGAGGGGCAUCCAAUGGCGCCCAAAGAAAUAGUCAAGGGGUACGCGGGACAGCUCGGGUGCAUUCUCCGGAGCACCGUCUCGAUCAACACCAAGAACCUAAGGCAUCGUGACCGAGGGAAUUUGCGCAACCUCCUCUUCAUGAAGCUGCACGAACAAUACAAGUUCCCCGGUGAUUCGCAAACACAAGCCUCGCAGGGAAUAAAGUGAACAAUGCUGCCCACAUGAAGAUGAGCACGACCAUGGCUACUUGGAGAGCCGCGGCGAAGAGAAUGAUUGAAAAAGGUGAUAGUUAUGAGAAGAUCAAGGAGAAAUAUCCUUCAAUCAGUGAAGAUGACUACCUGGAGUUCAAUAUCAAGUGUGAUAGCGACGCAACCGUGGAAUCAAGUCAGUGGGGGAAAGAGAUGCGGGACUUGAACUUAGGGGUCCACAAACUCGGUCCCGACGGUUAUAGAGUGGCGGAACCUAUAUGGGACAAGGAGGACGCGAAGCAUGCCAAGCAAGGCCUACUGCCCCUCUUCGGCAAAUACCGUGACAAACAGACCAGGAACUAUGUGAGGGCCCGGUACAAGGUGGACCCGGUAACCAAGGAGCUUACCACGGAUCCGAAGACCAAGGCGCUUGAGCGUGUUCUGGUAAGGAAUUCACCCCCGCGUAAUUAGCUCCAUAUGGUUGCAUUCUAAUUAAUGAAGCCAAUUUUCUAAAUGGUUCAUGUUCCUUCCGCAGGACACUGAAAGCAGUACCGCGGGGUCAUCUCAGAGCUCUCCUUUCGACACCCCUUUAAAUAGGGCGUUGAACGUAAUGAAAAAUAAGGAUAAGCUUAGUAAGCCGUCGUCAGCUGGUCGUGUGGCCGGCAAAUGCUUGUCCACGAAAUGGUCGGAGUACUAUACCGCUGGGCGAAAGGAGAGAAAGACCAGCUCGGAAAGCCAUGAGCACGAGGUUCAACAACUCAAGGCACAAGUGGCGCGGAUUUCGGAGAUCAUCAAAGAGUAAGUGCGAGACCAACUGGGAGCGACGAUCACCGCCAUUAUGCCUACCUUGGUUUCUGGGCUGCAGGCCUGGAUUGCGGGAGGCCAACAGGGGCCGCCCCCGAUUCCUAGAUCACGGGCAGCAACUCGUGCAACACGCUGGCGACGCCAUUGGUGUCUCCAGCGGAGGCGGCAUUGGUGUCUCCCGCGGCGGCGCCGGCAUUGCAGCUUAAUACACCCAAGUGUGGGAAGAAUACACCGGCCGGCACCUCGGCAGCAAGCGGCCCCUCUGUCACUUGCACGCCUGCCGUUGGCGGUGCCUGGACAUUAGCCGAGCUCGACGCCAUCAUAGUAACUAAUUAAGCCUCUUGGCCGAUGACUUCAUCUCCUUGCCUUUGACUGGGCAUCCCUAACGCCCUACAAGUUUUAGUAGGGCGCCGCCGACAUUUCGUGCACUCUCCUACACUUCAUGAACGAUGAGUUGGUCGAUGUCGCCAAGGGCAGAAUCUUUCAACCAGGCAGCCAUGUGUUCCACGGUAAUCAGAUGCCACCCACCAUUUAUAGGGUUCAACUGGUUCGGGUGCUGCUAGGCUUCGACGACAUGUUACCUCCGUAUCGACCCCAUGGGGCCGAUGAAUAUGAUGUGAUGACCCUCAGCGCCUGCAUAAGCUGGCCCAUGCUUUUGCCAAAGAGCCUGAUUCGUUUGGGGGCGGGGGACACCACCCCGCUGACAACACCACCAGUCGUGCUGGCGCCAAGCCAUGGUAAGACCCCUGCAACAUUACCGGACAGGUCGGACAUGGAUAUGGCACAGGAUCCGGACAUGCAUAUGGCACAGUAUCCGGACGACUCCGACGACGACAACGAUGGUAAUUUUACCAACAUCGAUAAGUACUUCAAUGAACAUGGGUACGGUGACGAAUUCUUGUUGCCUCCUUCUCAAGAACCCAACCCUGCAAAAGACGAUCUAGCUGGUACCGUGGAGAAACCCAGUUGCAACAGGCGUCAUCUGGUGUUCAGUUCUCAGGAGACGCCUCCAGUUGCCGCCUUCACCGACCCUCAGAUAGACGAGGUGCGAAAUAGUAUCAGCCCCAACACACUCAAGAAGGCUGUCUGUGAGCAGAACUUGAUCGCAUUACAACACAAGAAGAAGGGGCAAAAAAGAAAGAGUAACAAGGGUGCGAGCCAGCCGGCACCGAGUACGAUCCGUGCUCAGGACGGGCUGCCUUCACCUAAGGAUGAGGAGGGUGCAUGUGGCGGGUAGGCCGAUGCUACCGACUAAUCUGCUGAAUGCUGCAACCGAUGCUAUGCGGCGUUUGCAUGACAAUGUUCUUUCUUUGGAGAAGCGGCGUCUCCGAGAGAAUGAUGUGGCAUACCCGGUUUUCGUGUCCAAGGUGCCAGAGGGCAAGGGCUUUGUGGAAAAUGCCAUCGGGGGUAUGAUCGUCCUGCGGUUUGAUGACAUCUUCGCUAUGUUUAACCUUCAUCCGCUGCACUACACCUUCGUUCGGCUAUUUUCGCUGAGUAUGGAGAUGUGGAUCAUUAGAGACAAGACCCCGGACAUCGUGAUAGUCGACCCCUUCUACAUGCGUGCCAAGAUCUUGGGCAGCGCUGGGGAUCGGCAAGUCGCGAGUUCAUACCUCGAAGGCGUCAUUAUGGCAAACCCAGAUAUGGAUAACUUCCUCGUGCCUUACUUUCCCGAGUAAGUCAUCCGCUCACCGCCCCGUAACAUAACAUAUGAUUUUUUAGAUUUCGAUCGUUUUUUCGAACAUUCCGUGUUUUGUGCAAUGACACACAUUGCACACUCAUCCUCUUAAGCCCGAAAUAUUCCAUGGCCACGUAUUUCGACUCGGACCGUCACUCGUAGAAAGACUACACAAAUAUCAAGAAAGUUCUGGAUGAUGUUCUCCCCGGCUACGCCCGAUCUGGAGGCACCUUCAGCAGGCCAAUUCGUAGGUAUGGGAAGCACGUGUUCGCCCACAAUACGACGUUCCCCUGCGUCAAGCAGCCACCUGGCGGUCAAAAGAAUGCCUACUACGCCCUCCAUCACAUGCAGGCGAUCGUACGGGACCAUAAUCACCUUCUGCUACCAAAUAAUCUCAAAGAUUGGGCCGCAAGCUUCUCGGCAAUCCAGGACGUGGACAUCAGACAAGAAUUCUUUCGCAUCUAGUCAGAGUUUGCGGGAAUCAUUCAUCAAGAUGUCCUUCGUACCUCGGGGCAGUUCUACCUUAGAUAUCAACCGUCCAACAGUGAGAUAGAAGCAACGCUACAAAUGUUGGCUGACAACGCCCAUGAUUUCAUGACCAUCACAAUAGACGGCGGCUUAAUCCACGCUCCAGUCCCUGAGUUGAGUCGAAAGUAGUGAUGCUACGUGUAGUUCUGAAAUAUCGAUUAGCUCAUGUUGUAAUUAAACUUUAAUGAACUUGUAUGUAUCUUUGGUUUGGACAGUCAUUCAAGUUAUAUGUAAUCGAUGCUAUUUAUUAGUAGGACCAUGAAUCGUGCUAUUAAUGUCUUGCUUUUCUCUUCCGAUCCUUUUGUUGCAUACUUAUAUAUUGCUUAUGUAUUGUCCGUGAAUUGGUACUAACGUUUUGUUUGGCUAGUGCAUAGAGAUGUCGUCGUAUGUCCUGUACAAGGGUAAGGUUCCCAGAGUCUACGACGACUGGGAGGAGUGUCGGAGAUAGGUUCACCGUUUCAGCGGUAACAGUUACAAAGGGUACACCACUAGGGUGGAGGCGGAAGCUAGAUACGCGCGCUAUCUAGUGGGAGAGAGGAGGGAGCAGAGGAGGAACCGGAUGAAGACCAGUUUCAUCGUGAUGAUGCUCAUCGUGAUGACCGUAACUCUUUUCUAUGUGAUGGUAGUUUAGAUGAUCGAUAUCGACUUGUAAUGUGAAGAAAAACUCGCUACUCGCGGUCUCGAGACUUGUAGUGUUCUAACUUUGUUUGAUCUUUUGAAUUCAGAGACUAAUAUGAUGAAUUGUAUUCGGAGACUAAUCUUCUAUUGUAUUCGAUGAAUCUGUUGUUUAUAUGUUGUGCUGUCUAUAUACUGUGCAGUAAUAUAUUUUGUAACCUAUGCAAAUAUUAGAAAAGAAAAAAAAUCCAAAUAUUCAUACUAGUGGCGCACCACACUGCACUUUAGUGGCACACUGCAAUAAACACACUAGUGGCGCACUACCUAGAAGUGCGCCAUUAGUAACCUAGAGCACAAGGUAAAUAUGGCCCCCUGGGAGGCAUAGUAAUGGCGCACCGUUUGACAUACUAAUGGCGCACUCCCUGGUGCACCAUUAUUGCCUGGUAUACUAAUGGCGCACCUGGGGUGCGCCAUUAGUAUUAGUUAGUAGUGGCGUGAAGAUAGUGGCGCACCUGUAGUGCGCCAUUAAUGGCCAAAACAGGUGCGCCACUAAUUAGCCUUUUCCUAGUAGUGUGCUCAUCCACAAUGGAAGCGCCUCGCAGCGCCUCCAGCAGAUUAUCCGGUGCCCCUGGUUGGACAGGGGCACCAGCGGAAUAGGCAUCCCCCUUCUUUUGAAGGAGGUUGCGUGCCGGAUUUUGAAGCCGUAUCGGUCUCCGGAAUUAAGUCUGGCUGAGGGCCGAACUGAAUACGGUCCUCCCCACUAGUCUCCAUUCCCCUUUGUUUCCGACGAUGGGGGUUUCUCCUUCUGGCGCCUCCUGAGCCUCUCCCCCGUCUGGAACAGUCCUUCGGGACAGCACCUCCGCAUCGUGGUUGGCCUUGGGGGAGUGAGCGGCUUGCGGUGAAUCGCUGGCCAUCGCCUUGGAAUCUAGCGAGCCUCCUAACGAAGAUCGCGGGGAGCUGUUGUGGGCCGGACUACAAUAACAUAACCAAUCAUGUCAAUACCAUGAGGAGGAGAAACUUUAUGGGCGGAAAUAAGUCUUAGCCCUUACGAUGUGGCCCGUGGCUUAGUACGGGAGCGUGGCUCCGGACUGCUGUCAACGUCCCAUGCGGAGCUGCCCACGAGUGGGCCUUUCCCCUUCUUGGGUGCCUCCGCUUCUAGAAUGGUGGAGGCCUCCCUCUUCUUCUUCCCCUCAUCAGGGGGAGGGUUGUUUUCCUUCUCCUCCUCAUCAUCGUCGUCUUCGGCGGCAGAGGAAUGAGACUUGUCUUCGGACGUUGCGUCCGAAGCACCCUUGUGGCGGGGGCCACUCCAGACCCCCUUGGCCUUCCCUGUGGCCUUCUUCUCCGGCGCCUUGUAGGGCGCCGGCACCAGCAUCUUCGCUAAACACGGGAUGACUGGUUCUUUAGGCAGCGGAGCCGGACAUUGGAUCUGCUUCGCCCUCUCCAUCCAGUCCUGAAGAAUUGAUGACGAUAAAAGCAUAGACAUCAUCCUUGAAACAAGCAAGUAAGGGAUGCAGUAAGAAUAAUAUACCUCAUUGGCGAGGUGGUUGAUGUCAUGCCCGCGGUCCGAAUCUAUGGACGGCGGUGUUUCGUUGCUCUUAAUAAGCAACCUCGAGGCAUCUUCGUGAGUGGUUUCGAAGAGCCACUUCAGGGUAUGGUGCUUCUUCAGAUUGAAAUCCCAUAGGGGGCGGCUUCAGCUUUGGCAUGGAAGAAUCCGGUGAACUAGCAUCACCUGGAUUAUAUCGACGACCUUGAUAUCUUUAUCACCAAGCUUUGAAUGCGCAUUUGCAGCGCUGUCAGCUCGUCUUGCGAACAACAGUUCGGGCCCUUCUCGACCCAGGAAGUGAGUCGCAUGGGAGUGCCAGAGUUCAAUUCGGCAGUUGUGGCCCAGGUGGUGCCGCAGGGCUCUGUGAUAGAGAACCGAUGUUUCUGCCAUUCUUUUACAGUCUCCAUGAAAGUGCCUUUUGGCCAGGAGACAUUGUCCAACUUGCUCACCAUGGCGCCUCCGCACUCCGCAUGCUAGCCAUCCACCAUGUUCGGCUUCACAUUGAAGACCUUGAGCCACAACCCGAAGUGGGAUUGGAUGCGGAGGAAGGCCUCACACUCGACGAUGAACGCCGAUAUGUUGAGGAGGGAGUUCGGGAAUAGAUCAUGGAAGUCUAUCCUGUAGUAGAACAUCACCCCGCGAACGAAGGGGUGGGGUGGAAAUCCUAACCCGCGGAGGAAAUGAGGGAUGAAUACUACCCUCUAGUUGGUCUUUGAUGUGGGAACGAUUUGUCCCUGGGCCAGAAGGCGGUGGGCGAUUCCCUUCGCCAGGUACCUGGCCGACCGAAGCUCGGCGAUGUCCUCCUCCUGGACGGAGGAGGCCAUCCACUUGCCUUGACCUCCGGAUCUGGACAUGGUUGAGUGCUUGCUCGAGACGGAGAAGAUGAGAACUUGGGCGCUUGAGCUCAAGAGUGGAAGGGCAUAGGAAGAGAGAAGGCUUGGGAGAAGAAAAGGGAUUCUUAUCUCCUUAUAACGGCAGUAAAUAUCGAACGCCUCCCCACUUGCCUUAAAAUUCGCCUACUCCCAAGGCCUGUGUAGACGGCACGGUUGGGUUACCCAUGCCCGUAUUGAUGAGAAUCACAUAAUAAGGGGACACGAUCUCUGCUUUGACAAGACGUGCCAAUGGAAAUCGCAUCUCGAAACACGGGAUGGCAGACAAAACGGUUCGAUAUAGUGACCGGGCAGACGUGAUGUCAUGUUGUAAAAAUUGUCAGUGGAUGGGACUCGUGGAAAAUUAUAUUCUCUCUACGGUUGUGUGUGGUGUGUGUUAUAGGUCCGGACACGUUCAAUACAUCCGAAGACUACCUUGGAGUUCAGAAGGAGGAACCCGCCUUGCAAUGCCGAAGACAUAUCUAUGCGUCGGAUACCUUGUCAUUGAAGCCAGGUUCAGGGGCUACUGAGGGAGUCCUGGACUAAGGGGUCCUCAGGCAUCCGACCUGUUAGCCAUGGGCCGGACUGAUGGGAUGUGAAAAUACGAAGACAGAAGACUGUACCCUUGUCCGGACAUGACUCUCCUUGGAGUGGAAGGAAAGCUUGGCAACCAAAUAUGUAGAUUCCUUUCUUUGUAACCGACCUUGUGUAACCCAAGAUCCUCCCGGUGUCUAUAUAAACCGUAGGACUUAGUACGGAGGAGAUAUACAUUAUCAUAACCACAUAAGCUAGGCCUCUAUGGUUUAGCCAUUAUGAUCUCGUGGUAGAUCAACUCUUGUAAUACUCAUAUUCAUCAAGAUCUAUCAAGUAGGACGUAGGGUAUUACCUCCAUAGAGAGGGCCCAAAACUGGGUAAAACAUUGUGUCCCCUGUCUCCUGUUACCAACAACCUUAGACGCACAGUUCAGGACCCCCUACCCGAGAUCCGCCGGUUUUGACACUGACAAUGACCUUGAUUUAUGCCGUCUUUUCCAUUCAUACAUUGCUUGUCCUCCCGUGCCUUUGAUGUAUCUUUUGUCUUCCCAUACACUCCCAAGAAAUCAAGCAGGGUCACGCAAAUAUUGUUCGUCAUGUGCAUCACGUCGAUUGCAAAGCUGGCCUCUAGGUCUUUCCAGUAGGGCAGGUCCCAAAAUGUAGAUUUCUUCUUCCACAUGAGUGCAUGUCCGUCAGCAUCAUUCGGAACAGGUUGUCUGCCAGGACCCUUUCCAAAGAUUACCUUCAAAUCCUUGACCAUAUCAUGUACAUCAGCACCAUUACGGUGGCGAGGCUUCAUCCGGUGAUCCGGCUCACCUUCGAAAUGCUUGCCUUUCUUUCUUACGGGAUGCCUGCUCAGAAGAAAUCGACGAUGUCCCAGGUACACAUUCUUCUUACAAUUAUUCAAAUAUAUACUUUAGGUAUCAUCCAAACAGUCGGUGCAUGCGCAGUAUCCUUUGUUUGUCUGUCCUGAAAGGUUACUAAGAGUCGACCAAUGAUUGAUGGUGACGAACAGCAACGCCUUUAGGUCAAAUUCUUCCCCCAUGUACCCAUCCCACACACGUACACCUUUUCCAUUCCACAGUUGUAAGAGCUCAUCAACUAAUGGCCUUAGUUACACAUCAAUGUCAUUGUCGGGUUGCUUAGGGCCUUGGAUAAGCACUGGCAUCAUAAUGAACUUCCGCUUCAUGCACAACCAAGGAGGAAGGUUAUACAUACAUAGAGUCACAGGACAGGUGUCGGUGUCAAAACCGGUGGAUCUCGGGUAGGGGGUCCCUAACUGUGCGUCUAAGGUCGAUGGUAACAGGAGACAGGGGACACAAUGUUUUACCCAGAUUCAAGCCCUCUCUAUGGAGGUAAUACCCUACGUCCUGCUUGAUUGAUCUUCAUGAAUAUGAGUAUUACAAGAGUUGAUAUACCACGAGAUCGUAAUGGCUAAACCCUAGAGGCCUAGCUUGUAUGGUUAUGAUAAUGUCUAUCUCCUCCGGACUAAGUCCUCCGGUUUAUAUAGACACCGGGAGGAUCUAGGGUUACACAAGGUCGGUUACAAAGAAAGGAAUCUACAUAUUUGGUCGCCAAGCUUUGCUUCCACGCCAAGGAGAGUCCUAUCGGGACACGGGGGCAGUCUUUGGUCUUCAUAUCUUCACAACCCAUCAGUUCGGCCCAUGGCUAACAGGCCGGACGGCCGGGGACCCCUUACUCCUGGACUGCCUCAGUAGCCCCUGAACCUGGCUUCAAUCAAAAGAUAUCCGGCGUGUAGGCAUGUCUUCAGCAUUGCAAGGCGGGUUCCUCCUACCGAACUCCAAGGCAGUCUUUGGAUCUAUUGAAUGUGUCCGGACCUGUAACACACAGCACACACAACCGUAGAGAGAAUAUAAUUUUCCAUGAGUCCCAUCCCUUGACAACUUUUUACAACAUGACAUCAUGUCUGCCAGGUCACUAUAUCGAACCAUUUUUUCUGCCAUCCCGUGUUUCAAGAUGCGAUUUCCAUUGGCACGUCUUGUCAAAGCAAAGAUUGUGUCCCCUUAUUGCGGUAUUCUCAUUAACACGAGCGUGGGUAACCCAACCGUUCUAUUGAAAAGGUCCCUUAGUAAUAGGCAGGCUUUUAGGCCAAGAGGAGGCGUUUAAUUCCUGCUGCCUUUAUAAAGGAACCAAGGGCCGUCCUUUUUGACGCCAAACUUCUCCCCAGCCUAUCCAACCUUGAGUUCUAGCAUCCAAGGUUUCGACUUCGUUGCUCCAAGCUUCCCCAUCAUGUCCGGACCCAGCCUUCAAGGCCGAUGGGUGGCUUCCUCUGUUACAGAGGAGGACAUUGCGAAGCUUCGAGCGGCCAGAUACCUGACCGCGGAAAUCCACCACAGGCUUCCUGCUCAAGGGCAGGUUAUCCCGACCCCCAGAUCUGGCAAGAGGGUUGUAUUCAUCUCACACUUCCUUCUAGGGCUAGUGCUCGCUCUUGAUCCCUUCAUCCGGGGCUAAUGUUCUAUUAUGGACUAGAUUUUCAUGAUCUAGCCCCAGAGUCUUUCCACCAUGUCUCGACAUUCAGCAUUACGUGCGAGGCCUUCCUCCGAAUCCCCCCACACUUCGGCUUAUGGCUCAAGACCUUCAGUGUAAAACCAAAGGUAGUCGAUGGGGAACAGGUGGAGUGUGGCGGUGCCGUAGUCAGCCAGCUCACCAACACUCCUUGGCCAAAAGGCUCUUUUACCGAAACUCCCAAUCAAUGGCAACGAGAGUGGUUUUACGUUACGGAGCCCCGCAGCACCAGGUGGGUAGUUGCACCCUCGUUUCGCACUGGCCCACUGUUAUAGCUUGCAUCAUGGGCCAACAAGGGGCUGGAUUGGGGAUCAGUUGAUUAAGUGCGGACUCUACAAAGCCGCAUCCAAACCCUCCUCGAGAGGGACAUCGAUCUUGUCAGCGUGAUUCAAGUAAUGCUGAUUCGCCGAAUCGUACCAUGCCAGCAUAGGCCUCUCCGUAUGUGGGAAUUCAAUCCAGAAGGACCACGAACCCUCCAACACUUCUUCGGCAUUAAGCACAAAGGGAUGUGGAAGUUGUUUUUCGGAAAACGAAAACAUUGGCCGGAUACUACUGAGGACACAUGCCUCGACUGCAACCGUCUGGAUACCCCGGUAAGCACUUGACUUCCGAACACCCCUUUUUUAAGUAUGCCGUAAUACAUUAUUGAGCAAACUAUCUCCUUCCAGGGAUGGAUAAAGAAAGCGGAGCUGAGUAGGUGUCCGGUCCCCCUUCCUGAAGGUUCAGCGGAUCCUGUAACAAGGAUGCUAGCCCCGGCACCAUACCAGAUGCCUAUGAAGGAGGGCAAGGAAGUGAGGACCAAAGAUGCUCCCCAUCCCGAAGGUGUGCGAGACAUUGUGUCUGGAGGAAUCAAGAUUCCAUCGUUCGAAGACAAAAAUGACGGGGAGGUCAACGUCUCUUCCCCCCAUGGGAAGAAAAGGGCCGCCUCCGAAGAUUGGGAGGAAAAGGCCCCUAAGCGAGGCAGGAUGCCUUCUUCGGGUGGCUCGGGCUUGGAGGACAACGUCAUUGCACAGUCCCAUGAUGAGGACAAGCCUCAGGCCAAAUCGUAAGUGAACAAGGGUGUUUUAAACACGUCCCGUCCCUUUCUUAUAAUGUCUAGAAUAUAUGUUUUUUGCAGUUCGACAUGCAGUCUUCUUCAACAAUCCUCUUCCUCGGGGGAUCUUCUCCCGGAGAUGAUGGAAAGCGAGACACCUCCACCAAACUCCUUGCCCAACAGGGCGGACGACUUCGAGUUGUCAUCACGGGGGGUCUCUUCCGAUCAACAAGUGGUGCGAGGGAUGAUGAAGACACAACCCGAAGAUGAUACUUCGGUGGCCCCGGGUCCGGGGACCAACAAUAAAGGCCCCGAACAUUCCGGUCUACAGCCGGAUACGAAUAAACGGAUCCCUUAAAAGGGAGGCCGUACUCCUACAGAAGCCUUCGAAAACCCAGAGGCGCCGGAUAUAUUGACGAACAUGCUGUGACAGUCGUCCGUCUCAGAGGAACAUCGUACCUUGAUGGGAACGGUGGUCGAAAAGGUCGUGGCCGUGAAAAGCGGAUUGAAUGAGGCCUUCAUGGGCCUGCUAAGAGGCUUCGAGGUUUGUAUCGUAAUAUGUUCGAUUGUGUUUUAUUCAAGAAUACGCAUGUGUAUAGAUAGUAGCCCCUGAGACUCUGAUUGGCUUCCGAGGGAGGCGAUUAGAGGAUCAAAAGAUAUGCCCAGGAAGUAAUAUGAUUAAUUGGAACACAGCCUGUGACCUCCCCGGAAACUGUCCGGACUAUAGAGAUUGCGGAUUUGCAACACAAGAUUGAUGAGGCAGAUACUAUAUGGCGCUUAUCAACAGGCGUCUUGACGAGUCAGAAGGUACGUGUGUGGAGCAAUCCUUACAUAUACGUGUUUGUAAUAUAAGCGUGACACUGAAAGUUGAUACUAGAAUAUGCAUGGAUGUAGAUGGUGCCGCCACCGUUGAGAUGCUUUGGGCGGAGCUGGCCCGGGACAAGGAGUAGGCCCAGUUUAGUGAUGCAGCUGCCGAAAAAGCAUUGGCCGAGUUAAAGGCCGAACAAGCUGCUCUGCACCAAGACGAGGAUAAAAUAUCCUUGAUGGCACUCGAACUAAAAAAUGCUACUACCCGCUGUAAAUUCCUAGAGAAGGAGAAUAAAGACCAAGCGGCUGAGCUUGACAAGGCCUUGCGAGAGGCGAAAGAAGCGCGGUCCGAAUCUAGAGCGACCCGUGAGAAGAUCUGGCAAGCUGGGGAGAUUGCAGCUGGUAAGCACUUUUUAUUACAGACUAAGUUCAGUGAACCGGAUUAUGGUCAGCUUAACCAUGUGUGGAGUUCUCCAGACGUGUUUUUGGACCUACCGAAGAGUUCAUCCGAUGCGGCGAAGUUUUACCAAGAGGAAGAGGGAUAUGCAAUGGAGAACCUUUUCUGGUCACAGUUCAGCGCAUCAAAACGCCCUCUGCUACUGAAUGAACAAAUGUCCCAAUGGGCCGAGCUUCAUAGGAUGUCCGGCGCUACCAUGAAGAACGUCAUACUUCAGCUGUGGCCGACUGAGCCAAUUCCGAAUAGCUAUUUCGGCUUGGUGCAACGGCUUGCUGAUGCGGUGCUAUGUAUCGACGUCGUGAAGCGGUCGGCGUGCAUUGAAGGUGCAUGGAUGGCCUUUGCCCGAGUCAAGGUAUACUGGGGGAAGAUCAAGGCCAUCCAUGUUGCAGCGCAAGGUCCACCCAAGGUCAAGGACCAUCACACGCCAGAGCAUUACUUUGAGGACGUCUUAGAGGCUUCCCGGUUAAUAGAGGGUCAAUGUUCGAAAGACAUAAUAUUCGAGUGAACUCUUUACGAAUUGUAAAAGACAAUUGUUAUAAUCAGUCUAUAUUUUGAUUUUGCCUAAAGGAUUUUGUUCCUCCUGUGCGGCCGUUUGUAUAUGAACUGAAAGUUUUCUAGUCGUCGGCUUCAGCCCCCUCAUAGGAUGUACGGGGGUGUUCAAAAAAGCAUCUGAUCACUCUUGACCCAACGUCUUGGUCCGUGAAGGAGGUGUUAAUGUCCUGAACCAGGCAACCAGACUAUAGGGCAUUAACACAUUCACUUAGCCAUAGGAGUUUUAUGGUGGGUCUACGACAUAUCCCCUAUUAUGUAUGCGGCUUAUUCAUACGAUGUGUUUACAUAUUUGACCGGAAGGAGGUCCUUCGUGUGACACGAAGGGAAUCGUCAAAGAUUCCGAUAAGUCAUCGAGUGGUUGACCAGUUCUCGCCGCAUCAUGACAGUCAGUUUUUGGCUUUCUCAACUGAGGUGCUUAACCAGGUGAACCGGAAGCACAAUCACAGUAGUUCUCUCUUUACUACCCUAGCCGUUAGAGCGGAACGUAGGAUAGCAAGCACAGGAGCCGGGCAACCCAACGAUUGACCCAAGACAUGAUUCGGAGCUGAUGCAUAUAAGGCCAAACUCAUGACAUUGCAGUACUCUAUAGAGCUGUUCGGACUUUGUCGGCAACUCGUUUGUUCCCAUACCGAGCCCCUGGCAAGUUAUGCUGAUGUGUACGUUUGAGACAACCGUAGGGGCAAAACUCGGUCCUUUUAGAAAAGAAUGGAAUAUUUUUACUAUGAUCUGAGUGAUGUGCCAAUCAUUUAUAUAGAUAACAAAGUCGCAACCCCGGCUAUUUGAUAUGCCAGGGGUCGAAGGCGGAGGAGAAAGGCACUUUACAGGCUCGAAAUAGAGAGUGCGGUCUACAAAAAGUUAUUUUUGACCUCCUGUCGCACGUCUGCAUCGCCUGUCCUCGGUGAAGGGACUCCUUGACGAAAAUAGCCCUUGGGUGAGUGUACGAACCCGAACUCUGAUAGUGUCCGGGGCCAGCCAUUGAGCCACAUGUGGAGGGAAACGAGAAAAAGCAAGAAGAAAAAAUAGUUAGAAAAAGGUUAUGGGAGUACUUUUAGGUCCGUCCGUAUUGUGCUUCCGCCGGUGCCCAGGGUAUUUAAGUGUGUAGUUAUGUAUGCACGGCGGAAUCCGAACUGCUAGUCCUGUAUGGGAUUUGAACAGUCGUGUUGAAUGGAGACCGGUGGCUUAAUGGCCGACGAGGUAUGCAGUGUAAUGCCCCCGUUGUGUAGUUCGGCUGAGGUAGCCGUAGUGUGAUCCUCUGCACGGAGAGAGUGCUCCAUGCAUUCCCCUGUAGGGGACUGUGUCAUGUGUACCAUGUUCACUGUCUUUACUUCGGGGGGAAACUGCUUCUGACCCCCGGUGUUUGGUUGGCGCGUUUCGUCGUCGUCGUCAUCACUGGGAGGCUUCUUCCCUUGUAUUCGACAUUUAACUUGCUGGCCUGUUUGAAGACCCAACAGCUUCUAUUGGUGUGGUUAGCUGGUUUAUUGGGGUGGCCAUGAAUCUAGCAGGGCCUAUCCAAUAUCUUAUCCAAAUUGGAUAGUCCAUCUCUUUUUACCUUGAAUGGCUUCUUUCGUUGACCGGGUUUGGGGCUGCUGAAUCCGGUGUUGACCGUUGUGUCUUGCGCUCCCCCAUUACUAUUGCCACGUUUGUGCUUAUUGUGUCGUGGUUUCCCGUUGCCAUCUCGAACUUUGGAAGUGCCCGGGUCGCUGGCGCUAUUGCUUCUACGAGCGAGCCAGCUGUCUUCUCAAGCGCAAAAGCGGGUCAUGAGAGUGGUAAGGGCUGACAUGGAUUUUGGUUUUUCCUGGCCGAGGUGGCGGGCGAGCCACUCGUCCCGGACACUGUGUUUAAAGGCCGCCAGGGCUUCCGCAUCUGUACAGUUUACGAUUUGGUUCUUUUUAACUAAGAACCUAGUCCAGAGCUUCCUGGCUGACUCUCUGGGCUGUUGGACGAUGUGACUUAAGUCAUCGGCGACUGGUGGCCGGAUGUAUGUACCUUGGAAGUUGUCACGGAAGGCGUCUUCCAAAUCUUCCCAGCUGCCGAUAGAGUUUUCAGGCAGAUUGUUUGACCAGUACCUUGCUGGUCCUUUGAGUUUUAGUGGGAGGUAUUUGAUGGCCUGAAGGUCAUCUCCUCAAGCCAUAUGAAUAUGGAGAAGAAAAUCCUCGAUCCAUACCGCGGGAACAGUUGUUCCAUCAUAUGAUUCGAUUUUCACGGGUUUAAACCCUGCUGGGAAUUCAUGCUCCAUUACUUCGUCGGUGAAGCAAAGUGGGUGUGCGGCGCCUCUAUAUUAGGCAACGUCACGACGUAGCUUAGAUGGAGUCCAUCUGCGGUUUUCGGCCCAGGCGUGACUAGACUUGUCCCGCCCGAAUAGGUAGCCGACGUUGCGUGUCGAGGCACGUCCUCGCGAUCCGUAGAUCGAUCUGGUAUGUCCUGCUCUACUGUCCAGGUCCUGCCGAGGGUCGUAUGUAUGACCCCAAGCUGUUUUAUCUCUAUUUUUUCUUUGGAGUGAGGCGGGCUGCUGUUCGGCUUGAGCUGUCGCUUUAUCCCGACUGCAUGGUGGUCGGUUAGCUGCAUUGUCCCGAUCGCGUGGUACAGGCUCCGGCGCUUCCUUAGCGAACUGAAGUAGCCAUCUGCACUGCGGGUAACCCUUGGUUGUGCGCCUGGGGCCGUAUUCUUCGGCCACUAGGAUAUUUUUCCAUUUAUCGUUGAGCAGGUCUUGGUCAGCUUGAAGCUUCUGAUGUUUCUUUUUGAGUCUCCUUGCAGUGGCUAAUAGCCGGCGUUUAAAGCGCUCCUGCUCAAGAGGUUCCUCGGGCACGAUGAAAUCCUCAUCGCUGAGGAUCUCCUCAUGCUGGGAGAGUGGAAGAUAAUUACUGUCCUUCGAGUCUUUGUGUAUGGCCUAUUCAUGCGGGCUAUUAUGCCCGUCUUCUAGUUCAUCAUGUUCGGAUGUUGCCCCAACAGGGGCUUCAUUGUCUUCGGCAUCGUCCAAGGUGUUGUUUUCUCCGGUGCCGGUAUUACUGUCUUUUGCACGACGUGACUUAGAGCGGCGCCGCUGACGCCAGCGCCUGGGCUAUGUCUCAGGAGGUUUAGCCUCAAAUAGAUCUUCUUUGUCAGCUUCGUUAGUUUGUUUAGGUUUAUCCACCAUGUAUACGUCAUAAGAAGAAGUGACCGUCCUGUGUCCGGUGAGUGGCGGGUUUAGGCCUGGCUCUUCUCCGGCAUCGUCGUCUAUAUCGUCGAAGUCUUCGGAGCCGUAAUCGAGCAUGUCGGUUAAGUCCUCGACAAUGGCUAUGGAGUGGGUGGCGGGUGGGAAGCAAUAUUAUCCAUCAUCAGCCCCUAGUUCGAACCGAACGUAGUUCUACUGUGAGUCCCCCGCCAAGGACAGGUUUUUAAUGAGUUUAGCAUGUCACCCAAAGGCGAGUGCUAGGAGAUGACUGCGGCGCUGAAUUCGAAGACUGAUAAACGAUCAAUUUUGACGUUUGCGGGCUCACAUGGUUCAGAGCAUAUGGACGGAGAUGAGUCCGGAGUUCCGGUGGCACAGGUAUCGUGUGAGAUCAAGUCUAUGUGCGGCUCCAACGCCGGGGAAUCUGUGGCCUCCGUGGCGGGGUUGAGCUUCCCGUACUUGGAUGGCGCAGUUUGUUCCGGAUCUAAGGCCAGAGCGGUUACGGGAGUUGUCUCCUGGAUGCAGUCCGAUGAAAGAUUUAGGCCAUGUCUCUCGGGGUGAUCAGGAGUGGUCGCCGCGGUCUCGAAUCCGGCGAAGAUCAAGUCUCCACGAAUGUCCGCAACGUAGUUUAAGCUCCCAAAUCUGACCUGAUGGCCCGGGUCAUAGCUUUCGAUCUGCUCCAGAUGGCCAAACGAAUUGGCCCGUAGAGCGAAGCCGCUGAACACAAAGAUUUGUCCGGGGAGGAAAGCUUCUUCGUGGACAACGUCAUUAUUGACAAUUGAAGGGGCCAUCAAACCUUUUGGCGACAGUACAGUGGAACUCUCAAUGAAAGCACCAAUGUCGGUGUCAAAACCGGCGGAUCUCAGGUAUGGGGUCCCGAACUGUGCGUCUAAGGUCGAUGCUAACAGGAGACAGGGGACACAAUGUUUACCCAGGUUCGGGCCCUCUAUAUGGAGGUAAUACCCUACGUCCUACUUGAUUGAUCUUGAUGAAUAUGAAUAUUACAAGAGUUGAUCUACCAUGAGAUCGUAAUGGCUAAGCCCUAGAUGCCUAGCUUGUAUGGUUAUGAUAAUGUCUAUCUCCUCCGAACUAAGUCCUCCGGUUUAUAUAGACACCAGAAGGAUCUAGGGUUAUACAAGGUCGGUUACAAAGAAAGGAAUCUACACAUUUGGUUGCCAAGCUUGCCUUCCACACCAAGGAAAGUCCUAUCUGGACAUGCGUGCAUUCUUCGGUCUUCGUAUCUUCCUCACCAUGGCUAACAGGCCGGAUGCCCGAGGACCCCUUAGUUCAGGACUCCCUCACCAGGUGCUAUGGUUGCUGCUCUGCUUCCCAAAAGGAUUAAUGCCAUCUGUGCUUAGACCAAACCAUACAUUCCUCGCAUCACCUGCAAAGUCCUCCCUAUACUUUCUCUCAAUUUUUCUCCACUGCGAGCCAUCAGCGGGUACUCUCAACUUCCCGUCUUUCUUAUGGUCUUCUCUGUGCCAUCGGAUCGCCUUGGCAUGCUCUUUGUUUUGGAACAAACGUUUCAACCAUGGUAUUAUAGGAGCAUAUCACAUCACCUUGGCAGGAAUCUUCUUCCUGGGGCGCUUGCCCUCGACAUCACCAGGAUCAUCGCGACUGAACUUAUAGCGCAAUGCACCGCAUACCAGGAACGUGUUCAAAUCCGCAUACUCACCGCGGUAGAGGAUGCGGUCAUUAGGGCAUGCAUGUAUCUUCUGCACCUCUAACCUUAGAGGGCAGACAGUCUUCUUUGCUUCGUACAUACUCUCAGGCAAUUCAUUGUCUUUGGAAGCAUCUUCUUUAACAUUACCAGCAACUUCCCAAAUCCCUAGUCAGAUACACCAUUCUCUGCCUUCCGUUGCAGCAAUUCCAGUGUGGUGUCCAGCUUUUUCUUCUCACCUUCACAAUUCGGGUACAACAAUUUGUUGUGAUCCUCUAACAUGCACUGCAACUUCUUCCUCUUCUUUUCACUUGCGCAGUUUCUCUCUGCAUCGGUAAUGGCCCGACCUAGAUCAUUAGCCGGCUCAUCUGAUGCCUCUUCUUCAGCUUCUUCCCGCAUUGCCGGCUCAGCUUCUUCCCCCAUUGUUGUAUCAUCGUAUUCAGGGAACCCAUGCCAGGAUAGCUCUCGUCGUCCUCUUCUUCUUCAUUGUCUUCCAACAUAACCCCUCUUUCUCUAUGCUUGGUCCAAACAUUAUAGUGGGGCAUGAAACCGGACUCAAACAGGUGGACGUGAAUGGUUCUUCAGUUAGAGUAAUUGUGAUCAUUCUUACAGCCAGCACAUGGACAAGGCAUAAAACCAUCCGCCCGCUUGUUUGCCUUGGCCGUAAGAAGAAAAGUAUGCACGCCAUCAACGAACUGGGGAGAGCAUCGGUCAUCGUACAUCCAUUGCUGGCUCAUCUUCAUUACACAACACCGAAUAGACCAAAUGAAUACAAGUUCAUACAUAAAGUUCAUACAACACUUAUUCUCAUAAAACAAACAUACAAAUGACUCUCUAGCUAAAGCAUUUAAAUGCAACAACAAAUGCGAUCAAGAUCACAACUAAGGUAGCAAUUGAUCCAACAGCAUAAUGAUACCAAGCCUCACUAUCAAUGGCAUAUUUUCUAAUCUUUAUAUUCUUCAAGAGCGUUUUCUCCAUCUUGAUCAUGUGAUCAUCGACGACAUCGGCAACAUGCAACUCCAAUUCCAUCUUCUCCCCCUCAAUUAUUUUCACUUUUCUUUCAAAUACUCAUUUUCUCGUUCAACUAAAUUUAACCUCUCGACAAUAGGGUCGGUUGAAAUUUCCGAUUCACAUACCUCCUAGAUAAAAAUCUCUAUGUCAACUUGAUGGGCAUAAUUUGUCAUAAACACGAAAUGCAACAAAUAGUUAUAAAAGAGAAUAUACCACAUCUGAAUCAUAACCCAGACGAGGGCUAACGGGGACGGAUAUCAAAACCAUGGCAUUAUGAAUAACAAACAAUGUACGGGUAAGAUAAUUAUACAAGUAACUAUAUAUCUAAAUCACACAAACUUGAUUUUUUAUAGAAAAAAUAUAAGGACAAGAGGCUCACCACAAUGUGGUGCCGGCGACGGAACGGUGCGAACGAUCGACGGUGGUUAGGACGGAGACGGGAAGGCACUAAAUAAACCACACCUACAUAUGCAAACUAAGAGUUAUUUUGAGCUCAAAUUGCAUAUAAGUCAAAUAAACUACCACAUAUAAUUCCUCCCAAAUUACUAAAACCCACAAAUUAAUCACUAUAUAAACCAUUGCAAGAGCUAAUGUAGCAAUGAGAGAUGGAAAGGACAAAGUUGCUUACCUUUGUGAUCACUUGAAUGGAUGGGGGCCUUCAAAUCUUGACAAAACUUGGGCAAAAUGUGCGAUGAGCUCGAGGAACGGGUGAAGAAUAGAGAGGAGAGGAGAAUGGGGAAAACAGUGCGAGCUCGAUCGCGGGUGGAUGAAGGGUUUAUAUAGAACGACCUUUAGUACACUGGUUCGUGGCACGAACCGGUACUAAAGGUGUUAUCCUGCCAUCACUCUCUUUAGCACCGGUUCAUGUCAUGAACCGGUACUAUUGAGAGCAGUCUGCCUAGCCAUUGGAACCGACACUAAUGGUCACAUUAGUGCUGGCUCAAAUACAAACCGGGACUAAUGAGAUGAACAUUAGGCCUUUUUUGUACUAAUGCAGUGAGCUACUUCUGUGGAGAUAGGUGUUAACUCAAACAUAGUAAUGCCAAUGUGCAAGUGCUCCUUCCGGUAGUGUUAAAGUGCUUGACAUGCAGGGCUCUGCAGGAUCAUAUAUAGCAUCCGAUGUACUCUUCCUAUUUAAGAGCAAAAGUAGUAUCACCAUUCGCACACAAAUAAAAUCCUACUCCCGCCAGAGGAAAAGUGAUGAAUACAGUGAAAGUUAUUGCAACACAUCUCAUAUGUCGCGCCAUGCACAAAAAAACUACUUAGGGUUAAGAAGCAUCAGAGUUUGCGCUCGUGAAUGGAGUGCGGCGAAUCUGCACCCGGGCUCAGCUACACCCCCGCUCACGGAAAAAAUCAAAACAAAUACAGAACAAAUUCAAAAAAUUCCAAAUUUUUUGUGUGUGAUAGAUAAUUAGAUGCGUGAGGUUCGCUGAAAACUCAACUCGUUUGGACAUUUGAGCAAGUCUGUGCAAAAAAGAAAAAAUCGGGGUCUGUAAAAUAGUUUACUGUUCAUGAGCUGUUUUGACCCGAUUUGUCUUUUUUGCCGAGACCUACUCAGAUAUCCAAAUGAAUUGAAAUUUGGAACGGGCCUCACACAUCAAAUUAUCUACCACACAAAAAAAUUAGAUUUAUUUGAAUUUUUCUAGUAUUUGUUUUGAAUUUUUUUCUGACCGGGAGCAGCUAAGCCCGGGCUCCAAGAUGAAUUAUGGCUCAUGAAUGUAGCUAGUCAAGUGUUUGGAGUUUACAUUAAAAAAAAUUAGGGCUCGUUUGGAUUGUGCCUACAUACACCAGCCCUACCAAACCGUGUGCGUACCAAAAUUAUCGGCAAACAAAUUCAACGCGAGGGAAAUCCACGGUCAUAAAAACUCGAGGGUCAACCAAAACUUCGGCUCAGUUUGAAAAAUUGGGGUCAGGUAAACACAUGCUCAUAGUGCUAUGUUUGUUUACUGAGUGGUGCAAUACUAACACAAUAUACGUAGCUUGCGCAUGAUAUUGUAUGCCGGCCCGUACGCAUCCCAUGUUUGGAACACCAUGCAUACAUCUUUAAAUGGAACAACCUAGUAUAUUAUCUCUGGUCCGUAAUAUCAAUCCCGGAUGAUAUCCCAGAGUCAUAAAACUUAAGAAAUAUUUGAUAAAAGUAUAACAUACUUGAUCUCAGACAUUUAAACAAUAGACUAAUCUGUAGUGUGUUUUUCUAUUAAUCCAUCUCUUACAUACAAAUUGUAAGGCAUCUAAGUUUUUUCCUAAGUCAAUGCUUUUUUUCCCUCUGUCGUCGAAAAGUGCACAUAUAUAAAUUUUAAGAAAGAUUGUAGAGUGGAGUAGAAAAUGAAUUGGGAAAGUGCAAGCCACCAUCUCUCUCAUCUUUAACUACCCCACCUCCAAUGAGAUAGUGCGUGUAGAAAGUGAGGAGAUCAUUAGUUAAAUGUUAUUGGUCUUGAUUCAUGUGUGAUGAAAGAGAAACAUUUUUUUCUACUUGAAAGUGCAUUGAGAAGAUAGAAGGAGGGAGGGCAGUGAUUCGUGCUUAGGCCCAUCUGCACCGCGGUGAAGACAAAUUCAAAACAAAUACUAGAAAAGUUCGAAAAAAAUCCCAAAAAAUGUCCAACGGAUAAUUUGGUGUGUGGGAUGCGCUCCAAAUUUAGAACAUUUGGACCUUUGAGUAGCUCUGGCAAAAAAGACAAAUUUGGGGUCAGUAAUUUUUUUUAUUUUCAUGUACUAUUCUAAUCCAAUUUGCCUUUUUUAGCUACUCGUAUGUCCAAAUGAUCUGAAAUUUGGAGCCCAUCUCAUGCACCAAAUUAUCUACCUCGAAUAUUAUUUGGAAGUUUUGAAUUUGUUUGAAUUUUUUGUGAAUUGUUUCUUGACCGAGUGCUCAGAAAUGAAUAUUCAUAGAAGUAUACUCUUUUGUGGACCAAUUUUGAUUGCUAAACUUACACUUAUUUAAGGAUGGAGAGAGUAAGUUUGAUCAAGUGUGUUCAAAAAUAAUCAAUACAAUAAAGCCGGCGUGAAAAAUAUUUUCCUCGUGUACUUUUCAAUAUUGUAGUUAUUAAUAUAUAUUUAUUUUAAAAUUUGUUCAAACUUAGAAAACUUUGAUUUAGGACAAAAAUUAUAACACCUUAGAGCAUCUCCAAUAUAAGAUGCAAAUAUGGAGAUGUAAAAAUUUACAUCUUCAAAAUGUACUUUUUGCAUAUCCAAAAAAGGACCAACUCCAACGGAUGAUGCAAAACAUAGAUGUAAAAGUGCAACUCGAAUAGGUGAUGUAAACUGGAGAUGCAAAACCGGUCAGCAGCCGUGCGGCCGCUAUAGCUGCUGUUGAGGUGCUGUACAGCCAUUGUAUAGCCGCACUAAUUGAAAUAAACAUUAGAUAAUAAACUUAAAAAUUGCACAUGUCUACAAUAUACAAUUAUUACAUAGUUCAUCAAAUCCACAAGAUUAAAUGCAACACACAUGCAACAUAGUUAUGCACAAUACACAAACAAAUAAAUGAAACUAGGCGCCUCUUUCGCCAAGAUAUUUCCAAUACUCCUCCAACAGAUCCUUCUGAACUUGAUCGUGCACAUCGGAGUCUCUAAUUUCAUUGUACACCUUCAUGAAGCGUUUGAUUCGCUCCUCUUUUCUCAUGGGCAUAAAGCGUAUGCCCAUCAAGUGAUAGAAUGUGUAAUCUAAACAUUGUCCAUGCUCAUUCUUAAUGAUCAUGUUAUGCAUGAUCACGCAAGUAGUCAUGAUAUACCAAAUGGUUUUUUGAUCCUAGAAUCUAGAUGGUCCUCGCACAAUAGCAAAUUGAAAUUGCAAAAUCCCAAAAGUCAUGUCAACAUCUUUCCUAGCCGCCGCUUGUGCAUUGUGAAAGAUGAGUUCUUUCUUACCUUGGUGUUUUGCAAUUGGCUUGACAAAAGUACUCCACCUACAGUAGAUGUCAUCCGCAAGAUAGUACCCGUAGUUAUAUGUGCGGCCAUUUGCUUCAAAGGUCACCGGUGAUGCUUCUUCAUUUUCUAACUUGGAAAAAAGAAGUAACCGGUCGAGCACGUUAAUGUCACUGCAAGAUCCAGGCAUCCCAAAAUACGAAUACCAAAUCCAUGUUUCUUGAUCAGCAACGACCUCAAUAAUGAUAGUGUUAUCCUUCCCACGACCCUUGAACUGUCCAUGCCAUUCUCUUGAGCAAAUUUUCCACUUUCAAUGCAUGCAAUCGACGGACCCUACCAUAUAACUGGAAACCCAUGAGCUUUGUUCAUCUCCAACAACCUCUGAGUGUCCUGAGCAUUGGGAGAUCUCAAAUACUCUGCACCAAACACUUCUACAAUAGCCUUUGUAGAUUGUUUGACAUAGAAGAUAGAAGUGCUCUCUGCCAUCGCCAAGUUGUCAUCAAUGUAGUCUGCAGGAACACUGUAGGCCAUCAUGCGCAACGCGGCGGUGACCUUCUGUUCGGUGCUAUGUCCAAGCAACCCUACACAAUUCCUCCUCUGCUCGAAGGAUCGAUCAUACUGCUUCACGGAAUUGCAAAUGUGGAUGAACAAGUCUUUGGACAUUCUCAACCCGUGUCAAAAGUUCCUCUCCGGAAAAAUGGGUGGUGAACCGAAGUAGUUGGCGCAUCAACCUCUUGUGUGCAUCAACCCAUUCUCUCUGAUUGAACGCACGACCAUACACGGAACCACCGUGCUUUGGCUUCUUCCCCUUGUGCAUUGCCACUAGCAUUGCAUUCUCCUCUUCUUCGUUUAAAUCAAAUUCCUCAUCCGACGAGGAAUCAUCCACGAAAUACAAGUCACAUGAGCUCAUCUACAAUGCGGAAAAUCACCAACAAACUACUUUCCACCCCUAACAAGAAAAUGUCAAGUUUCAACAUUUUUUACCUUCAGGAAUUUCGUCAAACACCUUGCUUGUGGGGUGGACGAAAUCGACCGGCUAAGGGUUGGGAAGCCGUCGACGGUGGUGGGUGCGGGCGACGACGGCUGCAUGGCAGAACAGAUGGUCACACGUCGGCGGGAGCUCCGCGCGGCAGGCGGGCGGCUUCGCACGGCCGGAAGAAUGGACGAGCCUCGCGGCUGUCGGCGGGCGGAGUGGCGCGCCUCCAAUAACUCCGGCGGGGGGUCAAGGCUUGGAUGAAGCCUACCCCAUCGUAGACGUCGCCGGGGAAGGCGUUUAGGCCAGCCAUAGCCACCGAAGAAGCUUGGACUCGGCGGCGGCCGAAAGUAAAUCGGUGGCUCUAGACGGCGGGCCGGCGAGGCAGGCGGAGAGGGAUGGGGGGUGGGCGGAGUCGNNNNNNNNNNNNNNNNNNNNNNNNNNNNNNNNNNNNNNNNNNNNNNNNNNNNNNNNNNNNNNNNNNNNNNNNNNNNNNNNNNNNNNNNNNNNNNNNNNNNNNNNNNNNNNNNNNNNNNNNNNNNNNNNNNNNNNNNNNNNNNNNNNNNNNNNNNNNNNNNNNNNNNNNNNNNNNNNNNNNNNNNNNNNNNNNNNNNNNNNNNNNNNNNNNNNNNNNNNNNNNNNNNNNNNNNNNNNNNNNNNNNNNNNNNNNNNNNNNNNNNNNNNNNNNNNNNNNNNNNNNNNNNNNNNNNNNNNNNNNNNNNNNNNNNNNNNNNNNNNNNNNNNNNNNNNNNNNNNNGGGCAGGUGGAGGCUGGUCUCACGGAAGGGAAAGGAACUGGCAGUUGGGCGGUUGGCGGGCCGUCGCGUUUUUAUAUCUUUUGUAGGUGGAGAUUCAAAUUUGCACUUCGAGGUGUUGUAGUUUACAUCUCCGGGAGGCGGAGAUGUAUUUUUUCUUUGCAUCUACAUCAUCUGUUGGAGAGGUGUUUUUGGCCCUCGGACAUGCAAAAGUUAGGUAUUUUCGCAUCUAUAUCUUCUAUUGAAGAUGUUCUUAUGUUUUUCCAAGGGAGGGAGUAGAAGUAAGGGUUAUAAUAUUUCACCACUCCGGUUGUUCGCCUCAUAUGUAUGCACAUUGGCACCGCUACACUUUCUUCUACUUUCUCCACACUAUUUAAAUAAGGUUCUAGAGACGCCGGUGAGCUCCCCCGACUUAUCGUCCGUCUUCCACCUCACCUCAUCGCUUCUUCUUCCCCAUCGUCUUGCACAACCAUCUGUGUUGUAAGAUAAGACUGAUGUGUGAACGAACGACCGUCCUUAUAUUCGUGGAACAACAAAACUACAUCAUGGUGAGCAACAUUAACGAGCGCAAGAAAACAAAAUCAUAUGGUGACCAGGAAUUAAAAACCACAACCAAACACCAAUAGUACAGUACAUCAACCUCUCACUGAUAUUCCCAUCCCAUCGAUAGCCAGCAGGAAGAGCAGGGGUACGCUAAUUCAUUCGUCAUCACACGCAGGUGGCAUCCUAGAGCUGCUUGCCAGCGCAACUCCGGAUAACGCACCGCUGACACAAUGCAAAGCCGAACAGCCGUGGUGCUGCUGGUUCCAUCUCCCCGUGGCCGCCGUCACAGUGGCCGCCGACGCCUGAUCUUGCACCGUGACAUCUUCCGGCCGCGAUACACCCAAUAUAAAGACGGACGGCUGUGGUGCCAUCUCCUCCGCCACCCGUCGUCACAGCGGCCGCCGGCAACUCACCUUGCACCGUGAUGCCGGCCGGUGGUGGACCCAACGCGGUGUCGGAUGGCUGUGGCGCCAUCUGCCCCGUCGCAGCCUGCCGCUGCGCGGUGGCUCGCUUGUUGCUGCGUCUCACUCCCACGUAGCCCGUAACCUCGCGGUACCGGCGGAGAUGCUCAGUGAGGGGCCCGACGUAGUUGCUGUAGCCGAGGAUGUCGAAAGCUUUGAUCACGUGGAGGCCAGUCAUUUUCUUCUUGCCGUCCAUUCCGCGCUCCUCUUCGGCCUGGACGGUGACCAUGUUGAUGAACUCCUUGACACACCGGUCCACGAGGGCUGUGGCAUCUGGGUGGAUCCUGGCGCGCGGGUCCAUCGGCAGGGCGCCUCGCAUGAUGUUUUCCAGGUUGUUGGGCCAGAACGCCGGCGUCUCCCUCGACUUGCCUGCGUGUGCGUUAUACUAUGUCACUACAUGUAUGACCGGAAACUAUAUGUGUAAGAAUACAUGAGCCUUCUCUUAAAGAAAGAGAAUACACGAGCCAUAUAACGAAAAGUAUUGUAGAUCAAAAUCUUAAGGGCUUGUUCGGUUGUAUUGGGUUUGAGAGGAAUCAAAGGGCAUUGUGAGGGAUUAAAUUUUUUGUAGGUCAAAUUCCUCCAGAAUCCACUUCCACUAGUAGAAAAAAGGGCUUUCGUUCGGGCCUGGCUAGCCCAUUCGUCCCGGUUCGUGAGCCCAGGGGGCCGGCCGGGGCCUCGUGGGCAGUGGUCCCGGUUCGUCUUGGCCCAUUUGCCCCGGUUCUUGGCACGAACCGGGACCAAUAGGCCUCGCUCCUGGCCCACAAUCAUAGGUCCCGGUUCUUGGCUCGAACCGGGACAGAAGGCUGGGCUUUAGUCCCGGUUCUAGCCACGAACCGGGACCAAUGAGUUUCCUAUAUAUACCCCACCGCCGGCGAGCAGAGCACUCCACAGUGCUCUGUUUUUUGCUGGCGGCGAGGAAGGUCAUUUGGGUGCUCUAGCUCACCUCUUAUGCACGUGAGGUGUUCGAUGAAAUGCCCGAGCCACAUUAGUUAAGCUUUCUCCUCUCGAAGCUCGACCUCGGAGCUCCAUUUUUUUCGAGAUUUGUCUAGGUUUAGCGGUCCGUCAUGCCCCGUCCUCGUCUUCACCGCCGUCAAUCGCCCGUGCCGAUCUUGUCGCCGGCACCACCAUGGUGAGCCUCUUGUUCUUAUCUUCUUUCUGAAAGAAAAAAAUCUUACUUCAGAUAGAUACUUGUCUAAUUUUCUUACUUUUAACACACAUAAUUAUAUAUAAUGCAUGCAGAUGAACCGGCAAUGGAUGUACGGUGACAGACACACCUCUGAGUACAUUAAGGGCGUGCGUAAAUUUCUCGAAGUGGCUGAGGCAAACGUGCAGAAUGGUUUUAUGUGUUGUCCAUGCCCUGAUUGUGGGAAUACGAGGUCUUACUCUGACAAGAAAAUCCUUCACACCCACCUGCUUUAUAAGGGUUUCAUGCCACACUAUAAUGUUUGGAUGAAGCACGGAGAAACAGGGGUUAUAAUGGAAGACAACGAAGAAGAAGAGGACGAUGACAACUAUGUGCCCCCUGAAUACAGUGAUGCUGCAAAGGGGGAAGCUGAAGAUCAAAAGGAAGCUGAAGAUCAAAAGGAACCAGACGAUGUGCCCGAUGAUGAUCUUCGCCGGGUCAUUGUUGAUGCAAGGGAAAAGUGCGAAAGUGAAAAGGAGAAGCUGAAGUUCGAUUGCAUGCUAGAGGAUCGAAAAAAAGGGUUGUACCCCAAUUGCGAAGAUGGCAACACAAAGCUCGGUACCGUACUGAAUUGCUGCAGUGGAAGGCAUAGAAUGCUGUGCCUGACAAAGGAUUUGAGAAGCUACUGGAAAUAUUGAAAAAGAAGCUUCCAAAGGAUAACAAAUUGCCCGACAGUACGUACGCAGCAAAGAAGGUCGUAUGCCCUCUAAGAUUGGAGGUGGAGAAGAUACAUGCAUGCCCUAAUGACUGCAUCCUCUACCGCAGUGCGUACAAGGAUUUGAAUGCAUGCCCGGUAUGCGGUGCAUUGCGGUAUAAGAUCAGACGAGAUGACCCUGGUGAUGUUGAGGGCGAGCCCCGCGGAAAGAGGGUUCCUGCGAAGGUGAUGUGGUAUGCUCCUAUAAUACCACGGUUGAAACGACUGUUCAGAAACAAAGAUCAUGCCAAGUUGAUGCGAUGGCACAGUGAGGACCGUAAGAAAGACGGGAAGUUGAGAGCACCCGCUGACGGGUCGCAGUGGAGAAAAAUCGAGAGAAAGUACUGGGCUCAGUUUGCAGGUGACCCAAGGAACGUAUGGUUUGGUUUAAGCGCGGAUGGCAUUAAUUCUUUCGGGGAGCAAAGCAGCAAUCACAGCACCUGGCCCGUAACUCUAUGUAUGUAUAACAUUCCUCCUAGGAUGUGCAUGAAGCGGAAGUUCAUUAUGAUGCCAAUUCUCAUCCAAGGCCCUAAGCAACCCGGCAACGACAUUGAUGUGUACCUAAGGCUAUUAGUUGAAGAACUUUUACAGCUAUGGAAUGGAAACGGUGUACGUGCGUGGGAUGAGCACAAACAGAUGGAAUUUAACCUGCAUGCCUUGCUAUUUGUAACCAUCAACGAUUGGCCCGCUCUCAGUAACCUUUUAGGACAGAUAAACAAGGGAUAUCACGCAUGCACGCACUGUUUAGCUGAUACCGAAAGUAUAUACCUGGACAGAUGCUGGAAGAAUGUGUAUCUGGGCCAUCGUCAAUUUCUCCCGACGAACCAUCAAUGUCCAAAGAAAGGCAAGCAUUUCAAAGACGAGGCAGAUCAUCAGAAGAAGCCCGCCAUGCAUACCGGUGAUCAUGUACUUGAUAUGGUCUCUGAUUUACACGCAAUAUUUGGAAAGAGUCCCGGCAGACUAGCUGUUCCGAAUGACACUGAGGGACGCGCACCCAUGUGGAAGAAGAAAUCUAUAUUUUGGGACCUACCCUACUUGAAAGAGCUAGAGGUACGCUCUUCAAUCGACGUGAUGCACAUGACGAAGAACCUUUGCGUGAACCUGUUAGGCUUCUUGGGCGUGUACGGGAAGACAAAAGAUAAACCUGAGGCACGGGAGGACCUGCAACGUUUGCACAAAAAAGACGGCAUGCCUCCAAAGCAGUAUGAAGGUCCUGCCAACUACGCUCUUACCAAAGAAGAGAAGGAAAACUGUUUUGAAUGCCUACUCAGUAUGAAGGUCCCGAUUGGCUUCUCGUCGAAUAUAAAGGGAAUAAUAAAUAUUUCAGAGAAAAAGUUCCAGAACCUAAAGUCCCAUGACUGCCACGUGAUUAUGACGCAACUGCUUCCGGUUGCAUUGAGGGACCUUCUACCGGAAAACGUCCGAUUAGCCAUUGUGAAGCUAUGUGCAUUCCUCAAUGCAAUCUCACAGAAGGUGAUCGAUCCAGAUAUCAUACCAAGGCUAAGGAGUGAUGUGGCGCAAUGUCUUUCCAGUUUUGCACUACAAGAAAUAUGUCAACUUGUGACCCUCACUAUUGGCCGCUGAAAGGUCAUUGUUUUUCAUUUGCGACCUUUUUUUGACCAUAAACAGAAAGUCAAAAGCUGGCAGUCGUAAACUGAAACUAACGACCUUCUGUAAAAGGUCGUUGGUUCCAUGACCAAAUUUUUAGUCACUAGCAAGCUCCCCAAGCCACAUAGGGAUCCAGCGUGGCAAGCUGACAUGGAUAAGAAUCAGCCCGAUCCAAUUCGAUGUUUUACAUGGGCCGAGCCCAACAAUUCUGCCUAUUUGUUUUUUUUCUCAUAUUAAUUUUUGCUAGGUAGAUGGACCAAGCCCAACAAUUAAGCCUUCUCAUUUUGGGGCAGUGGCCUUUUCCGCUAGAAAGUUUUAGUUUUUUUAGUUUUUUUGUAAUAUAAAAAAGGUCCACUAGUCAAAUGGGUGUCAGGUUCAGGUACGUGGGUCCCAGCUAGCAACUUCAUAUUCUUCAUAUUUCAAUUUAACAGUAAAUAAAUAACCAAUAUUUAAAUUGGCACAAACAAAACACACACAUAAUACUCCAAAUAUUAUCAACCAGAUUCAGUACAGAGCUCCUAUUGUACAAAUAACAUAUACUUUACAAGCUCUACACAUAAUAAGCUCUAACAUAUACAAGCUCUACACGUGAUACUUCAAACAUUCUCCAGAAGCUCUACAAGUAUGGCAAUUACAGUUACAAGCUCCACAUGUGUAAUAACUAGAUACAGUUACAAGCUAUGUUCUUCAGCAUGGAGCUUCUUCGAUAACAAUCACAAACUAGGCACCUACUCCUGUCAGGAUUGGGCCAACAGAACAGUGAUAUGCCUUCCAUGGUCACCCUGAUACAUGAAUCAACAAAGAAGAAUUAGGAAAAUUGGAGCCAAUAUAGCAAGAAGAGACCAUUCAAAAAAUGACAGCUAUUUAUAUUAGAAUGACAACACAAAUUCAGCUAGUACCAUGAUUUUUGUUCUCCAGCUAGUUAAAAUGAGAUACUCAUUCAUAUAAGAAAACAGAGAAAAAUAUGAAUAUGUAUUGCACAAGUGCGAGUCGUGCAAAAAACUUCACUACACCAAAUUGCGCCUAAACAAUAAUACCAUUCUGCUACCACAUCCAUCCAUUCAACAGGCAAGAUCAAACAUUACUAGUCAGAGUACGUAGGCUUAACAUCACUAACAUCACAAAUGCACGAGAGAAUAAAGGGAACCAAGAGAGAUACCUAAGGAUGAUAGCAUCGUGAUGAUUUGUAUUGAGUUAGCAUCUGUGAGGAGGUGAAUUAUCGCCAUGGUGUGCUUGAUGAUGCACACAGCCAUGAUCUUCCUGCCAUCGUUGCAUCCAUGCGCUAGAUGAGGGGUGUACCAAUGCAUUCAAGCAGAACAAAAUCACCAUCGUUAACCCAUAACAUUAACUACAAACUAAGUAUGUAUCAAGUAACAAUAAAACAAGUUGAGAAAAACACAGAAAAUAAUUACUUCAUGUCAUGCAGAGUUCAAACUGAAUAAACACAUGCAAAGUUCAAACCAAAUAAACAUAUGCAUGAUAUUUUACUACAGAUGAAAGAAGGAAAACAUCUAUAAGGUUAGGCGAGCUUAAUAAAGACAUAGAGAGAGAGAGAGAGAGAGUAAACAUUCUCAGGUUAGCCUUAACAUGGCAGCCUAACUUGUACUUAAUUUUGAGCAAACAUACAUAUCAAUAUAGGGUUAGGCAAGACAGUAAAGAAAGACAUAGGUGCUAGAGUUAGAAAACACUAGUGAUACAAGUAGCAUAAGCAUAAUACAACACGGUAUAUUUGUCGUGUGGAUAUAUACAUAUAAUUGGCCAUCACUUUAUCUUCCAAAUUAAUAGUUACCACAGUGAAAACCUUGACAAGAGAAGAUAAACUUUGACAACACAAGGUGAGAUGAAAGAUAGCAAACAACACAUGCCAGCCAUCAAUUUUUAUUCUACUGAACAAAUUGGACAACAACCACCUAUUUUGUAACAACUUCAGUUAACUUGGGAGAAAUCCAACCAAACCAAUUGAUAAACAAAAUUCUACUGAAUUUUGGGGAAGGGAAUGGAAGGUAAGGUCAAAAUCUGGAGCCAAUAUAUUAUGAACAUUUAUUCAGAAAAUGAACAAUUUCAUUAGGAUGAUAACACAAAUUCAGCUACGACAAUGCUUCGUUCUCCAUCUAGUUCAAAUGAGAUACUCAUUCAUACAAGGUGACAAAAGAAAAUAAAUCAUUUUACUAAUAGCAUGCAAAGUAUCAAUGUUUUGUUCUUAUCAUCUUAUUCUUAUGCAUAAAGCAACUAAGGAAAUCUGACCAAAUAAUCAACAACUCCAUAAACCAAAACUUCAGGACUAAAUAAGAACACUAAUCUUUUUGUGAAAAAUGGACUGGAUAAUUGGUGUUUCGUACAUAGACUCCAAAUGGAAAGGACACAUGACCUUUCGCGCAAACAGGGGGAAAAGGAGGCAGAAAUGUCUAAAAAAGACUAUAGCAGUACCUAAUUAAUGCUGCAACUUAAUUUUUAAUUUUUCCUAAGGAAGUGGAGGGUGACAAAUUAUAGAAGAAAGUAGUAGAAUCAUAGGCUAUAAGGUAGUAGUGUAGCCAUCUAUGGCAAGGUAGCAAGAAUUUGCCAAAGGAAGUUGGCACAUUCCCUGCAUCUUGUCAGUCCCUGUGAUCCCACCCACCACGGGGCCAAGAAGAGGAGCACUAACUAGUCUGGAGUUGGCCAAAUAUGCGAACAAAUCAUACUAGUUCGUAGAAAUUAGGCUACAACAGAUCAUUGAUGGUAAAUUACAGAAGAAAAAAGAACAUCUACUGCGGUGGCGAGGCAGUAAACGAGGUAGGUAGAGCAGAGUAGGGGACCUUCUGGAUAUCUCUCAUAGCAUACACUUAUGAUCUCAAACAAACAGAUGGAUAUAGCAUCAGUCAUGCAAAUGGAAGAAAAAUAGGGAGUUUGCGGCAACUUACAGCAUAUCGAUCAGCAUGUCCGUCAUCUCGAUUCUGAAAGGGUCCCUCGGAUCCAUCUACUUUAUGAUGUUGACGAGUUUCUGCGCCAUCAAGCAAAUCUCGUUGUACCUACAGCGACACAGCCAUCAGAGGAUCAAUCACAGGGCAGCCAUCAAGCAAAUCCCGUUUACACUUCAAUGGUGUAGCAUUCCAGAGUGCAGACUAUGCCCAUCAAGCCAAAAACAAAUCCUAUCACCACCACCGAGUUUUUGACUGCAAGGGAAACUACAACAUGUUCUAGGAAUAGCUGCAAAAUUCCACCGAGUUUUGGACAGCAAGGGCACUCACUGAAGAUGGUCUAGCGGUAGGCCUGCACCACGGCCCUGCCGACGACAGCGCUGCACAUGACGAGGAGCUGCCCGAGGAGCCGUCCGGCGGAGGAGGUCAGUGUCGCCGCCGUCCAGCCAACGCAUGCGAGCACGCCAAUCUACGCCAGCAUGAAUGGCCUUGGAGUCGAGACGAGGUCUCUUGUGCACCUGUGUAUAGAGAACCGGCCGCAUCAGGGCAGGGGAGAGAGCAAACCAAAUCGGGACUGAGGCGUAGAGAGGAAACCUUGAGGACACGACACCUAGGAUGGUCAGAACCCGCAACCGGAGCAUGCAUGAAUCCAUGCCUCCCGGCACCAGCCAUGGGCCUGCGCCAUGGAUCUUGGUUAUGGGAGCGAUGGUGGCGGUGGUGGCAUCCGGGUCGUGCAGGCUUCCCUAAGAUUAUGAAAAGUUUAUCCAUGGUUACGACGCAAUAAAGUUUCAUGAAAUUCCUCGCUUCAAAGUCAAGGCUUCCCCAAGCAUCCUGAUAAACGAUGAAGAUUAUCCAUGGUUACGGCGUAAUAAGCAAAGCACACAAGCGAAGAAAAAGUGAAGACUUUCUGUCCACAACUAUUAUGAUGAUACCAUGCCAACUUUCAACAUUUUCCUAGUUCAUUUGAAAUGCAUGUUGUAACAGACGAUUUUCCGUAUGAAACCCUGAUAUCUCGAAACAGAUUGUGCAUUUUGUUGAAAUGCUUUGAAUGUUGCAUUUUAUAAACCUAUAGUAUUAUUGAAACUAAAAUCAUAUAGAAUUUAUGCAACUAAACUUAUAUAGAAAUUUCAUAAAGAACUUUUUUAUUACAAACUUUAAUAGCAAAAAAAAUUAUCAUAAAAUAAAUUAAAUAAGUAAUUAGAAACAAAAUAAUCUAAACUUUAAUAAAAUAUAUAAGUAGAAACAAAAUAAAAUAAAAUAAAAUAAACUUUAAUAACAUAAAUAAAAUUUAUGAAACUAAAAUUAUCAAAGUAUUUUCUGUUCGAAACAUUAUAAGCAACAUCUAGUAUUAUUGAAACUAAAAUUACAUAUAAAAUUGAUGCAACUAAAAUUAUCAAAGUAUUUUCUGUUCAAAAUCAUUAAAAGGAAAAAGAAUUUUCAUAAAGAACUUUUUUGGUUAGAAACUUUAAUAGCAAAAUAAAAUCAAAUAAGUUUUUGUUGUAAGUAGAAACAAUACAAAAUAAAUAAAGCAAAAAAGAAAACAAAAAAACAGGGAAAAAAUAAAAAAUAUGCCACCUACUGGGCCUCCACGUCGUGAAUACGACUAGAAACUCAUCCAUGGGCCAGGAUUCAGGCCCGCAGAAGGCCCAAUAGGCCCAUCGGGCAUACUAGUGACAAUUAGGCCCGAAAGCUUGCAAUGGAUAGGAGCUCGAGAGGGGUGCGGCAGUGGGGCUUAUAAACCACUGCGCGCCCCUCUCAGCUAGCGAGGUGGGACUAAACAUUUGGGGACGAGCAGAAUGAGGCCUUUGGUCCCGGUUGGUGCCACCAAUCGAAACUAAAGGGGGGCAUUAGAACCGGUUCGUGGCACCAACCGGUAUGAAUGCCCCCCUUUGGUACCAGUUGGUGCCACGAACCGGGACCAAAGGCAGCCGCUUCCCGCCUUUUGGGCUGCCGAGAACUGACCUUUGGUCCCGGCUGGUGGCACCAACCGGGACUCAAGGGGGCACUGGUCCCAGUUUGUGCCACGAACCGGGACCAAUGCCUCGUCUAUAUAACCAGGACUUGUAAAUUUUUCGUUCAGUUCCUCAUUCCCCCGCCGUGACGCCGCCAGGCUGCCCCCUAUCUCGCCAUCGCCGUCGUCGCCCCUACCUUCGACGCGCCGCCCCGACGCCGUCCCAAGCCGCCCUGACGCCGUCCCACCCCAGACUGACGCCGUCCCGCCCCGGACUGACGCCGUCGCCGCCCCGCGCCACCCCUGCCCCGACGCCGCCGGCCCUGCCUCCUCGUCGCCGUCGCCGCGCACAGUGUGAGCGCUACCCGCCGAUCACCCCUCCUCCUCCCUGUAAUGGCCGCCGCCGCCGCGCCCCCUAUAUAUAGAUGUUGUAAUUUAGUUGUAUUAAUUUGGAUGUGUAAUUUAGAUGUCUAGUUAAUUUAGUUGUUGUAAUUUGGUUGUAUUAAUUUAGAUGUGUAGUUUAGAUUUUUUUUGUGAUAUUAUUGUUUAAUAUGCAAAUGUUUGUAUGUUCAUAUGCAAAGAAUAUGUCAAUUUUUUCAUAGAAUUUUUGUGAUUUUUUCUGUUGUAAUUUUGUUUAUAGAAUUUUUAUGAUUUUUUCUGUUGUAUUUUUGUUCAUAGAAUUUUUAUGAUUUUUUUGUUCAUAGAAUUUUCUUUGUCAAUUUAUGUAUAUGUUCAUAUUGUGUAUGUAUUGGAAAAUUGUGUAUGAUCAAAGUCAUUUAUGUAUAUGUUCAUAUUUAGAAGAAAAAUGAGAGAAAAAAGGAAAAUAAGAAGAGGAAGAAGGAGGAGAAGAAGAAGAAUAAGAAGAAGAGGAGAGGAAGUAGAGGACAAAUAAAUAAGAAGAUGAAAAAGAAGAAGAAAAGAGGAGAAGAAGAAGGAAUAGAGGAGAAGAAGAAGAAAUAGAUUCUUCUUCUUCUUCUCCUCUUCUUCUUCUCCUCUAUUCCUUCUUCUUCUCCUCUUUUUUUAUUUUUUCCUUCGAUAUCUUCCUCUAUUCCUUUUUUCUUCUCCUCUUUUUUUCUUCUUCUUCCUCUUCUUAUUUUUUAUCGGGUAUGUCGUUGUCGAUAUACCCCCCUCCCCGAUAACUUUUAGUAAGUACUACUUAGAAAGUGCUUAAUUAAUUAAUAGUUGAACUAGUUGAUUUAAUAAAAACUACUUUAUUUUACUAUAUAUAGAAGUAGUUUAUUUUUAGUAAGUACUACUUUAUUCUAUUUAUAGUAAGUGCUUAGUAGUUGAAUUACUUGAUUUAACAAAACUAGUUUAUUUUACUAUAGAAGUAGUUUAUUUUUAGCAAGAAAAUUAAUAGAACUAGUUUAUUUUUUUAGUUCAAGCAAUUAUUCCCACAUCGACGUCGACGAUGCCUAUCCCGCAUCCUCGUCGUCGACUUGGCGGAGGAGGCCGACUUGAUCAGAGGGGCCAUGUCCGGGGCUGGGCUCCACCGGGAUGGUUUUGGGAUGUGCUACCUUCCGGGAGGCGUGGGUUGGUGAGGAGCCAGCCCCUCGUUGACCCGAUCCUUAUUUGGUGGCGGUCGCGUGGGCCAGUGACGGUGCCGAGGCUUCCGGACACCACAAAGGUGGUACGUCACCGUGUCAGCGAGGAGGACGAGCACGUCCGUCGCUACAUGGUUGCGUUGGAGGGCAGGUUCGACAAUACCUGGCAGGUUCUUCAGGGAUCUCACUGGAGCGAUCCUGUGAUGGUUCCUUCUCUUUGGGUGUCCACCGCCCAUGCCGAUACCCGUCGGGCGCUACGGUUCUAGCUGUACUAGCGAUGUUAUAUGUAUGAUAGUAUUCGAGGUGUAUUGAUGAUAAUAUUCGACGAUGUACGGACGGAAGAGAUGAUGUAGUUUUUCAUAUAAUUUAAUGCAUCCUAAUUUUAAUACUACUUUAUUUUGCGAUUUGAUUUUGCUUACUGAAUGCUCAAAUUGGAAAACUACUCCUACUUUGAAUGAUAAAAUUGGAGAGCACUAUGCAAGGCGUAUGCAUAUGAUUAGUUCAUAGCUUAUAGGGUGUUUGUUUUCGCAGAAAUCUAGGAGCCCCCCUCCAUCAUCCCCGCCUUCGUCCCCGUCAUCGACCCCCUCCGACCUCGAGGUGAGACCAGCCAAAUCCUUUUUUAGAAAGAUAGUUAAACGAUAUUUCGGGUUGACUUUAAGUUUGUCGAGUCUCCACCAUAUAUGACAGGACGAAGAAGCCCGACUGUUGUCGUGGGGGUCGUUUCUCCUUUUUCUCCGGGUGCUAGACCUUUGUUAUGCACUAGGGGAAGAAGGAGCACUAGUAGAAAACGGAGCUUUAAAACCGGUUCGUAAGGGAUUUUAGUGCUGGUUCCAUAACCGGCACUAAAUGGUGGGCACUAAAGGCCUCCCCUUUAGUACCGGUUCGGCACGAACCGGCGCUAAAGUGCCACCACGUGGCGUGAGCUCGCGCCCUGGUAUGGGGGACCUUUAGUACCGGUUGGUGUUACCAACCGGUACUAAAGGUUUUUUUUUUGAAUUUUUUUUUUUUUGAAAAUUUUGGAAGUUUUUUUUGAUUUUUUUUUCAAUUUUUAAUUUUUCUGAAUUAUUUGGUGAUUUAGUCUCUAAUCACCUCUCUUAACUGCUCAAGUGUUGAUCACUCAUUCCAAAUCAUCUAACUUCCCGACCGGUCACCCAUCCCUCUCACUACUCCAGCCCGAGCACGCUUAAUUAUCGGGUUCUAUUCUCCUUCGUUUCCAAGUCUGCACUUGUUGUUUUCCUGAUAAUAGUAAGAUGUCAAUCCUGUUAACCCUCAGGAGUUUAGCUUGAGCAUGAAGUCACACAUUUCACUAUUUGAGUUUGAAACUAUUAUUCUAAAAAACAGUAAUUAUUUAGUAACACUAAUAUUUCUUGAAUAAGUUUGACCAUAGUUUGACCACAGUUUGACCAUAGUUUGACCACAGUUUGACCAUAGUUUGACCAGAUUUGACCAAAAUUCAAAAAAUUGAAAUAAUUAUUUAGUAACAUUAAUAUUCUUGAAUAAUUAUGUAGUAACAUUAAUACUUCUUGAAUAAGUAGUUUGACCAGAUUUAACCAAAAAAUUUUAAAAAAACUGAAAUUUGACCAUAUCUUUUUUUCCUUUUGGAAUUUGAGGAUUCUAAAAAUUUACAAACAGGACAUAGGCCGUCUCCAUCGGAUGCGGAUUUUCGUGCUGAAUUUUUUGAUAUAUUAUACGUUUUUUUCCGACAUCGUAUGCAAAAGUUAUAGCCGUUUUACAUUUUUCCUACACUUUUUGCAAAACAUGUCCAAAUUUAAGUUUUCAAAUUUUCCUAACGUGUAGAUGUAGUAAUAUAACUACCUCUCGAAGGAUUUUAUUUUUUGAAUUUUUUAUCAUUUUCUUUUGAUUUUUUCAAAACUGAAAUGGCGAUACACGGAGGGGGGUAGAGUUUGAAAAUUGCCCUAUAGUGCCGGUUUGUGUCUUAUACCGGGACUAUAGGAUAAGACUCUUUAGUGCCGGUUGGUGACACACACCGGUACUAUAGGUUAGACCUUUAGUACCGGUUUGUGUCACAAACCGUCACUAAAGGGCUCGUGGGGCCCUGGCCUGAUGCCAGCCUGCCACCACCCCUUUAGUACCGGUUCGUGGCACGAACCGGUACUAAAGGUUCAUUACGAACCGGCACUAAUGCAUAGCCAUUCGAACCGGCACUAUUGAUCACAUUAGUGCCGGUUUUUUUACAAACCGACACUAAUGUGCUUCCUGACUGUUGUCGUGGGGGUCGAUUCUCCUUCGUUCCCGUGUGCUAGACAUUUUGGUGUAAUGCACUCGGGGACAAAGUGAGGAGCCGCCAUCAUCGAGGGUCGAAUAUAUACACCACGUGAGCUGAGAGUUUUCAAGAAAAGACUCGACAGACCGAUAGUCAACCAUGAUGAAUAAUAAUGAUCUAAUUUAGUUUUUGUAGUACAUAUAUUUAAUUCUACAAGUUUCUUUGAAUUAUGAACGUAGGAAAUAUCGUCAUCAGACGACGAAAGUCUCCCGGGGGAGUGCAGCUGGUGCCACGACGAUCGAGGUCUGUGCGACAUGCCUCACCUGGACGAUGAUCGGUGCUUCAGCAUUAAGCUCAAGAAGACCUUCGAUGUUGAAACGGUACGCAAUGACGACAAGUGUUUUUUCGUAAUUAAGCAUGACUACAACUAUUUCAACGUGUAAUUUUCAUCUUUUACAAUUCGAGUAGCUUAUCCCAUGCCAUGCAAGGCGCUAUGUCUUGGAGAGGAUGGGUUUUAAAGACCAUGAAAGUUUUGAAACAAAGAAAAUUCACCUAAAGACUCAUCAUGAUGUGGAUUUUGAAGUAAAGCUGUACAAUUCUGAGAGCGUAACCCAUUUUGGUUGCAAAAAAUGGAAAGCACUUUGCAAGAUGUAUGGUUUUGAUGAGGGUAUGCUUGUCACCAUGGAUCUUGGUGAUCCUGAAAUCGAGCAAGACAAUAUGGACAUUUGGGUCCUUGUUGAUACGCCUUCAAUUCUACCGCUGUGUGAGUUUAGUUCCUCAAACAUAGUUAUUAGCUAAUUUACAUUGUUUAUUUCAAAAUAGUUGAUAGCUUAUUUCCGUUGACAGCUUAUUUCCAUUGACAUCUUAUUUUCAUUCUUCAAAGAAUGUGCGGGAGAUGGUAGACAAAACCCACUACACUGAUGGCUCAGAAUUAACUUACAAGGAGAAAAAUCAUCUGGUCGGAUUUUGUACUGACAUUGAGAAUUACAAUAUCUACAAUCAAACUCCUCAACAUUAUGGUCAAUACGUGCCACUAGUGCAUGUGUUGAACUACGGUAACUACCAUGGAGAUACCCUGGUAAGAUUUUUUUACUAUUACGACAUCCGUGCAUCUUUUGCAUACUUGUAAAACUAGUACAUCAUUGCUAACUAUGAAGUUAUUACUACGGUAACUAUGAAGUUAUUGCCUCAUUUGAUGUAUCAGAAAGGUAGCCUUAAUGUUUUGAACAUACACCCAGGUCAUCCUACGAAUCUCAACUGUCCAUACCAGAUUUCUAAAAGGAAUGGAGACAUGCAAAUCAAAGGAUGGAAAAAAUGUAUGGACAGUCGUAAGAAGGUUCUUGGAAGCAAAAGGAAGCGAAGCACAAGAAUUGGAGACAUGAUGAUCUCCAUUCUCCAUAAUGAAGAGUCAGGGUCUAUAUUGUUUUAUGCUAUUUUACCUUAAAGAGGAUAUUUAGGUCCUACCUAAUACUGAUGAUCAUGUGCUAAGAACAAUUAAGUAGGGUUGGUUCGAUGACUAUGAGGAUGAUGAUCGUAUGACUUGUUAUUAAUAACGAGUAGAAGUUGUAUGAUGAUGAUUACUAGACUUGUUAUUAUAUAUGAUGAUGCAUGAUGCGAGCAUGAAGAGUAAUUAUAUAUCAGCUGGUGAAAUGAACAUGGAUUGGAUUGAAGUGAAGGCAACAUGCAUGUGGUGCAUGUCGAAAGUAGUAUAAUCCAAACUUGAUCAAGUUAGGAUUAGUAUUGCUUCUGACAUGCACCACAUGUUGCCUCACUUCAAUCUAAGUCAUGUUUAGGCAUAGCAGUAGAAGUAGUAGUAGCACGGAGAUAAGAGAGGACACAUCUCUCUAUUAGCUACCUAUACCAACCUAAAUUAACCCCCAAAACCCCUAAACCACCUUCUUUCGAAAAAACCAGCCCCUGAAAUGCUGACGCGUGAAAGCUUAUUUGUCCCGAUUUGUGCUACCAACCGGGACCAAAGACCCUCGUGCCUGGGCUCGCCGGAGCGGCCACGUGGAGGCACAUCUGUCCCGGUUAGUAUAAGAAUCGGGACUAAAUUUCUAGGGCAUUAGUAACGACCCUUUAGUCCCGGUUCCCCAAUCGGGAGAGAUGGGCCUUAUGAACCGGGACAAAUGACCCUUUUUCUACUAGUGUUCAAACCUCUCCAAUCCCCUUGAGAAAGGGAUUAAACAAGCAAGCCCUAAAGGAGAUUUUAUCUCCCUAAUUGUUGUGCAACUUCUUUUUAAAACUUCCAUUCAUAUAACGAAAAUUAUUGUAGACUAAAAUCAUAAAAAGAUUUGUUUGAAACAAAUUGGAUCUGAAAUUACGCGGGGACCAACAGAGGAUGAGGUGAUAGUUUAAAUAACUUGUUCAUGGACAUUCACGGAUUAGUAAUAUAUUUGAACAACACACAAUUACAAAAAACAAAUACUUCACACAGAUGAUCCGAAGAAGAAUCAACUAAUUUUAUCUACUUUUACCUUCUCCUGCCUUGUUGACACGGUCAUUGCCUUGCUUCCUUCCAUCGCUUCUCGUCUCACUAGUGUUACUAGAUCUAUGUUGUCCUUACGGUUGUUAUACAACAUCCAUUCCACAAUUUAUAAGAAAAAGCUAGCAUGUGGAUGGCCUCAACGAGGAGCCAGCUGGUGCUAUCUGAUGUUAUCUGGUGCUGGCCUCAACGAGAAACAUAAGGACAUUAAUAGAAGAAAUUAAUUGAUACUAUAUAAAGAUAUGCAUGCAAUUAAUGCUUGCACAUCCAAACGUAUACUCCCUCCUUUCCGGUUUAUAGGGCUUAUCUUUUUUUUUUCCAAUUUAAAGGGCUCAUCUCCAUCUCCUUUGAAGAUUCCAAAGCGUAUUAAAUCUUUGCAUGCAAGAAUUAAAAAGAAACUCAUCAAUGCAUGUAAUGCUACUACUCAUCUAGUGGCCAAGCAUGCAUGCACUGCAAUUAAUCCCAAUUAAUGUAUCAAUUUAGUUUGGUUAGUUUUGUAAAGUACGAGAUACAUUCCUCCACUCACCAUGUGCCUUGGUUGAUAAGAUUUCAUAUUUGAGCGCUAUAAACCGAAAAGGAGGGAGUAUGAAGCAAAAUGAUCGAAUCUAUACUCUAAAAUGUGUCUAUACUCUAUAUACAUCUGUAUAUAGUCUGUAUUGAAAUCUCUAGAAAGUCUUAUAUUUAGAAACGAAGUGAGUAAUAUAAAAGAUAUGCAUGCAAAUUAAUGCUUGCACAUCCAAACGUAUGCAAGCCAACGACAAAUCAUGUAUAAAUGUGAUUAUAGCCGUUGAGUGCUACUAGUACAAAUGUCGUAGUUGUUUUUUCUUUCCUCACGCUGUGUAUACAGGUCAUUUCAAAACUGAAAUGGUACAUUAUACACAAGGCAACAAAGCUAUAAGAUAAUGACCACCAAAAUAAUGACGACCCCAACUUUUACAGAUGUGUAUUCCUUUCUUUUUUGCAGAAAUUUAGAGAUGUGUAUUCAGAAGAAGAAAAUCAAAUAUAGUGUUCAGAAUAGCAAAAGUCAAUAAAGAAGAGGACCGGGCACUUUUUUUGACAUCAACAGGACCGGACACUAUGUUGUGAGCCUAGUGCAGAGAUUAGUUCUAUUUCUCACUGUGCCAAGUUGGGGUCCCGUGCACUUUACAACGUUAAACGAUAUCAAGUUUAUUUUGUCAGGCAACAUGUACCUGAGCCCCACCCCGACUGCUCGCCGCUUCCCCCUUGUCGCCGCCGGCGGCGGCGGGGCCCUGGUCUCCCCUCAUGCGAGGCAGGGUCGUCGCGGGGCGGCCCCCUCGUGGGGUGGCGUGGCGGCGUGGUGCCGGCAGCCUCUUCGGCGACUUGGAGGGCUGUUGGGCGACGUGGGGGCUGGCGUGCUCUGCGGGCGCUGCUUCUAUGGAGGUGAUGUGGGGGCGGCACGAUUUCUCCGGCGGAUCUGAGCUUUCGUCGGGGUGGCUGCGGGCUGCGGCCCGGUGGGGUCGUGGCUAUGGCCAUGGACCUCGGUGGCUCGUCGCAGCUGCAGCAGGAAGCGGUGUUGCCAGCCAGAUCAGCUCGGAUCUGGCCCAUGGCCACCGGCGGGUGGCACAGAGCUGUCCAUCGGGGUCCCGACAUGGAUGUGGGCUGCCACGGCGUGGUGGUGGCUCAUGGCGGUGGUCUGGGUCGUUUCACGGCGGCGGCUGGACAUCUCCAGAAGGCACCGCCUUGGAGCCCACGGUUCAUCUAUGCGGCUUCAUCUCUUUCCGGUGGCAUGUUCACGGGUGAGGACUACGGUAGCUCUUGUAGGUCUUGGGGUGAUGUUGCUACGCUCAGUGCCUUUCUAUCCUGCCUUGGGUGUGUGUGUUGUGUUGGCGUGCAUUUCUACUGGGUUGUUGAUGAUCAUUGCUUUAUAUAUAAAGCGGGGCGAAAGCCUUUUUUGGUAAGUAACAAAUAUUACAUCCAAGUUUGUAGAUCACCAACCGACGACUACAAGCAUUGCAGCGAGCAAAAGGCACACCUCUAUCAUCGCCCCUCGCUAAUUGGAGUCAGGCAAAACUUGUUGUGGUAGUCAGUCGGAAAGUCGUCGUGCUAAAAUCCCACAACCAACAGGACCAUCGACGCAUUCAUGCUACCAAGGAGCGCAUAAAGGGUUUGGGGGAGAGGCAGGAAGCGUUGCGGGUGGAGCAGCAAGUGCUCUUUAUUCAUCUAGCAUCUCUCUAUAAUAUAAGAGUCCGUAGACUAUUUUUAGUUUUCUAAGGUGAGAAAUUAGUUUUCACAUCAGGCCUUCUUUGUCUUAGUUUGAUUCCGAUCUACUCCUAGUCGACGGUCUUACAUCAUUGGGAUACUUCGGAUAAACUAGAGUACAUGUAUGAGAGACCAGUGCUAAGACCUUUUAUUGAGAUAUAUCGUCCAGAUUCUUAGGGUCCUUGCUCCGGAUCCUCCCCCCUCCUCCCGCGGGUGCGAAAGUAGUUUGGUUCAGUAGUUUUAGAGCAAAGCAAUUCCAACAUAAACUUUCCUCUAAGCCUUCUAUAGACCCAUAAACUAAAAACUAGCACUACUAACAUAGGCUGAAGAGGAUGCAUAUGAACAGCAGCUGCUGCCGAUGAAGAGAAUCGUAGAUUGGAAGGCUCCAACCCGAGGCACACAAAUGAAGACAAGAUCCAAGCUGGUUCACAGAAGAUCGGCACCUCCUGAAUCCUACGAAAUCUGUUGGUGACACACCGUCGCAUGCCCUUCAACUACAAUAACCGGGCUGCCGAAUGCGGAGUAGGCAAGGAGAACCAUAUUCCAUCUUCGGGAGUUAUCGUCACCUUACCUUACUGAGCAGUACACAAACCCUAACUGAAUGGAAAAGGCAUGAAAAUGAGAAGGAUCCUUCCCGCCGCCAAGGGAAACAGACCAUCAUGCGUCCUUGGCCCAAAGACCAUAGGAGGCUGGUGGAUAGGUGGCAACACAAACAGGAGGAAGAGGAACCAUAAUUGCACGUGCGCCUGAAGUCGCAAAAUAAAAUGGUAUGAGCGCAAGUCUAUCGAUCACGCCGUGCACGACGAUGCUCUUUCCAUCGCUCCGCGCCAGCCCGGGGCGCACACAUCGUCAGUGCCCCAACGUCAGACAAUUCCCUUUCCAGCUACGCACGCAAGAUGUCAUCGCAGGCCAAAGGCUUCGAGGUACGUACGUCGCUCCAAACUCAUUCAUGACCACUUUUCUAACCAACACAUAAACGCACGUACAUGUGGCUAGAGAGAGAGAGAUAGAUAGAUAGAUAGAUAGAGAGAUAGAGAGAGUAUGACUUGUUUGAGCGUGAUAGACCGUAUACCCGUGAACAUGAGAUCUUGGUGACGUUAUAAGAACCUUCAAUUUGCAACGCAAAAUAUUAUGUACUGCAUUCUGUCUCAUACUUAAUUAUUGGAUGUAAUGAUGUCUUAUAUUAUGAGAUGGAGGGAGUAUGUCAUAAUUAUGCAAGUUGGAAACCCUCUGAAAAAAAUGCAGUUUUUCAUCGGAUCAUCAAUUACGAGUAGCAAAGUAAGGGAAACUAAAUUAAGCGAUGAUAACUUCAAGAACAAAGAAUACAUGAAUUACUAGACAACAAGCCCACAUUAGGUAAGCAAUACGCAGACAUAAACCAUGGCCGGGUCGACACGGCAAUUUUUUACAGCACACACGAUGCAGAAACUAAGGCACGCCGCCCACGCGGCUAGCCAGAUUGGACGGGCUUGUCCUGCAAUUCUUCUGUUGCUCGGCACCGACACGUCGUUGGACAAGAUCUCCUCGUCAGCAUAGGCUCCUCUGUUGCUGCUACCUGCGCUGACGUACCUGUAGUAUUGCUGGCCACGGCACACGUUGAUGCGUUUUUCCCCUGUGUAUGCACGUGCGGUUUGCUGAAAGAGAAGUUGGUGCAAGUUUAUCGACCAUGUGCGCGACAAUGCCCUUUCGACCGCUCCAUGCCAGCCGACGGCACGCGCCCCAUCAAUACAACAAGGUCAGAUACUUCCCUUUCCAGCUAUGCGCGCAAAGAUGUCACCACCGGCCAAAGGCUUCGAAGUACGUAUGCCGCUCUAAACUCUUUCAUGACCACUUUGCUAACCGACGCACAUAUGUAUGUACAUGUGGCGACAGAGCCAGAGAUAGAGAUAGAGAUAGAGAUAGAUAGAUAGAUAGAUAGAUAGAUAGUAUGACUUCUAUUUAAGCGUGAGAGAUUGUAUGACCCGUGAAUAUGACAUGUUCAUGACAUCAUACGAAGGUCUAAUUUGCAACGUAAAAUAUUACGUACUACAGUGUGCAUCACAAUGAUAAAAAAAGUCGGAAAUCCUUUUGAAAACAAAUGCGGUUUUUCAACCGGUCAUCAAUGAUGAGUAGCCAAAUUAAGCAAAACCAAAUUAAACAACAAUAACUUUAACAGCAAAGAGUACAUGUAUUACUAGAGGACAAGCCCACAUUAGAUAAGCAGUACAUGAAUUACUAAAGGACAAGCCCACAUUAGAUAAGCAGUACGCACACACAAACCAUGGCCGGAUCGACACGGCAAAUUAUUCCAGUAAG